rnacentral:lncRNA from 1 species
UGCUGCACCAUUAACUGAAAUUGUGAAGAAACAUGUGGGAUUUAAGUGGGGUAGUGAACAAGAAAAGGCAUUUAAUCUAAUUAAGGAGAAAUUAGUUUCUGCACCAUUACUUGCUUUACCUGAUUUUACUAAAACUUUUGAAAUUGAGUGUGAUGCUUCAGGUAUAGGUAUUGGAGCUGUUUUGAUGCAAGAAGGGCGUCCAAUUGCUUAUUUUAGUGAGAAAUUGGGUGGAGCAGCCCUAAACUAUCCUACCUAUGACAAGGAGAUGUAUGCAUUGGUGAGAGCUUUGGAAACUUGGCAACAUUAUCUUCUACCUAAAGAGUUUGUUAUACACACUGAUCAUGAGUCCUUGAAGCAUUUGAAAGGGCAAGGUAAGUUACAUAAGAGACAUGCCAAAUGGGUUGAAUUUAUUGAGCCAUUUCCUUAUGUGAUCAAAUAUAAACAAGGUAAGGAGAAUGUGGUGGCUGAUGCAUUAUCUAGAAGGUAUGCACUUAUCUCUACAUUAAAUGCAAAGUUGUUAGGAUUUGAGUACAUUAAAGAAUUAUAUGCUAACGAUCCUGAUUUUGCUAAUGUGUUUAAUGCUUGUGAGAAAGUUGCAUUUGGUAAAUUCUAUAAGCAUGAUGGGCUUUUAUUUAGAGAAAAUAAAUUGUGUGUGCCUCAUAGUUCUUUGCGUGAAUUGCUUGUGCGUGAAGCUCAUGGGGGUGGUUUAAUGGGACAUUUUGGCAUUGCAAAGACUUUAGAUGUUUUAAAAGAACACUUCUUUUGGCCACAUAUGAAACGUGAUGUUGAAAGAAUAUGUGAGAAGUGUAUCACUUGUAAACAUGCUAAGUCAAGAGUUUAACCUUGGGUUGAUAUUUCUAUGGACUUUGUUUUGGGUUUACCUAGGUCAAAAAGGGGAAAUGAUUCUGUUUUGUUGUUGUUGAUAGGUUUUCAAAGAUGGCGCAUUUCAUUCCAUGUCAUAAAACUGAUGAUGCGACAAGCAUAGCUAAUUUGUUUUUCAAGGAAAUAGUCAGGUUGCAUGGAGUACCAAGGAGCAUAGUUUCAGAUCGAGAUGCUAAGUUCUUGAGCCACUUUUGGAAAACUUUGUGGGGGUAAGUUGGGUACUAAACUUUUGUUUUCUACUACUUGUCAUCCACAAACUGAUGGACAAACUGAGGUUGUAAAUAGAACUCUGUCUACUUUGUUGCGUGCCAUUAUUCAAAAGAACUUGAAAACUUGGGAAGAAUGUUUGCCACAUGUUGAAUUUGCUUAUAAUAGAACUGUCCAUUCAGCUACUAAAUUCUCACCAUUUGAGAUUGUAUAUGGGUUUUAAUCCAUUAACUCCUUUGGAUUUAUUACCCUUUACCUAUUGAUGAACGUGCUAGUAUGGAUGGUAAAAAGAAAGCUGAACUUGUCAAGCAAUUGCAUGAGAGAACAGGUCAACACAUAGAAAAGCGAACUGAACAAUAUGCUACUCAAGCCAACAAAGGACGUAAGCAAGUGGUUUUUCAGCCUGGAGAUUGGGUUUAGGUGCAUAUGAGAAAGGAGAGGUUCCCAGCACAAAGGCGUUCCAAGUUACUUCCAAGGGGAGAUGGUCCAUUUCAAGUGGUUGCACGGAUCAAUGACAAUGCCUACAAAUUGGAUCUUCCUGGUGAGUAUAAUGUGAGUGCUACUUUCAAUGUUUCUGAUCUUUCUCCUUUCGAUGUAGGUGAAGAUUCGAGGACGAAUCCUUUUGAAGAGAGGGGGAAUGAUGAGAACCAUCAAGGGACCAUUAAAACUUCAAGUGAUCCUUUGCACAUUCAUGGAGGCCCAAUUACAAGAGCAAGAGCCAAAAAGAUGCAAGCUGCUUUAAAUGGAUUAAUUGAGAAAAUAUGGAUUGAAAAUGCAAUUCAAGAUGCAAGACAUCAUGAAUUGGGCUUGAAGAGAAGACAAGGCAUUGUGGGCAUUAUUCAAGUCAUUGGACAGCCAAAUACACAAGUUGUAUCAAAUGCAGAAAGGUCAAAUUCGGAAUAAAAACUGUAUUGAUUGAGCCCGAAUUAAAAUGCAAGCUAUAUACCGUUGGAAAGAUAAUUAAGUUAGCUUUCCAAUAAAUUUUACAGAGCUGGAUUUGGAGUUCUCUAGAAGGAGUUAUGACCAAUUCUUUACAGCUUGUUCAGACUUGGGAUUUUCAACGAAUCCUUUGUUUUUCAACUUAUUUGUUUGUUUUGUUUCAAGUUUUUCAAUGAUAGCAUUAAUUAUAGUAGGCUAGCAUUAAGUUUGUCAAAGAUAGCAUUGAUCAUGGUGGGUUCGUGAAGACUUUUGAAACAUCUUUUGACAAACUUACUUGGAGGGUUGUUCCAAUGUUUCCAUUUGUAUUUUUAGGAUCUUGGGUUCCUUUUAGCCUAUUUAAAUUCAGCAACCUUGGUAUGUAAGGAGAUGAAUGUUAUUUUGAAUUUGAAAGAUUAUUCUUUCUUUGGUUCUUUUGAGAACUAGUGAACUUAUCAAGAAUUUACAUUCUUGUGGUGUUCCAAAUUUAGACUUAUCACUCACCUUCUCAUCUCUUUCUUGAGUGUGGCGUCAAUACCCUUCUCUAUACCUUUGGUUCAUGUUUUCUUAAGCAUUGGGUCAAGGUUUUUGUUUGCCAUAAAUCUGUUUAGAACUUUCUUGGGAAGUUGAAACUACAAAUUAAUUGUAGGAUUGAAAGUUUCAUUGUGGGAUUCGUAUCAAAGCCCAUCUUGAAUAUUGGUCUCUUACACACAUGAUAGGAUUUUGUUCAAGAUUAAUGCCAAUAUCUCCAAGUGUUUGUUUCAUCCAAAGGGUUUGUGCACAACAACUACCAGCAGCAAUAUAUUUUUCCUUGGUGGUUGAAAGUGCAACCGAAUUUUUUUUCUUACUAAACCAUGAAACAAGUGAAUGAUCUAGGAAAUGGCAAUUUCCACUAGUACUUUUCCUAUCGACCUUAUAAUUGCCAAAAUCGGCAUCCGAAUAACAAGUUAAAUCUAUAUGGGUUCCUCUAGGAUACCAAAGGCCAAGAUCUAUGGUUCCACUCAAAUAGUAGAAAAUUCUUUUAACAGCAAGCAAAUGAGAUUCCUAACACAAACAUACAAUAAACAUGAUAUCGGGUCUACUUGUGGUUAAGUAAAGUAAAGAGCUUAUCAUACCUCGAUACAUUUUGAUAUCAACCUCUUUACCUUUUCAUGUUCGUCAAGCUUGAUUGUUGUGGUCAUUGGAGUGCUCUUGGGUUUUGAGUCAUCAAUGCCAAAUCUCUUGAGUAGAGCUUUGACAUAUUUAGCUUAGUUGAUGAAGAUUCCCUCAUUGUUUUGUUUGAUUUGAAGUCCAAGGAAAUACUUCAAUUCUCCCAUCAUGCUCAUUUCAAAUUCCUUACUUAUACAAGAUGAAAAUUCCUUGCACAGAUAAAUUCCUUCUUNNNNNNNNNNNNNNNNNNNNNNNNNNNNNNNNNNNNNNNNNNNNNNNNNNNNNNNNNNNNNNNNNNNNNNNNNNNNNNNNNNNNNNNNNNNNNNNNNNNNNNNNNNNNNNNNNNNNNNNNNNNNNNNNNNNNNNNNNNNNNNNNNNNNNNNNNNNNNNNNNNNNNNNNNNNNNNNNNNNNNNNNNNNNNNNNNNNNNNNNNNNNNNNNNNNNNNNNNNNNNNNNNNNNNNNNNNNNNNNNNNNNNNNNNNNNNNNNNNNNNNNNNNNNNNNNNNNNNNNNNNNNNNNNNNNNNNNNNNNNNNNNNNNNNNNNNNNNNNNNNNNNNNNNNNNNNNNNNNNNNNNNNNNNNNNNNNNNNNNNNNNNNNNNNNNNNNNNNNNNNNNNNNNNNNNNNNNNNNNNNNNNNNNNNNNNNNNNNNNNNNNNNNNNNNNNNNNNNNNNNNNNNNNNNNNNNNNNNNNNNNNNNNNNNNNNNNNNNNNNNNNNNNNNNNNNNNNNNNNNNNNNNNNNNNNNNNNNNNNNNNNNNNNNNNNNNNNNNNNNNNNNNNNNNNNNNNNNNNNNNNNNNNNNNNNNNNNNNNNNNNNNNNNNNNNNNNNNNNNNNNNNNNNNNNNNNNNNNNNNNNNNNNNNNNNNNNNNNNNNNNNNNNNNNNNNNNNNNNNNNNNNNNNNNNNNNNNNNNNNNNNNNNNNNNNNNNNNNNNNNNNNNNNNNNNNNNNNNNNNNNNNNNNNNNNNNNNNNNNNNNNNNNNNNNNNNNNNNNNNNNNNNNNNNNNNNNNNNNNNNNNNNNNNNNNNNNNNNNNNNNNNNNNNNNNNNNNNNNNNNNNNNNNNNNNNNNNNNNNNNNNNNNNNNNNNNNNNNNNNNNNNNNNNNNNNNNNNNNNNNNNNNNNNNNNNNNNNNNNNNNNNNNNNNNNNNNNNNNNNNNNNNNNNNNNNNNNNNNNNNNNNNNNNNNNNNNNNNNNNNNNNNNNNNNNNNNNNNNNNNNNNNNNNNNNNNNNNNNNNNNNNNNNNNNNNNNNNNNNNNNNNNNNNNNNNNNNNNNNNNNNNNNNNNNNNNNNNNNNNNNNNNNNNNNNNNNNNNNNNNNNNNNNNNNNNNNNNNNNNNNNNNNNNNNNNNNNNNNNNNNNNNNNNNNNNNNNNNNNNNNNNNNNNNNNNNNNNNNNNNNNNNNNNNNNNNNNNNNNNNNNNNNNNNNNNNNNNNNNNNNNNNNNNNNNNNNNNNNNNNNNNNNNNNNNNNNNNNNNNNNNNNNNNNNNNNNNNNNNNNNNNNNNNNNNNNNNNNNNNNNNNNNNNNNNNNNNNNNNNNNNNNNNNNNNNNNNNNNNNNNNNNNNNNNNNNNNNNNNNNNNNNNNNNNNNNNNNNNNNNNNNNNNNNNNNNNNNNNNNNNNNNNNNNNNNNNNNNNNNNNNNNNNNNNNNNNNNNNNNNNNNNNNNNNNNNNNNNNNNNNNNNNNNNNNNNNNNNNNNNNNNNNNNNNNNNNNNNNNNNNNNNNNNNNNNNNNNNNNNNNNNNNNNNNNNNNNNNNNNNNNNNNNNNNNNNNNNNNNNNNNNNNNNNNNNNNNNNNNNNNNNNNNNNNNNNNNNNNNNNNNNNNNNNNNNNNNNNNNNNNNNNNNNNNNNNNNNNNNNNNNNNNNNNNNNNNNNNNNNNNNNNNNNNNNNNNNNNNNNNNNNNNNNNNNNNNNNNNNNNNNNNNNNNNNNNNNNNNNNNNNNNNNNNNNNNNNNNNNNNNNNNNNNNNNNNNNNNNNNNNNNNNNNNNNNNNNNNNNNNNNNNNNNNNNNNNNNNNNNNNNNNNNNNNNNNNNNNNNNNNNNNNNNNNNNNNNNNNNNNNNNNNNNNNNNNNNNNNNNNNNNNNNNNNNNNNNNNNNNNNNNNNNNNNNNNNNNNNNNNNNNNNNNNNNNNNNNNNNNNNNNNNNNNNNNNNNNNNNNNNNNNNNNNNNNNNNNNNNNNNNNNNNNNNNNNNNNNNNNNNNNNNNNNNNNNNNNNNNNNNNNNNNNNNNNNNNNNNNNNNNNNNNNNNNNNNNNNNNNNNNNNNNNNNNNNNNNNNNNNNNNNNNNNNNNNNNNNNNNNNNNNNNNNNNNNNNNNNNNNNNNNNNNNNNNNNNNNNNNNNNNNNNNNNNNNNNNNNNNNNNNNNNNNNNNNNNNNNNNNNNNNNNNNNNNNNNNNNNNNNNNNNNNNNNNNNNNNNNNNNNNNNNNNNNNNNNNNNNNNNNNNNNNNNNNNNNNNNNNNNNNNNNNNNNNNNNNNNNNNNNNNNNNNNNNNNNNNNNNNNNNNNNNNNNNNNNNNNNNNNNNNNNNNNNNNNNNNNNNNNNNNNNNNNNNNNNNNNNNNNNNNNNNNNNNNNNNNNNNNNNNNNNNNNNNNNNNNNNNNNNNNNNNNNNNNNNNNNNNNNNNNNNNNNNNNNNNNNNNNNNNNNNNNNNNNNNNNNNNNNNNNNNNNNNNNNNNNNNNNNNNNNNNNNNNNNNNNNNNNNNNNNNNNNNNNNNNNNNNNNNNNNNNNNNNNNNNNNNNNNNNNNNNNNNNNNNNNNNNNNNNNNNNNNNNNNNNNNNNNNNNNNNNNNNNNNNNNNNNNNNNNNNNNNNNNNNNNNNNNNNNNNNNNNNNNNNNNNNNNNNNNNNNNNNNNNNNNNNNNNNNNNNNNNNNNNNNNNNNNNNNNNNNNNNNNNNNNNNNNNNNNNNNNNNCAACCUGGUCCACAUAUUGCAAUCGAAUUAUUAAAGUUUCCGGACACACGUCUCAACAGGAAGCAGAUACAAACAAUUCCUCGGGAUUGUUAAUUAUGUCCGUGAUUUUAUCCCAAAAGUUGCAAUUCAAACCAGCCAGCUGUCAUGCAUGCUCAAAAAACAGUACCCUCUAUGGGGCCCUGCUCAGACCGACGCUGUCAAGCAGUUAAAGGUAAUAGCACAAUCACCUCCUCCACUCCGUAUUCCCACAAAUGGACAACGCAUCCUCCAGACUGAUGCCAGCGAUGAUUAUUGGAGUGCCAUUCUCCUUGAAGACAUCAAUGGCGUGCGUCAUUUCUGUGCUCAUGCAAGCGGACAGCUUAAAGACUCUGAAAAGAACUACCAUGUGAUCUACAAAGAGAUUUUGGCAGUUAAGUAUGGCAUUAAAAAAUUUGAGUUCCAUCUUAUCAGCCACAAAUUCCUUAUCAACAUGGAUAAUUCAUCUUUUCCCUGAAUCUUUGACUUCAAGAGCAAAUUGCUACCUGACAAGCAAUUACUCAGUCUCAAAACCUGGUUUGAUAAAUAUGAUUUCACUGUUCAACACAUAAAAGGCAACCAAAACCUCAUUCCAGACUUCCUCACCCGUCCAGCUAUAAAUAAACCCGCACUCAUCUCCUCGAUUCAAACCAUUCCAGGUAUAGCCAUGAAUCGCCAACUUCCUUUCAAAGCUCUCAACCAAAGAAAUUUCCCCAUGAACAUCUCUUUCCAAUCGGCUUAUCAAUUGCAAGAUUUUGCAAAGAAAGAAACUGGUUUUUCUUUAAUGUCUAGACCAAAAACCCUGACCGAUUUCCUAAUCUUUGCAUGGAACACUUGUUUCUCACAGGCCUCACUUUGUCCUCUCUAUCCAUCUCCGAAGAUGAGCUUUGGUAUAUGUGGUGUCUCACCACCUCGUAUGCUACAAAGCUAGUUUUUCCCAUCAAGCCAGUCCUGACUCACCUUACCACUCCCGAGUUCUCACCAGACCUUCUAUGGACUCUCUUUGAAUGGUAUUCUCCCCUCACUUGGUGGCGCCAGCAACUCCAACAUUUGUGUACCUUUCAUGGAUUAGACAAAAUGCCAGACCAAGAAGCUAACAUGUGGACCACGGCCUUCAUCGUCCACAGGCCUUACUUCCAGCAUCNNNNNNNNNNNNNNNNNNNNNNNNNNNNNNNNNNNNNNNNNNNNNNNNNNNNNNNNNNNNNNNNNNNNNNNNNNNNNNNNNNNNNNNNNNNNNNNNNNNNNNNNNNNNNNNNNNNNNNNNNNNNNNNNNNNNNNNNNNNNNNNNNNNNNNNNNNNNNNNNNNNNNNNNNNNNNNNNNNNNNNNNNNNNNNNNNNNNNNNNNNNNNNNNNNNNNNNNNNNNNNNNNNNNNNNNNNNNNNNNNNNNNNNNNNNNNNNNNNNNNNNNNNNNNNNNNNNNNNNNNNNNNNNNNNNNNNNNNNNNNNNNNNNNNNNNNNNNNNNNNNNNNNNNNNNNNNNNNNNNNNNNNNNNNNNNNNNNNNNNNNNNNNNNNNNNNNNNNNNNNNNNNNNNNNNNNNNNNNNNNNNNNNNNNGGAUUGAGACAUAUUUUUGUCCCAUAAAAAAAUUUGGGACGGGAUUGGGACAUUUUUUUAUCCCAAUUACAUAUGCGGGAUGGGAGUGGGAUUGACAAAUUCCGUCCCAUCCCGUCUCAUUACCGAUUAAGAAUGGAAAAUUUUCCAAUUGGGAUAGGAUCCCGCAGGAUCCCAUCUCUUUUGGGACGGGAUUGGGACAUAUUUUUGUCCCAAAAAAAAUAUAAGGACGGGAUUGGGACGUUUUUUCAUCCCAUUUGCAUAUACGGGAUGGGACUGGGAUUGGUAAAUCCCAUCCCAUCCCGUCCCAUUGCCAACCCUAGUUGUACUCCAGGAUCAAGUUCAAGUCCUCAAGGAAUCCUUGUCAUGGAACAACGUCCUGACUACACCAAUGUCUUAUUCCAAGACGCUCAGGACCCAUGGGAAGACUUUCAGUCCCUUCUCCAUACUGACACUCCCCAUUAUACUGUCACCAACCCAGACUCUCCUGCUGCAUCUACCUCCCAGCACAUGUCUGAAGCUGAUGAAGAAAAGUAUCAACAAGCUGAAGCGUAUCUCAACCAGAGACAGAGGCGUCGGCACAAGCGACAAUAUGAGAAAGAGACAGGAGACGUGUCACCAUCGCGCUAUCCAUCCACUCCAUGAUGACACUUUGUUGCUCUCACACAACUUUUGAUGCAAUAACCCAUGUGACUCCCGUUUGUCUUUUGUUAAAGUCCUUGUCGAUGUGCUUUACUUUUGUAAAAGUCCUUGUAGGUAUGCUUUACCUUUUGUAAAAGUCCUGAUCGGCGUGCUUUGCUUUCAAAAAAGGUGUGCCAUGUGAUAUGAUCAUUCGAGAGGUCCUAUUCUCAAUGAUCCUCUAUAAAAGGCACCUUUGGUCUCAGUUGUAAGGGGAGCCAAUCUGAAAAUAAAAGCUUAAGUUAUCUACAUUAUGUUUCCCUAAAACCUCUCUCUCUUCUAGGAAUCGAAGAAAUUAUUCGAAUUAAAAAUGAUACGCUCACCUCAAAAUUUCUAAACUGAGUAUGCUCUGCACUUGCCUCAAGUCUGAGGAUCUUGUGCAUCAGAAAGGUCCUGUUUAUCCUCCAAAACUGAUUUUUCUAAAAUGAAAGUGUUUUCUCACAACGUUCACCCUCUUUGAAGGUUUUCGGGUGGUAUCGUGAAAAAAUUAUUUUAAAAAAUGAAUUUCGGAUUUGGUAUUAACUAGAUAAGUGUAUAUCGGCUGGAAACCAAGGUGUGCAGACUACUGGUCCAAAGGAGAUUUAAAUAUCUUGGCUUGCCAAGGAUCUCAUCACUCUGGUAAAACAACGCCACGUACAACUACCCACUGGUAUCAGAGCCACACUUCAUGUUGAGGUGGUAUCAUUAGUAAUUUGAAUAAUCUUAUUUGAUCUCCUAGAAGAAGAUUCAUCAACCAUGGAAACAAACACAUCUCUAACUUCUACAUCAUCUUCAUCUCAUAUUUCUCUUUCUUCUACACUCUCUCUCCCCAAAUCAUGCUCUAAACACAUAGCCUCUAAAAUUGAGAAUCUUGUUGAAUAUUCUUAUAUUCUAGAAUCUGCUCAAAUCAAUGAGUCCCAGUUUCCCAUCAUGAGUCCUUACAAUCUCUACAAAUAGAAAACUUCCCUUACUAGAAGUAUUCGAACCCUCAUCUCCACUAAAAGACCACUCCUAAAGGAAUAUAUCCAGUCUUUUAGACUGGAUCAGUGUGCUCUCCAAGCCUCACAGAGUGAACAAUAUGUCACUAUGGAAAUACCCUCAGAUCUCGUCGUCAACUGGAAACGAGAAGGGUACACACACCUCCAUCUUGGUGGUGUACGAUUAAUUCUCACUCUUCAUGGUCGGAAAGGUUUACCUGUUACAACUAGAAUGAUACCAGAAAUUUUUGGACCUAGAAUCAGAGUUAUGAAUGGAUGACAGUCCCUCACAUUGCCUGUCUCGAACAAGAUUUCCAGAUCAAGACUUCCUUGAAGAACUUCCUUAUGGAACUUAACCAUAUUCCUCCAGACCAGCCAAAAAUCCUCCACACAUCUCUUGGACUAAAACAUGAAAUGUUUAUGAUCCCUACUCCAUCCUUACAUUCCCAACCUCCCAACCGUGGAAUCAUCAUAAAAGAAGAAAAGCCAGAUUACACUGACUUUUUAUUCCAAGAUUCCCAGGAUCCUUAUAAAGAUUUUACCCCGGUACCUUCACCUUCACCAUAUAAUUUCCCUAAUUUCCCUGUAUCAUCCACCUCUCAGUAUCCGCCAUUUUCCUCUCAACCUAAGCCUUUUCCUUAGCCAACCCCUCUAUCACCAAAAGCCCGAGAUUGCCCUUAGCCAUGUGUUCCAGGUUGUUCUCAUCCAGAAAGAAUCUUCAAAAAAGACAAGGACCCUGAUCGUGACCCUGACGAGACCGAAUCAUCAUCUGAGGAUGGAACCAUAUCUCUUUAAGAGUGAGAAUAAGACGAACACCUCCAGGGUGAAGAUGUGUAUAGCCUUCACGUUUCCAUGUAGAGAUCAAUUCUGAGGGGAUUUCAAGAGUGACAUAUUGUUCAGCUGUGGUAGCUUGCAAAGCACACUAGUCGAGUUGGGAUGACUGGAUAUAUUCCUUCGGGUGGGGUUGUUUGGUGGAAAUUAGGGUUUUAAUACUUUUAGUAAAGGACGCAUUUUUAUACAAGUGAUAGGGACUAAUGAGAGGUAGAGAGGAUUCAUUGAUUUGAACAGAUUCAGAAACAUAGGAGUAUUCAACAUGAUUUUCUAUUUUACUGGCUGUUUGUUUACUACAGGAUUUAGGUAAAGAAAGAGUAAUUGGAGAAGAUGACGAAGCAGGAGUAGCUGAGGAUGAUGAUGAAGCCAUGAGAUUAAGAUUUUUUAUUCUUUAAAGCUUUGAUUCCUAGGUGGUUAAACUCUUAUAACCUAUACCAACAUCUAAGAAUUUCAUGUAUGCCUCUGAUACCAACUUGGGUCGGGCCUAACUCAGCCCCAAAAGAGCUCUCAAAAGGUGAGGACUGCCCAGUGCUUAUAAGCGACCAGGAGCUUUGGCUUGCCAGUGAUGUGGGAUAAGAGCAUAUCAUUCACUCUACCCUCGCUCUCAGGCCUUGGCUCUGUGUUCCAGGUUGUUCUAAUCCAGAAAGAAUCUUCAAAAAAUACAAGGACCCUGAUCGUGACCCUGACGAGACUGAAUCAUCAUCUGAGGAUGGAACCAUAUCUCUUUAAAAGAUUUGUCACUUUGUAAUAAUGUAAAAUAAAGUACUUUAUGCUUUAGCUUUUUAAAGUUGUUUGUCCUUAUGUCAUCAUGAACUUUACUUUUGUCGGCCACUACUGUACCAGUGAGCCUACCUACGUUUGUAAAAUAAGUGUGCCUGUAUGCCAGCUGAUUCGAUCUCGAUCCAGCUUUUGUCUUUUCCCCUCUUUAUCUUUAAGUAAGGAGAAGUUAUUUGAAUAAAAAUUAAGAAGUUUUUUAUAACAUUUCAAGUUUCAAUAUUCCACCCUAUGGAUAACUAAAACCUUCGUUUUUAUUCUUUAAUCCUAAGAUUCUUUAAGUUUAGAACUCUUACCCUUGUUCAAUGUCUAUCUUCUGCAAGUAUGCUCUGCACUUGCCUUGAAAAAGGAUCCUGUGCAUUAGAAAGCUACUCAUGCUCCUAUUCUUUCUUUGCUCUGAGAUAAUAGACGGAACCUUGCCUUUAGACUAAGUGACCAAGGAGAGUCUAUGUCUUUUUGGUUAUCUAGGUUCUUAGUUCAUUGUAAGAUAUGGAAUGUCUAGUAUCUCGCAACCACUUCAUUCUCGUUUUCUAGGUAUAUCGACUGGAAACCGAGCAUGCGGACUACUAGUCUAAAGGAUAACAUUGUUAUCAUUGCUCUGGUAUAACAAUGCCACGUACUUAGAAUCCCCAGUUGGUAUAAGAGCUAAGGCCCGAGGGUGAGGGUAGAGUGAAUGAUAAGCUCUUAUCCCACAUCGCUGGCAAGCCAAAGCUCCUGGUCGCUUAUAAGCGCUGGGCAGUCCUCACCCUUUGAGAAUCUUUGGCAAAAUGACCUUUCUUUUUGCAAAUGAAACACCUGCUUUUCUUUCUAUUAGGAAACCAUUUAGAAUGGGAUUGCCUCUGUCUGAAAAAGCGAAACUGGUUGGUAUGCUGUUUCUUGGAUGGAAAUGGGAAUCUGGAUUUCUUAAAGUGAGAUUUUUUCUUGGGUGAGCAGUCACACUUCUUUGGAUCUUUGCACUUGAUAGCCAAGUAAGGCUUUUUGCAAGCAGAUCUGAAAGGUUCUUUGUCUUUGAUGAGUUCCUGGAAGAACUUCUUUUGUUCACACAAUUUGUCAAGACAUCCCAGAGCAAUCUUGAAUAAUUUUCCCAAUGAUAAUGUGUCAAUGUUGAGCAUGUGAGCAGCUAACUGACGUUGAAUUUCUGGUUGUAAUUCUUCUGGGAGAGAUGCCAGAAAUAAAUGCCUGAGUGUGGGAUCAUUGAAUCUAUUCAGCUUAUAAUAGAGCAAAGACAUUCGCUUGUAGUGGUAAUGAAGAUCUUUUGUGUUGAGAGAACAACAUUUCAUGUUGAGAUAAUCACGUCUUGCGGCUUCAAAAGUAGCACUUGGUUCUCCAAUAAAUUGAUCAUGGAGACCGGCUAAAGCCUGAGAGACUCAGAGACUAAGAGACAUCAGAAAUUUGGAUGAACUGAGUUGUCUAUAUACUGUCCAAGACUUUCAAACCAAUCUCGAAGAGAACCCGUAAACUAAGUACUGAAUUCUCUUUGAACAGAUUGGGUUGUUGCAUCUGGAGCUAACAUUUGGAGAUCAAUCCAAGUAGACAACUCUUGUAGUCUUUUUCUCCAUUUUGUCGGAGGGAGAUUAUCAAAAGUAAACCAUGGACCAUUGGAAGGUUUGGAAACUUUUGGCUGAGGUGGAAUUGACUGAGAAGAUUCACCAGUUUCUUGGUUUUCUUCAUCAGUCUCAACAGGUUCAGUUCUUGGGCCAGGGUCAGUGGCACCAAACUAAUCAUUAGGUUCUGCCAUGAUGAGUUUGGAAAUAUCAGCUAGAUUUGAAUCAGACAAAUUGAAUGACUCAAUGGAUGAUGAAUAUGAUUGUGAAGGGGAAUUUUCAGUAGAGGAAUCUAGAGAUGGUGAAUGGGAAAGUUGUUGAGUAGAAUACUGGGACAUGGGCUGUUUUUCUAGAGAAACAGUAGUUUGGAUUGGUGGUGGUUGAGUAGAUUCAGGUAAAGAAGUUGGUGAUGGAGAGGGUGAUGGUUCAAAUCUAGAUGUCUGAGGAUUUUGUUGAGGAAUGGGUUUUUGAACUGGAGCUGGUUUUGGUGUUUUCUUUAGUUUUGGUUGAGGGCGUGGAUGUGGAGGAAACAAAGUAUGGGUCAUACCAAAAAGUUUAUAAGUUUCAUAUGUUCGAGAGGAAAAAGAUGGCAAGAAGGGAUGAUAGGUAGGAUUAAUUACUGGUAAUGGAGCAGAACUUGUAAACAGGGUAGGCUAGACCAUUUCUGAGUCAAUUUUGGCAAUUUCAGCUUUCAAGGCUCUUAUCUCAGCUUCUUUUUUAUCAAAAUCAGGACUAUAGACUCAUUGAGCAAGCAUAGCCCGAAGUUCAGAGUCAAGUUGAGUAACUCUGUUAUGAAGAUUUUGAUGAAUCUGAUUUAACUUAUCUGAGAUAGUAUCAACCUUUUUUUCAACCUAGUUGGUUUUUUUUGUAAUGUGGUCUAACUUAUGAUGCAAGGUAGUGAGUACUUGGUUUUGUGCAAUAUCAUUUUGAGUUUGCUAGUUUAAGACUGCUUCAAAAGAACGAGGUUCUUCUAAAUGGCCAGCAUGAGUUACUACAAAGGAGACAUAUGGUUUAGAGAUGAAAUUCUUUUGUUGGUCAGUUUGUUUUUCAAAAGGUGGGAACUGGGCUUGGUAUUGUGUAGAAGUUAAUGGGGAAAACAUCAUACAUGACUGUAUUUUGGGAGUGGGACUAACAUGGGUAGUCUCAUGGGUUGAUUGAAGUAUGCAGCUAAGUAAAGCGGGUUCAUGUUUUCGGAUCCAGGCAAGACCUUUAUCAUAGAUGGGUAAAGGUGCUUGAGAAUCAGGCUAAGGUGGAUCUUUAGGAUGAGCAACAUGAUAGCGGCAAGCUAGAUAAAUGAUCUUUUUAGACUUGCGCUUACGUCUUUUUGGCUCGUCAUCAUCUUCUUCAAUAUCUUCCCAACAAGGAUAGCAUGCAUCACAGUUGCCAGAGGCUGGGACAUCCCAUAAGAAAUGUCCAUGGAGUUUUACUAGGUAGAUAGGAAAACCUUGAUCAUUAAAGGCUUGAAUGGGUAGGUUUUUUGUUCUGUGUGUAUAGAAGUGAUCAUUGAAGAAUAGGUAAAAGAUAACCUGGGUGGUUCUGAAGACGAACUAGGUGGUGGUUUGAAAGUAAGAUGAAUAGUUCCAUCUGAAUUUUUCUGAAAAUGACUUUCAGAAGUUUGUAUGGGUUCAGAAUUUUGAUGAAAUUGUUCAUAAUUGGACAACCAUUCUAAAGGCAUGAGUUUGAUUAAUUCUUGUUGAGGAAUUUGGCUUGGGAUUUGAAUGAUGGUUGGAAUCUCUUUAAAUUCGGCAAGAAUCAUGAGAGCUUCUGAAUUUGCAGUUUGUGGAGUUGGCAAAUCCAAAGCAUGAUUUUGCAGCCUAUAAACAAGCUGAUGGUGCAGGGUAUCUAUUUUAACUGAGGUGAUUUGUUCAGCUCCUUGAAGCUGGAUCUGAACUUUUAAAGUGGUAGCUAGGUUGGAAUCAAGAAGUGAAAGAUUAAAAUUGGGAUAAAAGGUAAGCAAAGUACUUCAGGCAUGGAGGGUGGUUAGGACUGUGCCAAUGAUGGCAUGCUGAUAUUGCUUAAACCUGGUGUCAAGUAAACCAAUUCUGGCUGUGACAGGUAAGCUUUUUCUCCUAUGAAGAGUGAGAAUAAGACAAAAACCUCCAAGGUGAAGAUGUGUAUAGCCUUCACGUUUCCAUGUAGAGAUCAAUUCUGAGGGGAUUUCAAGAGUGACAUAUUGUUCAAUAUGACUGGAUAUAUAUCCUUUAGAUGGGGUCGUUUGGUGGAAAUCAGGGUUUUAAUACUUCUAGUAAAGGAAGGUUUUUUAUACAAGUGAUAAGGACUGAUGAGAGGUAAAGAGGAUUCAUUAAUUUGAACAGAUUCAGGAACAUAGGAGUAUUCAACAAGAUUUUCUAUUUUACUAGCUAUUUGUUUAGUACAGGAUUUAGGUAAAGAAAGAGUAACUGGAGAAGAUGACGAAGCAGGAGUAGCUGAGGAUGAUGAUAAAGCCAUGAGAUUAAGAUUUUCUAUUAUUUAAAGCUUUAAUUCCUAGGUGGUUAAACUCUUAUAACCUAUACCAACAUCUGAGAAUUUUGUGCAUGGCUCUGAUACCGACUUGGGCCGGGCCUAACUCAACCCCAAAAGAGCUCUCAAAGGGUGAUGACUGCCCAGCGCUUAUAAGCGACCAGGAGCUUUGGCUUGCCAGCGAUGUGGGAUAAGAGCUUAUCAUUCACUCUACCCUCACCCUCGGGCCUUGGCUCUGUGUUCCAGGUUGUUCUCAUCCAGAAAGAAUCUUUAAAAAAGACAAGGACCCUGAUCGUGACCCUAACGAGACCAAAUCAUCAUCUAAGGAUGGAACCAUAUCUCUUUAAGAGAUUUGUCACUUUGUAAUAAUGUAAAUAAAGUACUUUAUGCUUUAGCUUUUUAAAGUUGUUUGUCCUUAUGUAAUCAUGAGGACGAAAUGUUGUUUGAAACAUUUCGAAAGAGUAGAAGUUUUGGAUGCAACACUUGCCUUUUAGAACUUACGGACUACUGGUCCUAAGGAUAGUAUAGCACUAUCAUAGUUCAUGUGUAACAAUGCCACGUACCUGUAUUCACCCAGUGGUAUCAGAGCCAAGCGACUAUUUUCUAGAGGUGGUAUCAUGGUUUAGUACUCAAGUAUUUAUUCAACACCUAGAAGAAACUCUAUCAAAUAUGGCACAAAAGUUUUAGUAAAAUCAGGUAAAGCAAGUAAUGGUGCAGAAACCAAUUUCUCCUUAAUUAGAUAAAAUGCCCUUUCUUGUUCACUACCCCAUUUAAAUCCCACAUGUUUCUUCACAAUUUGAGUUAAUGGUGCAGCAAGGGUGCUAAAAUCUUUCACAAAUCUUCUAUAAAAACUAGCCAAACCAUGAAAACUUCUUACCUCACUUACACUUUUAGGUGUAGGCCACUCUUUAAUAGCCUUUACCUUCUCUUCAUCAACCUCAAUUCCUUUAGCACUUACAACAUAACCAAGAAAAACAACCUGAUUUGUACAAAAGGAACACUUCUUCAAAUUAGCAUACAACUUUUCCUUCCUUAAAACAGUCAAUACACUUUGCAAAUGUUCAAUGUGUUCAUCUAAGCCUUUGCUAUAGAUCAAAAUAUCAUCAAAAUAGACAACUACGAAUUUACCAAUAAAAGCACGCAAAACAUGGUUCAUUAACCUCAUAAAAGUGAUAGGUGCAUUAGAUAACCCAAAUGGCAUCACUAACCACUCAUAUAAACCAUAGUUUGUUUUUAAAGGCAGUUUUCCACUCAUCUCCCUCUCUAAUCCUAAUUUGAUGAUAUCCACUUUUAAGAUCAAUUUUACUAAACACACAAGAACCAUGCAAUUCAUCAAGCAUGUCGUCAAGUCUAGGAAUAGGGUGUCGAUGCUUUAUAGUGAUUUUAUUAAUUGCACCACAGUCAACGCACAUCCUCCAUGUUCCAUCCUUUUUGGGAACUAGUAAAACUGGUACCGCACAUGGACUCAUGCUCUCCCUCACAUAUCCUUUUGCCAAGAGUUCUUCAACUUGCCUUUGAAGCUCCUUUGUCUCCUCGGGGUUACUUCUAUAUGUAGGUCUAUUAGGAAUGGUAGCUCCAGGGACGAAGUCUAUUUGAUGCUCAAUUCCCCUAAUAGGUGGCAAACCGUUAGGGACUUCAUUUGGAAACACAUCAUCAAAGUCCUGCAAAAGAGUCACAAUAGCACUAGGCAAAGAAAACUUAAUGCUAGCCUACUAUAAUUAAUGCUAUCAUUGACAAAUCUAAUGUUAGCCCACCAUCAUUGAUGGUAGAAUUACCUUACACAUUGACAAACUUGAAACAAAACAAACAAAUGAAGUUGAAAAACAAAGGAGUCGUUGAAAAUCCCAAGUCUGAACAAGCUGUAAUGAAUUGGUCAUAACUCCUUCUAGAGAACCCCAAAUCCAGCUCUGUAAAAUUUAUUGGAAAGCUAACUUAAUUAUCUUUCCAACGGUAUAUAGCUUACACAUUACUUCUACCUCAAUCAAUACAUUUUUUAUUCCGAAUUUGACCUUUCUGCAUUUGAUACAAAUUGUGCAUUUGGCUGCCCAAUAACUUGAAUGAUGCCCACAAUGCCUUGUCUUCUCUUCAAGCCCAAUUCAUGAUGUCUUGCAUCUUGAAUUGUAUUUUCAAUCCAUAUUUUCUCAAUUAAUCCAUUUAAAGCAGCUUGCAUCUUUUUGGCUCUUGCUCUUGUAAUUAGGCCUCCAUGAAUGUGCAAAGGAUCACUUGAACUUUUAAUGGUAUUCCCUUGAUGGUUCUCAUCAGACAUUUUGCCUGCAAUUGCCCUAAUAAGUCAGCUAAGUCUGUUCGUCUCAUUCAGCAUCUACAGCAUUCCUCUAUUCUUUCUGAUAAUGAAGACGUUGAAUCCAUCUUCUCCGAAUAGUCCGAGCAAGAUGAGCAUACAGCUUUCAUUCUUGUUGAUCCGAUAGACUCUGACCCAGAUGACAUUUCUGUAAUCUCCACUAUUCAAGAAAUGAACCACAUUCGUCCCAAACUUCUUGGUCCAUCAGUAAAAGUUUCAGUCAUCUCUUCUCAAUUCCAUAAACUUGUCUCAGUCAUCAGUUUCCUUGAUACUGGCGCACAGCACAGUAUGCUUAAUCCCAGAAUCCUUCCUCUGGAUUAUUGGGAAAACCACACUGAAUACUUCAGAGCUGCAAAUGGAAAAGUUUUUGAAACAUCUCUUAUUACCAAAAAACCCAUUGGUAUCCAGUUCUUUGCCAACUAUAUCAUUUGGCAAAAGAUUGUUGGUUCAGAUUUACCAGACAAAGAUCUCCUUAUCGGAUUUGAUAUACUUCAACUGGUAAAAAACCUUUUCAUUACACCAAUAGGCAUUAAAUUCAAACCAAUGUUCAUGCCUUAUACAGAUGUCCUCCAUCUGUAUACAAUGUUAGAUACAACUCCUCCUUAUACCUCUAUUUCCCAAAAGUUCCUAGAACUCUGUCCUGAAAAUCACUCCCAUUUCACUCACCCACCACAACUCUGGAAAAAUCCACAGUUUUUCAUCCAUCUUCCUUUCAAACUUAAUGAAGAUGUCAAUCCUACCAAAGCCACUCAUCCGGGCAUGCCUCCCCCUGAUCUCAUUCUCGCCAAGCAAGAAUGCCUUCAAUUGCUUCGGCAAGGUCUCAUAGAACCUACUACUUCAGAUUGGGCUUGUCAAACUUUCUAUGUUGAAAAACGAUAUGAAUUAGUUUGUCGAAAAAAGAGAUUAGUCAUUGAUUACCAGCCACUCAAUGCUUUCCUUAAAGAUGAUAAAUUUCCUCUCCCCAAGAUCCAGUCCCUAUUCAUUCAUCUUCAAGGUGCAAAGGUAUUUUCAAAGUUUGAUCUCAAAGCUAGUUUUUGACAACUUGGUAUUUCCCCAGAAGAUCGUCCCAAAACAGCCUUCUGUAUCCCUGAUGCUCAUUAUCAGUGGACAGUUCUACCCUUCAGUCUCAAAGUUGCUCCAUCCUUAUUUCAAAAAGCAAUCGUUAAGAUCUUUUCUCCAAUCCUCCAUCAUGCUUUGAUCUAUAUUGACGACAUCCUGUUGUUUUCCCAUGACCACCAAACACAUCAACAACUCCGUUCAGAUUUCCUAGAAAUCGUGCAGACACAUGGCAUCAUGCUUUCUGAAAAGAAAAGCAGCAUAAGAAAGGAAUCUAUUGACUUUCUUGGCAUGGUCUUAAAAGAUGGUCACUACCAUCUAGGACCACACAUCGCAGCAGAAUUAAUAAAGUUUCCUAACAUCGAUCUCACCAAAAGGCAAAUUCAACAGUUCCUUGGAAUUGUCAAUUAUGUCAGAGACUUUAUUCCCAAAGUUACGGUCCAUACCAGCUAGCUAUCCUGCAUGCUAAAAAAGAUAGCUCAGACAGAUGCUGUAAAGCAACUAAAAAAGAUAGCCCAGUCACCUAAUCCACUCAAAAUUCCCACUACCGGACAACUCAUUCUCCAGACAUAUGCUAGUGAUGACUUUUGGAGUGAUAUCCUCCUGGAAAAGAUCGGUGACUCCGAGUCCUAUUGCGCUCAUGCAAGUGGACAAUUCAAAGAUUCAGAAAAGAAUUACCACGUCAUUUACAAGGAAAUUCUUACGGUAAAAUAUGAAAUCAAAAAGUUUGAAUUUCAUCUCAUCAGCCACAAAUUCCUCAUCAGAAUGGACAACAGUUCUUUUCCAAAGAUCUUUAACUUCAAGAACAAAUUGCUUCCUGACAAGCAAUUGCUGAACUUAAAGACAUGAUUUGCAAAAUACGAAUACACAGUUCAACACAUCAAAGGUGAUAAAAAUCUUAUCCCUGAUUUCCUCACCCGACCAUCUAUAAAAAGCCAUGUUCUCAUCUCUUCUAUCCAAACCAUCCCACUUAUAGCCAUGUAUCGAACACUCCCCUUCAAAGCUUUCACUCAAAAAGCUUUCCCUCUAAACCUCACUUUUAGUUCAGCCUUCCAAAUCUAAAGCUUUGCAAAGAAGCUCAUUUAUAGGUAUUUCAUGAAUGUUCACAGAACCAAACCCGAAAUGUUUCCCUCUCUAUGCCCAAAACACUUGUUCCUCUCUGGUUUCACCAUUGUUCCCCGUCUCACCAUCUCUAAAGAUGAGUUAUGGUAUAUGUGGUGUCUCACAGUCCUGUUUGCUAUAAAACUUGUUCUUCCUAUCUGCCAUACCCUUCGGCAUAUCUCCACACCCUAACAUGCACCCACACUUCUCUGGACACUCCUCGAAUGGUUUUCACCACUCACUUGGUGGCGUAAACAAUUACAAAAUAUAUCUAACUUUCAUCAGUUAGAUCGAAUUCCAGAUCAAGAAGUAGAUAUGUUUACUUCGGUAUUCAUAGUCCACAUGCCAUAUUUCCAGCAUCCUUAGAAAAAAGACUACUGGACACAGGACAUGGCGUAUGAAUGGAAAACAUUCCCUCAUCCUUUCCCUCUUGACCAUGAUCCAACAAUCAUCUCCACCCUCAAAGCUUACUUGUUAGAGCUCAACAAUAUCCCACCUGCUCCAACAGACAUUCACCACACCUCCAUUGGUCCUUCUCACACUCUUGAGAUUCUGCCAGACACUCAAAUAUGUACUCCAAGUUCCAGUUCCAGUCCUCAUGGCAUUCUUGUUCGAGAACAACGACCUGAUUACACCAAUGCUCUCUUUCAAGACACUCAAGACCCUUGGGCAGACUUUCAGUCUUUAUUAUAAACCCAAGAGACUCAGUACACAGUCACUGAACCAGGCUCUUCGUCUACUCUAGCUCAAGCUCAACGACCAGCAAGCCCCGAAUUAGAUGAAGACAUCCUGAUUUACCAAGAAAUCCAAAGAGCAAAGGAAGAAUAUGAAAAUGAAACUGGUGACGUGCCCCCAUCCAGAUUUCCCUUAACUCUAUAAUCGCCUCACAUGGCUACAGAGUCAUCUGGAAACCUCAGCUUUUCCUGAUUUCAAUAAAAGACAUGGGUCCUACCUUGAUUUAAUUAUGGUUUGCUUAAAGAAAAGAUAAGGAUCAUGUCCUAUCUUUAUCUUUAUUUUUAUUUUAACUUUCCAGCUCUAUUUAAGAGCUCUUCCGUCCUUGUAAAAUUCAGAUUGCCAUCAAUAAUAUUUCUAAGUUUUCUUAAACUUCUAUGGCUUUCUAAGUCUCUCUUCUUCUUCUUCUAGGUAAUGAAGAAAAUACUUGAGUUAUUAAACUAAGAGCGUUCAUCUCUAUUUUCUAUACUGUGUAUCAGAAAAGUCCUGAUUUAUUUAUAAAACCAAUUUAAAAUAAAACUGUUUUCUCACAACAUUCACCCUCUUUGAAGGUCAGAGGUGACCAGUUUUCGGGUGGUAUCGUGAUCAAUGAUUUUUGCUUUUUUAGGUUUUAUAUCUCAAGUACUAUAGGUAUAUCAGCUGGAAACCAGAACUUGCGGACUACUGGUCCUAAGGAUAGUCUAGCACUAUCAUAGUUCAGGUGUAACAACGCCAUGUACCUGUAUUUGGGUAGAAGGUUAACAAGACACUGCCAACAUGGAGUGUGGUUAGAACAGUGCCAAUAACAGCAUGUUGAUACUGUUUGAACCUUGUAUCAAGGAGGGCAAUUCUUGCUGCGACAGGUAAGCCUUUUCAGCCAUGUAAGGUGAGGAUAAGCCAGACACCACCUAAAUGGAGGUGUGUAUAUCCUUCUCGUUUCCAGUUAGUUACGAGAUUUGUUGGAAUUUCCAUGGUGACAUAUUGUUCACUUUGAUAGGCUUGGAGAGCACACUAAUCAAGUCGUGAAGACUGGAUGUACUCUUUAGGAAGAGGCCUUUUUGUGGAGAUCAGGGUUUGGAUACUUCAAGUGAAGGAAGUUUUUUGUUUGUAAAGAUGGUAUGGACUCAUAACAGGGAACUGGGACUCAUUAAUCUGGGUAGAUUCAGGAAUAUACGAGUAUUCAACAAGAUUUUCUAUUUUGGAUGCGACAUGUUUUUUACAAGAAUGAGGUAAAGAAAGAGUAGAAGAGAGAGAAAUAUGAGAGGAUUUUGAUGAAGUUAUGUUGGAUGAAGAAGAUGCCAUAUUUGAUAGAGUUUCUUCUAGGUGUUAAAUAAUAAUACUUGAGAACUAAACCAUGAUACCACCUCUAGAAAAUAGUCGCUUGGCUCUGAUACCACUGGGUGAACACAGGUACGUGGCAUUGUUACACAUGAACUAUGAUAGCGCCAGCCUAUCCUUAGGACCAAUAGUCCGUAAGUUCUAGUUUCCAGCCGAUAUACCUAUAGUACCUGAGAUAUAAAACCUAAAGAACCAAAAACCAUUGAUCACGAUACCACCUGAAAACAGGUCACCUCUGACCUUCAAAGAGGGUGAACGUUGUGAGAAAACAAUUUUAUUUUAAUAAAUCAGGACUUUUCUGGUACAAAGGAUCCUUGAAGCAAGGCAAGUGUAGAGCAUACUCAGUAUAGAAAAUAGAGAUGAACGCUAUUAGUUUAAUAACCAACUCAAGUAUUUUCUUCAUUACCUAGAAGAAGAAAAGAGACUUAGAAAGCCAUAGAAGUUUAAGAAAACUUAGAAAUAUAAUUGAUGGCAAUUUGAAUUUUACAAGGACGGAAGAGCUCUUAAAUAGAGCUGGAAAGCUAAAAUAAAGACAAAGAUAAAGAUAAGACAGGACCUUUAUCUUUUCUUUAAGCAAACCAUAAUUAAAGCAAAAGCAAAAGCAUAAAAGCUAAAACACACUUUAGACAAGGUAGGACCCAUGUCUUUUAUUAAAAGCAGGAAAAGUCGAGAUUUCUGGAUGACUCUGUAGCCAUGUGAGGCGAUUAUGGAGUUGAGGGAAAUCUGGAUGGGGACACGUCACGGGUUUCAUUUUCAUAAUCUUCUUUUGCUCUUUGGAUUUCUUGGUAAAUCAGGAUGUCUUCAUCUAAUUCGGGGCUUGCUGGUCAUUGAGCUUGAGCUGGAGCAGACAAAGAGCCUGGUUCAGUGACUGUGUACUGAGUCUCUUGGGUUUGUAAUAAAGACUGAAAGUCUGCCCAAGGGUCUUGAGCGUCUUGAAAGAGAACAUUGGUGUAGUCAGGUCGUUGUUCUCGAACAAGAAUCCCAUGAGGACUGGAACUGGAACUUGGAGUACAUAUUUAAGUGCCUGGCAAAAUCUCAAGAGUGUGAGAAGGACCAAUGGAGGUGUGGUGAAUGUCUGUUGGAGCAGGUGGGAUAUUGUUGAGCUCUAACAAGUAAGCUUUGAGGGUGGAGAUGAUUGUUGGAUCAUGGUCAAGAGGGACAGGAUGAGGGAAUGUUUUCCAUUUAUACGCCAUAUCUUGUGUCCAGUAGUCUUUUGUUUGAGGAUGGUGGAAAUAUGGCCUGUGGACUAUGAAUAUCGAAGUAAACAUAUCUGCUUCUUGAUCUGGAAUUUGAUCUAACUGAUGAAAGUUAGAUAUAUUUUGUAAUUGUUUACGCCACCAAGUGAGUGGUGAAAACCAUUCGAGGAGUGUCCAGAGAAGUGUGGGCGCAUGUUCAGGUGUGGAGAUAUGCCGAAGGGUAUGGCGGACAUGAAGAACAAGUUUUGUAGCAAACAGGACUGUAAGACACCACAUAUACCAUAACUCAUCUUCAGAGAUGGUGAGACUGGGAACAAUGGUGAAACCAAAGAGGAACAGGUGUUCUGGGCAUAGAGAGGGAAACCUUUCUGGUUUGGUUCUGUGAACAUUCAUGAAAUACCUAUAAAGGAACUUCUUUGCAAAGCUUUGGAUGUGGAAGGCUGAACUAAAAGUGAGGUUUAGAGGGAAAGCUUUUUGAGUGAGAGCUUUGAAGGGGAGUGUUCGAUACAUGGCUAUGAUUGGGAUGGUUUGGAUAGAAGAGAUGAGAACAAGGCUUUUUAUAGAUGGUCGGGUACGAAAAUCAGGGAUAAGAUUUUUAUCACCUUUGAUGUGUUGGAUUGUGUAGUCGUAUUUUGCAAACCAUGUCUUUAAGUUCAGCAAUUGCUUGUCAGGAAGCAAUUUGCUCUUGAAGUCAAAGAUCUUUGGAAAAGAACUAUUGUCCAUUUUGAUGAGGAAUUUGUGGUUGAUGAGAUGAAAUUCAAACUUUUUGAUUCCAUAUUUUACCGCAAGAAUUUCCUUGUAAAUGACGUGGUAAUUCUUUUUUGAAUCUUUGAACUGUCCACUUCUAUGAGCGCAAUAGGACUUUGAGUCAUCGAUUUUUUCCAGGAGGAUAGUACUCCAAAAGUCAUCACUAGCAUCUGUCUGGAGAAUACGUUGUUCGGUAGUGGGAAUUUUGAGUGGAGGAGGUGACUGGGCUAUCUUUUUGAGUUGCUUUACAGCAUUUGUCUGAGCUGGACCACAUGGUGGAGCUGUCUUUUUGAGCAUGCAGGAUAGCUGGCUGGUAUAGACCACAACUUUAGGAAUAAAGUCUCUCACACAAUUGAUAAUUCCAAGGAACUGUUGAAUUUGCCUUUUGGUAAGAUCAAUGUCAGGAAACUUUAAAAAUUCUGCUGCAAUGUGUGGUCCUGGAUGGUAGUGGCCAUCUUUUAAGAGCAUGCCAAGAAAGUCAAUAGAUUCCUUUCCUAUGCUACUUUUCUUUUCAGAAAGCAUGUUGCCAUGUGUCUGCACGAUUUCCAGGAAAUCUGAAAGGAGUUCUUGAUGUGUUUGGUGGUCAUGGGAAAACAACAGGAUGUCGUCAAUGUAGAUCAAAGCAUGAUGGAGGAUCGGAGAAAAGAUCUUAACCAUUGCUUUUUGAAAUAAUGAUUAAGCAACUUUGAGACCGAAGGGUAGAACUGUCCACUGAUAAUGAGCAUCAGGCAUACAGAAGGCUGUUUUGGGACGAUCUUCUGGGGAAAUACCAAGUUGCCAAAAACUAGCUUUGAUAUCAAACUUUGAAAAUACCUUUGCACCUUGAAGAUGAAUGAAUAGGGAUUGGAUCUUGGGGAGAGGAAAUUUAUCAUCUUUANNNNNNNNNNNNNNNNNNNNNNNNNNNNNNNNNNNNNNNNNNNNNNNNNNNNNNNNNNNNNNNNNNNNNNNNNNNNNNNNNNNNNNNNNNNNNNNNNNNNGAGGAGCUGUAUCUGACAACGUAUACAGACGGAGGACAUCUGUAUAAGUCAUGAACAUUUGUUUGAAUUUAAUGUCUGUUGGUGUAAUGAUGAGGUUUUUUACCAGUUGAAAUAUAUCAAAUUCGAUAAGGAGAUCUUUGUCUGGUAAAUCUGAACCAACAAUCUUUUGCCAAAUGAUACACUUGGGAAAUAACUGGAUACCAAUAGGUUUUUUUGGUAAUAAGAGAUGUUUCAAAAACUUUUCCAUUUGCAGCUUUGAAGUAUUCAGUGUGGUUUUCCUAAUAAUCCAGAGGAAGAAUUCUGGGAUUGAGCAUACUGCGCUGUGCGCCAGUAUCAAGGAAACCAAUGACUGAGACAGGUUUAUGGAAUUAAGAAGGGAUGACUGAAAUUUUUACUGAUGGACCAGGAAGUUUGGGACGAAUGUGGUUCAUUUCCUGAAUAGUGGAGAUGACAGAAAUGUCGUCUGGAUCAGAGUCUGUCGAAUGAGCAAGAAUGAAAGCUGUAUGCUCAUCUUGCUCGGACUGUUCGGAGAAGAUGGAUUCAACGCCUUCUUAUCAAGGCAUAACAUUCUGAGAUUGUGCAUUGGGACUAGUCAUUUGUACAUCAACCCAAGUAGCAAAUUCUUGAUGUUGAGCCUGCCAUUUAUGACGAGGGAUGUCAUCAAAUGUAAACCAUGGAGAAGAGAUAGUUUGGAAGAUUUUUCAGAAACCGGAGGAACUGGUGGAACCGGUUCUGUUUGAGAGCCUUGGACAUCAUCAUUAUUAUCAUCAAAAUAUUCAUCGACAACAGGAGUGGAGGUACUAGGAUCUUCUGUUUUUUUGGCCAUGAGGAGACCUGAAAUAUCCGCAUAUUGAGACUCUGAAUCUGAAGAAGUUUGUUCAGAUGGGCUGGAAUCUGAGGAAGAUAAACUUUCUUCUGAGGUUGAAUCGAAGUCAUUGUUGGGAGUGUCAAUCUGUUGAUAAUGGUAUUGGGAAGCUGGAGCUUUAUCUUUCUUUGGAGGUUCAGGUUUAGGAGUUGCUUUAGGAGUUUUUGGUGGUGGCACGGGAGGAAUAUUAUAGAGAUGGGAGAGACCAAAAAACUGAUUAUAGGUUGACUGUUUAGGAGUGUAAAAUGGCUGGUAUGAAGUGAAUAGUGGUGCUGGGAUAGGUAUGGACUGGGUUUUGGUGAAAAGAGAAGGUUGUACUUUGUCAGCAUCAAUUCUAGCCAAUUCUGGCUUUAGCUGUAUGAUCUCUACUUCUUUUUUAUUGAAUUUGGGACCCCAAAUACGAUUGUUGAUCAUCGUUCUAAGAUCAAUAUCCAAUUCAGAGAUUCUGUUAUGCAUAUUUGAAUAAAUUUGUUCAAGCCGGGAAAUAAUAGUGUCCACCUUUGUUAUGUUUGUGACACAUGUGAUGCCACUUUAUCAAUCUUUUUUCCAAGAUGAUGGAGAGCUUGAUUUUGAGCACUGGCAUUUUGCGUUUGCCAGUUAAGCACUGCCUCAUACUGCUUUAGUGCUUCUAGUGUGCCAGAGGUUGUGAUUGGUGAUUGGACAUGGGGUUGAGAAACAACUUUGGUUUAAGGGUCGGUGUUCCGUUCAAGUGGAGGAAAAAAUUCUUGGUAUGAUUGGCUAGAAGAUGAGAACAUCAAGCAUGACUUGAUUUUUGGUUGAGCAGGAACAAGCUUAUAUGAGGAUUCUCGUUGGAGUUGCUUGAGUGAUUUCUUGUAAAUGGGUAAUGGUUGGUCAGAUCCUGGAUCAUCUGGAGGUUCUAGGCGAUAGGGUCGGCAUGGUGGUUUGGGAGGAGGAGGUUUUUCUUUCUCCUUCUCCGUCUUAUGUUUUCAAAGUCUUCAUCAUCUGUGUCAUCCAGGCAGGGACAAUAUGGAUUACACAUAUGGGCUUCUGGAACAACCCAUAAGAAAUGAUCGUUGACUUUGUCCGGGUAUACUGGAUAUCCUUCUGAGGAAAAUCUAUAGAUUGGAAGAUUUGGCUCUUGUCCAGUAGAGGUGAAUUGGUAGACAUACAUGAAAAUGCAGGUGAUAUUACUAAACUUCAUGCUAAGUAUAGAACGAAACAAAUAGGAAUCGAAAUCUUAGUAGUUAAUGAUAGACUAAUGGUGUUGAGAGCUGUGAUGAUGAUUCUAAAAUCUUGUUCAGUUUAUUUCUUCUAACAAUCAUUUUAUGUCCCACAAGUACCACUUACAUUAAUGCGAUGUAUUUCCAUGCCCUGAAAAAUGUACAGUCCAUUACGAAAAAAAUGGAUUAUAUGUGCUUUAACUUUCACAUGCACCAACCUUCACCACAUACCAACCUUUCUAUACACCCUCUACCUCUAGGCAACCUAUAGACUAUGCCAAAUUCUUUGGCCUAUCGCAUCUCAAACAUGCUCCAACUCCUGCUCCUCCUAAACCACGGUCUAAACCUACUAAGACUGCACCACGUCCAGCUUACCACCAACCUUCUGAUCCACAAUUUUCUCCACAAUCAUCUCCAGAACCUCAAUCUAUUCAGAAGAACAAAGAACCUAUGCAUCAAUACUCAUCCCAGAUCCUGCCUCACCCUUCAGAAUCAGAAGAAACCUCCACUGAUGAGGAAUCCUUUUCUUCAGAAUCCUAUUCUUCUUCCUCCAACUUUGAAAAUAGCUUAGCUGAUAUCUAUAAGCUUCUGAUGGUCCAACCAUCAACUGGGUCCAAUGAUCCUUCUCCCUCCUCACCUUCUCAAACACCUAUAGUUGAGGAAGCAGAUUCUGACACCAAUCCUACACCUCAUCACGAAAAUUCUUCUUCUAAACCUUCCAAUGGCCCAUGGUUUACUUUUGAUGACAUUCCAAGAAAAAAAUGGCUAGCCAGGUUUCAAGAAUUUUCUGCCUGGAUUGAUGUUCAGAUGCUUAGAACUGGAGCAACGCCCCAAACCGUCCUUCAGGAGUUCAGUUCUCGUUUUAUGGGAUCUUUAAGAGAUUGGUUUGAAAGUUUAGGCCAAUAUAGGCAACUCCAGUUAAUCCAACCUGAAAUCCUCCAAGUUCUUGGGCUUAUAUAUGACCAGUUCCUUAGAGAAGCCACAACGGCUAAUGAACAAACAAGAAGAGAAUAUCAUUAAAUGAAGUGUUGUUUUCUCCAGACAAAAGAUUUGAAUUUUCACUAUAAGAGAAUGUCUACAAUGUAUUACAAACUCAAUGACUUUAAAAAUCCUUCAUUGAAGCAUGUCUUCGUAACAUUUCUUCCUAAAGAAAUACAGCCAGAACUUCAGAGGCAGUUUCACAGUCCAUCAGUUGGACAUAACCAACCUCGCUUUGGGAAAAAUCUACCAGUUAGCAGUUAAUUGUCUGGAAAGACUUUGUGAACAGAAGGAAUUCUUCAAAUACCCUCAUGGAAACAGCAGCCUUUCAAAGUGCUUGUAAAAUAUUCCAUAUUUCCAUUAAGUACAAAGAAGAAAAAAGAUUGCACUUGUUCAAUAAAAAAGAAUCUCAUUUCUAGAAAUUUCAGAAUCCAGAAAAGAAAAGUCAAACCUCUUCCAGAUCUAGAUACAAAAAACCUUACCGAUUCUUCAGAAAAAAUAACCAUGACCAAUCCUCUAAAUCCAAAAGUAGUCGUUGUUUUAUCUAUAAAAGGAAAGGGCAUUUCGCGAGAAAUUGUCCAAAUAGACCUGCAACAUCAUCAGAACGUGAUGAUGUUGAAUCCUUUCUCUCUGAAUAAGAAGAAUAUGAUGAACAAACAGCAUUUGUCCUUAUUGAAACAGAAGAUCAUUCUGAGUUUGAGAAUGUUUCUGUAAUUCAAACUAUACAAUAAAUCCAGAAAGUCCAACCAGCCAUUCAUAUCCCUUCUAUCAAGAUCCAUAUUCUCCCCGAAAAAUUUGGCAAACCAGUUCCCAUCAUAGGAUUUGUUGAUACUGGAGCUCAAAAAAGUAUGCUUAAUCCUUUAAUUUUCCCAUCCCAUUUCUGGGAAAAACAUACAGAAUAUUUCAGAGCAGCUAAUGGAGAACUGUUUCAUACAAAUCUUAUUACCAAAAAAUCCAUUGGUAUUUAAUUCUUUCUAGGAUAUGUUCUUUGGAUAAAACUUGUUGAAUCCAACCUUCCUGACAAAGAUUUGUUAAUUAGGUUUGAUAUUCUUUACCUGGUUAAAAAGCUUUAUAUCACAGCUUCUAGAAUCUAUUAUAAACAUAUGUUUCAACCUUAUACGGAUACCCUGAGAUUGUUCUCUAUCUCAAGCUCUCAUCCUUCAUUUGAUCCUCUCAAAUCACGUUUUCUUCUUCAUUGUCCAGAAAGUCAUAGUCAAUUCCUUCAUUCGGCCCCUCUAUGGAAAAAUGAAAGCUUCUUCAUUAAGCUCCCUUUCAAGCUUAACGAAGACGUUAACCCAACCAAAGCUACCCAUCCAAGAAUGACCCCGACCAACCUGAAACUAGCCCAAGAAGAAUGUUCUCAGUUGCUAAAAUAAGGCCUCAUUGAGCCCACAGGUUCAGAAUGGGCUUGUCAAGCUUUUUAUGAAAAAGGUCUGAAAUAGUUAGAGGAAAAAAAUGUCUUGUCACUGAUUACCAGCCUCUCAACUAUUUUCUUAGAGACGAUAAGUUCCCCUUGCCAAAAAUCCAAUCCUUAUUUGUUCAUAUCCAAAAUGCUAAGAUUUUCUCAAAAUUUGACCUUAAAGUAAGUUUCUGGCAAUAAGGAAUCCACCCUGAUGAAGACCUCAAAAAGCUUUUUGCAUUCCAAAUGCCCACUACCAAUGGAGAGUAAUGUCAUUUGGCUUUAAGGUAGCCCCCUCACUUUUCCAAAAGGCCAUGAUCAAGAUCUUUGAACCAAUCCUUCAUUAUGCACUUAUCUAUAUAGACGACGUGUUAUUAUUCUCCAACGAUCAUGAUUCCCAUCAACAAUUACUUUCCCACUUUCUUGAGAUAUUGGAAACAUAUGGCAUAAUGUUGUCUAACAAAAAGAGUAUCUUAGGUCAAGACUCUAUAACCUUUCUCGGCAUGACUCUAAAAGAUGGAUACUAUAGUCCUGGUCCACACAUAGCCUAGGAACUCACUCAUUUUUUAGAUGAACAUUUGUCAAAAAAGCAAAUUCAGCAAUUCCUAGGUAUCAUCAAUUACCUUCGGGAAUUCUUUCCACAUGUAGAUGUUCACACCAGCCAACUUUCAAAGAUGCUCAAAAAAUCAGCCCCACCAUGGGGCCCCCCUUAGGCUACUGUUGUCCAACAUCUCAAGCAGAUUGCUCAGCAUCCUCUUCCAUUGAGAAUCCCCACUGAGGUCAGAGGAUUCUUUAAAUUGAUGCAGGUGAUGAAUACUGGGGAGCCAUCUUUUUGGAAAAACAUGAUGGCAAAGAAUCUUACUGUGCUCACGUCAGUGGACAAUUCAAGGAAUCAGAAAAGCACUACCAUGUGAUCUACAAAGAAAUCUAGCCGUUAAAUAUGGAAUUCAAAAAUUUGAAUUUCAUCUUAUUGGCCAUAAUUUCCUUGUCAUAUUAAUAAGGUCUCCCAAAAAAGCAUCUCCUCCGACUCAAAACAUGGUUCUUAAAAUAUGACUUCACAGUCCAGCACAUAAAAGGAGACCAGAACCUCAUCCCUAAGAGUCUCUUUUGCCUCAGUUCCAGUCAUCUUCAUGGCCCUUACUUUACCCAACACAGCUUUGACAAAAAAGUCCUUCCCUUGCAAUCUCACUUUCUCCAGUCCUUAUCAUAUCCAAGAUUUUGCAAAGAAAUUUAUUUUUUGAUAUUUCAUGAAUAUCUAUCGCACCCAAACAUCCGGAUUUCCAAGCUUUCAUCCAGAUCACCUCUUUCUUACAAGCCUAAAGAUCAAUCCCUCCAGGGAUGUCACAGAAAAUGAAUUGUGGUAUAUAUAGUGUCUUAUCGUCUUAUACGCCACCAAACUAAUCUUUCAUGUACAACCAAUGUUUCGGUAUCUCACCGAUCCAAACUAGGCUCACUCUCUCACAUGGACACUUUUUGAAUGGUUCUCCCCUCUCUCCUGGUGGAGAAAACAAUUUGAUCUCAUAAUCAAGCAUCACCACAUUAAUCUCCUUCCUGAUCAAGAAGGUGAACAGUUCACCUCAGUCUUUAUUGUCCAUCGUCCUUAUUUCUAGCACCCUGUUACCAAGCUCGUUUGGACUCAGGAUCAAGCUUAUGAAUGGAAGAUUGUUCCCCAUAGUUUUCCUCUAGAUCAUGAUCAUAACCUUGUCUCUACCCUAAAACAAUACCUCUUUGAACUAAACAAUGUCCAGUCCUCUCCUAUUGACAUCCAGCACACCUCCCUUGGACCACAACAUGAACUCAUGAUCAUCCCUACCACCAAGUCACCUUCAUCCAGUAAUCCUCCUCCCUCUGGGAUUUUGAUUAAAGAAGAAAAGCCUAAUUUUAUAGAUAUCCUCUUUCAUGAUUCACAAGACCCAUGGGAAGAAUUCACCUCAAUUCUGCAUCCCACUAAAACAUCUCAUGCUCCCUCUACAAGUAUUGUUCUACCGACAAAUUCACCUACCCGACAAUAUUAUGAGAACUUGCCUUGGUGGAAAGAGCCAUUUGCUGAAGUUGACAGUGAUGUUGACAACUUAUCUCCCUCGCACAGUUUUUAAAGAAUUUUGUAAUAAUUGCUUUUGCUUUCGUAAAAGCAAAGUGUUUGCUUUACUUUAUCUUUACUUUAAAGCAUCUUCCAUUUGCUUUGUCUUUAACUUAAAAUCCAAAAAGACAGGGGACCUAUCCUGUCGGGAAUCUUUUGCUUUUGCUUUUGUAAAAGAUGAUAAGGCUUGUUUCGUCCUCUUCCUUUGAAUUUUUCUAUAUAAGGAGAAUUCAUUCUCAGUUGUAAGCACCUCAGAUUUUGGGAAAUAAUAAUUUGAGUUUUCCAAUAUCAUGACUUUCUAAAAAUUCUCUCUUUUCCUUUAUUUCCCUAAGAAGGACAACAGGUUCUCAUAAUAGUUCACUUCAAUCUCUUUAAACGAGUAUGCUUUGUACUCGCCUCUUUGUAGGAUCUUGUGCAUUAGAAAGUUGUUUGGCUUUGAAAUUGAUCCAACCAACCACAGUUCAUCAUGUAUUAUAGCCAAGGAGUGGCUUCACCAUUGGGUGGUAGUGGUUGACCGACUGGUAUUAGAGAGAAACCAGUGACAUAUAUUCUGAUGGUCAUCCCAAAUGGGGACUAGAUCAGUUUGCACUACUGGUAUAACAAGCCACGUACAAUUAUUUUCUAUCUUUGAGCAUAAUGUUUUUUAUUAAAAUGAAGUGGUAAAUAUGAGAUCUGUUUGUCUUGAAUAGGUAAAUAAAGGAAAAUCUGAAACAAAAUGGCAUCUUCAUCAAAUAGUAUAGAUAAUCUUGCUCCUGUUUCUCUUUCUUCAACCCUCUCACUUCCAAAAUCUUGUUCUAAACAUGUGGCUUCAAAAAUAGAAAACAUUGUUGAGUAUUCAUAUGUCCCAACGUUAGCCCAAAUUAGUGAAUCUUCCAUGCCUUUCAUUAGCCCAUAUAGGCUGUAUCAAUGAUCAAAUUCCUUAACCAGAAGUAUUCGAACCCUAAUUUCAACCAAAAGACCUGCUCCUAAAGAAUAUAUCCAGUCAUCUUGACUAGACCAGUGUGCUCUUCAAGCAUUACAGGCAGAACAAUAUGUCACCCUUGAAAUUCCACUAGAGCUUGUGGCCUAGUGGAAAAGAGAAUGAUACACACACCUCUACCUUAGAGGAGUUUGUUUGAUUCUCACCCUUCACGGGAGGAAAGGCUUACCACUGUCACAGCCAGACUGGCUUUAUUAGACACCCGAUUCAAAGAAUACCAGCAUGCAAUCAUAGGAAUAGUCUGACUACUUUACAUGCAGUAAGUGUUCUUUUUACCUUUUAUCCAAAUUUUAACCUCUCACUUGAUGAUCUAAAUCUACCAACUACUCUGAAAGUUUAGAUCCAGAUCCAAGGAGCUGAACAAAUAGUUUCUUCCAAAAUGGCAAGCUUACACCACCAGUUGGUGUACCACCUACAAAAUCAUGCCCUUGACCUUCCCACACCUCAAACCACAUUAGAUGCACUGAUGAUUCUUGCAGAUUCCUCAGAAAGCAUACCUUCCAUAGUCCAAAUUCCAAGACAAAUACAAAAGCAAGAGCUUCUUAAGCUCAUGCCCCUUGAAUAGCUUUCCAAUUAUGAGAAAUUCCAUCAAAACUCCCAGCCAGUCCAAACAACUGAUGCUCAUUUUGAAAAAAGAGCAGAUGGAACUGUAAAAUUGACUUUUCAAUCACCAUCCACUUCCCAGACACCCAUUGUUUCCCAUCCAUCCUCUGAACAAUCAACACCCAGCAACUCUUUUUCAUACUCCUCCAUGAUCACAGCCGUAUCUACGGUACAAGAAAAUCUUCCCAUCCACGAAUCUGCCUCAGAUGACUAUCCGAUCUACCCGGACAAAAUCAAUGGUCAUUUUUUAUGGGAUGUUCCAAGUUCCCGUAUGUGUGAUCCAAAUUGUCCUUGCCUCGAAGAAGAGGAAGACGAUGAUGAUUUCAAUAGACGUCCCAAGCGACGUAAAAAGAACAGCCACAAAUUGGAUCCAUGUCACAAAAAACCUCCUCUGCCUCCAGAUGCCUUUACCCAUUUAUAGAAAAGGCUUAAGGCUUAUACAAAAAGAGUAUAAAGAAAGAUCAUAGACNNNNNNNNNNNNNNNNNNNNNNNNNNNNNNNNNNNNNNNNNNNNNNNNNNNNNNNNNNNNNNNNNNNNNNNNNNNNNNNNNNNNNNNNNNNNNNNNNNNNNNNNNNNNNNNNNNNNNNNNNNNNNNNNNNNNNNNNNNNNNNNNNNNNNNNNNNNNNNNNNNNNNNNNNNNNNNNNNNNNNNNNNNNNNNNNNNNNNNNNNNNNNNNNNNNNNNNNNNNNNNNNNNNNNNNNNNNNNNNNNNNNNNNNNNNNNNNNNNNNNNNNNNNNNNNNNNNNNNNNNNNNNNNNNNNNNNNNNNNNNNNNNNNNNNNNNNNNNNNNNNNNNNNNNNNNNNNNNNNNNNNNNNNNNNNNNNNNNNNNNNNNNNNNNNNNNNNNNNNNAUUACGUACACCCAGACAAUCUUAGAGACCACCAACCUUCUGAUUCAUAAUUUUCUCCACAGUCAUCUCCAAAACCUCAAUCUAUUCAAAAGAACAAAGAGCCUAUGCAUCAAUCCUCAUCCCAGAUCCUGCCUCACCCUUCAGAAUCAGAAGAAACCUCCACUGAUGAGGAAUUCUUUUCUUCAGAAUCCUAUUCUUCUUCCUCCAACUCUGAAAAUAGCUUAGCUGGUAUCUCUAAGCUUCUGAUGGUCCAACCAUCAACUUGGUCCAAUCAUCCUUCUCCCUCCUCACCUCCUCAAACACUUAUAGUUGAGGAAGCAGAUUCUGAUACCAAUCCUACACCCCAUCAAGAAAAGUUUUUUUCUAAACCUUCCAAUGGCCCAUGGUUUACUUUUGAUGACAUUCCAAGAAAAAAAUGGCCAACCAGGUUUCAAGAAUUUUCUACUUGGAUUGAUGUUCAGAUGCUCAGAACUGGAGCAACGCCCCAAACAAUUCUUAAGGAGUUCAGUUCUCGUUUUACGAGAUCUUUAAGAGAUUGGUUUGAAAGUCUAGUGGGAAAGUAAUUGGUGAUGGGAAUCAUGAUCGUUGGAGAAUAAUAGCACAUCAUCUAUAUAGAUAAGUGCAUGAUGAAGGAUUGGUUCAUGACCUUUUGGAAAAGUGAGGAGGCUACCUUAAGGCCAAAUGGCAUUACUCUCCAUUGGUAGUGGGCAUUUGGAAUGCAAAAAACUGUUUUAGGUUUGUCAUCAGGGUGGAUUCCUAAUUGCCUGAAACUUGCUUUAAGGUCAAAUUUUGAGAAAACCUUAGCAUUUUGGAUAUGAACAAAUAAGGAUUGGAUUUUUGGAAAGGUGAACUUAUCGUCUCUAAGAAAACAGUUGAGAGGCUGGUAAUCAAUGACAAGACGUUUUUUUCCUCUAACUAUUUUAGACAUUUUUUCCACAUAAAAAGCUUGAAAAGCCCAUUCUGAACUUGUGGGCUCAAUGAGGCCAUGUUUUAGCAACUGAGAACAUUCUUCUUCGGCUAGUUUCAGGUCGGUCGGGGUCAUUCCUGGAUGGGUAGCUUUAGUUGGGUUAAUGUCUUUGUUAAGCUUGAAAGGGAGCUUAAUAAAGAAGCUUUCAUUUUUCCAUAGAGGGGCCGGAUGAAGGAAUUGACUAUGACUUUCUGGACAGUGAAGAAGAAAACGUGAUUUGAGAGGAUCAUAUGAAGGAGGAGAGCUUGAGAUAGAGAACAAUCUCAGGGUAUCCGUAUAAGGUUGAAACAUCUAUUUAUAACAGAUUCCAAAAGCUGUGAUAUGGAGCUUUUUAACCAGGUGAAGAAUAUCAAACUCGAUUAACAGAUCUAUGUGAGGAAGGUUGGAUCCAACAAGUUUUAUCCAAAGAACACAUCCUAAAAAGAAUUGAAUACUAAUGGGUUUUUUGAUAAUCAAAUUUGUAUGAAACAAUUCUCCAUUAGCUGCUCUGAAAUAUUCUGUAUGCUUUUCCUAAAAAUGGUAUGGGAGAAUUGAAGGAUUAAGCAUAAUUUUCUGAGCUCCAGUAUCAACAAAUCCUAUGAUGGGAACUGGUUUGCCAAUUUUUUCGGGGAGAAUAUGGAUCUUGAUAGAAGGGAUAUAAAUGGCUGGUUGGACUUUCUGGAUUUGUUGUAUAAUUUGAAUUACAGAAACAUUCUCAGACUCAGAAUGAUCUUCUGUUUCAGCAAGGACAAAGGCUAUUUGUUCAUCAUAUUCUUCUUGUUCAGAGAAAAAGGAUUCAACAUCAUCACGUUCUAAAAGUAACAUGGAAUCCUGGAGAUGUUCAAUAAGCCUGACUGAUUUCGUAGGUCUGUUUGGACAAUUUCUCGCGAAAUGCCCUUUCCUUUUACAGAUAAAACAGCGACCGCUUUUCCAAACCAACUAAUCACCAAGAAGCCAAUUGGUAUUCAGUUCUUUCCAAACUGUAUCCUUUGGAUCAAAAUUGUUGGAUCCAAUUUGCUUGAUAAGGAUCUUUUAAUCGGGUUUUAUAUGCUUCACCUAAUUAAAAACGUUCAUAUUACAACCUCUAGGAUUCGGUACAAACAAAUGUUUCAACCAUACACUGAUCUCCUGAGACUGUUCUCCAUCUCAAACUCUCCCCCUUUAUAUGACUGAUUCAAAACCCGGUUUCUUCCUUUCUGUCCUGAAAGCCAUAGCCAAUUUUCACAUCCAUCUCCAUUGUGGAAAAAUGAAGAUUUCUUCAUUAAGCUUAACGAAGACAUUAAUCCCACAAAAGCUACCCAUCCUGGUAUGACACCAUCUAAUCUUAAACUAGCCCAACAAAAAUGUUCUUAAUUGCUUCAACAAGGGCUUAUCGAGCCCACAAAUUUAGAAUGGACUUAUCGAGCCCACAAAUCAAGCCUUCUAUGUGGAAAAACGGUCUGAAAUAGUCCGAGGCAAAAAAUGUCUUGUCAUAGGUUAUCAGCCUCUUAACUGUUUCCUCCGUGAUGAUAAAUUUCUAUUGCCAAAAAUUCAGUUUUUGUUUGUCCAUAUUCGUGAUGCCAAGGUCUUUUCCAAAUUUGACCUUAAAGCUGGAUUCUGGCAACUAGGAAUCCAUCCAGUUGAUCGUCACAAAACUGUCUUUUGCAUUCUAAAUGCCCAUUAUCAAUGUAAUGCCAUUUGGUCUCAAAGUAGCUCCUUCACUUUUUCAAAAAACCAUGAUCAAAAUCUUUAAGCCCAUACUCCAUAAUGCACUUAUCUAUAUCGAUGAUGUGCUCUUAUUUUAUAAAGACCAUGACUCCCAUCAAGAUCUACUUUCCCACUUUCUCAAGAUAGUAAAAUCACAUGGCAUUAUGCUUUCUGGCAAGAAGAGCAUCCUAGGCCAAGACUCUGUAGAAUUCUUGGCAUGUUCAUUAAAGAUGGCCAUUACCACCCUGGUCCACACAUAGCUCAAGAACACUUGUCCAGGAGGGGUUUACCAUGCAAAAUACUCAUUCUAUGGUAAGUGGUAUUAGAGCCAAUGUUUGCACACACUCAAUCCAACUCAUGUUAGAACAAUAGCCAACCCGCCAAAUCUAAGCACAUCAUAAGAGACCACUAUUUGUGUGGAGCCAGUCACAUUCAAACUAAGACUCAUAGUAAGUCCAACACUACUUCCAUCAACGUUUUGGAACCUUGCAUUACCACACUUGAAGCCUUAAUAUCCACUGUAUAAGAAAACCUCUAAUGUUUAGAUGAAAGAGUUGAUGGUCUUAAGGGCGAGUAUGCUGACUUUACAGUGGCAACCAAGGCUUUAUUUAAAAGCAAGCUAACGCCAUUCAAGGGGAAUUUGUGACAUUCUACGAGGAGAUGCUCAAACUCUGUAGCUUCGUCCAAGACGAGCUACGAGCGAUCUAUGCGAAAAUGAAGGAAGUCCGCUCAAAUUAGGCUUGGCACAAUUUUGCACUCACACCUAGCUCGACCUCCACAAGCACGAGUGAUGAGUGCUGUAUCGAUGUGCUAAAAGCCUAAUACCUAUGAUGAUACACAAAAUGCCACUAUCGUAGAUAACUUCCUAUUCGGGCUAAACUAGUAUUUCGAUGCCAUGGGACUCCAAGAUGAGGCACCAAAAGUAGGCAAAGCACAUAUAUACUUCCAAAAUACAUAGAUAGAUUUCCAACAUGAACUCUGAAAGUAUUUUACCCCAAGUAAUGCUGAGAAAAAAGUAAGAGUGCCAUUGUCAACUCAAGCACAUGGCUAGUACUCGCGACUACAUCAAUGAGUUUACUACACUUAUGCUUGAGAUUAUCAAUAUGUCGAAGGAGUCCCUCUUUUACUUCUAAGACAGCCUCAAGGAUUGAGUUAAUAUGGAACUUGAUAUAAACAUGACAUCCAAUCUCUCAAUGGUACAAUUGUCGUUGAGGAAUCGUUAGCCGACUACUCUGCCCAAGUCAAGGAUAGAAGAUCUAAUCGAAGCAAAGAUAGGGGAGAAGGUGAUAAGGAUAAAGGCCACAAUUGCAAUUAUUGAUGGCAAAAAAAGCAUCUUAGCAGUGAAAGCGGGCAAAGCAACUCAGAUAAGAAGAAAAAGCUAACUAACCCUCAAAGCCUAUGCUUUAUUUACGACGACCUCUAUUGAGUACAAAACUCUGAAAAAGAAUUCAUUCAAUGCCCUCACAACACGACCUAAAGGCAACUCUACAUCAUUAACAAAGGAACCUCAGCCUAAUAUAGGCUCCUUCCAAUGUUGGCGCACUCAAGAGCCAUCCUCGAACACCCACACUAGUGAAAAAAUGGCUCAUGUCUGCAGUGCAACUAUUAACGGCCAAGUUGUAUAUAUGCUGUUAGACACCAGAGUAAUACAGAACUUCAUUUGAAAGAUGAGGCCAGGUGUCUAAGCUCAAAGCUACUAGGGAAGGAAGUAAAAUAAUAGUGGUAAACUCACCCACUAAGCUAAUCACAGGUACCGCAUAAGGUGUAUCACUCAGGAUGUGGAGCGAAAAACUUGACUUCUCCAUCAUGCCCAUGCAUGACCUUAAAAUAGUCCUUGGUAAGGAAUUCAUCAACCAAGUCCAUGCCUUCCUGUUGUUGGCCAUGAACUCCUUAAGCAUCUUUCACAGGAGUAAGGCAUACAUGGUCUCCACUGAGCACAUGAAGUUUAAAGAAAGGACACUUUCAGCUGUACAAUUUAAAAAGGCCUUUAAAAAGGACCCUAGCUCUUAGUUUCUAUCCAGGAGCUGAACGAGGGAGAAGAUUACAAAAACUCACCAACCUAAGCUCUUCUAUAAGUGUAAGUUAUCCUCAACGAGUUCAAGGACAUGAUGCCUCCACAACUUUUGAAGAAACUUCUACCUAAAUUAGAGUUAGAUCACGAGAUUAAGUAGGAGCAAGGCAUUAAACCUCUAGCCUUAGCACCAUACUAUAUGGCCCCACUUGAACUUAAAGAGAUGUAAAUAGCUCAGAUUUAUUGGACACUGGUUAUAUUUACCCAUUUAAGGCUCUGUUUGGUGCAACGUCCUUUUCUAAAAGAAGAAGAAUGGCUCUCUCUGUAUGUGCACCAACUCAUUCAACAAAACCAUUAUUAAGAAUAAGUAUCCAAUUCCUUUGGUAGCAGAUCUUUUUGAUAAACUUUAUAAAGGGCAGUACCUCACCAAGCUUGACUUACACUCUAGGUACUACCAGGUUUGUAUCACCAAGGGAGUUGAACCAAAGACGACAUGCAUCAUAAGGUAUGGAUCCUUCGAAUUCCUUGUCAUAUUAUUUGGCCUUACUAAUGCCCCGGCUAUAUUCUACAUACUUAUAAAUAAGGUUCUCCAACCAUUCUAUGACACCAUCGUGGUAAAUAGCACCACCUUGGAAGAACAUGCCCAACAUUGGUGACAAGUCCUCCAAGUACUAUAUGAUCUGUUCACUUAGUGAGAAGUGAAAUUCCUUGGUCAUAAAAUCAUAGAUAGGAAACUAAUGAAGAGAACUCCAUUGCCUCCCACUAAGGCGCCCAAGAUACGAUCAUUCCCCGAAUUGGUGAUUUACAACCACCGCUUCAUCAAAGGUUGCUUAGCUAAGGCGAACGUGGCAUUGGUCCAAUAUGCUAGCAAGUUUUCAAAGAUUUGAGAAAGGCUGCUUCAGUGGAACCUAUUCUCUCUUUUUCAAACCAUUUUAAGCGUUUCGAGGUUCAAACAGAUGCCUUAGAUUUCACUAUUGGCAGAGUCCUUAUACAAUAAGCCACCCCAAAACUUUUGAGAGUCCAACGCUAAACGUCAUAGAACAUUAUUAUACCAUAUAAAGGAAGGAGAUUAUUGUUAUCAUCCAUUACUUAUGAGUGUGGUAAUAAGACUUGUUUAGCUCGUACUUUAUAAUCAUGAUGGACAACGUAGCCACAAGCUACUUUAAAACUCAAAAGUUAAGCCCCAAGCAAGAUGGUAGUAAGACUUUUUUGCAAAUUUGACUAUCAACUUGAGUAUAAGUCGGGAAAGCCAACGUCAUAGCAAAUGUACUAAGCCACAAGGUAGAGUUGGCAACUCUUAAUAUGAGCCAAUUAAAGUCUGACUUUGUCUCAUCCAUCCAAGAACUUCUCCAACAAGACCCUUGGCCAAAGACUUGCUGGGGAAAGAUCUCAAGGGCAAGACAAGGCACUCUUGGCAAGAAGAAUGCAUCCUCCUCACCAAGAGGAGAUCGAAUAUUUGUGCCUCAGUGGGGAAACUUACAAAAACAAGUCAUCAAAGAGUAUCAUGACUCAAAGUAGGCUGGUCACUCUAGACCUGAGCACACCGUUGCACUGGUUGAAGCCUCGUACUUUUGGCCACACAUGCGAGACAAAAUCGAGGCAUAUGUGCAGACUAAUCUUGUAUGCGAAUAAGAAAAGGUAGAUCACCAACUUUCAAUAAGAUUUUUGGAGCCCCUGCUACUUGCAUCAAGGCCGCAGGAAAGUGUACCCUUGGACUUCAUUACAGCCUUGCCCAAGUUCGAUUAGUGAGAAAGCUUCAUAGUGGCUGUCGAUCACUGCAAUGAGUUCACGACCUUCAUCAAGCAUAUCAUGAAGCUAUAGAGAGUUCUAAAAAUAGAGUAAGUGACCAAGACCCUCGAUUCACUAGACGCUUAUAGAUGGAGCACUUUAAGUUUCUAGGAACCGACCUCAAGUCCCCAAUAAGCUUCCAUCCAUAAACUAAUGGGCAGAUCAAGUGUAUAAAUGGCCUUCUUGAGAUGUAUCUAAGGUACUACGUGAGCGAUCUUCAAUGAAGCAAGGCUACUAGAAAGAGCCCAUUCAAGAUCAUUAUAGUAUUUCAACCCAUGAUCUCCAAUGUCAUAGCCUCAAUAUAUGGAGAAACAAACCAUGCUGCUCAUAAGCUCGCCUACGAGUGGCAUGAAGAAGUGGAUAUUAUGCAAACAUAUCUUGAUAAAGUCGAAAAGAAGAUGAAAAAGUGCAUGGACAUAAGUAGACGCCACAUCGAGUACAAGAAAGGCGACCAAGUGAUGAUCAAGGUCCUACCCUAACAAUUCCAGACUUUACGAAAAGUUCGGAAAGGGUUAGUGAGGAGAUAUGAAGGACCUUUCCCAAUUGUCCAACGUGUGGGCAACGUCUCAUAGCAACUCUAACUUUCACCAAGACUCAAGAUUCAUCUAGUCUUCUACGUAAGUCUAAUCAAACCAUACCACAGACAUAUGAGAGACCCAAGUCAUAACAGUCGUCAUUACCACCUUCGACAAAGAUGUAGAGUGCAUUCUUGCCGAUUGCGUAAUUCGAAGAAAAGGUGUACAAGCUUACAAGUACUUAGUGAAGUGGAAAGACCUCCCCAACAAUGAAGCUAGUUGGGAGUGCGAAGAUAAUCUAUGGCAAUUCGCAGGGUCCAUACAGACAUUCAAGUACGAGAAUAUGAUGAAGAUACCCUGAGUAUAGGUGGGGAAAGAUGUAAUGGGUCGCUAAAUCUAAGCCAAGUGUGCUUGUUUAGCCCGAUUCUAAAAUCUUCCAACAUACUCUAGCACACUUGGAUCACUUGUACAUAUCUAGCACCUUCUACACUUGUGUAUACUUAGAAUUCUCUAGAACUUGGCAUAAUAUUGUAGUAAGUGGCAUGUACAUAAAAACAUUCUAGAUUGGGCAAGACUCCCCUAUAAAUAGGGCAUGACACUUGUCAUUUGAGCACAUAGCAAGUAAAAGCAACUCAGGCAUACUCCUUAGCUUUCUGCAAGCAACUUUGCUUAACUAGUUUCAGAAGUUCAUCGCUUACUUAGUGACUUUUAGGCAAACAUUGUCUAAGUGGCACACGAGUUUGUUAUACUAAAUACUCAUCCAAUGACAUUAAGCUAAACUAGGGCCGGGGUUGUUUGACUGUGUUUGAUAGCUUAGGAAGAAUUAGGGUCGAGUAUGUCUAAAUAUGUGUGAGUAUGUCAUUGUCAUAAAGAAGAAGAUUGCAUUGUUGAUGUGAAGAAGAGGAGAAGGGCAUUAGAUUUAGUGAUUGAGAAUUGCGAUUGCUUCCCCUUUUUUUCAUUUAUAUUAUUUUUGACUUGGCAAACUGUUUGUUUGGGUUCAUUUUGUUGGGUUCUUUUUGGUAUCUUAACACCAAAUUGUAUUUUUAUAUUAAUUUAAGUAAAUUGUAUCGAUAAUUUGUAAGUAUAUAACAUCAUAUAACAAGUUAUAUUUUAUAGGAAUCUUAGGUGAAAUUAUAUUUUUAUUUCAAGUUUAAAUCAUAAUUUGCUUUAAAAACAAAGUUAACUACAUUGUACUAGCUCAUAAAUUUAAUUGUAUACUAUGGACCAAACGAGUUAAUUUUAUUUCUAUAUAUGAAAUUGGAUUUAACAGAUAUAAUUUGGUACGUGUGCUAAUUCUCUUUAAUGGUGUAUGGAUUAAAAAAAAAAGAUGAAUAGAGGUUCAAAGGCUCUGAAGCUAAAGGAAUAAAUAGUACCAUGAUUGACAACAUAUGCAGAAUUGAUAUGGACUUUUCAGGAUUUGAAAUUACAUUGAAGUUCGAGCUUAUGACAUUUGAUCCUAUGCCACUAGUCGCAAUUAAAACCAGUAAUGAUUUUGAGUUUUUUUUUAGGAAAUAACCAAUGGAAUGCAAAUUAGAAACCUUCUUUGUGUCACUUUUCAACCCAAAGCGAGUUCAGCAGUUCUCAUGGGUAGACGACGUUCACUUCAUCCUACGUGGGAAAGGAAUCAUGAUUAUUCAAGGUACGUAUCUCCAUCAUUUAUGAAUCUUAAUAGUCUCAAUUCGAACAAUUUCACUAUUGGAGAUGAAUCACCACUUCAAUUUUUGUGCCAGAGUGCAACCUAAUGAUGAACACAAAACUAAUUAAUGGAUUUAUGACUAUUGUUGAUUGUUUGGAUGGGCCACCAUUAGUUAGUAAUCCAGGAUUAGGGAAUAACGGGUAAUGUAAGUUAAAAAAACCUCAAACAAUACAUACAUACCUAGAAUGAAUUUACUUGCUAGUAAUAGUAGUUUAUUGUCAAUGGAAGUUACUGGUAUUAGUGAUGCGUCAAUGAUUCAAAGGAGGUUUUGCAAGAAAAGCUUAAAGUAUUAGCUAUGAGAAAAAAGCUCUAGAUUAAAACCUUAAAAUCAUACAAAGAUUUACCUUUUGUUGUUUGUGUGGACCACAAUUGUAAGUGGCGUCUUCGUGCAACCAGGCUUAUAGGUUGCAAUAUGUUUGAAAUUAGAAAGUAUUGCAAUCCUCAUAAUCACUCCCUUGAUUUGCAGCAAAGAGAUCAUCGCUAAGCUUCAUCCAAGAUAUCUAGGUAAAACUUUCGGUACAAGUAUAAGCCUGCUAAUAUCAGGAAAUAUCAAUGAGUCAAGGGCAUCAGAGCUAAUAUGCCUGGUGACUAUCUAAUUUAAAAUCCUUGGAUAUUGGACAUGCUUACUUCUCACAUCAAAGUUAUUAUAGACUUUAUGAAAUAAUCUCAAAUGCCUAUACCUGUGCAAGUAAAAAUAAUAAUUGAUAUUCCUAUUUAUAACAACGCUACAGUAUUGACAAUUUUUUACCAAAACUACAAAUUAAUGGACAACCAUGAAGGUUGUAUGCCUCUUUUUCAAGGACAUAAUCUAGACUUAGCCUUUCUUUAUUCUCCCUAAUUCCAUUCAUAUUCUUCACAACUUUUAGUGUGGCUUUAAAGCAGAAUGACCACAAGGAUGUUUAUGAAAUCUUCAAAGUUCUCAAUAUGAAUAAUUUUAUCCACGUUGGCAUAUGAUCCCCACUCUUUUCAAAGUAAUAAAACCUCUAAAAAGCAUAACAUGGAAAAAUUAACAAUUUCCAUAUCAUCUUCUACCUUAGUUGAUUAGAAAGUCUGACCUAGAAAUGUAUUUGUGAACUCUGUACAACCAUCCAACAAAACGUCGCAUACUUGUCUACCGUCACUAACAAUGUCCAAGUUAGGUUUAUAAAUUUCUCUAUAAUUCAAGUUAGUCACUAAUGAGAAUAUAAACAUUGAAAAUCAGCACGCUUUCUUCCUUAUAUUAAAAUACAUUGCUUCAUCAGAUGAAUGCACAUGCCUCAAUACCAACAUAUGCAAUAACUGAGUACAAAAUUGAAACUCAUUUAAAUUUAAAAAGUGCUCAAAACAUGAUUUGUGAAAAAUCUCAACUUGUUCAUCACUAAGUUGAUUUUUUAUUAUUUCUAUUGGGUCUAACAAUAACAAAUUAGUAAUUUUCACAUUAACCCUGGAUCCCUCUAGAGACAUUUCAGAAGACGAAUUAUGGUACGUCUGGUGCCUAACUGUCCUCUAUGCCACCAAACUGAUUGUUCUAGUAACAGCCACCUUACAUUUUUUGCCUAGCAAUAAAUAUAAGUUCUUAGCACAAAUUAAGUCUUCAAGGAAAUAAAUUAUUUUUAUGAAUUAAGAAUUAUGAAAAAAGUUGUGUAAUUGUGAGGUCGUGUAUCACAUGCAAUCGUAUGUUACAAGAAGUCAUAUAUUACACAACUAAGGGUCGUGUGGUACAUGAAGUCAUGUGUAACAUGACCUUAAGUCAUGUAUUACCCGACCAAUUGAUAAUUUACACAACCUAUCAAAUUUUCAUUGUUUCCACGAAAAAAAAAUCAUAAAUUUAUUUUUGAUUAUGUUAUGAGAGAUCGACAACCAAUUUCAUCUAUUUUUUUCAACAUAAAACCCUAUAUUUUUGCUUUUUUCCUAAAUAUCAAAAUCCUAUCAAUUGAUUGCAAGAAGGAAAAUUAAAUACUUAUCCUAAGAAGUUGUCAACUGCAAUAGUAAUGAACUUUUUUUAUGAUAAAAAAUAGUCAAGUAUUUUGAUGAUCAGCACUUUAAAUUUCGGCGUUUGAAUAUUAGAUUUGAUCUCUUCUCCAAACUUCAAAGUCAAAUUAGUCAUGUACAAAAGUCGUGCUAUAUCCAUUUUGAAUUGGGCCACAACUACAAUACAUGCAUGUAUGUGAUACAUGCAAGCAAUUAAAAAAAAAACAGAGGAAUUGUUUGGCUACCACAAACACUAAAAAAAAUAAAAAAACUAGGAGCAACUAAUUUUUGCAACCGGUUGCCUUUUUAAUGAAUUAAAUAAUAAUAAAUAUAAUAAUAUUCAAAUAUAAUAAAUAAAUGAUAAUAAAAUCAUCAUUAUUUUAAUAUUAAAGGACACAUAACAAUAAAAUAAUCAUUUUUAUAAUAAUAAAAAAUGAGUUUCAAGUUUAAUGGUACAAGGAUCAAGUUAAUGGUCGUGGUGUCAUGUUUAUUGGUCCAUUAUUUUCAUGGUUGUAAGUUAAUGAUCUCAUGUGUUUAUGUUUAUUGCUCUAAGUUUCAAGUUUAAUGGUUCAAGUAUCAAGUGAAUAUUCAUGGUUUCAUGUUUAUUGGGUCAUUAAUUUCAUAAUUUUCAUGGUUGCAAGUUAAUGAUCUCAAAUUUCAUGUCAAUUGCUCUAAGUUUCAAGUUUAAUGGUCUCAGUAUCAAGUUAAUGGCGGGUGUUUCAUGUUUAUUAGUCUAUUAAUGGCAUGAUUUUCAUGGUUACAAGUUAAUGAUCUUAAAUGUCAUAUUUAUUGCCCUAUGUUUCAAGUUUCUUUGGUUUCAAAUUUAAUGGUCAAGUAUCAAGUUAAUGGCCACAGAUUCAUGUAUAUUGGUCCAUUAAUUGUAUGAUUUUCAUGGUUGUAAGUUAAUGAUCUCAGGCUUCAUGUCAAUUGCUCUAAGUUUCAAGUUCCUUUAGUUUCAAGUUUAAUGGUUUCAGUAUCAAGUUAAUGGUUGGUGUUUCAUGUUUAUUGGUCCAUUAAUUGUAUUAUUUUCAUGGUUGCAAGUUAAUGAUCUCAUGUUUCAUGUUUAUUGCCCUUAGUUUCAAGUUCGUUUGGUUUAAAGUUUAAUGGUCCAGGUAUUAAGUUAAUAGUCAUGGUUUCAUUAAUUCCAUGAUUUUCAUGGUUGCAAGUUAAUGAUCUUAGGUUUUAUAUCAAUUGCUCUAAGUUUCAAGUUCCUUUAGUUUCAAAUUUAAUGGUCUCAGUAUCAAGUUAAUGAUGGGUGUUUCAUGUUUAUUGGUCAAUUAAUUGGAUGAUUUUUGGGAUUGCAAGUUAAUGAUCUCAAGUUUCAUAUUCAUUGCCUUCAAUUUUAAGUUCAUUUAGUUUCAAUUUUAAUGGUCACAAUAUUAAGUUAAUGGUAGGUGUUUCAUAUUUAUGGUCUCAUAUUUCAUAUAUACCGAUUUUUCAAGUUUCCAUUUCUUUCAAAUUUAAUAAUAAUAAUAAAUCUCAGCCAUUCGAUCUACUUCAUUUAAUCCAAUGGCUAUUUUUUAUGCAUGCAUGAGAUUCAUGCAUGUACUCUAGUUGCGCCCUUUGAAUUGAGGAUAUUUUUAGUAACUUGAUGUGACUACUUAAAAUGGAAAAAUAUACUCUCCUGAUCAUGAUUUCUUCUAAGCUUUUUAAGAUAUUCUAUCACGUGUCUUUUAAUAAUAGUAUAUGGAUAAAAUUUAACUUCUUUAUUUUUUUAUUUAUUAACUACCAAUCGUCAAUUGAGUUAUUUGCUCAAAACAUGAUCAAAUUAAGAAAGAAUCCUGAUCCACUUAAAAUAUAUUUAUGAAAUUUAUUUUUAAAAAUUCUUUUUUCAGGAUAUUAAAAUUAGCACUUAAAAUAUAUUUAUGAAAUUUAUUUUAAAAAAUUCUUUUUUCAGGAUAUUAAAAUUAGAGGGUUUCUGCCCCAAUUACCUCAGCAUAAACGGCAAGCGAAAAAGAAAAAGCCCACAAAAAAUGCCAUGGUUGCAACAACCAGCACAAUCAGUAGGGCUUUCAGUUUCACUUGCAUGUUCAAGUUGUGUCGUCCACUUUUCGCACUCUCAACCAGAACCCACAUGGAAUCUCCACGCGUGAACUCUGCUCUUCGUUCUCCUGCAAGAGAAACUCAUAUCGGAGACACUGACGAUGGGUUCAUUACACUGCAGGAGUGGCAGGGCUGGGGCGCUGUGUCUCCAUUGCCAGCUUUGGUUCAGCAAAUUGUUGAGGACUUGAAAGCUUUGGAGAAAAAUUUUGAUGCCCCCAUGAGUUUUGGUGGUAAUGGUGGCAGACUUCAGGUACUAUAUUCAAUCUAAAAAUUCCCCUUUUCUUUUCCUGUUAAUAUUAGUCUCUGAUUAGUUUGGUUGCUGGAAUGGUCCAAAUGUAAAAUUUUAAUCUUGAGAAGCUGGUAAUUUUUUAAGUGUUAAUUCUGAAAAUUGAUAAUGGUUUCGUUUCUAUGUGGUAUAAAGGUGCUCAGUAGGCAUUGGUGUAACAUGAACUGUUCUUUAUUAAUUGUGUUUGUGAAAGAAAUGAACUAUUAGAUGCUUGAUACUGAUUUGGUUUUAUAAUGGCUAUUGACUGUUUAAUAUGCAAAUUAGUUGAAUUUAUAAAAUAUGUUAAGGUAAUUUUAAUUAGGAUAAUUCUACUGAGGAAUUUUUUUCAGAUAUGUGGGUGUUGGUCUUACCAGUUAUUCAGUAAUCAUUUCAUCAUUUUCUUGAGUUUAUAUGUACAGAAGUAUGUGUCAUCAAAUGUGGGCAGCAGCUAGUUUAGUUACUAAAAUCUCAAGUUAAAAUAAGAGGUCUAAGGUUUGAUCCCCUCUCACAUGUGUUGCAAAGGGAUUAGGCUGUCAUCCGGCUAAAAAAGGAAAUAGGUAUGUGUCAUCAAAUGCAGUUGUGGUAACUUUCCGCUGUUUUGUAAACAAGACUAUUUUAAACCUUAGGUGCAGAUGCAACUUCUUGCUCAUACAGGAACUGUAUAUUUUGCUUUCUAUUUAUGGUUUUGUGUGACUGACUAGUUUUUAUUUCAACUGCUUGUGGUUCAUGUGGUGGGAAAAUGUUUUUUUUUUCACCCAUCAGUGCUUGCUCAUAAUACGUAUUUAUUUAUCCUCUACUGCAUAUUUCAGGGGGAUUUCAAGAUUCUAGAGGAUAAGAAACAUAGAGCAACAUACCAGACUUUGGGCGAGUCUGAAAAGAAGCUUCAAUUCUUUACAGCUCGACAGAUAGCCUGCCGUUUGCUCGGAAGUCAGGGUUACCUUUGCCAGAAGGUAUGUGGCUGUCUUUUGGAGCAUUAACUACAUUUUUCAUGGGCUAUAUGUACUUUUUGGUUUAAUUAUUUAGAAGGUACUUUUUAUAAAACAAAGUUCAUGGUUAGAUUAGAAUGGGUAUUGUGCCUUCUAGUUGCUUCAGUUUCUUCAUUAUCCUUUUCUCUUAUUUUUAAUGUCCUUUACUAAAUCGGCAGUGCUGGAUUGCCAUGGAAGACUGCAUGUGUUCAAAAGUCAAGCACUGCUCUCUAUGGUAUGGUGUACGGUUUUGGCUGUACAUGCAUCCAAAGGUUAGGAUAUUAUUGUCACUUUGCUGCAUGUUAUCUGGAGGCAUAAGGUACUUUUUAAAGAAAACCCCAUGUGAUCAUCCUCUUUCAGGACUUUCUACGACAGAACAACACUGGAAAGUUGCUGUGGCAAGUACUUGGAGUUCAAGCUGCAACUUUGUGCCUCUAUGGCGUUGCAGAAGAUGAAGAAAUUAUGUGGAGUGCAUUUAAGCGUGCAGGUUUCCUUCUUCUCUUCUCUUUUAGCUGUUUUAGUUUUCAAAGAUUUUGGGUGCCAGUAAUUUGUAGUUGGCAAUUAGUUAUAGAGUUCAAAUUUCAUUUAAAAGCAAGUGGAGUUAUUUUACUCCCAACAUCAGUGUCAUAGAAUUCAAAGUUAUUCAAUGUUUUGUUACAUAUUCAAUUUUUAAAGGAAAAUACUUUAUGUUUUUAUUCUCUGUUAAUGGAUUAAGUGAUAUAUGGAGUAUACAUUGAGCCAAAGUAACAAAGUGUAGCUUUUUUAUUUUGAUAUAAUUCAUUUGGUGUUUGGAAUCAAUAAACGAACUUUUUGUUAAAACUUAACUUUUGCCAGUGAUCUCUGUAAUAAGCUAAUAUACCUCAUAGCUAUAUUUCUGUGACUGUGAUCGUCCAUGUUUAAAUAAAUGCAUAUGAGAAACCUUUGCCCUAUGACUCUUAUUUUCAUCAUUUUCAGGGAAAAGCAAGGUUUGGUGCCUAUAUCCCAAUAAGAAUGCAAUUAAAAUGUCAGUCCAGGAUACCCUUGGUUAUGGAUCUUCAGAGGAUCUAGAAUACACACCAAUGAUGGUAUUAUCUCUCAUUAUUACUUUGUAAUGUUAUAUAGAGUUGUGCACUCAUAUCAGCAUAAGCAAAUUUAUUUCUUGUUUUGCGUAGCAUGCUCAUAAUAGAUUGGAACUUAGUGUUAAUGUUUCAUAUGCAUAUCCCAUCAAAUAGAUACUUAAUAUGAGAAUCAAGAUUAUCCGUUUAUAGCUAACUGUCUUUUUCUUUUUUUUUUCUUUUAAUGUUAAAUUGUUGUAGAACUAUAUGAACGACUUAGAAUAGUAAUAAGAUAAAGAUUUAUUAGUAUUGGUCCAAUAAACCUGGAUCUUCCUUUAAUAAGAAAACCAAUUCAAACAGGUAAAAAUUGAAUAAUGGUAGUAAAAAUUGAAUAACACCAUUAAUAUAACUGAAUAACAUAUUUUCUAGUUAUCUAAUAAAUCUUAAUUUCAAUUCCGCAUCACUAAUAGUAAAAAAUUCAAAAAAAGAAAGCAGACGUGUGAGGGAGCUCAUAUGCAUUUAGAUGAUGAAAUAAUUUAGGAUCAUCCUGGGGCAUGGCUUGAACAAUGCAAGAACCAAUUUGUUGAUGUUCGAUGAUGUCUAGGGCUGGCUUGGAUGUGACGUAGAUUCAUUUGGCACAGUAAUUGUUCAUGUGUGGGCAUAGGAAGUGCAUGAAAGUGGUUUGCUUAGUAAUUUCUAACAGACAUUAGGGUCAGAAGUUGUAACUGCAAAUGAAUUUGCAUGCUGAAAGCAUAUUAGUACAAUGUAGUUUGGAAAUUUUGACUUUUCUCUGACAAAAUUUCAUUGAUCAUGCAAAGUUUGGAGUCUCUUAUGUCUUCUUUCAUUUAACUAGGCGGUAACACAGAUGUUGGUUCUACUGCACAGACUGAUGGAGAUAACACUCUAAAUUUUGUUUUGAUUGAUGGCACAUGGAGCAACUCUGCUGCAAUGUUCAACCGUUUAAAGGUUAUUUAUUUCUUUCAUAUUUGCAGACUAAUUUUGUAUAGAUAUUUGGUUUCUCUGCAUAUUCAUCUCUGUCUCUCUCUUUCUCUCUCGAGGCGAAUGACUGUUGUGUAUGAAGAGAUGCAUCUAUUGGAAUUCCUGCAGUCUUCUAAAAACUUUGAAAUCUGGUCAAACGCAGUGGCUUUCAUCUAUGAACUUGGAAUUUGGUGAUUUUUAGAUUACCUGUGCUUAGUAAUCUCACAAUAUUUGGCAAAUAUAUGAUGGAUUAUGAGUUUAAAAUGUUAAUUCCUGGCUGGAGUUUUGGAUACAAGUUUAAAUAUUUUUGGGAUACCACUGAAAAAUUUACUGACAAAACCAUUUUUUUAACAAAAUUGACUUUAAGCCACUUUCUUCAUAUUCUUUCCUAUUCAUUAUACUGACCAGGUGUCUGCAGCUCUUGGGGCUUGACUAAUCCUCAAGCUCAACUGCAGUCAUCGAUCGGACCAUCUCCUACGUACUACAACAGUGGCAUAUCCUAAAGUUGGAUCUAAAGCUGGAUCCCUGGGAUUUGUGGUGCUUGUAUGAUUUUCAAUUGUUGAUUUAUAAAGUGAAUGAUGUAGGUAUUUUCUAUGUUCAGGAGAAAGCUAAGACAGUUUGGGACGAGGAGGACAUUCCUUGCAUAUCUCUAACCAUGGGUGCAUCGGCAAUGCAUAAACUUAGGUAAUUAGUGUAUAUUUGUCAAAUCUCUUCUUAGAUGAUCUCAUGUACAGCUUUUUAUGCAGCCCUCUCAUCCAAUUAAACCUCUUGGGAGUGACCAUGUUUUGUAAUUUUAGUGCAGGCCCCAACCGUCCUGGGACCGCACCUGCACAGCAGCUGCAGCCAUUGGCCUCCUUUCUGAGCUGCAACUCCUUCCAAAAUUUAGUUCAUGUGGAUUGGAUGAAGCGGUUGAAGCAAUAGAGGAUGCCUUGGCUGUUUUGUUAGAAGCACUAACGACCAGACGGCUUCGAAUGGGCAGGUCCGUCACUCGUAAAGCAAGACAUAACCUCAACCUCUGGUAGCUAACCGAUAACGCAUUCUGCUCUGUAUGGGUAUUACAUACUGUUAGUCGGAUAAAAAAUAGGAGAACCUUGCCUCAUCAAAAUAUAGGAGAAUCUUGCCUCAUCAUUUCCAGCCAGUCCCACUGAUCUCUCUUCUUUUAGCACAAGUUAGCAGCAAUAGCACAGAUUUAUACUCACCAGUUGACACAUGGAUAGUUUUCAUGCUCUUUCCUUUCAGUUGUGGGUGUUACGGAGUUUAGCCUCGCUUUUUGAGCAUAAAAAACAUCGUUGUAAUAAGCUUAAAUUGAUUUAUUAUUGUACAACAUUAAAACCCGCAUUGGCUUCCUAUCAUUUUAGCCCAUUUUGACUUUUUUACCCCUAUAUUCUCUCAAUUCAUAAACAUUUUGAUUAAGAUCAAUUGAUAUCAUUGGUUCAGCACCAUCUAUAUUCUCAUAAUGAUAGAUUUUAGUAAAAUAUUAAUCCUUUUUUGUGGAUAAGAGUAAAAAUAUUAAUUUAAAAUUAAAUAUAGCCCCACUUUUUCACCAGUAAGUAACCGAACCAAUGCCUAAAUGGCAAAAACAUGGAGCAAUACUAAAUGAACAAAAUUGUAACAAAAAGAUUUUUCUUUUAAUUAAUUUUGAGGAUUUUAGCGAAAAAAAUCAUUAAAGGAAAUUUCAAAAAUUCACAAAAAAAAAAUAUUUUGUUGGCAGUUAGGUAAUUUUAUACACAGCUACUUUCAUACCGACCACAGGACAUGACCUGAGUCAGCUGACUGGGUGUCUUGUUGCCACCAUUCUUGCAACAUUUUCCUCUCCUCCGUUUCUCCCGCUCUGCUAAUAAAAGUAAAAUAGAAAUGAACAUAAAAGGAAUGGCGAUAACAACCUGGGAAAUUUUCUGUAAAAGGGUGAACCCAUUACAGGAGUCGGAGAUCGUCUCAUUGAUCUCUGAAAAAAGAGAGACAAUGAGCUUCGACCACUGCGUUCAAUUUAUUCUCUUCUCUCUUCUCAUUCAAUGGGCUGCUUCCUCUUCUGUAGUAUCCGGUAACUCGCUGUUCGUCCUUAUCUUUGCAAUUUGGUUUUUUUCCCUUUUUUUUUAUUUGGAUGUUUGCAUGCAGAUGAUAUCUUUGAAUCUUAUAAAGCUACCAGCCGUAACCUUCUUCAAGUCAAAGAAAGUAUGUUCUUUGUAAAUAAAUUAAUUCUUAAUUGCUCUUUUUCUUUUCUUUUGGCAGAAUGUAGAAUUCGCAGAUAUUGAUAUUUCAACGUUGAAAAGCAGGCAUCUAUUAAUUAGCUUCCAAAAUAAUGUAUAUGCGCCAUUUGUUUCUACUUUUUUCAAAUAAGAAUUUUGCUUAGAAAUUUAUAAAAUAGCUAAUUGGCUGUUGUAUCUGUCACAGAAAUGAAUUAUUACUCUGAUAAAGUAAAUAAAUUUACCUUCAUUAUAUAUUAUAUAUAACACCAUUUGCAGUACACUUAUAGUUAAUUACAUUAGGGUAUAUCGCAUUAAGAUAUUUGGUAUACUUUAGACUGUAUUAUAUAUAAUAUUAUUUUAUAUUAAUAUUAAUAUUGAAAUAGUAUUAUUUAAAUUUAUUAAAAAUUAAUUUUUUAAAUUAAUUAUUUAUAUGUUAUUUUUAUAACAUAAAAAUAAUUUAAUAAAUACUAUUAUCAAAUAAUAUAAUAUUAUAAUAUUAUAAAUAUAAAUAUAAUAUAAUAUAACACAAUAUACUAUUAAAUUUUCAAUUUAGUCAUAAAUCAAAUUUCAUUUAUUAAUGUCAACAAUAAUUACUUAAUUAAUUUUUAAAUUUAGUGUUAUUAAAUAAUAAAUUAUUGAAUAAUUAAAAGAUUUAUUAUAUAUUUAAACUAAAAUAAUUAAAAUGAUUUUAUGUAAUAAAAGUAAAUAAUGCAUUAUUAUUUACUUAUUAAGUAUUUAGAUUUAUUAAUAUUUUAUAUUAUUAUUUAAAUUGAACUGCAUUGAAUAAAAAUAAAAAUUAAUAUUUAACAAAUUUAAAUUGAUUUUCAAUAAUAAAAAUGAAAAUAUGAAUAGUAUUUUAAUAAAAUACAGCCUAUGCCCUACUUUUUCAUGGUUUUAUUUUAUACUCCUUUCAUUGUAUUAGUCACUUUUUUAAUAUAAUAUAAUGCAAUUAAAAAUUACAACUAAAUACAAGUUUAUAUAAGAAUAAUAUUUUAAUACAAUACCAUAUAGUGUAAUACGAUCAGCCAAAAGCAUCCUUGCAAUCCCAAAUUGGUAGUGAUAGGAUAUGAACACGUUCCAAGAUCAUGGAUAUUGUCAUGGUUGAAGAUUUGUUUUCUCGGCUAAUUAUGCAUUGAUGUUGCUCGAUAACUUUUAACGGGCAUGAAAAAAUUCUGUGCGGAUAUGCCUUGUAGAUCCUUCUAAAACAUCUAGUGACAUUAGUUGUAAAAGUAUGCUAUGAUGAUAUGUUUCGCUUAUUACAAUCUGCAGAAUGUCCUGAAAAUUUCGAGGACAAGAACUACACAAUCAUCACAAGCAGGUGUAAAGGACCCGAAUACCCAGCUGAUCAAUGCUGUCCGGCAUUUAAGGAGUUUGCUUGUCCCAUUCGCGAUAAGAUUAAUGACCCGAAAACUGAUUGUGCUCAGACAAUGUUCAGUUACAUAAAUCUCUAUGGGAGAUUCCCACCUGGCCUAUUUGCCCAUAAGUGUCGUGAAGGGAAAGAAGGUCUCAAGUGCGACGAACCUACUCUCCCACCAUCGGGUAGUGCAGCAGCUGUUCAUUCCACCCCAUUGCUUCUCACAGCUGGCUUCCUGGUGUUACUGCCCUUGAUGCUGUAGAGGCUUAAAUGUGAAAAACCAAUAAUACGUUUUCUCCAUUUUAUAUGUUUUUUCUUUUCUUUUUUCUGAAUCCAAUAUGGCUUCUUCAUGAAUUCAUUUUCAGAUGAUUUCUUUGCAUAACUGCAUAAUAGAGUUGGUACUGCCUUGAGAAUAUAAUCUCAUAAUCAAACUUUUUUGACUAGUCAAAUCCAAGCGUGUAGCUGUAAUUAAACAAUUAUUCAUCUUUUCUUACACAAUUUAGUCUGCUUCAACAAGCCUUUUGGUUCCCAUAACAGAGCAUAUGUGAGUGUGUGAGACCAUACUGGCACAUCCUUGAAUAAUUCUUGGUAUAUUUGGUUGAAAGGGGUCGCGGAACAAAUACACAAAUCGAAUUCAAAUUGAAUCUUAAACGAAUAAACAAAUCAAAUUUGUUUAUUAAACCAACUGAAAUUUAAGGAUUCAGAUUCGAUUUGUUUAUUAAACAAAUUUUGUAUUCAAUUUAUUUAAUUCAUUUUGUAAAAUUAAUAAACGAUUCGAAUCGAAUCGAAUCUGAUUUCAUUUAUUAUUCAUUCAUCCGAUAACAAACGCAUAACAAAUCGAAAUGAAUGCAAAUUCGUUUACAAAAAUAUAAUAAAAUGAAGCAAAAUAAAAUAUAAAAACCACAAAUUUAAUAUCUUACAAAAUAAAACUCAUUAUCAUUUAUAACUACUAUAUUAGCCUUCAAAUUUUAAAUUUUUUCAUACAUUUUAAGGAUAAAUAAGUAAUUCAAUUAAACGAAUUUUAAAUAAAUAGAUCGUAUUCGAUUCAUUUAUAACAUAUUUAUCAAAAGAAUCCUCAACGAAUAAACGAAACAAUGCUCCAAACCCAAAUUCAAUUCAUUUAAUUUGCAAAUCAAAUCGAAUUCACUUAUUUAGUAAAUGAAUCAAUUUUUUAAACGCAAAACUCAUUUAAUUUGCAUCAAAUCGGCUAAACCAAUCUUGACCCAAAUUGUCACUAUUAAAUUCUUGUUCACUUCAAAAGCUAUUGAUAUUUUAUUUACAGGGUGGCAUAGUGCAAUGGUUUCACUAUCUUGCAAUAAAGGUAUGCCAUACCAAAAGUGAUGAAGAAAUGUCAUCAAGUGAUGGAGUGGACAGUUACUUCUCAGUUCCCACACUUUGGAAAGACGCUACAAUGAUAAAACCAACAUCUCGAUCACCAGAAAUAUUCAAGGACACCGUUGGCCAAAGUCAAGUUAAUUAAUUUUAAUUCCGCAAUUAAUCCUGAAUUUCUACAAAAUCUGCCUAAUUUAGGUGUCAUGACAUGUUAGGACAGUGAUCAUAAUCUUUCACUGGAAACGGAUGAUGCGUUCAUUGAAACUCUAUCAUUCAGCGGUGAGUAGAAUGAUUCUGCAAAAUGGAUUAGUAACAAACAACUCGAGUUAAUGAAUGAUUCUGCAAAAUGGAUUAGUAACAAACAACUCGAGUUAACCUUUAUUAACACUUGUAUACUAAUUCCAGCUUGACGGAACAUUAAAGCAAAAUGAGCUUUUACUCAACCAACCAUGCAACUUUGAACAUUUAAUUUGAUUGGCUUACAUGGUUAAAAAGCAGUCAAAUUCCACAAGUCAACUGAAACAAGUAGGUCUUUCAAUAAAGGGUAAAUAUGAAAGGCAGCUUUAUAUUAAGGAUUCCUAUGAGACACGCACUUUACAUCUUUGAUCCAAAAUGUACCAAAGCAUAUCAAAAUGUCAUCAAAGCAUAAAAGAAACUUCUCAAAUGGUCAAUUUACUCAGUGAAACUACUAUUACAGAGCGUGAAAAAUUACAAUUUUUUUCUCACCUCUUUAAAAAUCCAGCAGAAAAAUUAAAAAUUAAAAAAAAAAACUCUUGUUUCUCAUCUGUGAGCAGUGACCAGAGUCUCAAUAAACCUCAACCCAUCAAAUCUUGGAGCAAAUUUUUCUGUUGAUGAUGAUCUUUUUGUUGAAUUCUCAUGAUCUUUCUUUGACGAAACAUCCUGAAAUACAAAUUAAAAGAACUAUAAAUCCACAAUCUACGGAAUUAAAAAAAAAAAAAAGAAUCAACAAAAUUAAGCACUUGAUCCAAAGGUUGACUCCAGCAACAACUGUCUAACAAAGAAACAGAGAGAGAAAGAGUCGAAGACAGAAAAAAGAUUGAACCUGGAUCUAAACACUAAUUCCCGUAAACUAUUUUCUGUGCAAACAAUCAGUAAAAAUUCAAUCAAACGGACAGAAACAAAAGAAACCCAAUUCCCAAAAGGGGAAAUUUGAAAAUCUAAAAAUAGGGAAACCCAGGAAGGGAUUUGAAGAUUUACCUCAUGGGAAGCUUGAAAAUUUGAAUUGCAAGCUAAGUUUGUGGUGGAAGAAUCAGAUAUAGCUGUAGCAGAAGCUGCAGCAACUGAGGCUGCAAAGAGUCCACAUUUCUUCAUUAUUGCUAGGCGAUGAAAGAAUUUAUUUCCCGGAAAUCAGAAUUUUGGUGAGCACAAGUAUGCGUUUUCUUAGAGAGAGAGAAUGAGUGAGAGAGAGUCUCGUGUGGAGAAGUUAAUGUGUUUGACGGCAAAUUUAUAGUGCAGCCUUUCGAUUGGUUGGUGGUAGUUUCGAGCAUUUACGCGGCAACCGUCACGCCUUAUUCUUUUGAUUCUGAAAUUACGUUAUUAACCCUAGAAUUUGUUUGGAAUAUAUUUUAUUACCUAAAUACCCUCACUGUUUUGCUUUAUUGACAAUUUUCUUUUGCCACCUCGAAGAAUAGGAGCUGGCUAAAUUCGGCGCUGAUGUUUGUCCCGGGUCAAAUCACGAAACUUGGUUAAAACGACGAUGUUUGUUCUUUUUUUUUUUUGUUUCAAUCGCGUAAAACGACGUCGUUUGACUCAAGCAAAGACGAUGCUGGGUAGGAAAAUUUACAGAGGAAAGAAAACUAAACAGUAAGGAGCAGUACAAGGCACAAACAAGUUGACUAAUGUGGAGAAGCAAACUUUUCUUUUUACAGCCACAUAACAUUGAUAGGAGAUCAAAGGAACCCAUCAGUAGACAGAUCAAAAUCCAAAAUCACGUCUCAGCAAACAAGCUAGACAAAUGCCAUGCCAAGUAAGUGAAGUUCAUUGAAACUUUUCCUUGUGAUCAAGUACAAGUACGGUAAGGAAAACUUUGCGGCUGAUGCAUUAUCUCGAAUCGGCUUUCUCUUCGAAUUUUCGUUUCACCAUAGAACCUCAGAGAUAGAACUUCAGAUUUCUUGAACUUCAGAUACCUGCAGCUAGCCACAUCAAACAGUAGCCUAUAAUUAUAGAAGAAGAAGAAGGAAAGAAGUUCAAGAAAGUUGCGGCGGUGGCUGGGCUAACGGUGCGUUUGAUGGUGGCCGUGAAAGGGAAGAGGAAAGGAGGAAAGAUGAAGAAAGAAGUUCAAGGGAUUUGAUGCCAAACAAAGAGUAAAAGAAAGCAGCCAAAAUGACGUCACUUUAGGGAGAAAGAAAAAAAAAAAAGAUGAAACGGCGUCGUUUGCAUCAGUUUUGGGGUUUGACCCGGAAUAAAUAUCAUUUUUCGGAUAAGUUACAGAUUCUGUAACUUAGAGAUCCAACUGUAGCCAACUCAUAUUGCCUGCAUUUGCACGGUUUUUCUCUUUCCUCAGGACACGUGUGCUGCUUCCUAUUGGGUGUGUACGUUACAGAUUCUGUAACAUAGAUUGGUCCCCGAAGAAUAUGAUUUUUUUUCCUAUUUAAAAAGAGGGUCCAGCUAUCUUACAUAUAGGGUUUGGAACCCCAUUUUUUGUCUUUUUCAAAUUCACCUUUGGAUUUGGAUUUAACCGAAGAGUUGUAUAAUGGCUUAGAUUAGAUUAUUGGGUUAUUAACAUUAACAGUCCCUAUUGUUCAUGCAAAAUAAGAAAAAUCAAAAGUUUUAAAAUUAUGACAUAUAAGUUCAUAAUAUUCUAAUUUCUUUGACACUAUUGAAUUAGGUUUCCAAUUAAAUGACUUAUUGUUCAAUUUAUUAAUAUCUAUUUAAAUUAAUAAAUUUAGAUAUUAAUUAAUAAAUUAACUAAUUUAUUAUAUAGUUAAAUUAUGUAUAUUAUUUACUAACCAUAAUUAAUGAUAAAUAUAACAUAACGGGAACCAAUUUUCUCUCACCCAUGUGAAUAGGGUUCAAACCUCAAAAUCUUUUUUUUUUUCAAUACAAGAGAUUUUACUAUUUCAAGUAGAUGGAAUGUAUAAAAUACGAAAAUAAAUUUGAUUUCAUAUUUUAUGUAGUUAAUGUUUUAUAAUUUUUUUUGUAACAUAAUAAUUAUUUAACAUACUGUCAAUUAUUUAAUUAUGUAGUAAAAAUAUGUUAUUUACUAAUAAUAAUAAAAUAUUAAUUUAUGAAUUUGUAAAAUCAUUUUUGUUUGUUUGAACAAUGAGUUUUGUACUUUUGGUUGAGUUUUUGUCCUUAAAUAAAAAGAAUAAAUUUAAUUGCACACUUAAAUAAAUUGAUAUUUGUUACUCCACCCCAACAAUUUAAAUAGUCAUUAGCAUACAUCUAUCUUUUAUUAACUUAUCUGAGAGAAGGGUAAAAAAAAAAAUCUAAACAAUUACUCUAUUUAAAAAUAAUUUAAAUAUUUGUUUAGUAAAAAUAAACUAAAAAUAAGUAUUUUCUAUUAUUUAUUCUCUCUUACUAACAUCAGACAUGGAGAACAAUAGAGAUGGCAGUUCAACACAUAUCUAUCAAUUAAAAUAUAAGUCAAUUAGUAUAAUUAAUUGUGUCAUAAAUGAGUUAUCAUAUUAGGAGUUUUAAAACCGAACCCAAUACAGUUAUUAAUCGAGUUGACGGUUAGGAAGAGCAAACAAAUCCAUUCAAGUUGGAUAUCUAAGUAUUUGAUCUAAAUAGAUUGGAUAAUAUCCAUCCAAAAUACUUCGGAUUUGAUUUAUUUGAUAUCCAUCCAUGAACUUGAAUAUUAGUAAUAUUUAAGCGUACGAGGCUAAAAUUGAAUAUUAUAAUUAAUAUUUAAGUUGUAAAUUACAUUAAAAAAUCAAAAUAACAUUGCUAAAAAUUAUUGCACCUCAAUGACAACAAUGACGGCACCAUCACUAAAAAGUAGAAGUGAGUGAACAUAAAUAUAAAUACUAUCAACAGAUUCAAAAUUCUCCAAUCUAUGUAAUGGUGGCAAUGUUGUAGGAUAAAUGGAUAUGUUGGCGAUAGAUGUGUCUUCCAAUGCAAACAACUAUAACAAGACCCCAUGAUUAGACGACAUUUCAAUAUUCAUUGCCUUUAAAAACCAAAUGAGGUGAACGAAUCCCACAAUGAAAUUUUGAAACCCACACUUAAUUUGCAGUUUCAACUUCCCAAGAAAGUUCUAAAUAGAUUUAAGCGAAACAAAAAUCUUGACCCAAUGUUUAAGAAAACAUGAACCAGAGGUAUAGAGAAGGUGAGUGAUAAGUCUAUUUUGGAACGCCACAAGAAUGUAAAUAAAAGAUAAGUUCACUAGUUCUCAAAAGAACCAAAGAAAGAAUGAUCUUUCAAAUUCAAAAUAACAUUCAUCUCUAAUUGUCUUACAUAGCAAGGUUGCUGAGUUUAAAUAAGCUAAUAGAAACCCAAGAUCCUAAAAAUACAAAUGAAAACAUUAGAACAACCUUCCAAGUAUAGGUUUGUCAAAGAAUGCUUCAAAAGUCUUCACCAACUCACCAUUAGUAAUGCUAGUCAUUGACAAACUUAAUGUUAACCUACCAUAAUUAAUGCUAUCAUUGACAAACUUAAUGUUAGCCCACCAUUAUUGAUGGUAGACUUACCUUACACAUUGACAGACUUAAAACAAAACAAACAAAUGAAGUUGAAUAAACAAAAGAGUCGUUGGAAAUCCCAAGUCUGAAUAAGCUGUAAUAAAUUGGUCAUAACUCCUUCUAGAGAACUCCAAAUCGAACUCUGUAAAUUGCAUUGAAAAGUUAAUUUAAUUAUCUUUUCAACGGAAUAUAGCUGGCACAUUACUUCUAACUUAAUCAAUACCAGUUUUAUUUCGAGUUUGCCUUUUUUGCAUUGGAUCCAAAUUGUGUAUUCGGUUGCCCAAUAGCUUGAAUAAUGCCCACAAUGCCUUAUCUUCUCUCCAAGCCUAAUUCAUGAUGUCUUGCUUCUUGAAUUACAUUUUCAAUCCAUAUUUUCUCAAUUAAUCCAUUUAAAGCAGCUUGCAUCUUUUUGGCUCUAACUCUUGUAAUUGAGCCUCCAUGAAUGUGCAAAGGAUCAAUUGAAUCUUUAACGGUAUUCUCUUGAUUCCCUUGAUGGUUCUCAUCAUGAGGAUCUCUAAAUUGAAAAGACGAUGGUAGUGUAAUGUAACUUGUGUUUUUAUGGCGUAAUUAUGGUUGCAAUUAUUUUGAAAGGGGCGUGCAACUCUACAUGUCACCAUUUUCUGGCAUUGCGAAUAUAAUUGUAUAGAUCAUCCAAUUUCAAGUCUAAUGGUACCCUUCAUGGCCCCUUUUGAUUAAUAAUGUCAUUGUACGCGAGGAAACAGUGGUCACUAGUGAUUGUCUAUAUUUUUUAAUGUAAAAUAUCUUUUUGUAAAUAAUUAAAAAUAAGAGUAAUAAUUUUAUUUUAUUAUUCUAAUUCUAUAUUGAAAAUAAUUUUAAUUACCUUUUAAUUAAAAUGGGUGAGAAAAAUGAUGUCAUUGAUGGUGCAAAAUGGGUGAGAAAUAAGGAUGGUAAUUUAAACCCAGAUCCAGCCUGGACCCGGACAAACCCGGAUAAUUCAAGUUGGGUUUAACUUGUAUCGGAAGAAAUCAAAUUCGAAAUCCAGAUGUAAUUUGAACCCGGACAUAUCCGGGUCCGGUUCCGAAUUUGGUUGAACCCGCAAAUCCGAAACUCAAACCUGAAUGUAUUUGUUUUUAUAUUAGUUUUGCUUACUAUAAAUUAAAACAAUGGAAAAAAAUAGCCUUGCCCUAGUUUCAGUUUCACAGUGGCACUGCCAAAGCCGAAAGCCAAAUAUUUCCUCAUCAAAUUACCGUGAAUCGUGUUGUGUUCCUCUUCCUUACUGCCAAAGCCCGAAUCAAAUUGCUGAUAGUUAUCACCAAAGACAACAAUACAGUCGAGAAAAAGAAGAAGAAGGCGAAGAUGACCAAUCCUAAAGCAUAUCCAUCUCGAUAUCGAUAUCUCUAGCAAGGCCACGGGCAAGUAGUUUCAACAACGAUAUUUUUGAAAAGUUGGCCCAAGAACGUGAUUUCAUUCAUUUUAGGUUCUGAUUAUUGGAAGGGUAUUGGAUUGUGAUUUGAUGGGAGUAUGAACAAGGCAAUUACAGAACAAGUAAAGUGUUGAGUGUUAUAAAAUGUAUAUUUAUAAAGGAGAAAAUCGUCAUUUUACAUUUCAAGUGUUACUAACACCCUUACUUUUAUGUAUUUAAGCUUCUUGUGAUUUAAUUGCGUGUGUUCUGUUUUAAUUAAGUAUUUUAUGUAUUUUAGGAGCAUCAUGGUCAUUUCACAAUGAACGAGAAAUCAGACGACAAAACAUACAUAACUUUUAAACUCAGGACAGUCGAAAACCUUAGGAGGAGUAUAAAAGGAAAAAUGUCACUGUUCACAUGUACGACACUAUUCACAUGUACGAUACUGUCCAUGUUAUUGUUCACGACACUGUUCACAUAUACGGAACGAUGACAUGGCAUUGACCGAUGAUGUGGCAUUGACUGAUGAGGUGUCACGAUUCUAUUGGACAAAAUUCUUAUACACUGUUGAUUGGCAACGUGGCAGCAUGUUAGUGGACUAAAAAUCGCGCGUACGGUACAUGCAUAUACACAUGAUUAUUUUCAACCAAACUGCGUCACUGUUCAAGUCGGUUGACUGUUCAAACCGUGUGGUCAAACCGUGUCACUGUUCAAACUGCGUGGUCAAACCGCAUACUAUUGAUUGAUGAUGCAGCGCAAUCAUGAGCGUCCAAACUGUUUUUAAUCCGAUGACCAUGAUUUACUCAAUGUAUCUAUAAAAAGGGGGCCUCCCCCCCUAAUUUGGUAUCUCUGAAUUCAUUUUUGAGUUCUAUUUUCUGUAAUUCCUUCUCCAUCUUGUAUUUUCUACGUAUUUUAAUAAAUUUCCAUUUUGCCCCUAGCUCAAUUAUGAGUAGCUAAUUUUCUUUCAAGCUUGGGUUGAAGGUAAAGUCUCAACAUGUGCCAUAGGCUUUAUUUGGUAAAUUUAUUUUCUCUUCCCCUCUAAUUUUUGUGGAUGUUUUGACUUUUCGUAGACAAAUAAUAAUAAUCUUGUCUAGAUAUCGUCCUAGUUUCACCGGCUCCCUAGUACAAGGUUAUUAUUAUUUGGCACGAUAAGCCCUUAGCACCAUAUUGAUUAGAGUGUGGUUCAUGAGGUGUGGAUACCCCCAUCAUGAUUUAAUUGACACUAAUAAGGAAUAUUUAGCCCAUGGUACAUGUUGAUGCGAAUCUAAAUACCCAAGUGCUUCAUUUAAAUAGAUUUCUCUUCAAUUUAUUCUCGCCAUUUUAAUUUAAAUUUUAGAAUAUUCCAAAUCAUUUUCACUACAAAUCCAAUCACCCAUUUAGAAAAAUUAAUUCUACACAUAAUUAAAAUUCACCUCCUCGUGGGAUCGACACUCAUCACUAUUAAUCUAUUUUACAAUAGAUUCGUGCACUUGGGAGUUCAAUAAAAUUUGCACAACAUAAAGGCUAUAAAUGAGAUUUUGAAAAUUUCUUUUUUCCCUUUUAAGAUUGUGAAUUGGAGAAGCUUUGGAUUUUGGUUGAGUGAUCUUGUUGAUAAUAAUCCUGGCUUUAGUUAUUUAAUGUUCAUGACUUCAUCGUUUAUUCCUUACAGGUUGCAGCAAGUAAAGUUUGAUGAAGGGUUUUUCAAAGCAAAUGAGAGAAAUUAGGUUCCAAAAAAAAAAAAUUAACUGGGUUUAAAAACUGGAUAUUUCCUAGUUUAACCCUUACUGGCCCCUCAGUAAAAAAAUUUCAGUUUUUGUCCAGAUCUAGUAAGAUGAAUUGUCAUCCAAGUCCGAAAUCGGAAAGGCCAAACCCAAACCCAGACUCCGAUUUUGUCAUUCUUAGUGUAGGUGCAGGAAUAAUGUGUAAAAAUUUAAAAGUUUUUAGAUUUUUUGUUUUCAUAACAAAUAAUAGGACUCCAUUGUAGUUGACCUUGAAAAAAACAAAAAGAAGGGGUACCAAACCUAUGUUGCAACGUAAUUUUACUCUUCAAAAGAUGGUAAGAUAAUCAUUAUUAUUAUUUUUAAAUAGGGUAAGAUAUUUGGCUUGACACUACACGGAUCAUUACUUUCCCUAAAUGAAAAUAAGUUAAAUUUGGUCAAAAAUUAUUCAUAUACGUAUAUCUUUAUUGGGUGUGAUUAAGUUACAUUAUAUUGUAAUUUAUAUCAAUUUAAAACUUAUAAUCUAAGAAUAUUUGAUAAUUAAAUUACAUUUAACUUGUUUUGCACAAUUCUUAAACUAAUAUCAACUACACUAUUAUGUAACUUAAUAAAGUCCAUCUUUUCUAAAAUAACAGAUCUAUAUGGGGUGUGGCACCAAAGCCGGAAGCUCAAAACUUGUGAAAAAAAGGGGAAAAAAAGAUAGCACAACAUGACACUAGGGAUAGCAAUGGAGCCCAUAAAUUCGCCUGUCCAAACUUGUCCGCCAAAACCAGCCUGCUAUGUGUAAUUUUGUGAGUUGCGAGCGGGUUUGAUAUCACAAAUUAAAACCUGCAUUGGGUUGCGGGCGAGUUUGGCAUAUGCUAAAUAUCUGCAGGUGUUUGCCAAACCGCACUUUUUUUUCAAUUAUUUUUUAAAUUUUAAUACUUGUUAUAAUUAUUAUAUACAAAUUAAUUUUAUUAUAUAAUUAUGGAUGAUUAUUAGUUAUUAUAUAAUUAUGGAUCAUUACAUAUUAUAAUUUUAUUCUUCAUAUUAGAGUUUGGAAAAUAUCAAUGUUCAGAAAAUAUUAAUCUUAAAUCGUUAUUGUAGGAAUCAUAUUGAAUGGGUGAUAAUAGUGAUGAAUAAAAUGAAAAUCUUAAUUCCUGAAACUUAUGUUGAAUGAGAAUAUGAGAUGAUAAAUUUUUAUGGUACAGUGAUGCUACUUUUGUAUAAUUGUGUUAUUACUUUUGGAUAUUAGUUUGUGUUUUUUCUUUUUUCUUUUUUAUCUGAAAGCAUUUUGCGUUUUGAAGGAUUUGCAUAUUUCAUAUUUAACUUGAGAAUUAGUUUUGGAUUGAUUUUUAAAAUUUAAUUUUUUAUUUACAUUUAUUAAAUUUAGAAUUGAGUUUUUUUGUGAAAUUUUAUGUUAUUGAUAUAAAUUUACAUAUUGAGUUAUAUAAUUUUAAUUUUUUUAGUUUUAUUAAAAGUAUCUUUCAACUUUUUUAUUUUAAAUAUAGGAACUUACAAAAAAUCUAUCGGGUACCAUAAUUAUCAAAAUAAAAUUUAUCGGGUACCAUAAUUAUCAAAAGGGUAAUUUUUAAAAACCUCCCCUGAGGUUUGGGCUUGUUGCAAGUAGAUGGCGAGAAUCUGUUUAUUUGUAAAAAAACCCCCUACCGUCAGUUAAUUUUAACAUUGACCGUUAGUUGACUGUGCAAAGACAAUAUUGCCCUUAACAAUAGUUUGUAGACUGACAUAACUAAAAAAAAAAACUAAAAUUGUUGGCGCGAAAAGUACAAACCCUGUUUUUUGACAAUUUUAUCCUUAUCAAUUCCAAAAAUUUACAAUAUCAUAGGUAAAGAUUAUGACUAUUUCAUUUUCAAGUUUUUUAUUUUAUCUUUCUUGUAUGAACUUUAAGGAAAUAUCAAUAAUUUAAAGAGGAUUUUUCAAGUUUUUAAUUUUAUCUUUUUUGUAGGAACUUUAAGAAAAUAUCAAUAAUUUAAAGAGGGUAAAAUAACCAACAAUUUUGGUUUUUUUUUUAGUUAUUUCCAUCUACAAACUAUUGUUAAGGGUAAUAUUGUCUUUGCACAGUCAACUAACGGUCAAUGUUAAAAUUAACUGACGGUAGAGUUUUUUUACAAAUAAAUUAAUUCUCGUCAUCUACUUGCAAUAAGCCCAAACCUCAAAGGAAGUUUUUAAAAAUUACCCAUUAUUAAAAUCCACAGUAAAUAAGUUUUUUAAAAGAAUUAAAAUCCACAAUAAAUUACAGGUAACUUUAAUAAUUUAAAUUUUGUGCCCCUGUGGAAUCCAACACCAAGAAUACCCACAGUGGAUCAUUAUGAAAGAAAGAUUUUGACUACUUGAAAGACAACGUUUUACUGUAGCAUUGCGAUCCGGGGCAAUUACGUAAAAUUAUAUGGAAGUUAUUUUUCGCGGCACAUCGAUGUUGAUUAUUUCUAGAAUUCUCCUAAUACGCUGAUAUUUUUUUCAUUUCCCAGUCAAUAAUUGGAGGCCACGUGGAUGGAUUACAUUAUCCCACGUAGGCUUCACGAAUUUCAUAAGUUGUGUGAAAGGUCUAGAUUUUCGGCUGAGCGACAGAUGCAAAGCGCAACGAAGCUAACAACGACAGCUCGUUAAUUAUAAUGGAGUUUUUUCAAAACUGCUCCUUUAGCAUGACAUAUUUACUGUACAGUCCUAGUUAUUAAUUAUUAUACAUUCAUAUAUUUAUUAAUUUAUUCGUUACAGGACGACCGUUUAGCUUCUAGAAAAAAUUUUCUUCAAGGAUCUGUCAUAAUUGUUUGGCCUAUUAUGCUAAUCGGUCAGCCUAUUACAGGCUAUUGUAUUUUAGUCCACCCAAUAUUUUUUUAAAUGAUAGAAUAUCCUAAAAAUUUUAAAUAUUUAUAAAUAAAUCGAGAGGCUUGAAAGAAAAUAUUUUUGAUAAAAGAAAUUGAAUUUCUAUUUUCUUCAGGUAUUUUUAAAGCACAUUUAUCACCAAACCAUAAUGUACUAAAAAAUUUAAGAAUUUUGGUGAAUAUAAUGCAUAAAAGGUCUUUGAGUUCAAAUUUCUAAUCAUACAUAAUUGUAGACAAACUAGCUUUACAUGAAAAAUUAAAAAAGAAGAUAUAACCUAAACUAGUGUUUUGAGUAUGAGGCUUGCCUCAACGAACCAUUUCCAUGAAUACCAGAUCUUGUUCUCACAUACAUGAAUCUUGAGUUUGAAAAUCUAAUGAAAUUAAAAAAAUUCUUUUCCUUAAUAUCCUUAACAAAUAGUUUGUUAUUAUCAAAAUCAAAGUUUGCGUAACUACUUGGGUUAAUGCUAACCCUCUCAAAGAAUGAAGUUGAAAAAUUGAGAAUUUAAAGAUUUGGAAAUUGAUAACCACUAAAUAAAAAAUUUGAGAGGAAAGAUUAGACUUAGACAUGGAUCACUAUUAAAAAUUAUUUAUUUUAAGAAUAUAUAGAGGUUGGAUUUUGGUAAAUACAAAUAACUUGAAGGACUUUUUGAACUAUCUUAUUAUUUAACUUAAUAUAUUGUAUAUUGAUUUUUUUUUUAAUUUUCUUACAAGGGUCACGAUCCAUGCUGGUCUUUUAUGGUGUUGCCCCUAUUCGCAUUAAUAGUUUUAAGAUUAAGGUUACUUUACAAAAUUAGUUCACUUACUAUUGUUUCUUGCUUUAGCAGCUAAAAAGGGUGCUUAUAAUAUGCACACGCUGGUGAAUGGGGUGCUCAACACGAAGAUUUUGCCUUAAGCUCAAUUGCUUGUAUAGUCUUUUAGUCUAGCACUGACAUAUUAUUUACGAGAAUUUACAUUUAAAAUAUCUUUUUCUUUCAAGGCUUUUAAUUUAAAAGAAAAAAGAGGGCACUUUCAUAAUUUUAAUCUUUUUUUUUUUUACUAUUUUCACAGAUUUUCCUUUAUAUUUAUUAAUGUGUAUUCACUGGGGACAAUGAAUAUACAUGUAAGGCUUCAAAAUAAUGUGUCAAAACAGCAUUAUCAUAGAUUUUUUAUGUCAUUACGAGAGAAAUUACAAGAUGACAAAUUUCCUUUGCAAAAAAGACAAAGCAUUUUCACCUAUCUCAAAAAGGCUUUGGCUAAGUUACGUUAAACGUAACUUACGCCAGAUACAGCAACAAUACUAGUGAUGGGACUUGUCACUGUUGUUGUGCCUGGCGUAAGUUACGUUUAACGUAACUUAGCCGGCUCCUCUCAAAAAUGCCCAGAUCCUGCGCUUUGCUGGCAAAUCAAAACAUCUAAGCCCAAGAUUUUUUAUUGUUAUUCUAGUGGUUGUCAUUAGCCAACAACAUCUAGUAUUAAUCAACCACCUUUGUGCUUCACACGCGUCACACCAACUAUUUUUGUCCACCAAAUUUGUUAGUUUUAAUUGUAUAUUUAUUUAUUAGUGGUUGGGGUCAUUGCGUGGUUCGGUUGGAAACUUUUUACAAGUGAAUACGUUACGUGGUAAUAGGCAAUGGUGAGUUGAAAUGCGGACCCUUUCUGUUUUCUGUUGAAACCAAACAUGACAUGUUCACUUGCGAGUUGCGAUGGCGUCAAUUGUUAUAAUCGAGUUAGCCGUAUGAUUGGUAAACAUCAAUAAGAGAAGAAAGCCGAGGUACCAUUUCUUUGCAAAAAACUUAAAAGAGGAAAAAAUAGUUUGACGAAUUCAAUAGAUAAUACAAUCUAACAAGAAAAUGGGUGUUGAUAUGGAUCAAAACUGUGCAAUUUUUGUAAAUUUAAAUAGCAUAAAAGAUAUCUCCAACUAUUGAUUAUUCAAGUAUUUAAACCUCUCUUCAUGUAUACAACAAAGGUAUCUUUUAACCUAUUUCAUUAAUAGUCAAAAUUAUAAUGGAAAACUAAUUUUUGCUACAAGCAUAAUUUGGCUAGGCUAGGAGUCCCUUUAUAUAACAAAACUUUGUAAUUAGACACUUGUAAAUUCCUUCUAAUUAAAAAAAUUAAUAAAUGAAACUUUAUACUCCCUUUCAUUAAAGAAGUUAUGAAUCUAAUCACUUUUAACACUUUCGUUAUUAAAAAAAUAAUUAAGUUUCACCACCAUUUAAAAGACGAGCGAGUGAGUGAUUAAUAUAAGUUUAUAUUUUUUCAAAAGUGUAAUAAUUUAUUUAUUUAUCAUAUUAGCUAUAAUUAAAAUAAAUCUAACAAUUUUUUGUUUCUGGUGCGGGGUUGAAAUUUAUCUAUAAUAAUGCUUGAAUUUGAAGGUAUGCACGCCGCAUAAAAUGAUUGCACUAAGCUUUGAAGUGAAAAAAAAAUUGUGCUUCAUGAGGUCAAAUAACCAAAUAAAUAUUCCAAGGUUGGAAAAGGUUAAAUAUCUUUUAGUCAAAGCCAUAAAGCCAAUAGAAAUGACACACAUACACACAAAACAACGGUAGAAAAGAAAGCAAUGUACAACAAAUCAUAGCCGACCACUGCACAUGACAAUGAAAGAGAAUUCCACAACUGACUUAGAUUCAAUCUUGAUUAGUUCUUCGUUAUAUUAUUAUUAUUAUUUAGCAAUGUUAAGGCAUUAGCUCACAUGAGCGCGGCAAGCUCAUAUGCAAGCUGCAUGAAGACAUUUGCAUGUGAAAGAAAACAAUAACACAUAUGCCCAAGGGGGCAAUACCAACUCAUGACCAAGCAAGAUGAGCAAAUUGGUGCCAGUGCAAGACUGAAAAAAGUUGGGUGACUUCUUUAUACCACCACGUUAGAAACUCCUGGGGAAGAACAAGUUGAUUUUGUGACGGCAACUGUUGUGGUCCUUAAUAGAGCUGGUUAGGUUGAUCUGAGUUUUGCUUCAAUUGUGGGCCUAAAAACUCCUGAGUACCUUUCAAGCAAAUCGACAACAUCUAUGUUCAUAAAAAUCCUCUUAAGUUCUUUGUUGGAUAGUAAAUUUUAGAUAACUAGGAAAAUUAAUAUUUUAACGUCUAACACAUGAACACCAUAGUAUUUGAGACCUUAGUUGGAUUUCAAUUGUUUGGAUCCCUACUCCCUAGUAACACUCAUUUAUCAAUGAGAUACAUAAGUCGUUCACCAAAAUAUGAGAAAAGAAAAAUUAUCAAUCAUCCGCCUUAAGUUAUCAUGGUAUAAAAAAUUCUAUAAAAAAUUAAAUUUGUUAAAAUUUUCACCUUAAGUUUGUAAUUUGUAUCAAUUGUCCACCAAAAAGUUAAUUUAUUUUCAUAAUUGAUGAUGAGUAAUUGGUAGUGUCAUUAGAGUGCACCGGAUUUAAAACAUUAUUAACAAUAUAAACAAUUAGUACAUAGCGAGUAAGGAUCGAUCCCAUGAAAACUAUGCUAAUUGUGUUUAUUAUCAACUCUGAAACAAAGACUUAAAGUACUAAUGACGAUGAUGAUGAUGAUAAAAUAUAAAUUAAUCUAACUAAAGAAAAUGCCAACUAUAAAUAAAGGGGGUUUUAUGAAUUUUUAACUAAAUUGCAAGAAAUAAAGAAACUAAAAUUACAAAAAUAAUAGUUUAAUAAAAACUCUAAUUGAAGGAGAAAUAAAUAGUAAUGAUUAAAAUUUUGGUCAAAGGAUGAUUCGCCACCAUCAAGCAUGCACAUAAUCAAUAUAUCAAUUCUAUCAUCAAUUUCUAUUAAAACUAUUAACCGUAGAUAACAAUAAGCUCUGUUAAUCUUAAUUUUUCCUUAAUAUGUUAGGCAGAACAAGUUCUUCACCUAAUCUCUAAUUAUUAAAUAAUUUAAAACAAGCUCUUUAAAUUUGAGAUAAUGGAAGCAUUAAUGCUGUGUUUACUUGCUGGAGUGGGAGUGAGGAGUGUGGAUUCCUUCCACUCCAGCGUUUACUUCUUUAAAAUGGGAAGGGAUUGGAAUCCCACUCCGUGGCCCCACUCAUUUUAGAGUGGGGAGUGAGAGUGGUGGGCCCCACUCAUUUUUGGAGUGGGGAGUGAGAGUGGGACUUCUAUUGGGGGAAUUCCCACUCCCACCUCUCCCUUUUUUACCAUUUUAUUUUUAAUUUAAUUUAAUUUAAUAUUUUAUAAUUAAUAAAAUAAAAUAAAUAAUAAUAUAUUUAUUUGAAUAAUAAUAUUAUAUUUAACUAAAUAAUAAUUUGCAUUGAUUGUAAGUUAAAAUUAUUUUAAAAUAAUAUUAUUAUAUUAAUAGAGAAUUAAUAAAUAUAAUAUUAUUGUAUUUAUUUUAAAAAUAAUAGUACUAUAUUUAUUUAAUAUUAAUAAUAAUAAAUAGUUUAUUCUAAGAAAAUAUUAAUUUUGUACUAAAUAAUAUUAUAUUAUUAUUUUAUAUAAUAAUAAAUUUAAUAUAAUUAUAUUAAAUAAAAUAAAAUAAGGUUUCAUUUUAUAUUAAAAUUAAAAUUAAUAAUUUAUUGUUCAUAAUUAAGAAUAUUAAUAAUUAUAAUAAAUUUACAAAUAUAAUAAAAUAAAUAUUAUGCAUUAAAUAUAUUUUUUAUUAGUUUUGUAAUUAAAAACUAUAAUUCUUUAAAUAAGGAUAAAAUUGUAAUUUGAAACUAUUUACUCCCAAUCCAAGACAAAGUAAACACAUAAAUUGGAUUCUGAUCUCUAUUCCAUGCUUCCAUUCCAAUGUAAGUAAACAACCUACUCCCACUCCCACUCCAAACUCCCAAUCCUAGGAUUCCCACUCCUCAGGAUUCCCAAUCCAAUCCAAGAAGUAAACGCUACCUAAGUAGAUAAAGAUAUUAGGUUGAUUUAGGCAAUAAACACACAAACUUGAAUUAUUUAAUCUAGGUUAUGUUCUCCAAUUGAAAUAACUGAUUCCAAUUUGCUACUAAUGAUUAAAAUAUCAAGACAAUUACAGAUCAAAUAUUUUAAUCUAGUGAUAGAAUUUACUCAAAUCCUAUCUAAUUGGUCACUCAAAUAAGAUAAGAAUAAAAUCAUAAACAUUAAUUAUAAAAGAAUAUAACAAUUUCAAUUAAAUAAAUUGAAUGAUAGAAAUUGAUUUUUUCUCACAUGACAUGUUUAGGGUUUUGAAUUCACCCUCAACCAAAUAAAAAAUUUAACCUAACAUAAUUGAGUUGGGAAUAAAAGAGUUGAUAAAAUCAAUUAUGGAGAUUAAUCCAAAAGGCUGACUUUGCUUUCGUCUAUAUUCGACAGUGCUGCUCCAAUUUAAUACCUUUGGUUUCUCACCAGUGGCGGAUCUAGAAAAAUAAUUUACUGGGGGCUAAAUUAAGUAAAAACAAAAUAUAAAAACUGAAACUUGAAUAUAUAAAUUUUUUGAUAACAUAUUUACAAUUGUUCUCUACACGAUUUCAUAUUCUGACUCAUUAUCAACACUAUUAAAUACAUUUUUUUUUCUAUAUAAACAAUCAAAUUAUCAUUCAUCCAUUCAUCUACUAUCUUAUUCUGAAGUUCAUUUUUCACAAAUUUCAUUAUUGAAAAUGUUCUUUCUACUGUGACUGUAAAAACUGAAAAAAAACAUAACUAUUUGAUAAUUUAACAGAGAUUAUUUAAAAAUUUAUUAAUUUUUCUUUUAAAUAAAAAGGGGUAUUUUUUUUUCAGUGGGGGCUUGAGCCCCCACUAGUCCUACAUUGCAUCCGCCUCUGUUUCUCACUUAUUUUUCUCUUCAUAUGGCUGCCUCCCACUCUUCGGUGUGUGCCGCUUUUUUUUUUUUUUCCUAUUGUGUGUGGCUGCUCCAAAUGCCAAUAACCACGCCUUUAUACAAUGAUUUCAAAAACCAACCCAAGCAAGGCAAGAUUUUUGCAUGCGAUCUUUUAAAUUGGUCAUGUAAAUAUUGCAUGCAACUUAUAAAGUCAUGCACACUAGAUAAAUUUCUAUUUUUUGCAUGCUUGUCCCCAAGGUCUUCAUUAAUUCCACAUGAUUGCAUAAGCUUCUGCAUGUGUAUGAAUUAAUUUAUUGGCUUCAGUUUGAUAGGCUUGAAUUCCACAUGCAUGUAUGCUAAAUUGAUUCUAGUGCUCCACGUAUGCAUGCAUGAUGGAUAAUUAAAUUGCAUCUUCCUUUACUUGUUUUAAUUAAAUUUCUUUACUCCUUCCCCCUUUUAAUUCUUUAAAAUAUAUUUAAAAUUAAAAAAUACAAAAAUCAAGAUAAAUUAACACAAUAAAAUAUAAUUUAAUGAAAUAGCUAAACUAAAAAUUAACUAAAAUAAUUAGAAUAUUUAAGACUAAAACAAGAAAAAGAUUGAGAAAUCAAGUAGUAAAAUAUUGAGAAAAUAUGCACUUAUCAAAUUCUCCCACACUUAAUCUUUACUCAUCCUCGAGCAAACCUAAAAAAAAAAAAAGAACAGAUAGAAAACUUAAACUAGUCCCCUUUCAUAGAAGUCAUGCAAAUGUAACAAGCCUUUAAACCCCUAGGCAGCUCUAGUGGACGAGUUAUAGUCUCAUGAGGGCUUCAUGGAUGAUACCCAAAAACAUAAUUUUUUAAUUUAAAUAGCAUAAAAAGAACAAAAAAAAACUUGAAAUAAACCAUAAAACUAACCUAAAAGAUUGCAUAAGUUAUAUAGCUCAAAGAAAAUUUCAAAUUUGUCUAACUUUAAUUCAAUAGUCAAUCUCAUCUUUCUUUUUAUUCUUAUAAUUUGUGUGUGAAUCAAUUCAAUCAAAAUCCAUUCCCCAACUCUUUAAUAUCAACAACCUUUGCCUUGAACAAAAAAAAGAGUAGGACAAACUAAUCUUAUCAUCUUGAUCUCCAAUUUUUUUUUUUCUCUCAUAGGCAUUUAAGUGCAUUUUCUUUUGAUUUUUCUUUUUACCACAUGCACUUGAUUGAUUUUUUUAAAUAAAUAUCCAUAGUCAAAAGCCUUCACUCUACCCCUUAAGGUAGAUUUCCUCUCAUUGUAGAUUAUCUUCUACAUAAGAAUAACUUCACUCUUAAGGGUUAUAGGUAGCUAUUUCUGACUAUGUUGCUUGUGUAUAUUACAUUAUAUUGUGCAGAUAAAAAUCAAGACAAACGCUUAUCUACUUGAUCUAAAAUUCUCAACUCAGGCUCUAUUAAUCCUAAAUUUUAAGUCAAAAUUAUGAAAGAAUUGACAUUAGUGCUUAUGAUGUUUUAAAGAAGCUCAAUUAAGAGGAAAUCGACAUAAGAAUCAAGUAUAAAAUAAGACAAUAUUCAACCAUUUUUUAGAACCAUAUUCAUUGUCAAUCAAGUUGUUAUCAUUGGUUUUUAUUCAGGGCAAACAAUUUUUUUUUUGGUUUAUUGUUUUUCUAUUUAGAAAAAGCCAAAGCAAGAAAAACUAAGUUUGAAAUCCUCCCUCUCACAGGUAAUUCUUACAUUAUCCUCAAUGUAAGCUUAAUUUCACAGGCCGCUCAAAUCUCCUGCAAACGGAGGCUAAUUUUGUGCACGUGAUUGCACUUAGUAAAAGUCCACCUAAACGAGGAAUGCGCUUAGAAGCGGGAUGCGCUUAGCACUAAAAGGCGGGAUGCGCUUAAAAGUUGGAUGUACUUAGAAAUGAACCGCCAACACAAGUAGCCAACCGUGGUGCGCUUAGCGAUCAUCCAAGCCCGGCCCAAAUUCUAGACUUCUCUACAAUUGUAAAUAUCGUAGAGUUUUCUAGAAUUGAGCAUUUAAGUCCAAGAGAUAUUUGUGCAAGUUGCUAGGAAACUUUAAGAACCUAGCACCCAAGCCUAUAAAUAGGGGUGAGCCCUCUCAUUUGCUCAACAACCACACCACACACACAAACUCUCCAGCGCACACACAAGCCCUCUAAUUCUGGUAAAAAACUCUCUUUGUAAUUUACUCUUUGUGUGUAAUAACAUUAUAUUUUGGCCAUAUCGCUCUCUUCUCUCUAGCAUUUCCAUAAAGCAUUCUUGCUUGGCUAGUUGAGAAGUUUGAAAAGGUGCACUUAGUGACUUGUGUGCUAGAAGUCGAAUAAGUGCCGCACAGGUUUGCUGCACAAAACUCUCAUCCCAUGAAGAAGUGGUAUCAGAGCUAAGGUUUGCACCCGCGCAAGCUAGCUCAACGAGCAAUGGGGUCAACCUUCCUAGAACAACACAAGAGGGCGUAGUCGGUGUGUAGUCACUUGAGCCAACUUAUGGCCGCGAGGAGGGAUGCACACAAGCUAAGUCCUGCGGCAAUUCCAAGGCCGCUUCUGUGGAUGCCUUGGAGCCUUGCACCGCCACACUUGAAAUUUUGAUAUCCAUUGUCCAAGACACCCUCGAUACUUUGGAGGUAAAGGUUGACAGUCUCGAGGGCGAGUAUGGUGAGUUCACGGUAGCCACUAAGACUUUCAUGCAAGACCAAGUCAACUCUCUCCGAAGGGAGUUUCAAGCAUUCUAUGAUGAGUUGCUGAAAUUGCGUAGCUUCGUAUAAAGCGAGCUACAAGUGAUCCAUACGGAGGUUGAUGAGGUCCGCUUGGAUUGGGCUUGGCAUAAGCGCACACUCUCCGCUAGCCCGACUUCGACAAGCUCGAGUGAUGCGUGUAGGAUCGACAUGCCUAAGCCCAACACCUACAAAAGUGCAUGCAAUGCCACCGUCGUCGAUAACUUCAUAUUUGGGCUGGAGCAAUACUUCAAUGCCAUGGCUCUUCAUGACAAGGCAUCGAAGGCAGGCAUUGUGCCUACAUUCCUUCGAGGUGCCGCACAACUAUGGUGGCAGCGAAAGCAUGGCGAGAUGGGCAAGGGCAUAUCUGCCAUCAACACAUGGGUUGAGUUCCAACACGAACUCCCUUAUUUCUGUCCAAAAGGGUUAAUCGUUUAUUAAGUAAACGACAAUCCGUUUUCUUCAACUUAUGAUUUCGCACAUCUUUUUUAUUUUUUGGCCAACAAUUAAUCCAUUCCAAGAUCAUUUCAUUGAUCCAAAAUAUUGUAAAGGCCAAUUUAAUGCAUCUUUCAUGAAUUCACACGAUUCAAACAACCAAUUCAAAUAAGUAAUCACAUCAUUUUAAAACAAAAUAGACUUGAUAUCACAUAAAAUUAUACUAUUGUGCAAUAUUCAUCAUUCCAAGUUCAUGCUUAAUUUUAGUAAAUUGUUCUUCGCUAAAGGGUUUAGUGAAAAUAUCAGCAAGUUGUUUUUCAGUUGAAAUAAAAUUUAAUGAAAUAUCCGAUUUUUUAACAUGAUCCCUUAAGAAAUAAUGUCUAAUCUCUAUAUGCUUGGUUCUUGAAUGUUGGAUAGGGUUUUUUGGCAGGUUUAUGGCACUAGUUUUGUCACACAUGAUAGGUAUUUUAUCAAGGUAAAUGCCAUAGUCUCUAAGAGUUUGUUUCAUCCAUAUGGCUUGAGCAUAACAACUUCCGGCUGCAACAUACUUAACCUCAGUAGUUAAUAGUGCAACCAAAUUUUGUUUCUUGCUUAAACCAAGAGACUAGAAAGUGACCUAAAAAGUGACAUGUUCCACUAGUACUUUUCCUAUCAACCUUAUAUCUCGCAAAGUCGGCAUCUGAAUAACAUGUUAAGCCUAUAUGUGAUCCCUUAGGAUACCAAAGGCAAAGAUCUAUGGUUCCACUCAAGUAACGAAAAAUCCUUUUCACUACAAGAAAAUGAGAUUCUUUAAGACAUGAUUGAAAUCUUGCACAUAGGCAUACACUAAACAUAAUAUCAGGUCUCCUAGCAGUCAAGUGGAGUAAGGAUCCAAUCAUACCUUGAUAUGUUUUGACAUUAACUUCCUUACCUUUUUCAUCCUUGUCAAGCUUGGUUGUUUAGCUCAUUGAAGUAUUUUUUAUCUUUCCAUCUUCAGGUUUGAACCUCUUGAGUAAAUCUUUCAGAUAUUUGGCUUGAUUGAUGAAAAUUCUUUCUUCAGUUUGUUUUAUUUGAAGUCUAAUAAAGUACUUCAAUUCUCCAAGCUCAACAGGCUUGAGGAUUUCACUAAGCAAGUCUCUAAGGCUUCAACAACACUUACAAUUGACUUUCAAGGUGUCAAUAGACCUUUACAAUAAGAGAUUAUUCCCCAAUUCUUAACCCAAGUGUAUCUCAACACUUACAAUCACUCAAAAAUAAAGAUUACAAUUGAAUUUUCUCUCACACAAUGUAUAUGGUUACAAAUGAAAGCUCAAUGUAUGAAUGAAUAAAACAAAAACAAGUUUAAAGCUCAAUAAGAAUUGUAUACACAGUAUCAAGCUCAAUGAUAACUCAUGGAUCACUUUUUAUGUGAAUUUGAUUGAGUCAUUUUAUAGUUGGAGCUAAAAACUAGUCGUUGUUGACUUUCUGCACACAGGCCGAUCAUCGUUAGCGUUUAUCGAAUUGCCGUUUUGACUUGAGCAAGUGACCGUUGUGCUAUAAUUUCAAAUUGUCGGAUCAACAUUUUCUGAAUGUCGGUUUGCUGUCAGUGUCCAGAAACUAAUCUUUAAUUUUGUUCGAUGUCAGUUAACCAUUAAACGUUUAGCCGUUUGCUACAGUGAAACUAUUAUAGUUUUACCUCAAAACUUUCUAUAAUUAUACUAUGGCCCAAAUCUUUAUAAAACUUUACAAAUAAGUCCACUUCCAGAGUUUUGAAACAAUACUAGUUGAUUUCAAAGUUCUCAAAACUUUUUCAGUUAGACCAUGAACUUGAAAAACAACCAAUUUCAUGAAAUCAUUUUUCCUUUAAAUAUAAAUAGUGAUUUAUUUAAAAUGUAUGUAAAAUAAUUUGAGCUUUUAAAAACUUAAUCAUUCUUAAUCUUAUUUGUUAUCAUCAAAAUCAUCAUUAUAGACACAUUCAUGUUAACACUAAUGAUGGAGAAUUCAAAGGUGAAGGCCAUCCUUGAGUGGGAACCUCCGACCAAGUUACUCGAAGUCUGAUCCUUCCUCGGAUUGGUGAAUUAUUACCGUCGCUUCAUCAAGGGAUACUCAGUGAAAGCGGCACCCUUGACCGACUUGUUGAGGAAGAAUCGAACAUGGCAUUGAUCCAAAGAAUGCCAACGUGCAUUCGAGGAGUUGAAGAAGGCUACCUCCGAAGAACCCGUCCUCGUUCUUUUGGACCACACAAAGCCAUUUGAAGUAAAAAAGAAGGCAAGAAGGCCACCUAAUAGCAUUCAAGAGUUGGAAGCUCAAUAACACGGAACGCCACUACACUGUGCAAGAGAAAGAAAUGGCUACAAUCAUUCAUUGCCUACGAGUGUGGUGACAUUACUUACUUGGCUCACACUUUGUGAUUUUAACGGACAACGUAGCCACAAGCUACUCCCAAACACAAAAGAAGUUGAGCCCCAAGCAAGUAAGGUAGUAAGAGUUCCUUGCGAAAUUCGACUACCAGCUUGAGUAUAAACCCAGAAAAGCCAACUUCGUUGCAGAACUUCGUUGGAAAUGUUGUGCAAAUUUUAAUGUACUCGCAAGCGUACGAAUCUAUUAUAGUAUAGACUAAUGGUGACGAGUGUCGAUCCCACGAGGAGGUGGAUUUUAAUUACGUGUAUAAUUAAUUUUGUAAAUGGGUAGUUGGAUUUAUGGUGGAAAUGAUUUGGAAUAUGCUAAAACUUAAAUUAAAAUGGCGAGAAUAAAUUGAAGAAAAGUAUAUUGAAAUUACGUACUUGGGUAUCUGGAUCCGUAUCAACAUGCAUUAUGGGCUAAAUAAUCCGUAUUAAUGCCAAUUAAAUCAUGAGGGGGGAAUCCACACCUCAUGAACCACGCUCUAAUCAAUAUGGUGCUAAGGGCUUAUCGUGCCAAAAAAAUAAUAACCUUGUACUAGAGGGCCGGUGAAACCAAGGCGGUAUUAGACAAGAUUAGUAUUAUUUGUCGACGAGAAGUCAAAACAUCCACAAAAACUAGAGGGGAAGAGAAAAUAAAUUUACCAAAUGAAGCCCAUGACACAUGUUGAGACUUCACCUUCAACCCAAGCUUGAAAGGAAAUUAGCUACUCAUAAUUGAACUAGGGGCAAAAUGAGAAUUUAUUAAAAUACGAAGAAAAUACAAGAUGGGGAAGGAAUUACAGAAAAUGGAUCCUAAAAAUGGAUUCAGAGAUAUCAAAUUAGGGGGGAGAGGCCCCUUUUUUAUAGAUACAUGGAGUAAAUCAUGACCAUCGGAUUAAAAACAGUUUGGACGCUCAGGAUUGCGCCACGUCAUCAGUCAACAGUACGCGGUUUGACCACGCGGGUGAACAGUAACACAGUUUGACCCGGCUUUGAACAGUAACGCGGUUUGACCCGGCUUUGAACAAUAAUGCGGUUUGGUUGAAAAUAAUCCUGUGUAAUGCGUGUACCGUACGCACAAGUUUUGGUCCACUAAUAUGCUGCUACGUCACCAUCAACAGUUCAUAAGAAUUUUAGACCAACAGGAUCAUGACACCUCAUUAGUCAAUGCCACAUCAUCAGUCAAUGCCACGUCAUCAAUCCGUCUAUGUGAACAGUGUCGUGAACAGUAACGUAGACAGUACCGUACAUGUGAACAGUGCCAUUUUCCUUUUAUGCUCCUCCUAAGGUUUUCGACCGUCCUGAGUUCAAAAGUGAUGUCCGUUUUGCUGUUUGAUCUCUCGUUUAUUGUGAAAUGACUAUGAUGCCCCUAAAAUACACAAAAUACUUAAUUAAAAUAAAACACACAUAAUUAAAUUACAAGAACCUUAAAUACAUAAAAGUAAGGGUUGUUAGUAAGACUUGAAAUAUAAAAUGAUGAUUUUCUCCUUUAUAAAUAUACAUUUUCUAACACUCAACAGGAAACACUUAGCAUGAGCCAUCUGAAGUUUGACCUUAUUGCACACAUCAAGGAAGAUCUCUAACAAGACCCACUAGCAAAAGACUUAUUGGGGAAAGUUCUCGAGGGUAAGACAAGGUGAUUUUGGCAAGAGGAAGGCAUCCUCCUCACCAAGGGAGACUGACUCUUCGUGCCUGGGUGGGGAAAUCUGCGGAAAGAAGUCAUUAAGGAGUGCCACGAUUCCAAGUGGGCUAGGCACCCCGAAGUAGAGCACACGACCACGCUCGUCCAAGCCUUGUACUUUUGGCCGCAUAUGAGAGACAACAUUGAGGCUUAAGUGUGGACAUGUUUUGUAUGCCAAUUAGACAAGGCGGAUCAUCAACUUCCGAUAGGAUUGUUGGAGCCCUUGCCAAUAACAUCAAGGCCAUGGAAGAGUGUCACCAUGGACUUCAUUUCAACCUUACCCAAGUUCGAAGGGUGCAGAAGUAUCAUGGUUGUGGUCGACUACUAUAGCAAGUAUGCAACAUUCAUCGCCACACCAACUGAUUGCAAAGCGGAUUCAUUGGCCGCUUUUGGACGAAACCCUUCAAGUUGUUAGAACCGACCUCAAGUUCUCGACAAGCUUCCACCUACAAAUCGAUGGCCAAACCGGGCACAUCAACAACCUCGUUGAAAUUUAUUUGAGGCAUUAUGUAAGCACUCAUCAGCGAGAUUGGGCGAAAUUGCUCGAUGUUGCUCAAUUCUCUUACAACCUUUAACAGAGUGAGGCUACAUGCAAGAGUCCGUUCGAGAUCAUCAUGAGAUUUCAACCUAUGACGCCUAAUGCCAUCUUACGGGAAAAAGCCCAGUGGCUCAUUAGCUCGCCUGCGAAUGGCAUAAGGAAGCGGACAUAACAUGAACCUUUCUUAACAAAGCCGCACGAAGAAUGAAGAAAUAGGCUGAUUCUAGGAGAUGUCACAUUGAAUACAGGGAAGGCGAGAUAAGUCAUGGUCAAGCUCCCACCCCAAUAGUUCAAGACUUUUUGAAAAGUUCACAAGGGGUUAGUGAGGCGAUAUGAGGGGUAUUUCGAAGUAGUACAAUGUGUCGGCAAUGUCUCAAGACAAGCCCCAACCGCCAUUGUCACCUCCACAUCCUCGCCGAUCAAGUCAUUUGAAGAAGGGGUAUACCAGCGUACAACGAGUACUUGGUUAAGUGGAGGAACCUCCUCGAGACUGAAGCAACGUGGGAACGUGAAGAUGACCUAUGGCAAUUCACGAAGCAUGUCUAAAACUACAAGCACAAGACCGCGAUGAAGACACCGUGAGCAUAGGUAAGGGAGGAUUGUCAUGGGCCGCUCAAAUCUCUCGUAAACGGAGGUUAAUUUUGGGCGCUUGGUUGCGCUUAAUAAAAGUCCGCCUAAACGAGGAAUGUGCUUAGAAGUGGGGUGCGCUUAUCACUAAAGGCGGGAUGCGCUUAAAAGUGUGAUGCACUUAGAAAUGGGCCGCCAACAUAAGUAGCCAGCCGUGGUGCGCUUAGCGUUCAUCCAAGCUUGGCCUGAAUUCUAGACUUCUCUACAAUUGUAAAUAUCCUAGAGUUUUCUAGAAUUGAGGAUUUAAGUCCAAGAGAUAUUUGUGCAAGUUGUUGGGAAACUUCAAGAACCUAGCACCCAAGCCUAUAAAUAGGGGUGAGCCCCCUCAUUUGCUCAAUAUCCACACCACACACACAAACACUCCAACACACACACAAGCUCUCUAGUUCUUGUAAAAAGCUCUGUUGUAAUUUACUCUUUAUGUGUAAUAACAUUAUAUUUUGGCUAUAUUGCUCUCUUCUCUAUAGUAUUUCCGCAAAGCAUUCUUGUUUGGCUAGUUGGGAAGUUCGAAAAGGCUUACUUAGUGACUUGUGUGCUAGAAGUUGUCUAAGGCCCACAUGAGUUGACUGCGGAAAACUCUCAUCCCGUGAGAUUAAGCUAACAAAAGAAAGAAUUAAACAUGGGGAAACUAGAUGAAAGACAUAAAUGGAAAACUAAAUAAAAAUAUAAUGGAUAAAGUAAAUGAGAAUGAGAGAGAGAAAGAUUAAAUAUGUUAUGGCAUGCUCUCAAAAUCUAUUCUCCAGCCAUUGGGUUACCUCCCAAUAAGCGCUUGGUUUUUUGUCAUUUGCCUAACUUGGUUCUCAUGUUUUACUCAUCAACGUACGUAAGUUCGUAGAGUGGAACCUCUUUUACAAUAAGUGUCUGAAAGUUCUCAUAGUAAGGCUUCAUUCAACCUAUGACCAUUCAUCAUGAACUCUUUAUUUGUUUUUAAGAUCCUAAUCUCAACUACACCAUGAGAAAAAAGUUAGUAACAACAAAAGGCCCAACCUAUGGAGAAUAUAGCUUACUUGGAAACAACUUAAGGCGAGAAUGGAAUAGCAAAACUUUCUGUCCAACUUCAGGGCUCUUCCUUAAAAUCUGCUUAUCUUGAAAAGCCUUUGUCUUUUCCUUGUAAAUCCAUGAAUUCUCAUAGGCAUCGUUCCAAAUUUUCUCUAAUUCUUGCAAUUGGAGCUUCUUGUGUCGGCCGACAACAUCCAACGCCAUGUUACAUUGUUUCACAGUCCACCAUACUUUUUGUUCGAGUUCCAACAGAAGAUGACAAGGCUUACCAUAUACCAACCAAUAAGGAAGGGGUGUUUGGGGAUUGGAUUUUGCGGAUGAGACAUUAAUUUAUAUUUUAUCCAUGAUUUUGUGGAUUGUAAAUUUUCAAUCCAAUCCAAUCCACAGAUUGGUGAAUUCAAUCCAAAUCCAAUCCAUAUCUCUGCGGAUUAAAAUUAUUUUAUGGAUUAAAUUUUUUUAAUUUUGUUCAUUCUACGAACUAAUUAAAUAAAAAAACCUAAUAUAAAAAUAAUUUUACUACCAAUCAAAUUCAAAAUUGAAUAGAUUUAAAUAAAUAAGUGUUUAAAUAAACUUAGACUAAUACAUUCAAAAGUCUCAAACACUACUAUAAAAAUGACCUUUACUGACACUUAGUUUUCUGACACUUUGUAAAAAGUGUCAGUAAUUAUGUACAUUUCACCUUUUUCUACUUUUAACAAAUGGGUAUCAUAAAUUAUUGAUACUAGUGUGUCAGUAAAUUAAACAUUAGAAAUUAUUGACAUUAAAGUAUCAUAGAUUAAAAAAGAAUGUUAGAAUUUGUAAACGUUUCAACUCAAAUCUAAUACUUCUAAAAUUUAAAAUGCUUAUGUUUGGUCUACAAACCACUAAGACACAAAUAUUAGAUUAAAAAUUAAAAAAAUUAAAAAAAUCCCAUCUCCAUCAAUCUCAUUUCCCCUUUCAUCAUAAUCAAAACAUACAAAUCAAAACUUACAAAAUCCCUAAAUCCACCAUGCCACCGACAUACCCAAAACCUCUCCACCACUUGCGUCACUCCUUUCGACUAGCCAUUGUCAUCAUCUCCUAUGCACCAAGAUCUAGUCUUUUUUGCUGCAGCCAUCUCUCGACAUCUCCUAAGCACCAAAGUUGCAAAUCCACUGCCGUGACUUAGGAAUUUGUGUCAUCACCAAUAGCUUAUUUGCUCUUCUUCACGAUAAUGCCCCCUCUUGUCCUCUAAUUGCCUUCCAUAAUCUUAUGUUUCUUGUUUUUGCUUUUUGUUUUUUGCGUUGUAGAUUUUAUCUUUGUUCUUAAAAUGUACUAACCUUACCUUAAAAAAGGAUACAUGAUCUUAUUUGAAUAAUCUUAUUUGAUCUCCUAGAAGAAGAUUCAUCAACCAUGGAAACAAACACAUCUUCCACUUCUACAUCCUCUUCAUCUCAUAUUUCUCUUUCUUCUACUCUCUCUCUUCCCAAAUCAUGCUCUAAACACAUAAUCUCCAAAAUUGAGAAUCUUGUUGAAUAUUCUUAUAUUCCAGAAUCUGCUCAAAUCAAUGAGUCCCAGUUUCCCAUCAUGAGUCCUUACAAUCUCUACAAACAGAAAACUUCUUUCACUAGAAGUAUUCGGACCCUCAUCUCCACUAAAAGACCACUCCCAAAAGAGUAUAUCCAGUCUUCUAGACUGGACCAGUGUGCUCUAUAAGCCUCACAGAGUGAACAAUAUGUCACUAUGAAAAUACCUUCAGAUCUCGUCGCCAACUGGAAACGAGAAGGCUACACACACCUCCAUCUUGGUGGUGUACGAUUAAUUCUCACUCUUCAUGGUCGAAAAGGCUUACCUGUUACAGCUAGAAUUGCUCUCCUAGACACCAGGUUCAAGGAGUACCAACACACUGUUGUCGGCACCGUUCUGACAACCCUUCAUGCUGGCAGUGUUAUUAACCUUUUACCCCAAUUUCAACCUCUCUCUUGAGGAUCCCAAUCUUCCAACAACCCUUAAAGUCCAGAACCAGCUCCAAGGAGCAGAACAAACACCCACAUCAAAGAUUGCAACCCUCCAUCAUCAAAUAGUCUAUCGAUUACAGAAUCAUGCCCUAGAUCUUCCUACACCGUACACAACUUCUGAUGCCUUGAUGAUCUUGGCAGACAGACACAAUUCCAACCAUUAUCCAAAUCCCCAAACAAAUCCAGAAACAAGAAUUGCUCAAGCUCAUGCCUCUUGAAUGGCUAACUAACUAUGAGCAUUUUCACUAAAAUUCAGAACUAGUAGAAACCACAGAAGCCACGUUUAACAGACGACCAAAUGGUCAAGUUAAACUAUCUUUUCAAACCCCUAACACCGAGCCUGUUUCAAACAGUCCACAGCUUUCCUAUACUGCUAUGAUCACAACAGUUCAAACUGGUCAAGAAAAGAAACUUCAUAUUCAUGGUUUUUCCUCCGAAGGGUAUCCAGUAUAUCCUGAUAAAAUCAAUGGUCAUUUUCUAUGGGAUGUUCCUGAAGCCCAUAUGUGCAACCCGGAUUGUCCUUGCUUGGAUGAUACAUAUAUUGACGAAGAAUUGGAAAUUAUGCGGAGAAAGAAAAAGAAAAAGAAAAAAUCUUCUUAUCCACCAUCAUCUUGCAAAUCUUUUCCUCCACAUCCUCCACCAGAUCCCAAACCUCCUGUCCAUCCAAUCAGAUCUUGCCUUAUGUUUUCAAGUCACUCCUAUGAAGAAUCCUUUCCUCCACUUGAAAAACAGACAGACACACAAACUCGUGUCACCUCCAAACCUUUGUUCAAUCUCCAAUUACAGCCUCUGGGCAACCUGAAGAACCAAAACAGUAUGAAGCUGUUUUGAAUUGGCAAACCAAAAAUGCCAAUGCUCAAAAUCAUACUCUCCAACAACUCGGUAAGAAAAUUGACCGUGUUGCCACUCAAGUCUCCCAGACUGAAACUAAAGUUGAUUUGAUCAGCAGUCGUUUAGAUCAGAUGUAUAUACAUCUCCAAGACUGGAUCUCUGAGCUAGAUGCCGAUCUUAGACGGAUGAUCAACAAUCAUAUCUAGGGUCUAGAGUUUAAUAAAAAAGAAGCCGAGAUCAGAAAACUCAAAGCUGAAUUGUCUAGGAUUGAUGCUGAAAAGACUCGACCUUCCCUUUUUACUCAAUCACAACCUACACCCGUAUCUCCUCCGUUCUUUGAAACUUAUUCACCCUUCUACACACCAUCCCGGCCUCAACAACCUGUUUAUAAUCAGUUCUUUGGUUUCUCCCACCUUCAACCGACUCCUCAACCAUCUUCACCCAAAAAGGCACGAUCUAAAGUCAAAAUCUCCGAACCACGUCCCAAGGCCACUUCCUCUUCCUCUACAUCUACAAUCCCUCCAGAAGAAUCACCACAAGACCGUCCCGAGCCUCUUAACAAAGAUAAAGGCCCAAUGGAUCAGUAUCAUUAUCAUACUGUCCAGACCUAAUCUUCAGAUUCCUCCGACUCUUCUGAGCCUGAAACACACAAUUCAUGUUCGUCCUCCUCUUAUGACUCAUCAAAUGCCUCCACUGACUCCGAGUCUGAAUAUGCUGACAUUACCGGCAUAUUAAUGGCCACUGAAACUGCAGAUCCAAGUGCCUCUACUUCAACACCCAUUGUUGAUGACAAUCCUUCUAACCAAGCAUCUCAAACAGAACCCAUACCACCACCAGUUCAUGAACACUCAGCAAAACCAUCUUCAGCAUCUUGAUUUACAUUUGAUGACAUUCCCCGUCACAAAUGGGCUGCUAGACUUCAAGAAUUUGCUGCUUGGAUUGAUCUCCAAGGUACCAAGCCUAAUGCUCAACCUCAAGCCGUUCUACGUGAAUUCAUGGACCGCUCUACGGGUUCUUUACGAGACUAGCUAGAAAGCUUAGGAGAAUAUAGACAGCUCCAAUUCAUGGAAUCUCUGAUUGGUACAGCCCUCAAUCUUAUUCAUGAGCAAUUCAUCGGUGAAAAAACUGCUUCCACUGAAGCAGACUGAAAAGAAUACCAUCAGAUGAAAUGUUGUUCUCUUAAAAGACAUCUUCUGGAUGCUCAUUACAAAAGAAUGAGUAUUCUCUUCUACAAGCUAAAUGGGUUCAAUGAGCCAUCUCUUAAACAUGUCUUCAUUGCCUCUCUUCCCCCUGAGUUACAACCCGAUCUUCAAAGAAAACUCACAGCCACAAAUCUGAGCAUAACUGAUAUCUCUCUGGGAAAGAUUUUUCAAAUGGCCAUGCUAUCUCUUGAUAAGAUCUGUGAACAAAAAGAAUUCUUAAAAGAUCUCAUGGAAGACAAGAAACCCUUCUCUGAAGCUUGUAAAAAACCUUAUCUCAAAAUCGAGUGUAAGGAUGAAAAGAAAUGUGUUUGUCCAACCACAAAGAAACGACAUUUCCGGAAACACUUCCACAGAAAGUCAUCCUCCAAAAAACCUUUUCGGUAUUUCAAAAAGAAAGAUGUCUCUCAGUACCGGAAGAAAAAAUCCAACCGUUGUUUCAUUUGCAAGAAACGCGGUCACUUUGCCCGUAAUUGUCCCCACAAACCAGCCAAAGCUGUUCGUCUUAUACAACAUCUUCAACAUUCUUCUUUGCUAUCUGAGAAUGACGAUGUCGAAUCAAAUUUUUCAGAACAGUCAACACAAGAUGAUCAGACUGCCUUUCUAAUUAUAGAAUCUUCAGAUUCUGAAGAUAUUUAUGUCAUCUCUACAGUUCAAACUGUUAACCAUGUUUCCACUACUCCAAGGCCUUCUCUCAAGAUGUCCAUCCUUCCUUCCAAAUUCCAUAAACCUAUUCCUGUUAUUGGGUUCAUUGACACUGGUGCGGAUACCAGUAUGAUUGACCCUUCUGUUCUUCCAUCAGACAGUUGGGAACCUCAUUCUAAACUUUUCAGAGCAGUUAAUGGUGAGACCUUUGAAACAACUUUGAUUACCAAAAAACCCAUUGGUAUUCAAUUCUUUCCGAAUUGUAUAAUUUGGAAAAAGAUUGUAGCCUCCAAACUUCCAGAUAAAGAUUUACUCAUUGGUUUUGACAUUCUUCAUUUGUUAAAACCUUUUCCUUACCAUUUUUGGAGUUCGUUACUAACAAAUGUUCUUGCAAAAAAUAGACACUCUCCGUCUGUAUGCCCUUUCAGAGACACCAUCUCCAUACAGUCAUAUCUCACAAAAGCUCUUAGAGUUCUGUCCAGAAAACCACUCACAGUUCCACCAUCCUUCACCUCUUUGGAAAAAUGAACAAUUCUUCAUUCACCUUCCUUUCAAACUCAAUGAAGACAUAAACCCCACAAAAGCAUCACACCCGAGUAUGUCUCCUUCAGACCUCUUACUUGCCAAGCAAGAAUGCUCUCAGUUACUCCAACAAGGUCUUAUUGAGUCUACUGAUUUAGAUUGGGCUUGUCAAGCCUUUUAUGUUGAAAAACGAUCUGAAUUAGUUCGUGGGAAAAAGAGAUUAGUAAUUGAUUACCAGCCACUCAAUUCUUUUCUUAAAGAUGAUAAAUUUCCCCUUCCAAAAAUCCAGACCCUGUUUGUCCAUCUUCAAGGGGCUCGUAUCUUCUCUAAGUUUGAUUUAAAAGCUGGUUUUUGGCAACUUGGUAUUUCACCAGUUGACCAUCACAAAAUUGCCUUCUGCAUCUCUGAUGCCCAUUACCAAUGGAUGGUUAUGCCUUUUGGUCUCAAAGUCGCUCCCUCCUUAUUUCAAAAAGCCAUGACAAAAAUCUUUAGUCCUAUUCUCCAUCAUGCAUUGGUCUACAUUGACGAUAUCUUGUUACUUUCUUCUGACCAUGAGAGCCACCAGAAGCUCCUUUUGGAUUUCUUUCACAUUGUGCAGGCACAUGGCAUCAUGCUUUCCGAAAAGAAAAGUAGCAUAGGAAAGGAAUCAAUUGACUUUCUUGGCAUGGUGAUUAAAGACAGCCAGUAUCAGCCUGGUCCCCAUAUUGCAAUCGAAUUACUCAAGUUUCCGGACACACAUCUCAAUAGAAAGCAGAUACAACAAUUCCUCGGGAUUGUUAAUUAUGUCCGUGAUUUUAUCCCAAAAGUUGCAAUCCACACCAGCCAGCUGUCACGCAUGCUCAAGAAACAGUGCCCUCCAUGGGGCCCUGCUCAGACAGAAGCUGUCAAGCAGCUAAAGGUGAUAGCACAAGCACCUCCUCCACUUCGAAUUCCCACAAGUGGACAACGCAUCCUCCAGACUGAUGCCAACGAUGAUUAUUAGAGUGCCAUUCUCCUUGAAGACAUCAAUGGCGUGCGUCAUUUCUGUGCACAUGCAAGCGGACAGUUCAAAGACUCUGAAAAGAACUACCAUGUGAUCUACAAAGAGAUUUUGGCAGUCAAAUAUGGAAUUAAGAAAUUUGAAUUCCAUCUCAUCAGCCACAAAUUCCUUAUCAACAUGGAUAACUCUUCUUUUCCCCGCAUCUUUGACUUCAAGAACAAAUUGCUACCUGACAAGCAAUUAUUCAGCCUCAAAACCUGGUUUGCUAAGUAUGAUUUCACUGUUCAACACAUAAAAGGCAACCAAAAUCUCAUUCCAGACUUCCUCACCCGUCCAACUAUAAAUAAACCCGCACUCAUUUCCUUAAUUCAAACCAUUCCAGUUAUAGCCAUGAAUCACCAACUUCCUUUCAAAGCUCUCAACCAAAGAAAUUUCCCCAUGAACAUCUCUUUCCAAUCGGCUUACCAACUUCAAGAUUUUGCAAAGAAAUUCCUUUACAGGUUUUUCUUUAAUGUUCAGACCAAAAAACCUGACCGCUUUCCUAAUCUUUGCAUGGAGCACCUGUUUCUCACAGGCCUCACUCUGUCAUCUCUGUCAUCUCUGUCCAUCUCUGAAGAUGAGCUUUGGUAUAUGUGGUGUCUCACCACCUUGUAUGCUACAAAGCUAGUUUUUCCCAUCAAACCAAUCCUGACUCACCUUACCACUCCAGAGUUCUCACCAGACCUUCUAUGGACUCUCUUUGAAUGGUAUUCCCCCCUCACGUGGUGGCGCCAACAACUCCAACAUUUGUCUACCUUUCAUGGAUUAGACAAAAUGUCAGCACAAGAAGCUAACAUGUGGACUACAGCCUUCAUUGUCCACAGGCCUUAUUUUCAGCAUCCAGAAACACGGGACUACUGGACACAAGACAUGGCACAUGAAUGGAGAACUUACCCUCAUCCUUAUACCUUCAUCCAUGAUACAUCGGUCACCUCCGUGCUCAAAGCCUAUCUCAUGGAACUUAACAAUGUUCCUCCACCUGCCACAGAUAUUCACCACACCUCCAUUGGACCAUCACACACCCUUGAAAUAAUUCCAAAAACACAAGGCUGUACUCCAAGUUCAAGUUCAAGUCCUCACGGAAUCCUUGUAAUGGAACAACGUCCUGACUAUACUAAUGUCUUAUUCCAAGAUGCUCAGGACCCAUGGGAAGACUUUCAGUCCCUUCUCCAUACUAACACUCCCCGUUAUACUGUCACAAACCCAGACUCUCCUGCUCCAUCUUCCUCACAGCACAUGUCUGAAGUUGAUGAAGAAAAGUAUCAGCAAGCUAAGGCGUAUCUCGACCAGAGACAGAGGCGUCGGCACAAGUGCCAAUAUGAAAAAGACACAGGCGACGUGUCACCAUCUCGUUAUCCCUCCACUCCAUGACAACGCCUUAUUUUUGUCGCACGAGUUUUGAUAGCACAACCCAUGUGACUCCCGUUUGUCUUUUGCUUUACUUUUGUCAAAGUCCUUAUCAGCAUGGUUUGCUGUCAAAAAAGGUGUGCUAUGUGAUAUGAUCAUUCGAGAGGUCCUGUUCUCAAUGAUUGUCUAUAAAAGGCACCUUUGGUCUCAGUUGUAAGGGAGCCAAUCUGAAAAAUAAAAGCUUAAGUUUUACACAUCAUGUUUCCCUAAACCUCUCUCUCUCUCUUCUAGGAAUCGAAGAAAUUAUUUGAAUUAAUAAUGGUACGCUCACCUCAAAAUUUCUAAACUGAGUAUGCUCUGCACUUGCCUCGAGCCUGAGGAUCCUGUGCAUCAGAAAGGUCCUGUUUAUCCUCCAAAACCGAUUUCUCUACAAUGAAAGUGUUUUCUCACAACGUUCACCCUCUUUAAAGGUUUUCGGGUGGUAUCGUGAAAAAAUUAUUUUCAAAAAUGAAUUUCGGAUUUGGUAUUAACUGGAUAAGUGUAUAUCGGCUGGAAACCAAAGUGUGCGGACUACUGGCCCAAAGGAGAUUUAAAUAUCUUGGCUUACCAAGGAUCUCAUCACUCUAGUGUAACAACGCCAUGUUUAGUUUUGUGGGCAUAUUUUAAUGGGAAAUUUUUAAGAUUUAAGAAAUGAAAAAAAAGAGUUCAUAAUUUUCUAGCUAGUGCCAGAAAGAAGAGCAUAUUCCUUUGCUAAGUUCUUGCUUCUUUGCAAAGAGCAAACAUUCUUGGUAUGUGAAAAUUGCUAAUUUACAUUGUAAUGGAUUGUAGCACACACUAGAUAGAUGUCAUUUUGGUCAAAUUUGGACUAGGUUACACUCUCUCAAUUUUUAUUUCAGACCCUCAAAUUAUGAUACAUGAAAAUUUAUAAGACAGUACUAGAAAAAAUUGAGGUUAUAAUCAAAAUUAAGGACGUUAUACCAAAUAUGCUUAAAAGGGAAUUAUGUCAAAGAUUUGAUAGUGUAACUUUAGAUGAGUGAUGUAGAUAUAGUAAAUGUUACAUACAACAUUUUUAUGCUUUGAACCAUAUUUUGCUUUGGCCACCACUAAGGCUCUUGUUGUUUUCAUUUUCAAUUACUUUGCUUUAUAAUCCGAAACAAAUUGUUUGCUUAUUGAAGGAAAAUUAAACUUCAAAACAUUUGGAGAGGUAGAAAGAGAUACUUAACUUGUAGAAAAUGACAUAUGCAGAUGCCUUCUUAUUAGUUACUGAAAAUCUACCAUCAAAUCUCAUUGCUCCAAAACUAAGAAAAAUUUCCAUGUUAAUUUUAUUUUUUAUUUUUCAUUUUCUUUUAAAAGCCAUUAUUAGCUUAUAAAAUUGUCAUAAGUUUCAACCUGAAAGCAUAAAAAUGUAGUAGAUUAGUUGAAGAUGGGAUUUGUAAAUGAGGACCAUAAAGACUCAUAUGCAAACAAUCAACUAGCAAACUGAAAAGUGUAGAUUUUGAUGAGAGACUCUUUUACUGGACUCAGCUACAAUCUUUUACUUACCCCACUCUAAUUUACUCACAUGUCUUGUUACUAGAAUAUGAAAUUAUUCCCAAUAGCUUUUUAUUGAAAAGUUGAUUAAUUUCCUUUUUCAAGUGGAACUAUCAGUCAAAUGAUUAAUUGUUUUUAUUUAUUCUUUUGCUGGGUUCAUGACCUCACACAGUGUUUAACAAGUGACAUAUAACCAACAAGAUAAAAUAUAAUAUGAUUUUGCUUCUGUUUUAAUACACAGACACACACACAUAUCUAUAAACAUAUGUGUACAUAUAUAUACAUAUAUCUCUCUCUCUCUAUAUAUAUAUAGACACACACACACACACACACACAUUGUAUUUUUCAUAUGUGUGUAUAUAUAUAUAUACACGCGCGCGCGCACACACACACAUACAUAUGUAUGUACACACAUACAUAUGUAUGUACACACAUAGAGAGACACACACAUAUUACAUAAUUGCUUGCCAUUAAUACUUUAUCGAAUUUCCACCAUCAAUGGCAGGUAUGACUCAUGCAUAAAUGUAUACGAAGCAUAUGUUUCUUAUAAGAAUCUCUUUAAUUUAUAGGUGGGGCAUAAGUUGCUAAUCAAUUAGAGGAUUGUUCAGCUAAAGCUAUAGUUUCAGCUUUAGUUGUGUCUGGACCUACGUUGUUUUGGAUAUUUAAGAAGGUAUUAGUUUAUGUGAUAACAAAACUUCUUGUCCUCCUUGUAAUUGUAAUUGCAAUUGCUGUCCUCUCUUUUUCUUCUCAAGAUUGCGUCUUGGUAAGUUUUGCUUUCAUGAUUUUUGUUUGUGGGUUAUUUUCAAGUCGUGGGUUUGAUUGAUUAUAUGCAGAUUAGAGUGAAUUUGUAGAUUACUUAUUUUAAUGAUUUAUUUUUGUGGGUUUGCUUUCAAGUCUUGAUUUGUUUGGUUAAAUGCUUAUUAGAGUAAAAAAUUAGCUUGAGGUUUUGAUCUAUAGCUGUUGCUAAUUUUGAAGUCUGAGGUUUGUGCAUAAUUGAGUAGUUAUAGUAAAAUAAUCUCCAAAAUCUAGCUAAUUACAGCUCAAAAAGUACAAAAUUUUAGCCUUCUAUCACUACUCAACAGAUGAAAAUGUCUCUUUUCAAUCAAAGCAACAUCUUAAAAAUUUUCUUCCAAAGUUUCCCAUAAAUUCUACUAAAUCUCAAGCUUCUGAGUUGGUGCUGAGUUGGUGCUUUACAACGUAGCCAGCCCAUAGAGGUACUAGACUAUUACAUAUUGUUACUAUUUUAAGGCUGUGAUGUGUGAGUGGUCCACUGAUUAUUAAUGUUAUUAUCAUUGUUGACAAAUUAAUAUGUGUAUUAGAUAAAUUAUCAUUGUAAUUCAUUAAUUUAUAGGGGUUGUAAGUGAUUUUCCACAAUUAUGAAUUUAUUAUUGAAUCUAUAAUCAUAAUAACUUUAAACAUUUGAAAUUAAUCAUGCAAUUGAAUUAAACUUAAACUGACAAUAUAUAAUAUAUGAACAUGUAAAAAUAUUUAAAAUGGACAGAACUUGGAUAACUUGUCAUAAAGUGUCUAUAGAGUGUCAUACUGGAGUUGCUGAAUUAUUAAAUUUUGCCUUUUUGAAUACUGAAAACCGAAUGUCAAUUAGAUGUCCUUGUACCUCUUGUCGUAAUAUGGGGUUUCAUACUCCUCAAUAGAUGAAGGAUCAUUUAUUUGAAAAAGGUUUUCUCGCAACAUAUAAAGUUUGGACUUGGCAUGGUGACAUUGACCCUAUUUCUACAUCUACAAAGUGCCAAGACCAUCUACAUAGUGGAAGAUGCUUAUGAUUAUAGUGACAUAUGUGACAUGGUCAAAGAUGCUUAUGAGCACCGUGAUAGAGAUCUUAGUUCUUUUAAGGGUAUGCUUGAAGAUGCUGAAAAGCCUUUAUAGUGACAAUAUGAAAAAGAACUAUAGGUGGUUGAUAAAGGUUUUCAACUUUUUUAGAAGUCCUUGUUGAUAUUUUGCCAAAUAAUAAUGAGCUGCCUAAGUCAAUGUAUGAGACUAAGAAAAUAAUGAAAGUGCUAGGCUUAGAGUAUGAAAAAAUACAUGCAUGUCUAAAUGAUUGCAUUUUGUAUAGGAAUGAAUUUACUGAUCUUACUGAAUGUCAAAAUUGUAGAGCAUCUAGGUGACAAACAAAAAAAGAUGGUUAAAAAAAAUUUAGGAAAAGGAUUCUUGAAAAGGUGUUAUGGUAUUUCCCUCCUAUUCCUAGGUUCAAGAGACUUUUUCAAUCACUGCAAACAACUCAAAAAUUAACAUGGCAUGCUAAUAAAAGAAUUAAAUAUGGCAAGCUUCGCCACCCAGCAGACUCUUCAGUCUAGCAACUAAUUGACAAUAAGUGGCCAGAAUUUGCACAAGAACCUAGAAAUCUCCUUUUAGCUCUCUCAACCGAUGGGGUUAACCCACAUAGUAAACUUAGCACUACUUAUAGUUGCUGGCCCAUUACAUUAAUAACAUUUAAUCUUCCUCUAUGGUUGUGUAUGAAGAGAAAGUUUCUAAUGUUGUCUCUUUUGAUAUCCGGCCCUAAAUACUUAGCACCAUUGAUUGAGGACUUGAAAACUCUAUGGGAGGUAGGGGUUGAUGUUUAUGAUGCAUAUAGAAAAGAAACCUUCAAUUUAUGGGCUGUGUUGAUGUGGAGAAUCAGCAUAAGGAAACCUUUCCAAGUGUACUAUUAAGGGCUACUUUGCUUGCCAAAUUUAUGGGAUUGACACUUGUGCAUGUUGGCUACCCUAUAGUUGAAAAAUGUCAUAUAUGGACCAUCGUCCAUUUCUACCAUUUGCUCACCUAUUUUGGAAACUCAAAAAGGUUUUCAAUGGGAAGCAAGAGUUGAAUGACCCUCCUAAAACUUUGUCUAGUGAUGAAAUCUUUAACAUGGUGGAAGAUAUUAACACUAAGUUUGGGAAAAAGAAGGGCGGAAAGCGGAAACAUGAUGAUGGUGGUGGUGGUGGUGAUGAGAACAUUUGUACAAAAAAAGGUCAAUCUUUUUUUACUUAGAAUAUUGGAAGCAUUUAUUAGUUCGCCAUCAAAUAGAUGUGAUGCACAUUGAAACAAAUGUGUGUGAGAACACAUAUGGCACACUACUCCAUCAAUCGGGCAAGACAAAGGAUAGGAUUAAUGCUAGAAAAGAUCUUGAGUAUCUUGAGAUAAGGGGAAAACUAGUUCCUAAUAAAACCAAAAAAAAAAAAAAAAAACAAAGUCCUACCUCCAACUCCAUACACUUUGAGCAAAAAAAAAGUUUGUGAAACCUUGCAAAGUGUGAAAGUUACUGAUGGCUAUUUUUCUAAUGUCCAAAAACUUGUGUCAAUAGAUGAUUGUCGGCUUCAAGGCCUUAAGUCCCAUGACUGUCAUACUUUAAUGCAACAACUGCUUUCAUUAGCUAUUUGAAAUUGUUUGCCUAUAAAUGUCAGAAGGGCCAUAAUCAGGUUGUGCUUCUUCUUUAAUUCAUUGUUCUCUAAAGUGAUAGACCCUAAUACUCUUGAACAAUUACAAGAGGAACUUGUAAUUACUUUAUACUUAUUGUAGCAGUACUUCCUACUGAUGAGAACAAUCAAGGCAAUACCAUUAAAGCUUUAAGUGAUCUUUUGCACAUUUAUGGAGGCCCAAUUACAAAAGCUGGAGCCAAAAAGAUUCAAGUUGCUUUAAAUGAAUUAAUUAAGAAAAUAUCAAUUGAAAAUGCAAUUCAAGAUGCAAGACAUAAUGAAUUGGGCUUGGAGAGGAGACAAAGUGUUGUGGGCAUUAUUCAAGUUGUUGGGCAGCUAAAUGCACAAUUUGCAAAAAAGGGUAAUUUCAGAAUAAAACUGGUAUUGAUUGAGGUGGAACUAAUGUGCAAGCUAUAUACCAUUGGAAAGAUAAUUAAGUUAAUUUUCCAAUGCAAUUUACAGAGCUGGAUUUUGAGUUCUCUAGAAAGCGUUAUGACCAAUUUCUUACAGCUCGUUCAGACUUGGGAAUUCCAACCACUCUUUUGUUUAUACAACUUCAUUUAUUUGUUUUGUUUCAAGUUUGUCAAUGUGUUAGGUAAGUCUACCAUCAAUGAUGGUGGGCUAACAUUAAGUUUGUCAAUGACUAGCAUUAAUUAUGGUAGGCUAGCAUUAAUAAUGGUGGGUUGGUGAAGACUUUUGAAGCAUCCUUUGAAAAACCUAUGGUUGGAGGGUUGUUCCAAUGUUUCAAUUUUGUAUUUUUAGGAUCUUGGGUUUCUAUUAGCCUAUUUAAACUGAACAACCUUGCUAUGUAAGACAAUUAGAGAUGAAUGUUAUUUUUAAUUUGAAAGAUCAUUCUUUCUUUGGUUCUUUUGAGAACUAGUAAACUUACUAUGAAUUUGCAUUCCUGUGGUGUUCCAAAAUAGACUUAUCACUCACCUUUUCAUUUAAAUCUUGAUUGUGGUGUCAAUAUCCUUCUCUAUACCUUUGGUUCAUGUUUCCUUAAACAUUAAGUCAAUAUUUUUUUUGUUUCGCUUAAAUCUAUUUAGAACUUUCUUGGGAAGUUGAAACUUCAAAUUAAGUGUGGUGUUUUCGAAGUUUGAUUCGCAUCAUUUGGUAUCAAGCUAGUUUCUAAUCAGUUUGAAUGUGUAUUUAUUUCGAUUAUAAAAAAAAUACAGCAAAAAAAAAAAAAANNNNNNNNNNNNNNNNNNNNNNNNNNNNNNNNNNNNNNNNNNNNNNNNNNNNNNNNNNNNNNNNNNNNNNNNNNNNNNNNNNNNNNNNNNNNNNNNNNNNUUGUUUUCUUUUCUUCAAUUUCCUUUUGUCGUUCUUUGUGCCCUCUUAAUUCCUUUCUUUGUUUAGUGUGCUGGUUUGUCAUAUUUGGUGUGCCACCUGGGUUUUUCUUGAUUUUGUUUAUUUAGUUCAAUAAAGAAUUGAAAGAGAGAAUUAAGUUUGGUAAAAGGCAAAAGUUUGUGAGAUCAUUAGAGGAUAAAAGCCAAUUUGUGUGAUAAACACGUGAGGGAGUGUUGUGAGGUCUUUUUGCUAACAUUCUUUUUAGAUAACAAAUAUGUCAAAAGAUCAAGAAGCUAUAGACCAAUCAACCAUGCAACAACAAUUUGAGCACAUGAAUAUGAUGUUUGGAGAGAUCCGUGACAAAUUAGAGAGGUAAGACACUGUCAUUUCCAAUCAAUAGCUCCUAAUGUAAGAAGUAAUCAAGGGCGUGAUGCCAUAAGAGAAGAAGAUUGUGAUGACCUAGAUACUUUUGAUGACCAGGCCACCGUUGACAUGUGUGGAAGAGAUAAUAGAAGGGAAGGACAUACAGAUCGUGAUUUGGGGAGUAUCAAAUUGAAAAUUCCUUCUUUCCAAGGUAAAAAUGAUCCGGAAGCUUAUUUGGAGUGGGAAAAAAAAGGUGGAGCUAGUAUUUGAUUACCACAACUACUUUGAGGAGAAAAAGGUAAAACUAGCUAUUGUUGAAUUUAUGGAUUAUGCUAUUAUUUAGUGGGAUCAGCUUGUUUUGAGUAGGAGACAAAAUUGUGAAAGACCUAUAGCACUUGGGAGGAGAUGAAGGUCAUCAUGAGGAGGAGAUUUGUUCCUAGUCAUUAUUAUAGGGAGCUGCACCAAAGACUUCAAAGUCUUACUCAAGGAUCUAGAAGUGUAGAAGAUUAUCACAGGGAGAUGGAAAUAAUCAUGAUUCUAGCCAACAUUGAAGAAGAACGAGAGGCCACUAUGGCCAGAUUUUUACAUGGUUUAAAUCAAGAUAUUGCUAAUGUGGUUGACUUGAGUUGGAAGACAUGGUUCACAUGGCCAUGAAAGUGGAACGAAAACUAAAAAGAAAGGUUGAUCUUCCUCAUGGAAGUUAAAAUGGAGCAAAGAUGAAAAGGCUGUUUCAAAGCAUAAGAUUGAGCCAUUGAAGGAUCAUAAAGAGCGAGGCAACUAAAGUAAAGGUAAAUAUGAUUUCCAACACUCUAAUAAAUCUGAUUUCCAACACUCUAGAAAUAGAGAUAUUAAGUGUUUUAAAUGUUUUGGGACAGGUCAUGUCGCAUCUCAAUGCCCAAAUAAGAGAGCAUUGAUCUUGAGGGAUGAUGGUGAUGUUGAAACCGAGAGUGAAUCAGAUGAUGAUCCUAUGCCACCUUUGAAGGAUGCUAAUGAUGGUGUUGAGUAUCUUGUUGAUGGUAAAUUGAUGGUUGUUAGGUGUGCUCUCAACAUGCAAGCAAGAGAAGAUGCAGAGGUACAAAAUGAUAACAUCUUUCAUACUAGAUGCCACAUCAAAGAUGAGGUAUGUAGUAUGAUAAUUGAUAGUGCAAGUUGUACUAAUGUACCUAGCACUAGUUUAGUUGAAACAUUGAAUUUGAAAACUUUGAAACAUCCUAGGCCAUAUAAGCUAUAAUGGUUGAAUGAUUGUGGGGAAGUUAAAGUAAAUAAACAAGUGCUAGUUUUAUUCUCUAUUAGGAGAUAUAAGGAUGAGGUUGUAUGUGAUGUAGUACCCAUGCAUGCUGCACACAUUCUUUUGGGGAGACCUUGGCAAUAUGAUGGGCGUGUGAUACAUUAUGGUUACUUAAAUAGAUAUUCUUUUGUAAUGAAUAAAAAGCAAAUCACUCUUGUACCUUUAACACCUAGACAAGUGUAUGAGGAUCAAAUGUCAAUACGAAAAGAGAGUGAGAGUACAAAAGAAAGAGAGAUUGAGAGAAAAACAAGUGGAAAGAUAGAAAAAAAAAGAGAAUAUUGUUGAGAGAAAAGAGAGGCCGCAAGUGAAUCUGUUUGCAAAAGAGAGUGAGAUUAAAAGGGCUUUCUCUUCAAAACAGCCUAUCAUUGUACUUUUGUGCAAAGAGGCUUGUUUACAUACUAAUGAGCUUAACACUUCUUUGCCUAGUGCUAUUGUGACUCUUUUGCAGAACUUUAAUGAUGUGUUUCCAAAUGAAGUUCCUAAUAGUUUGCCACAUAUUAGGGGAAUUGAGCAUCAAAUAGACUUUAUCCCUUGAGGUAAUAUUCCUAAUAGGCCCACAUAUAGAAGCAACCCCAAGGAGACAAAAGAGCUUCAAAGGCAAGUUGAAGAACUCUUGGCAAAGGGAUAUGUGAGGGAGAACAUGAGUCCAUGUGCAGUACUAGCUCUACUAGUGCCCAAAAAAGAUGGAACAUGGAGGAUGUGCAUUGACUGUUGUGCAAUCAAUAAAAUCAUUGUAAAGUAUAGACAUCCUAUUCCUAUAGUUGAUGACAUGAUUGAUGAAUUGCAUGGUUCUUGUGUGUUUAGUAAAAUUGAUCUUAAAAGUGGAUAUCAUCAAAUUAGAAUUAGAGAGGGAGAUGAGUGGAAAACUGCCGUUAAAACAAAAUAUGGUAUAUAUGAGUGAUUAGUGAUGCCAUUAGUGAUUAGCUGGUGGUGAUGCUGGUGUAUAACCAAGGGAUUGAUUUCCUGGGAUAGAAAUGGAUGAUUGACGAAAUGUGACGGGUCGUGGUUGAGGUUUAGGCUUUGGUUUAGGUUUAGGUGGAGGUGGUAAGGGAUUAUCUCUGAAAAGAGUAUGAGUCAUACCAAAUAACUUGGAAGGAUCAUACUGUUUGAUGGGGGAAAGCAUCGAGGCAAAUGGGUGAUAAGUUGGACCGAUGGAAGGGAUAAGAGGUGAUGUGGUAAAAAGGGUAGGUGUUAUAAACUCUCCAAAACCUUUUUCCCACCAACCUCUCGUGACACUGACCCUGAUGAAACCGAAAGCUCAUCUGAAGACGACUAUAUGAAACAACUUCUUUCAUGUUAGGAUUUAACCGACGUUGCAUUUCCUUAGUAGAUUUAGCAUUUUCAUCAAGGUGAAUGUAAUGCAUGCAGUCUACUGGGUUUAUACCUUUAAUGUCUGCUAUGGUCCAUCCUAAUGCUCCUUUGUGCUCUUUUAAAACAUCCAACAACUUAACUUUUUGUUCGUUAUUUAGGGAUGAUGAGAUGAUUACCGGUAGAGUACUUUCUUCUCCCAAAAAUGCAUAUUCCAGGGUGUUGGGUAAUGGUUUGAGCUCGAGUUUCGGUAGUGAUUCUAAUGAUGGGAUGAGUUUCUUCUCUGAUGGUGCUAGUUGUUCAACUCUUGACUUCUAUUUAUUAGUGUCCAUGGAUAGUGCUGAGUCAAGCAGGGCGUUGACCUCAUCGACUGAUCUGUCAUUAUCAAAAUCCAAACCAAAGUGAGUUAAACAUGUUUGUAAAGGGUCAUCACUAAGGUUUGAAAGAAAUGUGUCAUCAACUAAUGCUUUAAUUAAAUCCACAUCAACAAUUUCAUCAUCUGCAUUGUGAGGUUGUUUGGCAAUAUUGAAGAUGUUCAGUUCCAUAGUCAUGUUGCCGAAGGACAACUGCUUAUUUCCAGUCCUGCAUUGAAUGUAAGCAUCCUCAGUUGCCAAGAAAGGUCGGCCUAGGAUAAUGGGGAUGUGCUUCCUUGAAUCCUGUAUUGGUUAAGUGUCAAUUACAAUGAAAUCAACAGGAAAAUAAAACUUGUCUACCUGGAUAAGCACGUCCUCUACAAUAUCACGAGGUAUUUUUGUGGACUGAUCUGCAAGCUGCAACACCACUGGAGUUGGGUGUAAUUCUCCCAGUCCAAGUUUCACGAAUACAGAGUAAGGCAAAAGAUUUACACUAGCUCCUAAAUCCAACAAAGCAUUCUCAAUUGUGUGGUUCCCUAUGCUACAUGAGAUAGUGGGGGAGCCUGGGUCUUUGCAUUUUAGAGGAAUUUUAUGUUGGAGUAUAGAGCUAACGUUUUCUGUUAAAAAUGCCUUCUUUUGAAUGUGAAUGUUUCUCUUUUUAGUACAAAGGUCUUUAAGAAACUUAGCAUAAGAUGGAACUUGUUUAAUAGCAUCAAGCAAAGGGAUGUUAACACUUACCUAUUUGAAGAUUUCAAGAAUCUCACCUGUGGAUUUUCCCUUCUUUCCUUUAGCUAACCUCUGAGGAAAUGGAGCUUUGGGAACAUAUUCUCGUGGGUUGGUUUCUUCUUUCUCUUCCGAUGGUGAGUCCUCAACAUUCACAGGUACAAUUUGAUUUUCUUUUGUCACUGGCAUCUCCACUUUGUUGUCGACUUCUUUUCCUUUUCGCAAGGUCAUGACUGCUUUGACCUCUCCAUGCUACUGUGGUGAACUGGUACUUGCUUCAUGCACUCCUUUAGGAUUAGACACUGGUUGACUUGGAAACUUGUGUUUCUCAAUAGUCAUUGCCAAUGUCUGAACUGAAGAAGCAAGUUGUCCCACUAUCUUCUCAAGGCUUGAAAUAGAUUGGGCUUGUGAGUUGAAGCCUGCUCGCAAUUCAUUUCGUAGUCCAUCAACGGUGCGGUUCUGUUGCUCAAUCGUAGAGUGAGUAACAUUCUUGAAAUUCUGGAAUGUAUCCUCCCAUGGUCUGGGUUGAGAGUAGUUCUGGUUCUGAUUGUAUGGUCUAAAUGGGGGCUGAGAGGCUUGAGGAAUUGGUUGCAUUGGUGGAGCUGGAGCUGUUGGUCCAUUUUGUUGGAAUCCUUGAGACCAUGAAAAAUUGGGGUGGUCUCUCCAUCCAGGGUUAUAUGUGUUGGAGUAUGGGUUAUAAUUUGAUGGUUUUCUCAUUACACCUAUGGCAUUGGCUUGAUCUAAGUAUGAGUCAUGGUCAUGUGGUUUUGUUGAUUUAGCAGUUGAUAACGAUGCUAUUUGUCGAGAGAGACCUUCAAUUAUCGCUUUGACUUUUUUAAUUUCUGAACUUGACUCUCCAAUGUGAACCUCAUUUACUCCUUUAAUUCUUUUAGUGUUCCUGAGUGACCGACUCCAUUGCUGGGAAUUAUCCGCUUGUCGCUGGAAGAAUUUCCAAAUCUCUGAUGCACUUUUUGACAUUAACUCUCCUCCACUUGUUGCCAUUAGCCAUUCUUUCACAUUCAGCAAUAAUCCCUCCAAAAAGUAUUGGCAUUGGUGCAAUUUCUCGUACCCAUGAUGUGGACACUUUAAGAGUAGCCCAUUGAAUCGCUCCCAUGUUUCGAAAAACUGCUUGUCUUCUCUCUGGGUAAACUCUGAAAUUUCCCUGCGAAUAGCAUUGGUUUUAUGCAGUGGGAAAUAUUUAUUCAAAAAUUUCGUUACUAUUUGUUUCCAUGAUGCAAUGCUAUUAGCAAGCAAAGUAUUUAACCAUGAACGAGCUCUAUCCUUUAAAGAAAAUGGGAAUAGUCUAAGUUUAAUGUCAUCAUCUGAAAAAUUCUCAUAUCUAAAUGUUUGACAAACAGCAUGAAAAUCAUUCAAAUGAUUAUAUGGGUCCUCAUUUUCUAGGCCAUAGAAUGUUGGGAGACAAUUUAGUACACUAGGUUUUAGUUCAAAACUCCUAGCAGCUACAUUUGGGUAUCUUAUGCAUGAUGUGCUCAAAUUAGCUAAGGGACUGAAGUAGUCCUUAAAUGGCCUCUCCUGUGGUGGUGCUUGUUGUUGCAAAUCCAUUUUAUUUUUAACGUGUUUGUGUGUGCGCAGUGUUUUUUCUAAUUCAAGGUAUAUAGGCUCAAGAUUAGGUAAUAAUGACCUUCGACCAUGCAUGCAAAGAACAUAAAUGGGAACAAAACAAAUAAAAAUAAAGAAAAAAGAGAAAUUACGGUACUAACGUUAUUACGCUAUUACAACCUUACUAUAAAAAUACACAAAAAAUAUGUGAAAUAAAUUAACUAAAAAAAUUAGUAAGAUAAACAAAAAUUACAAAGAAGAAAAAAAUAACUUGAAAAUUAAAUUACAGAAUUUUAAAGAAGAGAAAAAGAAAAGAAAUACUAACCUCUAAAUGCAAAUUUACUUUUUUCCUUUUUUUUAAUAAUAAAAAAAUACAAGAAAACAAAUAAAGGAAAUUAUUCACAAAAAUUAAUUUUACGAAUUAAAAUAACUUACCUCCCUGGCAACGGUGCCAAAAACUUGUUGUGCAAAUUUUAUUGAACUCGCAAGUACACGAAUCUAUUGUAGUAUAGAUCAAUGGUGACAAGUGUCGAUCCCACGAGGAGGUGGAUUUUAAUUAUAUGUAGAAUUAAUUUUGUAUGAGGGUGGUUGGAUUUGUGGUGAAAGUGACUUAGAUUAUCCUAAAAUUGGAAUUAAAAUGGCGAGAAUAAAUUGAAGAGAAAUCUAUUGAAAUGACGUACUUGGGUAUCUGGAUCCGUAUUAACAUGAACCAUGGGCUAAAUAUUCCUUAUUAAUGCCAAUUAAACCAUGAGGGGGGAAUCCACACCUCAUGAACCACACUCUAAUCAAUAUGGUGCUAAGGGCUUAUCGUGCCAAAUAAUAAUAACCUUGUACUAGAGAGCCGGUGAAACAAAGGCGGUAUCUUGACAAGAUUAUUAUUAUUUGUUGACGAGAAAUCAAAACAUCCACAAAAACUAGAGGGGAAGAGAAAAUAAAUUUACCAAAUAAAACCCAUGACACAUGUUGAGACUUCACGUUCAACCCAAGCUUGAAAGAAAAUUAGCUACUCAUAAUUGAACUAGGGGCAAAAGGGAAUUUAUUAAAAUACAUAGAAAAUACAAGAUGGAGAGGGAAUUACAGAAAAUGGAGUCUAAAAAUGGAUUCAGAGAUAUCAAAUUAGGGGGAGAGCCCCCUUUUUAUAGAUAUAUUGAGUAAAUCAUGGCCAUCGGAUCGAAAAUAUUUCGGACGCUCAGGAUUGCUCCACAUCAUCAGUCAACAGUACGCGGUUUGACCACGUGGGUGAACAGUAACACGGUUUGACCUGGCUUGAGCAGUGACGCGGUUUGGUUGAAAAUAAUCCUGUGUAAUGCAUGUACCGUACGCGAGAUUUUUGGUCCACUAAUAUGCUGCCACAUCAUCAAUCAACAGUGCAUAAGAAUUUUAGUCCAACAGGAUUGUGACACCUCAUCAGUCAAUGCCACAUCAUCAGUCAAUGCCACGUCAUCGAUCCGUCUAUGUGAACAGUGUCGUGAACAGUAACGUAGACAGUACCGUACAUGUGAACAGUGACAUUUUUCCUUUUAUGCUCCUCCUAAGGUUUUCGACUGUCUUGAGUUCAAAAGUGAUGUCUGUUUUGCCGUCUGAUCUCUCGUUCAUUGUGAAAUGACUAUGAUGCUCCUAAAAUACAUAAAAUACUUAACUAUAAUGCAACACACAUAAUUAAAUGACAAGAAGUUUAAAUAUAUAAAAGUAAAGGUGUUAGUAAAACUUGAAGUGUAAAAUGAAGAUUUUCUCCUUUAUAAAUAUACAUUUUCUAACACUCAACAACACCCUUGAACUCCAAUCAUAUAUCGAGUAAAUAUUUAUUUUUACCAAUAAAUAUUCCUAUUGUAUUAUAACAUUACUAAACUACUUUUUAAGUUUAAUAUGGUCUCACUAUGGGGGCAUAUACAUUAUUUAGCACUAAGAAACCCCUAUAAGGCAAAAAGAAAUGUAUUGUUACAAAAUGAACACACUCAUACAUUUUCUGGUUGGUUACAAAAAAAUGUUAGAAUUAUUGCUUAACUAAAUACAAUAUAGGAUACAAACUUUUACAUCAACAAGAUUUUUUUCAUGUAACUGAUUACUAAACUUUUUAAUUUAAAUUAUAGGUAGCAUAUGGUAGAGUAAAUAUUGUGCCAGUUGAGAAAUAGUGUGGUCGUUGGCAAACAAACCGCGCUCAAGCGUGGUGAAAUAACCUAGCUACCAAAUCAAUGGCUUUACUUUUGCAACGAAGGACCGAGACAAUAAUCGUGUAACCCAAAAUAGUGGUGUUAGGGUUGUUGCUAACACUCCACAAAAUUCAAGCUUAAAAGAUAAAAAUCCUCAUUCUGGAGACAUGACUUCUAUGGAGUCAUUGAUGAGAUUUGGCAGCUUGAUUAUCUGAUGGGUAAAAAAACACUUUUCAAGUGUGAUUGGGUAGAUGAUAGAGGGGUUAGUGUUGAAAAUUUAGGUUUCUUUGUAGGUGAUUUAAAUUGGAUCAGCUAUAAAUCUGAUUGCUUUAUUCUGGCUUGUCAUGCAAAGCAAGUAUUUUAUGUAAAGGACCAGCUAGAUAAUAGUAAAUCGAUAGUGUGUUUAGUGACUGAAAAAGCUGAUAGGUUAAAUGGGGAAAGAUGUGAAGACUUGCAUGAGAAGGUUGACGAUGGAAUUUAUAACAGAAACGAUUGUGAUGCUAUUCUAGUAGAUAUUGAUUUAGAGAUUCACUAAAUGCAUUCUUGUAUUUAGUUUCUAGCACCAUCUUUUUUACUUUUCCAGUAAGUGAUUUAUUUAUUUUAUUAUAUUCCAUUACUAUUGUAUUAACUUCUUAAUUUAAUUGAUGUGCUUAUGUAUUUGAAUCAUUUUUAGGGUUGUAGGAGAUAUAGUUGAAAAUGAUGAGUUAACUCUUCCAGAGCUUGAGGGAAGACCAAGAAGAAGAAAACAACAAAAAAGAAAGGCUUGCAGAAAGAGGAAUUUAGUAGUGAAUGUGUAGUUGAGUACAAUUCUUAAGGCGUUCUAGUUGGAAAGGGGAGAAAUGAUCUCAGGAGUUACAUUGGCGUCAUCGUACGUGAAACAAUUUCAAUCUUACUUGAUGACUGGAGGUGUGUGCCACUGGAAACCCUGUGCCUUCAUUUUCAGGUUCUAUUUAAUUUUUUUUUUGUAUAUUUAGCUAUCGUGUAUAACUUCCAUAUUUAUUUAAACUUGAUGCUAAUCCAUGUCACUGGUUUACAUAAAAAGUUCAAGUUUGAGCUUGAAAAGAAAAAGCCAAGUGUUAAAAUGGAUGGGGGUUGCAUCAAGAAACUUUAGAUGCGAAUUGGCAAAUGAAUUCGUUCUACCUUACAAGGACGAUGUAAAGUCAUUGAGGCUGCCUCCUAUUGAAUAUCCUAGCAUUAAAAAGGAAGAUUAGAAACUUUUCGUUGAAAAAGUUUUUCCUGAGGAACUUUAGGUGUGUUGUUUGUCAAUAUUACUUGAUUUAUUUGUUACUGGUUACUAAUAAUUAGUUGUAAUCCUUUUAUUCUAUAUCAUACUGUUUGUGUAGGAAAAAAGUAAGAAAGCAAAAGAUAAUAGAGCAAAGAAUGUCUACAAACAUCGGUUGGGUAGCACAUUAUAAGUUAUUUAAUAUAGAUAUUGCAAUAUAACCCAACUAAUGCAUAAAAUAUAGUAGAAUCAAUCUUACUUAUUUUCUGUCAACCUGUAACAGUAAAAGAAGAGUGGAGUUUCUAAGUGAGAGAUUGAUCAUAGUGAAGCGUGGUUAAUGGCACUGGCUAACCGAGAUGGCAAAUUUGCUCCUGAAGUAACGCAAUUGCUGAGAAAAUAGUAAGACACUUGUAUACUUAAUUUUUACGUAUUUCAACUAAUAACUUGUAGAUUUGUAACUAUGAUUAUUAUGAACUGCCUUUAUAAUUGUGAUUAUUAUGAAUGCCGAUUUCAAAUUUCACUAUAACUUUAUAAUUAUUACUAUAAGGCAUAUGUGGCAAGUUUUUAAAAAUUGGCUCAGGUAGUUAGCCGCUAUCUUUAGGUGGUUAGCAGCUAACUUUCUAUUUUCCCAGGUAGUUAGCCGCUACCUUCAAGCGGCUAGCCGCUAACUUUUUAUCUUCCUAGGCGGUUAGCUGCUACCUUCAGGCGACUAGCCGCUAACAUUCUGUCUUCCUAGUCUAUAGUUCUAAUAUUUAUAUUUUGGCCCCAAAACUUUUAGAAAUUAUACUAUGGCCUAAAAAGUUUUAAAUUAUUGAAGAUAGGUCUAUUCCAAAAUUUAAAAUAAUACCUAGUGAAAUCAAGGAUUGUAAAGCUCUUUCAUUUUAGUCCAUGUCUUAAAAAACAACCAAUUUCAUAAAAUACUUAACAUAUAAUUAUAAAACCUUUGAUUUAUGAAAAAUGAUGAUUUAUUAAGCAAAGUCUUGAGAUAUUCAAAUGCUAAAUCAUUCAUACUUGCAAGAUAUACAACAAUGACAUUUCUAGUUCUUAUAAUCUUAUUGCUUUAUAACAAAAAAUAUUGAUUCAUCUAGAGUCCAUACUAGGCUAAAAAAAGAAGGAAAAAGUACCUGAAAUUCCAAUAUCAUACCUAAAUUUAAGUCAGAUUUAUUUUCCAUUCUUUUAUGAUAUAAUUAAAUUUGCCUGUUUCUUUAUCAUCUGAGUGAAUUCAAGUCAGAUUUAUGGUAUAAUCUAUAUGAAAUAGUUGGUUGCUUUCACUAUGACUGUUAGCUUUUGAAACGUCAUACAAAUUUCUUAAUUCAACUUGCAAAUUUAUAAUGUUUUUUUCAUCUUUGUUUUGUAGAAUGAGCUAAAGAGUCAAGUUAACCAAGGAACAUUCUAGUCACAUGGGUCAAACGACGUUCUAGGUGAAGCCCUACAGAAGCAGCCAAAUAGAAGCAGGGUGCAAGGAGUGAGACAAUUCGUUACCCCAUCCAUGAACUUUCAUGUGAGGUACAAUUUUCUAACUAAAAUAUAAUAGAAUUUACUUUAAGCUAAUAAGCUCCCUUAAGUUUUAAAAUAAAAUAAUAAUAAUAAUAUAAAAUAUUUAAUUCUAAGUAAUGAUGACAUAAACAAUGACAUAAGUGAUGAUGUAAGAGAAAUUUGUAGAGAUAGUUAGGAAUUUUAGAAUUUAGUAAGACAUUUAUGAAGGAUAAUCUCAAUCAUUAAUCAAGAGUUAUGGUGGCAAAAUCCUAACCAUCUAUUAGCCUUAAGAAAUCCUAUAAAUACCCCCUAACCCUUUCAUUUUCAAUACAACUGUGGAAAUUCAAUCCUUUUCUAUUCUAAGUCAUAACAUCAACAGUAGAAAAAUCAAGUUAGAAAGGUCUAGAGAAGUCAAGGUUAAGAGGUAAAUAACACUUCAACCGCAAUGUAGGGACAAAAUUUCUUUUAUACUUAACUUCAACUUUAACUAAUUCUUAAUCUUGUGAUGGCUACUAUAAUGUGAUUGGUUAUGAUCUAAAUUUUUACAUGGACGGCUAUGCGGCCUAUAUUAUAGUAAUUUCUUACUUAUCCUUAUAUGGUCGACUAUGUCGCCUAAUCUAUGAUACUUAAUUAUGUUAUGGUUGGCUCUGCCGCCUAUGUUAAAGAUUGUUGUCCUUAAAUAGUGUUGUGUGUUGAUUUUGUUGUACAUCUAAGAACUUCAAAUGUUAUGACAUAGGUUGCAUUGGAUGCAUGCAUUUCAUGGAUUACUUUAUGAAGAAGACGUUUUAAAAAAUGAAUUUAUGGGUGGUUGUACUACUAGGUGACAAAUUUUCCAAGGAGGGCAAGCUCUCCAAGCAUAGUAAAAUGUAAAUAUUUUGGGGACGGCGAUACGUAACGCCCAAAAGAUCAACUAAUUAGACCCAAGACCAUGUUAUUUUAAAGAAUAAGAAUGCUAGCCUUGCAUACAACAUACCUAGGGCCAUUUAUAUGUAAGAACAAAGUUGUUUUGUAUUUUCUAAGUUUCUUUUAAAAACUUAAUAUGGUCAUUUAUAUGCAUAAUAAUUUAUACAUGCAUCAAAGCGUUAUCUUACUGGACAUUAGCUCAUAAAGUUCUUACAUUGUAAGUAACGAUGAGUACAGCAAGCUGAUGCCAAGUCCUAACCAAGGCGAGGUGCAUAUGGGCAUAUCAAACCUUGGGUUUUAAGAUGGGCACAACUAUGUUUCUAUAAAUAUAUAUAUAUAUAUAUAUAUAUAUAUAUAUAUAUAUAUAUAUAUAUCUUUGCUUUAUGUAAUAAUAAUGCUUUUGGAAAAUAUCUGCAUGUCUCCUAUAUUUUGUGAGAAAGUUAUGCUUGCUAUGUAAAACUUUUUUUUAGAAUUCGUAUUUAUAUUAAACAAGUAAUGAGGUUUUAAAUAUUUCCAAAUUAUUUUUUUUAAAAAAAGUGGUUGUUACAUUUCAUGUAUCAAAGAUGUAUGAAAUGUGAGUUGGCAAGAGAAACAAAGAUGUAUCAAGAGACUUUUCGAUUUAUGUAUGCUCAACUGGAACACAUGAAUGCAAGGUUGAAUGCCUACAAUAAUAUUGGAGUGAGCAGUUCUAAUUUCCCCAAAGGUCAAACCUUCCAUUGAUGUUCAGAUUGAGAUUGAUCAACAAUCCUCUGAAACUCUUGGAAAAAGAAAGGUUAGUAAAAUGAUACGAACCCCGCCAACAACUGACGCGACCCUAAUCAAUUUAGUCCCCAAGAUCGAAUCUAAACCAAGAAUUGAUUGGAACCUCGACCCAAUACUUAUUAAAAGCACGAACCUUGGUAUGUGAAGAUGCCACAAUCAAUAAUGGUAUGUCUGAUUGAUAAUUCAAGAGUUUGAAUGCCACGGAAAUCCGAUAAGUUCAAAGAGUUUGUAAAGAACAAAAGAGAAUUAACUCUCUCACUAAUUGCAUAAAAAAAAACUUAUCUCCUGUUUAUUGGAUUCGAGUACAUUAUAUAGGGUUGGUUACAAGAAUUUUUGGAAAUAAAUCCUAACCAAAAAUCAAAUCAGAAUCAGAAUCUUCCCUAAUAGGAAAGAAUCCAAAUCAAAUUAGAAUCCUAAUCUAAGUAAAUAGGAAAGAAUCUAAAUCAAAUCAAGAUCCUAAUUGGCUUAAAUGCCUUACAUCAAUUAAAUGGAAACUAGGCGAUUAAAAUAUAAAUAAUUGAUUUGUUUCUCUAAUAACCUCCUUAAGAAAUAGGAAAGUAUCUGAAAAAGGAAAAUAAUAUAUUUUCCUGCCAUAAUGUGCAAGCCAACUCCCUAUUUCAUAGAAGUGAUUAUUUGGAAACUUCAAGAGGCUAAAUCAUGUAUUUAUCAUGUGUAAUUCCUUCAAUGGGCCUCCACGAAUUUUAUUGGGCCCAAGUUGCUUGAAUCAAUCCAUUAAGUGCUUCUUUGAAUUUCUUUGCUCAAGCUCUUGUAACGGGUUCGACGGGAACUUGAGUAGGAUUUGAAUAUGCCUUAUCCCAUGUGCUUGUGAUAAGUUUAUUCUUAAUCUCAUCAUUCCCCUCCUCUUGAAGAGGAUUUGUCCUCAAAUCAUCACCUACAUUAAAAGGACUCAAAUCAGAAACAUUAAAAAUAGCACUUACAUUGUACUCACCAGGCAAAUCCAGUUUGUAUGCAUUGUCAUUGAUCCAUUCCAAAACUUGAAAUGGCCCAUCCCCUUGCGCAUGUGUAACCACACCCAAUCGCCGGGUAUAAAGACUAGCUUAUGUCGCCCUUUGUUGGCUUGUUUAACAUAUUGCUCAGUUCUCCGCUUUAUGUUGAACUUCGCCUUCUCGUGUAUAUGUUUAACAAUUUCAGCCUUUUUCUUGCCAUCUAAGUUAACAUGCUCAGAAAUAGGUAAUGGAGUUAAAUCCAAUGGGGUUAAAGGAUUAAAACCAUAAACAAAUUCAAACGCUGAAUACUUAGUGGCAAUCUACCUAAGUUUUGUUGUUAUUUUUAAUGAUAGCUCACAAUAGAGUAGAUAAAGUUCUAUUUACAACUUCUGUUUGACCAUCAGUUUGAGGGUGACAAGUAGUUGAAAACAAUAACUUAGUUCUUAACUUAGCCCAUAAGGUUUUCCGAAAGUAACUUAAAACUUAGCAUCCCUAUCAGAAACAAUUGUCCUGGGCAUACCAUGCAACCUCACAAUCUCCUUAACGAAUAGGUCAAUAAUAUUAGAAGCAUCAUUCGUUUUGUGGCAUGGAAUAAAAUGUACCAUCUUUGAAAAUCUAUCUAAAACCACAAAAAUUGAGUCUUUCCCUUGUCUAGACCUAGGUAAACCUAGCACAAAAUCCAUCGAAACAUCAGUCCAAGGUGCACUAGUAACAUUAGUACAACUUCCUCUAUCAAUAAUCAUACUACAUACUUUGUCUUGAACAUAGCACCUAGUAUGGAAAAUGUUUUCCCGUUGCACUGCUUCAUCUUCCUUUCCUUGCACACUUAAAGCUCUCAUCGCUACUAAAGUCAAUUCCCCAGGGGCUAUAUAUUCUUCAUCUUCGACAUCCUCUAAUGGUGGGAUCUCAUUUUCUUCUGUUUCAUCUUCAGUUAUAAUCUCACCAUUGUCCUGCAACACCAUAACUCUUUUAUUCACACAUUCACUUGCGAUAUGCCCCUGCCUUGACAUUUAAAACACUUAAUGUCACGAUUCCUAAUAGUAGGAGUCACGGUGUUACCUUGUGUACUGUUCUUCGAGGGCUCGGAUCUUAGCUUAGGUGUAGUAGAUGCUUGUGGCCUCUCGUCUUGUUUCACAUAGCUCGACUUCUAAGGAGUGGAACUCGACCUUGGGGCUGAACGAGUGUUACCCCUCCUCUUGAGUUGCUGCUCAAUUUUGAUGGCUUUGUGGACCAUCUCCUCAAUCUCUACUUAAUGUUGCAACUUAACCUUAUCUGCAAUCUUGAUGAGAACUAUCAAGGGAGUACCAUUAAAACUUCAAGUGAUCCUUUGCACAUUCAUGGAGGCCCAAUUACAAGAGCUAGAGCCAAAAAGAUGCAAGUUGCUUUAAAUGGAUUAAUUGAGAAAAUAUGGAUUGAAAAUGCAAUUCAAGAUGCAAGACAUCAUGAAUUGGGCUUGAAGAGAACACAAGGCAUUGUGGGCAUUAUUCAAGUUAUUGGGUAGCCAAAUACACAAUUUGUAUCAAAUGCAGAAAGGUCAAAUUUAAAAUAAAAACUGUAUUGAUUGAACUAGAAUUAAUGUGCAAGCUAUAUACCGUUGGAAAGAUAAUUAAGUUAGCUUUCCAAUAUAUUUUACAGAGCUAGAUUUAAAGUUCUCUAGAAGGAGUUAUGACCAAUUCAUUACAGCUUGUUCAGACUUGGGAUUUUCAACGACUCCUUUGUUUUUCAACUUCAUUUGUUUGUUUUGUUUCAAGUUUGUCAAUGUGUAAGGUAAGUAAAUGAUAGCAUUAAUUAUAGUAGGCUAGCAUUAAGUUUGUCAAAGAUAGCAUUAAUUAUGGUGGGUUGGUGAAGACUUUUGAAGCAUCCUUUGACAAACCUACUUGGAGGGUUGUUCCAAUGUUUCCAUUUGUAUUUUUAGGAUCUUGAGUUUAUUUUAGCCUAUUUAAACUUAGUAACCUUGCUAUGUAAUAAAAAAUUAGAGAUGAAUGUUAUUUGAAGUUGAAAGAUUAUUAUUUCUUUGGUUCUUUUGAGAACUAGUGAACUUAUCAAGAAUUUACAUUCUGUGCAAGUAUGGUUUCUUACAUGCGCUUCUGAAAUGCUCUUUGUCUUUUACCAGUUCUUUGAAGAACUGUUUUUGCUCACAAAGUUUUUCAAAACAUCUCUUAGUUAUUUGAAAGAUUUUUCCUAAGGAGAUGUUGUCAAGGUUAAGGUUGUGCUCUGUAAGUUGUCGUUGGAUUUCUGGUUGCAAUUCCUCAGGUAAGGAAGCCAGAAACACAUGCUUUAAGGUGUGAUCGUUGAAUCCAUUAAGCUUGUAGACUGGAUUGAUAUUCUUUUGUAAUGGAAAUCAAGAUCUUUAGUAUUUAAAUAACAACACUUCAUGUUGAGAUAGUCUCGUCUUGCUGCUUCAAAAACUGCAAAUGGUUCUCCAAUAAAUUGUUCAUGCAGAAUAGCAAGAGCACUAGAGACGUUUGGCAAUUGCACAAACUGUAAUUGUCUGUAGGGGCCAAGACUGUCAAACCAGUCUCUUAAAGAUCCCGUGAAACAUGUGACAAACUCCUUGAGGACUGAUUCUAUUGUUGCACCUAAUCUUAUCAUCUGGAGAUCUACCCAAGCUGACAUUUCAAACAACUUCUCUCUCCAUUUGACUGUGGGAAAGUGUCCGUUUAACUUUGCAGGGUACACCGGGUACCCUUCUGAGUUAAACCUUGUGAUUAGCAUAUCUUCUUGCGUUGUUUGAACAGCCGUGAUCAUUGAAGAAUAAGUGAAUGAUAACCUUGGAGGCUCUUGAGGAGCACUAGGUACUUAGUGGAGGCCGAAAAGUCAUUCUGACAGUACCAUCUAGCCUUCUUUCAAACAUACUUUCUGAUGUCUGACUGGGGGCUGAAUUGUUAUGGAAUUUCCUAAUAGUUUGAAAUCCAUUCCAGCGGCAUGAGUUUUAUGAGUUCAUGGUGAGGGAUUUGUCUGGGGAUUUGGAUGAUGGUUGGAAUUUGGUCUGAUUCUACUAACACCAUAAGAGCAUCAGAGUGAUUGUCAAGUGUGGGAAGAUCUAAGGCAUGAUUUUGAAGCUUAUAGACCAACUGAUGGUGUAAGGUAGCCAUUUUUACUGAGGAGAUUUGUUCUACUCCUUGAAUUUGAACUUGAACUUUCAAGGCAGUUGACAGAUUGGUAUCUUGGAGAGAUAAAUUGAAAUUGGGGUAGAAAGUGAGAAGAACACUUCCUGCAUGUAAAGUGGUCAGAACAGUACCAACUAUUGCAUCCUGAUACUGUUUGAAUCUGGUGUCGAGCAUAGCAAUUCUGGCUGUAACUGGUAAUCCUUUUCCAGAGAGGGGAAGGAUGAUGGAAUUGAGAAUGAUUUUUUGGACAGAACUCAAGAAGUUUUUGUGAAAUAUGACUGUAUGGAGUUGGGCCAUCAGAAAGUGUAUACAGACGGAGCAUAUCUAUAUAGGGCAAGAACAUCUGUUUGUAACGAAUUCCAGAACUAGUAAUGAAUAGAUUUUUGACCAAAUGAAGGAUAUCAAAACCUAUGUGCAAGUCUUUAUCUAGAAGAGUGGAUGCUACAAUCUUUUUCCAAAUAAUGCAAUUCGGAAAGAACUGAAUACCAAUGGAUUUUUUGGUAAUCAGAGUUGUUUCAAAUGUUUCGCCAUUGACUGCUCUGAAUAAUUUGGAGUAUAACCCUCCCUUUUUCAGUUGGAAAUCAAUUCUGGAGGUAUUUCCAAAGUCUAGAGGACUGGAUGUAUUCUUUUGGAUGAGGUCUUUUAGUAGAGAUAAGGGUUCUUAUACUUCUAGUAAAAGAGUUUCCUCUCUUGUAGAGCUGAUAAGGACUAAGAAGAGGGAAUGAAGAUUCAUUGAUUUGGGCUGACUCAGGGAUAUAUGAGUAUUCAACAAGGUUUUCUAUUUUAUUGGCAAGAUUUGGGUAAGGACAGGGUAGAAGAAGGGGAGAUUGGGGUGAUCGUAGAAGUAGAAGUGUCAUGAGUGAAGAUUUCUCUCUGUUUCUAAAGCCUAGCUAUUUUUCAAAGAAAUAGGGAAGACUCUUAUCAUACCACUUUGGUAAGUUUGAGGCUCUGACACCAUAAUAGGCAGCCGAAGUACGUGGCGUUGUUAGACCAAAGCAAUGACGAAAAGAUCAUCCUUUGGACCAGUAGUCCGCAUGCUUGGGUUUAACAACGCCACGUACUUCAGUUGCCUAUUAUGGUAUCACUAUUGUUAGUGUAAUAAUUGGUCAUUGUUAGGUUGCAUUAGGUAAAAGAUAUCCAACAGGCGACAACUGAGGAUGCAUGAGGGAUUCUGCCUAAUGCUAUAGUAGAUGUUAUAGUAGCGAUACUGUAAUAAAACAAUAGUAAUGNNNNNNNNNNNNNNNNNNNNNNNNNNNNNNNNNNNNNNNNNNNNNNNNNNNNNNNNNNNNNNNNNNNNNNNNNNNNNNNNNNNNNNNNNNNNNNNNNNNNNNNNNNNNNNNNNNNNNNNNNNNNNNNNNNNNNNNNNNNNNNNNNNNNNNNNNNNNNNNNNNNNNNNNNNNNNNNNNNNNNNNNNNNNNNNNNNNNNNNNNNNNNNNNNNNNNNNNNNNNNNNNNNNNNNNNNNNNNNNNNNNNNNNNNNNNNNNNNNNNNNNNNNNNNNNNNNNNNNNNNNNNNNNNNNNNNNNNNNNNNNNNNNNNNNNNNNNNNNNNNNNNNNNNNNNNNNNNNNNNNNNNNNNNNNNNNNNNNNNNNNNNNNNNNNNNNNNNNNNNNNNNNNNNNNNNNNNNNNNNNNNNNNNNNNNNNNNNNNNNNNNNNNNNNNNNNNNNNNNNNNNNNNNNNNNNNNNNNNNNNNNNNNNNNNNNNNNNNNNNNNNNNNNNNNNNNNNNNNNNNNNNNNNNNNNNNNNNNNNNNNNNNNNNNNNNNNNNNNNNNNNNNNNNNNNNNNNNNNNNNNNNNNNNNNNNNNNNNNNNNNNNNNNNNNNNNNNNNNNNNNNNNNNNNNNNNNNNNNNNNNNNNNNNNNNNNNNNNNNNNNNNNNNNNNNNNNNNNNNNNNNNNNNNNNNNNNNNNNNNNNNNNNNNNNNNNNNNNNNNNNNNNNNNNNNNNNNNNNNNNNNNNNNNNNNNNNNNNNNNNNNNNNNNNNNNNNNNNNNNNNNNNNNNNNNNNNNNNNNNNNNNNNNNNNNNNNNNNNNNNNNNNNNNNNNNNNNNNNNNNNNNNNNNNNNNNNNNNNNNNNNNNNNNNNNNNNNNNNNNNNNNNNNNNNNNNNNNNNNNNNNNNNNNNNNNNNNNNNNNNNNNNNNNNNNNNNNNNNNNNNNNNNNNNNNNNNNNNNNNNNNNNNNNNNNNNNNNNNNNNNNNNNNNNNNNNNNNNNNNNNNNNNNNNNNNNNNNNNNNNNNNNNNNNNNNNNNNNNNNNNNNNNNNNNNNNNNNNNNNNNNNNNNNNNNNNNNNNNNNNNNNNNNNNNNNNNNNNNNNNNNNNNNNNNNNNNNNNNNNNNNNNNNNNNNNNNNNNNNNNNNNNNNNNNNNNNNNNNNNNNNNNNNNNNNNNNNNNNNNNNNNNNNNNNNNNNNNNNNNNNNNNNNNNNNNNNNNNNNNNNNNNNNNNNNNNNNNNNNNNNNNNNNNNNNNNNNNNNNNNNNNNNNNNNNNNNNNNNNNNNNNNNNNNNNNNNNNNNNNNNNNNNNNNNNNNNNNNNNNNNNNNNNNNNNNNNNNNNNNNNNNNNNNNNNNNNNNNNNNNNNNNNNNNNNNNNNNNNNNNNNNNNNNNNNNNNNNNNNNNNNNNNNNNNNNNNNNNNNNNNNNNNNNNNNNNNNNNNNNNNNNNNNNNNNNNNNNNNNNNNNNNNNNNNNNNNNNNNNNNNNNNNNNNNNNNNNNNNNNNNNNNNNNNNNNNNNNNNNNNNNNNNNNNNNNNNNNNNNNNNNNNNNNNNNNNNNNNNNNNNNNNNNNNNNNNNNNNNNNNNNNNNNNNNNNNNNNNNNNNNNNNNNNNNNNNNNNNNNNNNNNNNNNNNNNNNNNNNNNNNNNNNNNNNNNNNNNNNNNNNNNNNNNNNNNNNNNNNNNNNNNNNNNNNNNNNNNNNNNNNNNNNNNNNNNNNNNNNNNNNNNNNNNNNNNNNNNNNNNNNNNNNNNNNNNNNNNNNNNNNNNNNNNNNNNNNNNNNNNNNNNNNNNNNNNNNNNNNNNNNNNNNNNNNNNNNNNNNNNNNNNNNNNNNNNNNNNNNNNNNNNNNNNNNNNNNNNNNNNNNNNNNNNNNNNNNNNNNNNNNNNNNNNNNNNNNNNNNNNNNNNNNNNNNNNNNNNNNNNNNNNNNNNNNNNNNNNNNNNNNNNNNNNNNNNNNNNNNNNNNNNNNNNNNNNNNNNNNNNNNNNNNNNNNNNNNNNNNNNNNNNNNNNNNNNNNNNNNNNNNNNNNNNNNNNNNNNNNNNNNNNNNNNNNNNNNNNNNNNNNNNNNNNNNNNNNNNNNNNNNNNNNNNNNNNNNNNNNNNNNNNNNNNNNNNNNNNNNNNNNNNNNNNNNNNNNNNNNNNNNNNNNNNNNNNNNNNNNNNNNNNNNNNNNNNNNNNNNNNNNNNNNNNNNNNNNNNNNNNNNNNNNNNNNNNNNNNNNNNNNNNNNNNNNNNNNNNNNNNNNNNNNNNNNNNNNNNNNNNNNNNNNNNNNNNNNNNNNNNNNNNNNNNNNNNNNNNNNNNNNNNNNNNNNNNNNNNNNNNNNNNNNNNNNNNNNNNNNNNNNNNNNNNNNNNNNNNNNNNNNNNNNNNNNNNNNNNNNNNNNNNNNNNNNNNNNNNNNNNNNNNNNNNNNNNNNNNNNNNNNNNNNNNNNNNNNNNNNNNNNNNNNNNNNNNNNNNNNNNNNNNNNNNNNNNNNNNNNNNNNNNNNNNNNNNNNNNNNNNNNNNNNNNNNNNNNNNNNNNNNNNNNNNNNNNNNNNNNNNNNNNNNNNNNNNNNNNNNNNNNNNNNNNNNNNNNNNNNNNNNNNNNNNNNNNNNNNNNNNNNNNNNNNNNNNNNNNNNNNNNNNNNNNNNNNNNNNNNNNNNNNNNNNNNNNNNNNNNNNNNNNNNNNNNNNNNNNNNNNNNNNNNNNNNNNNNNNNNNNNNNNNNNNNNNNNNNNNNNNNNNNNNNNNNNNNNNNNNNNNNNNNNNNNNNNNNNNNNNNNNNNNNNNNNNNNNNNNNNNNNNNNNNNNNNNNNNNNNNNNNNNNNNNNNNNNNNNNNNNNNNNNNNNNNNNNNNNNNNNNNNNNNNNNNNNNNNNNNNNNNNNNNNNNNNNNNNNNNNNNNNNNNNNNNNNNNNNNNNNNNNNNNNNNNNNNNNNNNNNNNNNNNNNNNNNNNNNNNNNNNNNNNNNNNNNNNNNNNNNNNNNNNNNNNNNNNNNNNNNNNNUAUUUUAAUUUAGAACAAAAUUGCACUGUUAAGAUUGCUAUAGCAAAUAUGAUAACAUCAAUCCCUAUAGAGACGAUCUCAAUACUCAUCAGUAGAUUACUUGUUGUGUACACUUGCACAUUGAUACCUAUAGCAAUAGAAAUCGCCCAACACCUAAUUUUAAUAAAAUGUUUGAAAUUGAAUGUGAUGCAUCAAGUAUUGGUAUAGGCGUAGUCCUAAUGCAAGAGGGAUGACCAAUUGGUUACUUUAGUGAGAAACUAAGUGGGGCAGCCUUAAACUAACCUACUUGCAAUAAGGAGAAUGAUUCCUUAUUCAUAUUUAGUGUCAUAUUUAACUUAUUUAAAGUUGUUUUUUACAUUUUCAAAUUUUCUUCUUUAAAUUAUUUAGUUUAUUUUGCAUAGUGUAUUAAAUCUGAAUCACCCCCAAAUUUUGUUACAUGUUUAUUAGUGUGUCCUUAAUAAAUCUGGAAAAUUUGAGUCAAUUUCAUUAAGUUUUAAUAAGGUUUUAAUUUAAAUUGACAUUUCUGGUCCUUUUGUAUUUUUCAUGUGUUAAGUGGGAAUAAUCCUAAUGAUAAUAACCAUUACAUGCUCUAUACUCAAUAACGGUAAUAUUUAAGGCAAGAUAAGUGAUAUACUUGUAAGUGACAUCAAUUUUAGUGCUAUUGCCAAGGAUUGUUUUCCCUAAGUGAUUGAUUAUUUGUUUUUAGUUUUAGUAUUUGCUUUAAUUAGUAUCUUUUUCAUUGUUUUAGAUCUUUAUUAGGGAAUAUCUAAUCUUACUCUAGAAGGGGAACAUUCAAAGCCUUGAAAGGAUUUUAGAAUUUACCUUUUCUCAUCAUAGUUGAUCAAUUUGUAUCUUUACCACCUAGUCCAGUACUAAAGGAUUCUUGAAACAUUAUACAUAGAGCUGAGUAAGGAGAGAUGGCACUAGCAGAUGAAUGCACACUUAAGUAGGGUGGGCAAAUACGGGUUUGGGUCAACUUGAUUGGAUUUCAGGUUAAUCAGAUUGGGAAAAUGUUACUUGAAUUCAACACAAACAUGUAAUCCAACCCGACCCGAUUUGAAAUAAAUUGGGAUUGGAUCGAGUCGAAUCGAUAGUUUGUGUUUGUUUUUGCUUUUAUUUCUUCAUAUUUUCAGAUUGACCCAAUUCGACCUGAUUAGGUUAGGCUUUUCAUUCGAAUCCAAUCUGAACCUAAAUUUUUUGGAUCAGUUCGGGUCGAGUCAUUUGCCCACCCUUACACUCAAGGAUUUGGGUGCACCAGCUCUAGAUUAACAACUCCUUUAUGUUGAAUACCCUAUAAUUAGGGUUGAUUUUGAGCUUAAAUUUGGAAUGAUACAUCUUCUACCAGCCUUCCGUGGUUUUGUUGGAGAAGAUUCAAACAAGCACCUUAAGGAGUUCAUGUAGUGUGUUCAAAUAUGAAACUAGCUAGGUCUUAGAUGAACAAAUUAAAUUGAACGCUUUUUCUUUCUCUUUAGUAUAUCGCGAAUGAGUGGUUUUAUUAUCUACCAUCUGGUAGCAUUAUCACAUGAAUGAGAUAAGGAAACUUUUUCAUGAAAAGUACUUUCCUUCAUCCAAGGCUACAAACAUUUGAAAAUAGAUCUGUAGAGUAGAAGGAGUUUGUAUGAGUAUUAUGAGAGACUUAACAAGGUAUCUGUAUUUUAUCCUCAUUACCAAGUCAGUGAACAACUUUUGAUUUAAUGCCAAUGGAGAGAAGCAUAAUUGAUAUGACAAGUGGAAGAGCUUUAGUAAACAAGACACCUUUGGUAGUAAAGGCUUUUAUAGCAAACAUAGCCAAUUCACAAAAGUUUAGUAAUAAAUUGGAUUUGUUACUAUAGAAGGUGAAUGAGGUUAAUGUCACUUCUAACACUGAUAGAAACUUGUUAACCUCACUUCGUUAUCUUACCAAUUAGUUAUGAAUAACAUUCAACCAUCGAAAAUGUGUGGAUUAUGCUCUAUGAUAGGUCGUCCAACUGAUACAUGUCCAUCUUUGUAAGAUAAUACUUUAGAGCAAAUGAAUGCCAUAUGUGUGUAUCAAGAGAAAACAUUUGCAACCAAGUCAAAAGUGUGAUAUUUUCUCCAACAUUGCAACUUGUUAAUUGGGAAUAAUCUUGUCGAGAAUGACCCUUGCUUGCUUUUAUACUCAAUAAUGUAAGGUUUUAUGUGACUUUUAAGUGACAUCAUAAACCGAUGUCAUAGGUAAGUAUCAAGGGCAACAAGCGCAACAAAAAAAAGUAUAAUCCUUUCUUUAACAAUUAUGAUCCACAAAAGGAUAUAUCAUCCAAGCUCUAGUUAUUUGGAAAAUCAACAACAAACUAGUCCUAAUGGUAACUUUAAUAAUCCAUCAAGUUUUGCUCAACCAAGGCCACAACAGCCUUAUUAUUUUAGGCCACAACCUAUUUUUUGGAAUCAAGGUACAUCUCUUGAAGAUUUGGUUAAAUCUUUGGCUAUAAGUUCUUUGAAAUUUCAACAAGAAACAACGCAUAAGGAUCUUGAAAACUUCUUCCUAGAUCGUGAUUCACUCAAGAGAGAUUGCUAGUACUGUGACUUUAAGAGUGGGAAACAACUUGAAGAAACACUAAAAAGAGCAAAAUCAGCCAUGGAUUCAAAACAACAAGAUGAUUUAUUUUUUGAGAAAGAUGUAGCCAUAUCUUCUAUUGAGACAACUUCAGCAUUUUAGAUAAUUUUUAAGGUUCUCACUUCUUUUAAUGCUCCUUUUUUGCCUUUUCCUAUUAGGUUUGCAAAAUCUAAGAAACAAGGAGCAUGAAAAAGAGAUUUAAGAACCUUUUAUAAAGUACAAGUUAACGUACCUCUAUUGGAUGCUAUUAAACAAGUACCACGUUAUGCAAAAUUCCUCAAAGAGUUAUGCAUCAACAAAUACAAGCUCGAAGGCAAUGAGGCAAUAAGUGUGGGGAGAUGUAUUUACUAUUUCACAAAGGAAGCUUCCAUCGAAAUGUGAAGAUCUAGGAAGUUUCACUAUACAAUGCAUAAUUGGUAACACCAAGUUUGAAAAAUUUAUGUUCAACUUAGGUUCAUUUCUUAAUAUCAUGCCUUGUCAAUAGAUAUAAUGCUUAUCUAAACUGUGUUUUAGAAGAUGUUUUGGUGAGGUUAAUUCGCUAAUUUCUAUAUUCUUAAUAUGGAGGAUGAUUCAUCUCCUAUGCCAACUCCAUUAUUUUUAGGGAGGCUAUUUAUGAAAACUGCGAGAACUAACAUAGAUAUGUAUAAUAGAAAUUUAACUUUGUAGUUUGAUGGAGAGGUUAUUUGUUUCAAUAUUUUUGAUGCUAUAAGGUAUCUAAGUGAUUUGAAUUCUUUUUUUUUCAGUUGAUAUUAUUGAUUUUUUAACAUAGUAAAUCUUUGAGUUUACAAGCGACGAUGCAUUAGAAAUUGCUAUUAGAAAGAGCUUUAAGUUAGAAGAACUAAAUAUCCAAAAAGGAAUAUCCAAUUUUGUAACAAUAUUGAGGAGACAGUGGCAUAUUUGGAAUCAAUGCCAAAAGUGUCCUUGGUCUUUGUCUAAUGAGACACUUUUGCCUUAUGUGAUUCAAGCACCUGCAUUGGAGCUUAAAUCUUUCCAACAAANNNNNNNNNNNNNNNNNNNNNNNNNNNNNNNNNNNNNNNNNNNNNNNNNNNNNNNNNNNNNNNNNNNNNNNNNNNNNNNNNNNNNNNNNNNNNNNNNNNNGGCCAUAAUUAUUACAAAGAAUCUCAUGCAUUAUAAGAAGAAAAAUUGGUCCAUGUUUAAAAGAAUACAAAGUAACAAAUGGAUGGACAAUAGCUAAUGCAAAAAAGAACUACUUAUCUUAUACGUGUGCACAGAAACUUGCUUGACGAAAGAGCAAAGUCGACUGGGAAGUUGUGAAGUAAGAAAUUCUGUAAUUGCUAAAUGUUGGUGUAAUCUAUCAUAUUUUCUUAUAAAAGUGGGCAAGCCUAAUCCAAGUUGUUUCAAAGAGAUCUAGAAUCACCAAUAGCUAAGAAGGAGGAGAAUAAGCUAGUUUCUACUCAUGCCUAAACUGGGUGGUGAUUUUGCAUUGAGUAUAAAAUGUUCAACUAUACAACUCAUAAAGAUUAUUUUCCCUUGCCAUUCGUUGAUCAAAUGUUAGAAAGAUUAGAUAGUCAUGCUCGCCGUUAUUUUCUUGAUGAUAUUAGGUUAUAAUCAAAUUGUCAUUGCACCAAAAUGUUCAAGAAAAGACAACAUUCACCUGUCUUUUCAGUACGUUUGCUUCAAAAAGCAUCCCUUCCAUAGUACAAAUCCCAAGACAAAGUCGGGCAACCACUACCACCCAAUGGUGAAGCCACUCCUUGGUAAUAUAGGAUGAACUGUGGUUGGUUGGAUCGAUCUCAAAGCCAAACAACUUUCUGAUGCACAAGAUCCUAAAAAGAGGCGAGUGCGGAGCAUACUCGUUAAAAAAGAUUAAAGUGAACUAUUAUGAGAACCUGUUGUCCUUCUUAGGGAAAUAAAGGAAAGAGAGAAUAUUUAGAAAGUCAUGAUAUUUGGAAAACUCAGAUUAUUAUUUCCCAAAAUCUGAGAUGCUUACAACUGAGAAUGAAUUCUCCUUAUAAAGGAAAUUCAAAGGAAAAGGAAAAAACAAGUCCUAUCCUCUUUUACAAAAGCAAAAGACCCCUGUCUUUUUGGACUUUAAGCUAAAGACAAAGCAAAAGGAAGAUGCUCUAAAGUAAAGAUAAAGUAAAGCAAACACUUUGCUUUUACAAAAGCAAAAGCAAUUAUUACAAAGUGCGUUAAAAAUUGUGCGAGGGAGAUAAGUUGUCAACAUCGCUAUCAACUUCAGCAAAUGGCUCUUUCCACCAAGGCAAGUUCUCAUAAUAUUGUCGGGUAGGUGAAUCUGUCGAUAAAUCUGUCAUUGUUGGUGGAACAAUACUUGUAGAGGGUGCAUGUGAUGUUUCAGUGGGAUGCAGAAUUGAGGUGAAUUCUUCCUAUGGGUCUUGUGAAAAGAGGAUGUCUGUGAAAUCAUGUUUUUCUUCUUUGAUCAAAAUUCCAGAGGGAGGAGGUGACCUGGUGGUCGGAAUAAUCAUGAGUUCAUGUUGUGGUCCAAGGGAGGUGUGCUGGAUAUCAAUAGGAGAGGACUGGACAUUGUGACAAGGUUUGGGUCAUGAUCCAGGGGAAAACUAUGAGGAACAAUCUUCCAUUCAUAAGCUUGGUCCUGAGUCCAAGAGAGUUUGGUAACAGGAUGCUGGAAAUAAGGAUGAUAGAUAAUGAAGACUGGGGUGAACUGUUCUCCUUCUUGAUCUGGGAGGAGAUUGAUGUGGUGGUGUUUGAUAAUAAAGUCAAGUUGUUUUCUCCACCAAGAGAGAGGAAAAAAUCAUUCAAAAAGAGUCCAUGUGAGAGAGUGAGCCUGGUUGGGAUUUGUGAGACACCGAAACAUUGGAUGUAUAAGAAAGAUUAGUUUGGUGGCAUAUAAAAUCGUGAGACACAGUAUAUAUACUGCAGUUCAUCUUCUGUGACGUCCCUGAAUGUCUAGAUGAAAGCUUGGAAAUCCGGAUGUCUAGGCGCGAUAUAUAUUCAUGAAAUAUCGAAAAACAAAUUUAUUUGUAAAAUCUUGGAUAUGAUAAGGACUGGAGAAAGUGAGAUUGCAAGGAAAAGACUUUUUUGUCAAGGCUGUGUUGGGAAGAGUAGGAGCCAUGAAGAUAACUAGAACUGAGGAAAAAGAGACUCCUAGGGAUGAAGAUGAAGGUCGGGAAAAGAGAUCAGUGAUGAGGUUCUGGUCUCCUUUUAUAUGUUGGACUGUGAAGUCAUAUUUCAAGAACCAAGUUUUGAGAUGGAAGAGGUGCUUGUUUGGGAGGACCUUAUUUUUGAAUUCAAGGAUUUUUGGAAAGGAGGAAUUGUCUAAUCUGACAAGGAAAUUAUGACCAAUAAGAUGAAAUUCAAAAUUUUAAAUUCCAUAUUUAACGGCUAGGAUUUCUUUGUAGAUCACAUAGUAGUGUUUUUCUGACUCCUUGAAUUGUCCACUAGCAUGGGGAUAGCAAGAUUCCAUACCUGCAGAAUACGUUGACCGUCAGUAGGGAUUCUCAAAGGAGGUGGAUGCUAAGCGAUGUUUUUGAGAUGUUGGAUAGCAGCAGUCUGAGAGGGACCCCAUGGUGGGGCUGAUUUUCUGAGCAUUUUUGAAAGCUGACUGGUAUGAACUACUACAUGUGGAAAGAAUUCCCAAAGGUAAUUGAUAAUACCAAGGAAUUGUUGGAUCUGCUUUUUUGACAAAUGUUCAUCUGGGAAAUGAAUGAGUUCCUAGGCUAUGUGUGGUCCAGGACUAUAGUAUCCAUCUUUUAGAGUCAUGCCAUAUGUAGAUAAGUGUUUUGUCAGACAACAUUAUGCCAUAUGUUUUGGCAUAAUGUUUUGGCCUAACAUUAUGCUAUAUGUUUCCACUAUCUCAAGAAAGUGGGAAAGUAAUUGUUGGUGGGAACAUGAUCUUUGGAGAAUAAUAGCACAUCAUCUAUAUAGAUAAGUGCAUGAUGAAGGAUUGGUUCAAAGAUCUUGAUCAUGGCCUUUUGGAAAAGUGAGGGGGCUACCUUGAGGCUAAAUGACAUUACUUUCCAUUGGUAGUGGGCAUUUGGUAUGCAAAAAGCUGUUUUAAGUCUGUCAUUAGGGUGGAUUCCUAAUUGCCAGAAACUUGCUUUAAGGUCAAAUUUUGAGAAGACCUUAGUAUUUUGGAUAUGAACAAAUAAGGAUUGGAUUUUUGACAAGGGGAACUUAUCAUCUCUAAGAAAAUAGUUGAGAGGGUGGUAAUCAAUAACAAGACGUUUUUUUGCCUCUAACUAUUUUAGACAUUUUUUCCACAUAAAAAGCUUGACAAGCCCAUUCUGUAUUUGUGGGCUCAAUAAGGCCUUGUUUUAGCAACUGAGAGCAUUCUUCUUGGGCUAAUUUCAGGUCGGACGGAAUCAUUCCUGGAUGGGUAGCUUUGGUUGGGUUAAUGUCUUCGUUAAGCUUGAAAGGGAGCUUAAUAAAGAAAUUUUCAUUUUUCCAUAGAGGGGGGCAGGAUGAAGAAAUUGACUAUGACUUUCUGGACAGUGAAGAAGAAAACGAGAUUUGAGAGGAUCAUAUAAAGAAGGAGAGCUUGAGAUAGAGAACAAUUUCAGGGAAUCUGUAUAAGGCUUAAACAUUUGUUUAUAGCAGAUUCCAGAAGCUAUUAUAUGGAGUUUUUUAACCAGGUGAAGGACACCAAACCCGAUUAAAAGAUCUUUGUCAGGAAGAUUGGAUCCAACGAGCUUGGUCCAAAGGACACAUCCUGGAAAGAAUUGAAUGCCAAUGGAUUUUUUGGUAAUCAAAUCUGCAUGAAAUAGUUCUCCAUUAGCAGCUUUGAAAUAUUCCGUAUACUUUUCCCAAAAAUGGGAUGGAAGGAUUGAAGGAUUAAGUAUACUCUUCUGAGCUCCAGUAUCAACAAAAUCGAUGAUGGGGACCAGUUUGUCAAAUCUUCCGGAGAGAAGUUGGAUUUUGAUUAAAGGGAUAGGAAUGGCUGGUUGGACUUUCUGAAUCUGUUGUACAGUUUGAGUUAUAGAAACAUUGUCUGGCUCAGAAUGUUCUGAUGCAAAUCCCAUAAUGAAACUUUGAAACUCACACUUAAAUUGUAGUUUCAACUUUCCAAGAAAGUUCUAAACAGAUUUAUGACAAACAAAACCUUGACCCAAUGCUUAAGAAAAGCAUGAACCAAAGGUAUAGAGAAUGAUAUUGAUGCCACACUCAAGAAAUAAAUGAGAAGGUGAGUGAUAAGUCUAAAUUUGGAACGCCACAAGAAUGCAAAUUCUUGAUAAGUUCACUAGUUCUCAAAAGAACCAAAGCAAGAAUAAUCUUUCAAAUUCAAAUAAUAUUAAUCUCUUAAUUAUCAUACAGAGCAAGGUUCAUGAGUUUAAAUAGGCUAAAAGAAACCCAAGAUCCUAAAAAUACAAAUGGAAACAUUGGAACAACCCUCCAAGUAUAGGUUUGUCAAAGGGUGCUUUAAAAGCCUUCACCAACCCACUAUUAUUAAUGAUAGACUUACCUAACACAUUGAUAAACUUGACACAAAACAAAUAAAUGAAGUUUAAUAAUCAAAGGAGUCGUUUGAAUUCCCAAGCCUGAACAAGCUAUAAUAAAUUGAUCAUAACUCCUUCUAGAGAACUCCAAAUCUAGCUCUGUAAAGUGCAUUGGAAAGCUAACUUAAUUAUCUUUCCAAUGGUAUAUAGCGUGCGCAUUAAUUCUGGCUCAAUCAAUACCAGAUUUAUUCCGGAUUUGCCUUUUCUGCAUUUGAUCCAAAUUGUGUAUUUGGCUGGCCAAUAGCUUGAAUAAUGCCCACAAUGCCUUGUCUUCUCUCCAAGCCCAAUUCAUGAUGUCUUGCAUCUUGAAUUGCAUUUUCAAUCCAUAUUUUCUCAAUUAAUCCAUUUUGAAAUACAAGUAAGCAACCCAAGAGGGGGGGUGAAUUGGGAUUCUAAAAAAUUAUUCAAUAAUAAAGAAAAUCUUAAUGCAAUUAUAACUCAAAUUCAAAGCAAUAAUAAUUAAGAUGAUCACAAUAUAAAAAGGUAAGGGAAGAGAGAUUCAAACACGAGAUUUUUACGUGGUUCGGCCAACCUCGCCUACGUCCACGCCUCCAAGCUUUCCGGGCUUGAGGAUUCCACUAAGCAAGCCUCCAAGGCUUCAAAUGCUUACACUUGACUUCCGAGGUGUCAAUGGACCUUUACAACAAGAGAUUAUCCCCAAUCUCUUAACCCAAGUGUAUCCCAACACUUACAAUCACUCAAAGUAAAAGAUUACAAAUUUGUUUUGCCUCUCACAAUAUACAAGAUAACUCAAUGAUGCUUAAUAUGUGAAUAGAUGAAGCAAGAAUGUGUUCUAAGCUCUAUGAAGAUUGUAUUCUCGAAUAUUAGCUCAAAUGGUUGUGUUGUGAUCAACCUUCUUUGAAUUUGAAUGAGCCUAUUUAUAUCUGGAGCUGAAAAUCUAGCCGUUACAAACUGUCGGGCAGAAAAUGGUUCGCCGUUAACGAUAAACGGUUAACCGUUUCGCUUGUUCAAAGUUACCGUUGGACCAGAAUUCAAAUAAACGGUUUGCCGUUUAGGAUUGCCCUUUCGCCGUUAACUUCCAGAGACCUGCAAGAUGAGCAUUCGUUAUACGUUUACGCUAAACGGUUAAGGACUUGCGUGAGGUAACGUUUCUGGAUAUUAUCGGUUAACCGUUUGAACAAUAAUCGGUUAGCCGUUUGUCUCCAGUAACCUGCAAAAUGAACAUCAGUUAAUCAAUACUAGAGGCGGACAACCCUCAAUUCUGGACGUUAUCGGUUAACCGUUUAAAAAGAAACGGUUCACCGUUAGUUUCCAGUAGCCUUCCUAUCUUGGGUGUUUUCUGUUAAGCGUAAACGGCUAGAGCUUAGGCAAUAUGAUGCUCUCUGGUGAUAAUCGGUUAACCGUUUAAAAAUAAACGGUUCACCGUUAGUUUCCAGUAACCUUCCCAUCUUGGGUGUUUUCCGUUUUCCAUGAACGGUUAGAGGUUAAGGAAAUGUGUUACUCUCUGCCUUUAAUCGGUUAACCGUUUAAAAUAAACGGUUCACCGUUUAUGACCAGUAUUGCAAUUUUAAACAAGUUUUUGCAGAGAAUUUCUUUCUAAUUUGAAAUCCAUCUUUUAUGAAGAAAUAAGGCAAUGAUUAAAAGAGUUUUCGUUUAUUAAGAAAUAACUCCAUUAUUUUUGUCAAAAUACAUUUAAAAUUUGUUAUCAUCAAAAUCAAUAUUAUUAACAUAUUUAUGUUAACAAUCUCCCCCUUUUUGAUGAUGACAAAUUUCAUUCAAAGUUUUAGCUCCCCCUUAAUAUGUGCUCCCCCUACAUGUAUUGCCAAAAUGAGAAAUGUGAAUAAAAGGAUUCUUGCUUUAAAUUUCCCAUUUUAAAUACAAAAAAAAAUAUCUCAUUAAAUCCCAAAAAAAAUCAUCUUCAUCUUAAAAAGCCACAAAAUAUCUCCCCCUUCAUCAUCAAAAAGAAAAGAGGAAAUAAGAAAUACGUAAAUCCGUUUAAAAAUAAUUGUCCGGUUAUGGCGAGUGGAAAUUUCGGCAGAGUUUUCCCUUAAAAAUGAGCAAAACCAGUAAUACAAAGUGAGAGAAAAACACUUCCAAAAAUAGAUUAACAGCAACUGCUUCUUCCAACAAGCCAACAACUCCAUGAACAAACAUAUAUCAACACUCCAAUAUCCACAAAUAAUCUAAUAUGAUAAUAUCCAACAAUCAGUCAAUCACAAAUCAUCAAUCAUGUAAUCAUCAAGAACAUCACAAAUAUAUGCAUCAAAAUCCAUGAGAGAAAUAUAAAAAUGCUAAAAAUCAAAAUGAAGAAUGUAUGUGCGAAAACAGAACUCAGAAACUAUGGAGGUGGAGAAGAUGUGCUCCCCGGAUCAUAUCCGAAAUAGCUGAGGAUAGUGCGCUGUCCAGCGAUAAGCUCAAGCUGCUGAUCAAGGCUCUGCCGCUGGUAGAUCUGAAAGUCUGCACGCAGCUGCUGGUGGUCACGAGAAAGAGUGUCCAACCGAUCAAGAAUCAUCUGCUGGCGCUCCGAAAUCUGCUGAACAUCAGUGAUCAGCUGCUGCACGAUGUCGGAGGCAGGAGGCGGAACUGGAGCUGGAGGUGGCACAGAGGCAGAUGGCGGCUCGGGAACUGCAGAGGGCUCAGGAGCAGGAGGCGGCUCGAAAGAGGAGGGAAUGUCAGCAUCCAUCGCACGCUCCUCAAAGUCUGAGUCAGCUGGAGGCUGAGGAACAAAACGACGACGCGGAGGAUGAGGAUGAGCGCCUAGUCUAAAGUCAGGAAGCUGAUCGGGACGAUAGAUAUCAUUGAGCAUCCGAUCGUCCUUUGGAGCAAUCAAGGUAUCCCGGUUUUUGGCGUUGCUUGUCUUUAUCCACUCUCCAUUCUUCCUAGAGAAACCGAUACUAGUCAUGGCCUCGGGACCAAUCCGUCUAGUCUCCAUGUGACCAGUAUCAAGAAGUGGAACCUCAAAGCGUCGCAGUAUCUUAGUGAUGAUACUGCCAUAAGGAAGCAAGCGGUGGUUGACCACUGGAAUACUCAAGAUAUGUCGCACAAUAAUAUACCCGAGGUUAAUGGGACGGUCUGUAAGAAGGCUAUCCAAUAGGGCAACGUCCAACCUCGUAACCUCAUCUGAUUGACCCUUCCUAGGAGUCACUAUGUGCUGUAAAAUAGAGUGAAGAAUACGAACUUGGAGAGGUAAAAGUUGAGACCGAAAUGGAAGCAUACAAAUCUCAUCCGAUAAGUCUCUACGACGACAUAUAUUACGGACACCAUGAGUAUGAGAAAAAGUAUCAAAGGAGAGGGUUUUCCUAGAGGUAUAAAUGUCAAGCCCCUCACAAGGGAUACCUAGAAAGUCAGCUAAGUCCGCAUCAUCAAAUUCUAUGGGUACACGGCCGACUUGAGUGACUAUCCUAUUUGGGCGAGUAUCAGAGAUUUCCAUGUUCGAAUAAAAGACUCGCACUAAGUUUGGAUAAACUCGGUCAUCAAAAUCAAUGCCAGACUCCCAAGGCUGAAGCAUAUCCCGAAUACUUCUACCACAUACAACCAAAUUACGAAAAUCAUCAAUGUCAACAAAGAAGGAUUCAAGUACCUUUCGACCAUCGAAGCGUUCUUCGAACCGCUUGGCCAAGGAAGGUGUGGGGAAGUGAAUCCUUGAAAAUUCAGAGACCUCCCGAGGUAGUAUAGGAUUCCUUGGAGGCACUGAUUUACGCCUGGGUGUUCUCCGAGAAGGUUCAGCCAUGGAAACCCGAAAUAGAGUAGAGAAAAAGCAAGGGAGAUGUGAUGGGACAAAAACAAACCGAUAAAAAGUUUAAGAAAGAGUAGAGGAUGUGACUAGGAUGUUCAAUUUGGUUGAAGAAAGGUGGAAAUCGGAUCAAGAACGAAGAAACUCGUCCCGCGACUGUUAGGGUUUAGAUUUGGGAUUUUUGAAUUUUGGGCACGAUUUGAAGUUUUGAAUCGGUAGAAAUGUUCUAAAGGUGAUAAGAAAUGAUUUUGAAAGUUUGAUUUGGCAAGAAAAUCAAGAAAAAUGAAGAUUUGAGGACAGAGAAAUCUUCGGCUGCGCAACAAUGGUGGAAACGGUGAGAGGGUAACUGGAGAGGUAGAAGAGAACCUUUGAACAGUAUUUAUACUUCGAGAAAACGGUUAACCGUUUAUUGAAACGGUUAAAGGGUAACUUCCAGAGGCUAAUGAAAAACAAAACGGUGUAGCAAACGGUGAAGGAGUAAACGGACAGACACAGAAUCUCGUUUCUGGAAUUAAACGGUGAUCCGUUUAUAUGAAACGGCUAACCGUUUAUUUUAUCUGUAAUUUCGCACAUUUGAUUUAAUUUUUGGCCAGCAAAUAAUAUAUUCCAAGAUCAUUUAAUUGAUCUGAAAAUAUUUUAUGAGCCAAUUUAAAUGCAUGAUUCAUGAACAUGUUUUCAACCAAUUUAUUCAUACAAUCAAGAGUAAUUAAUGCAAAUUCAUCAUUUGUCUAUCAAGCUCAAGCAUUUCAUAAACAAUAGUCAAUCAAUUUAGUACACUCAAUAGCAUGAAUAGAGAUGUUAAUGCAAGAAUUUCAUCAUCCCAAGUUCAUGCCGAAUUUUUGAAAAUUGUUCUUCGCAAAGCGGUUUUGUGAAAAUAUCGGCAAGUUGUUUUUCCGUGGAAAUAAACUCUAAUGCAAUAGCUCCCUUUUGAACAUGAUCUCUCAAGAAAUGAUGUCUUAUUUCUAUAUGCUUAGUUCGAGAGUGUUGAAUGGGAUUCUUUGAAAGGUUUAUAGCACUAGUAUUAUCACACUUAAUAGGAAUUUGUUCAAGAUUAAUGCCAUAAUCUCUAAGUGUUUGUUUCAUCCAAAGAGCUUGUGCACAACAACUUCCGGCAGCUAUAUAUUCAGCCUCGGUGGUUGACAGUGCGACAGAAUUUUGUUUCUUGCUAAACCAUGAAACAAGAGAGUGUCCUAGAAUAUAGCAAGUUCCACUAGUGCUCUUCCUAUCCACUUUAUAACCAGCAAAAUCCGCAUCCGAAAAACAUGUUAAAUCUAUGUGAGUUCCCCUAGGAUACCAAAGGCCAAUAUCUAUGGUUCCAUUCAAAUAACGAAAAAUUCUUUUAACAGCGAGCAAAUGAGAUUCCUUGGGACAUGACUGAAAUCUUGCACACAAACAUACACUAAACAUGAUAUCGGGUCUACUUGCAGUCAAAUAAAGUAGGGAUCCGAUCAUACCUCGAUACAUUUUGAUGUCCACUUCUUUACCUUUUUCAUCUUUGUCCAGCUUGGUUGUUGUGCUCAUUGGUGUAUUCUUGGUCUUUGAAUCAUCAAUGCCGAAUCGUUUGAGUAGAUCCUUUACGUACUUGGCUUGAUUUAUGAAAAUUCCUUCCUCGUUUUGUUUGAUUUGAAGUCCAAGGAAGUAUUUCAACUCUCCCAUCAUACUCAUCUCAAAUUCGUUGCUCAUACACGAUGAAAAUUCUUUACACAACAACUCAUUAGUAGAACCAAAAAUAAUAUCAUCAACAUAAAUUUGAACAAUAAGUAUGUCUUGAUUCUUAUGCUUAACAAAUAAAGUAGUAUCCGCUUUACCCAUAGAGAAGUCAUUUUCUAGCAAGAAAUUCUUAAGUCUAUCAUACCAUGCUCUAGGUGCUUGUUUUAAUCCAUACAAGGCUUUAAGUAAUUUGUAAACAUGAUUUGGAAACUUUUCAUUUUCAAAACCAGGGGGUUGUUUUACAUACACUUCUUCCAUAAUAUACCCAUUUAGGAAAGCACUUUUCACAUCCAUUUGAAAUAAAAUAAAAUCUUUAUGACAUGCAUAUGCUAACAACAUCCUAAUGGAUUCUAACCUUGCUACAGGAGCAAAGGUUUCAUCAAAAUCAAUUCCUUCUUCUUGGUUGUAGCCUUGAGCCACUAAUCUAGCUUUAUUUCUUACAACCACACCAGAUUCAUCCAUCUUAUUCCUAAACACCCAUUUAGUACCUAUUACAGAUUGAUGUUCAGGUUUAGGAACUAAUUCCCACACAUUGUUUCUUUCAAAUUGAUUUAACUCCUCUUGCAUUGCCAUAAUCCAAGAUUCAUCAUUUUCUGCAUCCUCAAAAGAUUUUGGUUCAAUUUGAGAGAUGAAUGCAUUAUGCUCACAAGUAUUUCUAAGUGAUGAUCUAGUUGUUAUACCUCGUGAGGGAUCUCCUAAAAUUACAUUUUUAGGGUGAGAAGAGACAUACCUCCACUCCUUGGGGAGUGUUUGAGAAGUACCUUCAUUUUGCUCCACAUUUGGUUCUUCAUGAUGUUCGUCUUGAAUUCCAUGUGGUGCAUCCUCUUGUUUGUCAUUUGAUGCUUCUUCUUCUUGUUCUUCUUCUCCUGCAUCAUCAUCAACCACGACUUUCUCCGUAGAGGAGGGGUUAGACUCAUCAAAUGUGACAUGCAUAGAUUCUUCCACAACUAAAGUUCUUUUGUUAUAGACUCUAUAAGCUUUGCUUGAAUUUGAAUAACCAAGAAAAAUUCCAACAUCGGAUUUUGGAUCAAAUUUACCAAGAUUAUCUUUUGUGUUCAAAACAAAACAUUUGCAUCCAAAAACUUUAAAAUAUCCAAUGUUAGGUUUUCUCUCUUUCCAAAGCUCAUAAGGAGUUUUGUUAAGAUUAGGUCUAAUCAACACCCGAUUUAAAACAUAACAAGCGGUGUUGACGGCUUCGGCCCAAAAAUAUUUUGGUAAUGCAUUUUCAUUUAACAUGGUCCUAGCCAUUUCUUGAAUAGACCUAUUCUUUCUCUCAACAACUCCAUUUUGUUGUGGAGUUCUAGGUGAUGAAAAUUGAUGCUCAAUGCCUAGAUUAUUGCAAAAACUCUCAAAUGCAUGAUUUUCAAAUUCUCCUCCAUGAUCACUCCUAAUGCAUACAAUACCAUACCCUUUUUCAUUUUGUAAUUUCUUACAAAGCACUUUAAAAGCAUCAAGAGCAUCAUCCUUAUUGGCUAAGAAUAAUACCCAUGUAUAUCUAGAAUAAUCAUCCACUAUCACAAAUGCAUAAUAUUUGCUAUUUAGACUUGCAUAUCUAGAUGGCCCAAAAAGAUCUAUGUGAAGAAGUUCAAGCGGUUUUGAAGUAGAAAUAUGGUUUUUAUUUUUGAAAGAAGUUUUAAUUUGUUUUCCAAAUUGACAAGCUUCACAAAUCUUAUCCUUUUGAAAACCAAUUUUCGGAAGACCUUUAACUAAAUCAUCUUUCGAUAUUUUUGAAAUCAAAUCCAUACUUGCAUGACCUAACCUUCUAUGCCAUAACCAACAAUCAUCAUGCAAUGCUGAAAAACAUUUAUCAAGAAUGGAUGCACAUUCUAUGUCAAUGAUAUAAACAUUACCACAUCUAUUUCCAACAAAUACGGUUUUGCCAUCACAUGGGUUCUCAAUAACACAACUAAAUUUAUCAAAGAUAACUUUAUAGCCUUUGUCACAUAAUUGACUAAUGCUAAUUAAGUUGUGUUUCAAGUUUUCAACCAAACACACAUUCUCAAUUAGAGUUGAAGAGAUUUUACCAACAUUUCCAAUUCCAAGAAUUUUUCCUUUUGAGUUGUCUCCAAAAGAUACGUCUCCACCAUUUUCAAUUUUGGUGAAGCUUGAGAACCAUGCAUAGUUUCCGGUCAUGUGCCUUGAACAACCGCUGUCCAAGUACCAUUUAUUUUUCUUCUUCUUCAAGCCCUACAAGAAAAAAAAAAUCUCAAGUUUUAGGUACCCAAAGCUUUUUGGGUCCUUGAGGGUUAGCAACGGUUCCUUUUGGAACCCAAAUGCAUUUGACACCAUAAUAUGCAUUUCUUUUCACGGGACAUCUAAAUUUCAUGUGACCAUUUUGAUUACAAUAAUGACAUACAAUCUUAUGAUUAUUUGUGGAGGUAGCUUUAACAAAAUAACUCUUAUAAUACUUUUGCUUCAAGUUAGGCUUAUAUCCAAGUCCUCCUUUAUCAAAAACACAUUUUUGUGAGUUAAGCAUAUUAUCCAACAUCUUUUGCCCAUUUGUAAAUUUCAAAACAAUUUCAUUCAAUUCAUUAUUCUUUUUCUUGAGCAUUUCAUUCUCAUUUUUCAACUCAUCUAUGUGUGAUUCUAAAUGCUCAUGUAAGAUGCUAGGUUUCUCAUUUGAUAAUGCAAUUUCAUCAUGCAAUGUUUUGUUCCCUACUUCUAGGCAUGCAAUUCUAGCAUUUAGAGAUUCAUUUUCAUUUUUAAGCUUUGUCAUUUCCUUUUUAAGACAUACAUUCUUUUUACCAAUCUUCAUCAACUCAUUAUGUAAGUCUUUAAAAGCAUCAUACAAUUCAUCAUAGGUGGGAUCACUUACCUCAUUUAGAUCAUCAUUCUCUCCUAUUGCCAUAAGUGCUAGGUUUGAUACUUCUUGCGAUCCUUCUUCAUCACUUGAUUCUUCCUCACUAUCAUCCCAAGUUGCAACCAUUGCUUUCUUCUUGAGUUUGUUGAUGAGUGGGCACUCCGAUCUUAUAUGUCCAGGCUUUUUGCAUUCAUAGCAUGUGAUUGCCUCCUUCUUUUCCCUGUGGUUCUUGAAGUUUCUGAAAUUUCUUCGCUCUCCGGUUUUCUUGAAGAAUUUUCUGAACCUCCUUGCUAGCAUGGCUAGCUCUUCAUCAUCCGGUUCACUCUCCCCAUCACUCUCAUGUUUUGAAGCUUUGAGAGCAAUGCUUUUCUUCUUCUCUUCAAGUCCUUUUUCUGCAGCUAAAUCCUCUUCAUAUGAAAUAAGAGAACCAAUUAAAUCAUCAAGAGGUAAAGUAUUUAAAUCUUUGGCCUCUUCAAUGGCAGUUCUUUUAGGUCUCCAUUCUUUUGGAAGUGACCUAAUAAUUUUCUUAACUUUCUUACUAUUUGAGAAGGUCUUCCCCAAGGCACCUAGAGUGUUCACUAUGUCCGUGAAUCUAGUAUACAUAGAAUACACAUUCUCAUUUUGUUCCAUUUGGAACAACUCAUAUUGGUGAGUGUAUCUACUGAUUUUAGACUCUUUCACUUGAUUUGUCCCUUCAUAGACAACUUCAAGUUUAUUCCAUAUCUCUUGUGCACUUUCACAACUAGAUACUCUAUGGAAUUCUUUCUUAUCAAGAGCACAAAACAAAGCGUUCAUAGCCUUGGAGUUUAGAGACAUCUUUCUCUUUUCUAACUCACUCCAUUGACUCGAUGGUUUAGGAAUAUCAUCUCCUACUUCAUCUUUGAGCGUAGGCAUGAAUGGACCAUCACAAACAACUUCCCAAAUUUCAUAAUCUAAGGCUUGCAAAUAAAUUCUCAUUCUAGUUUUCCAAUAAGCAUAAUCAUUACCGUCAAAAAAUGGUGGUCUAGUUGUGGAUUGCCCUUCUCUAAAGGUUGAGUCAUUUAGGGUUGCCAUGGAUCUUUUACUCUAGACGAUUAAGUCUUAACAAGAGAACGAGGCUCUGAUACCAAUUGAAAUACAAGUAAGCAACCCAAGAGGGGGGGUGAAUUGGGAUUCUAAAAAAUUAUUCAAUAAUAAAGAAAAUCUUAAUGCAAUUAUAACUCAAAUUCAAAGCAAUAAUAAUUAAGAUGAUCACAAUAUAAAAAGGUAAGGGAAGAGAGAUUCAAACACGAGAUUUUUACGUGGUUCGGCCAACCUCGCCUACGUCCACGCCUCCAAGCUUUCCGGGCUUGAGGAUUCCACUAAGCAAGCCUCCAAGGCUUCAAAUGCUUACACUUGACUUCCGAGGUGUCAAUGGACCUUUACAACAAGAGAUUAUCCCCAAUCUCUUAACCCAAGUGUAUCCCAACACUUACAAUCACUCAAAGUAAAAGAUUACAAAUUUGUUUUGCCUCUCACAAUAUACAAGAUAACUCAAUGAUGCUUAAUAUGUGAAUAGAUGAAGCAAGAAUGUGUUCUAAGCUCUAUGAAGAUUGUAUUCUCGAAUAUUAGCUCAAAUGGUUGUGUUGUGAUCAACCUUCUUUGAAUUUGAAUGAGCCUAUUUAUAUCUGGAGCUGAAAAUCUAGCCGUUACAAACUGUCGGGCAGAAAACGGUUCGCCGUUAACGAUAAACGGUUAACCGUUUCGCUUGUUCAAAGUUACCGUUGGACCAGAAUUCAAAUAAACGGUUUGCCGUUUAGGAUUGCCCUUUCGCCGUUAACUUCCAGAGACCUGCAAGAUGAGCAUUCGUUAUACGUUUACGCUAAACGGUUAAGGACUUGCGUGAGGUAACGUUUCUGGAUAUUAUCGGUUAACCGUUUGAACAAUAAUCGGUUAGCCGUUUGUCUCCAGUAACCUGCAAAAUGAACAUCAGUUAAUCAAUACCAGAGGCGGACAACCCUCAAUUCUGGACGUUAUCGGUUAACCGUUUAAAAAGAAACGGUUCACCGUUAGUUUCCAGUAGCCUUCCUAUCUUGGGUGUUUUUUGUUAAGCGUAAACGGCUAGAGCUUAGGCAAUAUGAUGCUCUCUGGUGAUAAUCAGUUAACCGUUUAAAAAUAAACGGUUCACCGUUAGUUUCCAGUAACCUUCCCAUCUUGGGUGUUUUCCAUUUUCCAUGAACGGUUAGAGGUUAAGGAAAUGUGUUACUCUCUGCCUUUAAUCGGUUAACCGUUUAAAAUAAACGGUUCACAGUUUAUGACCAGUAUUGCAAUUUUAAACAAGUUUUUGCAGAGAAUUUCUUUCUAAUUUGAAAUCCAUCUUUUAUGAAGAAAUAAGGCAAUGAUUAAAAGAGUUUUCGUUUAUUAAGAAAUAACUCCAUUAUUUUUGUCAAAAUACAUUUAAAAUUUGUUAUCAUCAAAAUCAAUAUUAUUAACAUAUUUAUGUUAACACAUUUAAUGCAGCUUGUAUCUUUUUGGCUCUAGCUCUUGUAAUUGGGCCUCCAUGAAUGUGCAAAGGAUCACUUGAAGCUUUAAUGGUAUUCCCUUGAUGGUUCUCAUCAUGUUCUUCUAUUUCAACAAGAACAAAAGUUGUUUGUUCAUCAUAGUCUUCUUGUUCAGAGAAGAAGGAUUCAACAUCAUCACUUUCUGAAAGUAACAUGGAAUCCUGGAGAUGCUCAAUAAGUCUGACUGAUUUCACAAGUCUGUUUGGACAAUUCCUUGCGAAAUGGCCUUUCUUUUUACAAAUAAAACAAUGGCUACUUUUAGAUUUAGAGGACUGGUCAUGGUUCUUUUUUCUAAAAAAUCGAUAAGGUUUUUUGGAUCUGGAAGGUGUUUGGCUUUUCUUUUCUGAAUUCAGGAAUUUUCGGAAGUGGGAUUUCUUUUUGGUUGAGCAAGUGCAAUCCUUCUCACUUUUGCAUUUAAUGGAAAGAUGGGGGUUUUUUACAAGCACUUUUGAAAGGCUGUUUGUUUUCUAUGAGGUCUUUGAAGAAUUCCUUUUAUUCACAAAGUCUUUCUAGACAGUUAAUUGCUAACUGAUAAAUUUUCCCCAAAGAGAGGUUGACUAUGUCCAGCUGGUGGAUUGUGAAUUGUCUCUGAAGUUCUGGUUGGAUCUCCUUCGAAAAAGAUGCUACAAAGACAUGUUUUAAUGAGGGAUCAUUAAAACCAUUGAGCUUGUAAUACAUUGUAGACAUUCUCUUGUAGUGAAAAUCCAGAUCUUUUAUCUGGAGAGAACAACACUUCAUUAGAUGGAACUCUCUUCUUGUUUGUUCGUUAGUAGCUGUAGCUUCUCCAAGGAACUGCUCAUAACUAAUUCCUAGGACCUCUGAAAUCUGGGCUUGAAUUACCUGGAGUUGUCUGUAUGGACCUAGACUUUCAAACCAAUCUCUUAAAGAUCCAGUAAAAUGAGAACUGAACUCCUUAAGGAUGGUUUGAGUUGUUGCUUCAGUUCUGAGCAUUUGAACAUCAAUCCAGGUAGAAAAUUCUUAAAAUCUAGUUGGCCAUUUUCCUGUUGGAAUGUCAUCAAAAGUAAACCAUGGGCCAUUGGAAGGUUUAGAAGAAGAAUUUUCUUGAUGAGGUGUAGGAUUGGUAUCAGAAUAUACUUCCUUAACUAUAUGUGUUUGAGGAGGUAAGAAGGGAGAAGGAUCAUUUGACCCAGUUGAUGGCUGGACCAUCAGAAGCUUAGAGAUAUUAGUGAAGCUUUUUUCAGAGUUGGAGGAGGAAGAAAAUGAUUUUGAAGAAAAAGAUUCUUCAUCAGUUGAGGUUUCUUUUGAUUCUGAAAGGUGAGGCAGGACCUGAGAUGAGUAUUGAUGCAUAGGUUCUUUGUUCUUCUGAGUAGAUUGAGGUUCUGGAGAAGAUUGUGGAUCAGAGGGUUGGUGGUAAAUUGGAGGAGGUUCAGGCUUAGGAGGUCUGGACCGUGGUUUUGGAGGAGCAGUAGUUGGAGUAUGUUUGAGAUGAGACAGGCCAAAGAAUUUGGCAUAGUCUACAGGUUGUCGUGAGGUGGAUGGUGUGUAGAAAGACUGGUAAGGGUAAAGCAAGAGAUUUUGCAAACAAUGAAGGUUGUUGUUUGUCAGCAUCAAUCCUGGCAAGUUCAGCUUUUAACUACCUAAUCUCUGCUUCUUUUUGGUUAAAUUCUGGACCGUAAUAUCUGUUUUGGAUCAUAAACCUUAUAUCUGAAUCAAGUUGGGUGACUCAAUUUUGCAUGUCAAGAUACAUCUGUUCAAGCUGGGCCACCUUUUCAAUUUUUUCGUCAAGAGGAAAGUUGAGUUCUGCGCCCUAUCAUUUUGAGUUUGCCAGUUGAGUACAGCUUUAAAAGGUUUUGGUUCUUCCAGCUGGCCAUUUGGUGUAACAGGAGAGUGGACAAAAGGUUUGGUGGUAACCUUUAUCUGUGGAUCAAUUUUUUUUUCUAAAUGAGGGAACUGCUCUUGGUAAGAGCUUGAUGAGAACAUCAUGCAAGGUUGGACAGGCCUAGUAGGAGAUGAGGACAAGGCAGUCUCUUGUCUGCAUGAUCUUUGUUUAUACUCCUUUUGUAUAAGCCUUAAACCUUUCCUAUAAAUAGGUAAAGGCAUUAGACUGUCUGGAUCAUCUAGGGGUAGAGGAGGCUUUUUGUGACACGGAUCCAGUUUAUGACUUUUCUUUUUACGCCGCUUGGGACGCCUAUUGAAAUCAUCAUCGUUAUCUCUUUCUUCGAGGCAAGGACAAUCUGGAUCACACAUAUGAGAACCUGGAACAUCCCAUAAAAAAUGACCAUUGAUUUUGUCCGGGUAGAUUGGAUAGCCAUCUGAGGCAAAUCUGUGGAUAGGAAGAUUUUCUUGUGCCGUAGAUACGGUUGUUAUCAUGGAAGAGUAUGAAAAAUAGUUUCUGGGUGUUGGUUGUUCGGAGGGUGGAUGAGAAACAAUGGGUGUCUGGGAAGUGGAUGGUGCUUGAAAAGUCAAUUUUACAGUUUCAUUUGCUCCUUUUUCAAAAUGAGCAUCAGUUGUUUGGACCAGCUGAGAGUUUUGAUGGAAUUUUUCAUAAUUGGAAAGUCAUUCAAGAGGCAUGAGCUUAAGAAGCUCUUGCUUUUGAAUUUGUCUUGGGAUUUGUACUAUGGAAGGGAUGCUUUUUGAGGAAUCUACAAGGAUCAGCAGUGCAUCUGAUGUGGUUUGAGGUGUGGGAAGAUCAAGGGCAUGAUUUUGUAGGCGGUACACCAAUUGAUGGUGUAAGGUUGCCAUCUUUAAAGAGACUAUUUGUUCAGCUCCUUGGAUUUGGAUCUAAACCUUCAGAGUAGUUGGUAGGUUUGGAUCAUCCAGUGAGAGGUUGAAAUUUGGGUAGAAGGUCAAGAGAACACUUCCUGUAUGUAAAGUAGUCAGAACUGUUCCUAUAACUGCAUGCUGGUACUCCUUGAAACGGGUAUCUAGUAAAGCCAGUCUGGUUGUGGCAGGUAAGCCUUUUCUCCCAUGAAGGGUGAAAAUCAAACGAACUCCUCCAAGAUGGAGGUGCGUGUAUCCUUCCCUUUUCCACUGGGCAACAAGCUCUGGAGGAAUUUCAAGAGUAACAUAUUGUUCUGCUUGUGAUGUUUGAAGAGCACACUGAUCUAGUCGAGAUGACUGGAUAUAUUCUUUUGGAGCAAGUCUUUUGGUUGAGAUUAGGGUUCUAAUACUUUUGGUUAAGGAAUUUGAUACAGCUUAUAUGGGCUAAUGAGAGGCAUGGAAGAUUCACUAAUUUGGGCUGACUCUAGGACAUACAAAUACUCAACAAGGUUUUCUAUUUUUUAAGCUAGGUGUAUGGUUAGUAUAUCUUUAAAUUAUGUUGAAAACAUCAUUGAAGCAUUUAUGGAUUAUUUAAGUAUCUAUGGUGAUUCUUUUGACAUAUGCUUAGAUAACCUUACAUUUGUUCUUAAACAAUGCAUGGAAAGUAUCCUUGUACUUAAUUAGGAAAAAUAUCACUUUAUGAUAAAUUAGGUAUAGUUUUAGGCCAUAUUAUAUCUGCUAAGUGAAUAGAAGUAGAUAAAUCUAAAGUAGAUUUGUUCUUUUCUUGGACACACAAGUUUUUAUAGAAAUUUUAUUAAGGACUUCUUAAAAAUCACAAGGCCCUUAUAUAGAUUAUUAUUAAAGGAAAUGUAAUUUGAGUUUAAUGAAGAACGUAUGGAGGCAUUUAAGAGGUUUAAAGAGCUACUAACCAUAGCUCAAAUUGUUCAACCACCUGAUUGGAGCCUUUUAUUUGAGCUGAUUUGUAAUGCAAACGAUUAUGCUGUGGGAGUAAUUUUGUAGCAGUGAGUUGGAAAGAUUUCCCAUGCCGUCUAUUAUACUUCCAGACCUUGAAUGGCACUUAACUUAAUUGCUUCACCACUAAAAAGGAGAUAUUGGCUGUUCUUUUUAUCAUGUAGCUCUUAGGUAUUUUCUCACUAAGACUUAUAAGCUAAACUAAGCUAAACUAAGGUUUGAUCAUUAAAGAUAUGAAGGGAAGUGAGAAUGUAGUUGUUAAUCACCUUGGUCUCUUUGUAUAACAACUUUCCAAAUGAGCAAUUAUUUUCUUUAGAAGCUUUAGCCCUUUAGUAUUCUGAUAUUGUGAACCAUUUAGUAACCAAGAAGCUGCCUGAUGAUUUGACUUGUUCUCAAAAGGAUAAUGCCAGGUAUUAUGUGGGGGAUGAUCCAUAUUUAUAGAAGCAUUGUCCAGACCAAAUAAUAAGAAGGUGUGCACCCAAUUAUGAAUGUUUAGAUAUAUUCACUUUCUGUAAUUCUUAUGCACGUGUUGGUUAAUUUAGAGCCAAAAAAACAUCACUCAAAGUACUUGAGUGUGGAUUUUAUUGGCCUACAUUAUCCAAAGAUGCAUUUAUUUUAUGUAAACCACCAUGAAAUCACUAGCUAAAGCAUGGAAAAUUAUGGUGGCUCAAAUACUGAUACUUAUUGUUGGAAUCUUUAAUGUUUUGGUUAUUGAUUUCAUGAGACAUUUUCCUGCUUUAUACAAUAAUCUUUACAUACUAUGUUGAUUAUGUUUCUAAAUAGGCGGAAGCAAAAGCUAUCUAAAUUAAUGAUUCUAAAGUAGUUGUAGAUAUUUAUAAAGACUACAUAUUUGCAAGGUUUGGAACACCAAAAGCUAUAAUCAACAAUAGAGGAAUCCAUUUUUACAACUAUACAUUUUAAGUACGUGGCGUUGUUAUACCAGAGCAAUGAUAACAAAGUUAUCCUUUGGACCAGUAGUCCGCAUGCUCGGGUUUCCAGCCGAUAUACUUAGAAAAUGAGAAUGACGUGGUUGCGAGAUACCAGAUAUUCCGUAUCUUAUGAUGAACUAAGAACCUAGAAAACCCAAAGACACAUACUCUCCUUGGUCACUAAGUCUAGUGUCUCAGAACAAAGAAAGAAUAAGAGCUUGACUAGCUUUCUGAUGCACAGGAUCCUUUUUCAAGGCAAGUGCAGAGCAUACUUGCAGAAGAUAGACAUUGAACAAAGGUUAGAGUUCUAAACCUAAAGAAUCUUAGGAUUAAAGAAUAGAAACGAAGGUUUUAGUUAGCCAUAGGGUGGAAUAUUAAAACUUGAAAGGUUAUCGAAAACCUCUUCUGAUUUUUAUUCAAGAUAAGUCUCCUUAUAUAAGGAUAAGGAGGAGAAAAGACAAACAAGCUGGACCAAGCUCUUUCCAGCUGGCAUACAGGCACACAUAUUUUACAAAAAUAAAGUACAUGAUUACAUAAGGACAAACAACUUUUAAAAAGCUAAAGCAUACACUUAUUACAAAAUGACAAACAACUUUUAAAAAGUUAAAGACAAAAGCUAAAGACACUCAUUAUGACAAAUCUCUUAAAGAGAUAUGGUUCCAUCUUCAGAUGGGGAUGCAGUCUCGUCAGGGUCACGAUCAGGGUCCUUGUCUUUUUUGAGGAUUCGUUUUGGAUGAGAACAUCCUAGAACACAUGGCCAAGGGCAAUAUUGUCCUUUUGGUAGAGGAAUAUCUUGUGGAGAUGAAGGAACUGGUUGAGGAUAAUGUUCAGGCUGAGAGGAAAAUGGUACAUAUGGAGAAGAGGAUGAUCCAAGUUCAUAUGGUGAUGGUGAAGGUACCGGGAUAAAAUCUUCAUAAGGAUCUUAGGAAUCUUGGAAUAAGAAGUCAUGUAAUCUGGCUUUUCUUCUUUUAUGAUGAUUCCACGGUUGGGAGGUUGGGAAUGUAAGGAUAGAGUAGGGAUCAUAAACAUUUCAUGUUUUGGUCCAAGAGAUGUGUGGAGGAUUUCUGGCUGGUCUGGAGGAAUAUGGUUGAGUUCCAUAAGGCAAUUCUUCAAGGAAGUCUUGAUCUAAAAAUCUUGUUCGAGAGAGGCAAUAUAAGGGACAGUCAUCCAUUCAUAACUCUUAUUCUGAGUCCAAAAAUCUCUGGUAUGAGAAUGUUGGAAAUAUGGACGGUGAAGGAUAAAAACAUAAGUGAACUGUUUUCCUUUUGGUCUGGAAGAUCGGGAAGGUAGUGUGUGUUAGCUAUCUGUUGCAGCUUCUUGCCCCACCAUGGUAAUGGUGAAAACCAUUCAAAAAGAGUCCAGGUAAGGGAGGUGGAUAACUCUGGAUUAUUGAGUUGGUUGAGAAGGGGUGAAACAGGGAAAACCAUUUUUGUGGCAUAUAGAACAGUAAGACACCAUGUAUACCAAAGCUCAUCUUCGGUAAUGUCUUUGUGAGGUGUAAGUACUAAUCCUGUGAGGAAAAGAUGAUCAGGAUGAAAACUGGGAAGGAACAGAGGUUCUUUACUCAUCUGAUAGAUGUUCAUAAAAAACCUAAAGAGAAAUUUUCUAGCAAAGUCUUGAAUUACGUGAGGUGACUGAAAAGUCAUGUUGAGUGGGAAGGACUUCUGGGUGAGAGCUGUUUUAGGGAGUGAACUAGCCAUGGCAAUGAUCGGGAAGGAAAUCUGAGAAGUGAGAUAGAAAAAUUGGGGAGGUUUUGAUUUUGGAGGUCUAGAUAGUAAGCUUGGAAUGAGGUUAUUAUUGUACAAAUUUUAUUGAACUCGCAAGUGCACGAAUCUAUUGUAGAAUAGAUUAAUGGUGACAAGUGUCGAUCCCACGAGGAGGUGGAUUUUAAUUAUAUGUAGAUUUAAUUUUGUAUGAGGGUGGUUGGAUUUGUGGUGAAAGUAACUUAGAUUAUUCUAAAAUUGGAAUUGAAAUGGCAAGAAUAAAUUGAAGUGAAAUCUAUAGAAAUGACGUACUUUGGUAUCUGGAUCCGUAUCAACAUGCACCAUGGGCUAAAUAUUCAUUAUUAAUGCCAAUUAAAUCAUGAAGGGGGAAUCCACACCUCAUGAACCACACUCUAGUCAAUAUGGUGCUAAGAGCUUAUCGUGUCAAAUAAUAAUAACCUUGUACUAGAGAGCCGGUGAAACCAAGGCGGUAUCUAGAUAAGAUUAUUAUUAUUUGUCGACGAGAAGUCAAAAUAUCCACAAAAAUUAGAGGGGAAAAAAAAUAAAUUUACCAAAUAAAGCCCAUGACACAUGUUGAGACUUCACCUUCAACCCAAGCUUGAAAGGAAAUUAGCUACUCAUAAUUGAACUAGGGGCAAAAUGAGAAUUUAUUAAAAUACAUGGAAAAUACAAGAUGGAGAGGGAAUUACAAAAAAUGGAAUCCAAAAAUGGAUUUAGAGCUAUCAAAUUAGGGGGUAGAGCCCCCUUUUUAUAGAUACAUUGAGUAAAUCAUGGCCAUCGGAUUAAAAAUGUUUCGGACGCUCAGGAUUACGCCACGUCAUCAGUCAACACUACGCGGUUUGAACAGUAACACAGUUUGACCCAGGUUGAACAGUGACGCGGUUUGCUUGAAAAUAAUCCUGUGUAAUGCAUUUACCGUACGUGAGAUUUUUGGUCCACUGAUAUGUUGCCACGUCAUUGAUCAAUAGUGCAUAAGAAUUUUAGUCCAAUAGGAUCGUGACACCUCAUUAGUCAAUGCCACAUCAUCAGUCAAUGCCACGUCAUCGAUCCAUCUAUGUGACCAGUGUCGUGAACAGUAACAUAGACAGUACCAUACAUGUGAAUAGUACCGUACAUGUGAAUAGUGCCAUUUUUCCUUUUAUGCUCCUCUUAAGGUUUUCGAGCGUCCUGAGUUCAAAAGUAAUGUCCGUUUUGCCGUCUGAUCUCUUGUUCAUUGUGAAAUGACUAUGAUGCCCCUAAAAUACAUAAAAUACUUAAUUAUAAUACAACACACAUAAUUAAAUGACAAGAAGUUUAAAUACAUAAAAGUAAGGGUGUUAGUAAAACUUGAAGUGUAAAAUGACGAUUUUCUCCUUUAUAAAUAUACAUUUUCUAACACUCAAUAGUUAUGAUCUCCUUUUAUAUGCUGGACAUGGUAAUCAUAUCUUGAAAACCAUUCUUUAAGCCGAAGUAGGGUUUUUUCUAGGACAGCUUUCUGCUUAAAGUUCAAGAUAUUGGGAAAAGCUGAUUAAUCUAGUUUGAUCAAGAAUCUAUGACCAAUCAAAUGGAAUUAAAAUUUUUUGAUACCAUUUUUCACGACUAAGAUCUCUUUGUAAACUGUGUGAUAACGCGUUUGUGCAUCAGAAAAUUGUCCACUUGCAUAAGCAAUAAAGUGUUCUUUUCCAUUGCAUUCUUCAAGGAGAAUGGCCCCCCAUGACUCAUCAUUGCCGUCUGUUUGCAGGAUUCGUUUGCCGUCUAUAAUCAGCUUUAAAAUCUUCAAUCCAGAAUUACUCAACUAGAUUCAGAGUUACGAACCAUGCUUGCUCAAAGAUACUAUGGCCCAGAAUUUGACCAAAAAGAAAGGGAAAUCAGACGCUUAAAAGCUGAGCUUGAUCAGAUUGAAUCAGAAAAACAAAGACCUACUCUUUUUACCACAUCCCCUCCUAUCCCUUCCAUAGGUCCAACUUAUCAUCCAUUUGCCUCUAUGCUUUCCCCCAUCAAACAGUAUGACCCUUCCAAGUUAUUUGGCAUGACUCAUACCCUUUUCAGAGACAAUCCCUUACCACCAUCACCUAAACCUAAACCAAAGCCUAAACCUCAACCACGCCCCGUCAAAAUUCAUCAGCCAUCCAUGUCCAUUCCUGGACAACAAUCCCCACCGGCCGCACCUCAAUUCCAACCUCAACCUCAGUCUAAAGACAAAGAACCCAUGCACCAGUAUAGUGCCUACACCGUAGAUCCAUCAUCUACUCCAGAUGAUCAAACUUCUGAUUCAAAUCUAGCCAUUUCCAAUAGCCAUACUGAGUUUGACACAAAAUCUUCAGUAUCCACUAGUGACUCUGAACAGUCUUAUGCUGAUAUCACCAGAAUCUUGAUGGCCCAACCUGAUCAACCUGAUCACGGCCAAACCUCUCACACAGAACCAUAUGUUGAUAUUCCUUCAGAAGUUGACGAAGACAUACAUGAAUUCUCUGCAACACACCAACCCCCUCUAGCCCAAGCCUAGACUGGUCCAACAGGUCAAAAAUCGUCAAAUGGUCCAUGGUUCACAUUUGAUGAUCUUCCAUCUCAUAAAUGGCGUGAGAGACUUACUAAAAUGUCUCCUUGGAUUGACCUCCAAAUGCUACGACCAGGAGCAACGACUCAAUCAGUCCUUAGAGAAUUUGCUACUCGUUUUACGGGUGCUCUAAGAGAUUGGUUUAAUUCUUUAGGCCAAUACAAACAAUUACAGUUUGUUCAAUUACCAGAAGUAUCAAGUGCCCUUGUGGUUAUUCAUGAUCAAUUCCUUGGAGACCCCUCUGCAGUUUUUGAAGCUGCACGACGAGACUACCUCAACAUGAAAUGCUGCUCACUCAAUGCUACGGAUCUUGAUUUUCAUUACAAACGAAUGUCCUUCCUAUUCUAUAAGCUUAAUGGCUUCAAUGAGCCAACCUUAAAGCAUGUCUUCCUGGCUUCCCUUCCAGAAGAGCUCCAACCCGAUAUACAACGACAACUCACUGCCUCUAAUCUCAUCCUUGACAACAUCUCUCUUGGCAAAAUCUUCCAGAUUGCCAAAACAUGCCUUGACAAACUUUGCGAGCAGAAACAAUUUUUCAAAGACCUGUUGAGAGAUAACGAACCAUUCAGGAGUGCCUGCAAAAAGCCCUAUUUGCAAAUCAAAUGUAAAAGGAAAAAGAAUUGUGAUUGCAGUUCUAAGAAGAAAGGCAUUUUCGGAAAUUUAAAAAUUCAGAAUUUUCAUCUAAACCCCGCAGGUCCAGAAAGCCCUACCGAUUCUUCAGGAAAAAAUCAUCUUCCUCCAGAGAAUUCAAACGAAAAUCAUCAAGCAGAUGUUUCAUCAUCAAGAGGAAAGGUCAUUAUGCUAAAGAUUGUCCCAACAAACGAGAGAAAUCCAUCCGGCUAGUCGAACAUCUUUAAGCCACUAUAGAUUACUCUCCCGUGACGGAUGAACUGGAAUUCUAUUUCUCUGAGCAAGAUGAACCCAAUGAUGAAACCGUGUUCGCAUUACAAAAUUCCUUUGAUGACUCAGACAGUGAUGUGUCUCAAGUUAUAUUCCACCAACAAUUACUGUCCCUUGACACUAUUGUUCCUAUACCCUCUAUCAAACUCCAUAUCUUGCCCUCAAAAUUCCAAAGGCCCAUUCCAGCAAUUGAUCUCAUAGAUACUGGCGCCCAACGCAGCAUGUUAAACCCCAAUAUCCUUCCACCUAAAUACUGGACAAAGUACGAAGAAAAUUUCAGGGCCGUUAAUGGCAAAUUUUUCAAUACCUCUUUGAUUACCAACAAACCCAUUGGUAUUCAAAUCUUCCCAAAUUGUGUCAUUUGGACCAAGGUUAUCAGUUCAACCCUUCCUAAUAAGGAUAUCUUGUUAGGAUUUGACAUACUCCACCAAAUCACACACCUCCAAAUCAUUCCCACUAGAAUCCGAGUCAAGUCCAUGUUCAAACCAUUCACAGACAUUCUGAAACUCUACAAUUUGUCUGACACUCCCCAGUCCUACCAGGAUAUUUCAUCCCCUCUUUUGCGUUUCUUUCCAGAGUCCCAUUAUGAGUUCACCCAUCCAACUCCAUUGUGGAAAAACCUAUCUUUCUUCAUUAAGUUACCUUUCAAACUCAAUGAAGACAUUAACCCAACCAAAGGUACUCAUCCAGGAAUGAGUCCUCCUGACUUACUCCUAGCCCAAAAAGAAUGUUCACAACUAUUAGCCCAAGGUCUAAUCGAGCCCACAAGUUCUCAAUGGGCUUGCCAAGCCUUUUAUGUUGAAAAGCAUUCUGAAAUUGUCAGAGGAAAGAAACGCUUAGUCAUUGACUAUCAGCCACUAAAUAUGUUUUUGCAAGAUGACAAAUUUCCUUUGCCCCGACGACAAAGCAUGUUUACUUCUCUUUAAAAUGCCCAGAUCUUUUCCAAAUUUGAUUUAAAAUCAGGUUUUUGGCAAUUAGGCAUUGAACCCUCGGAGCAUUACAAAACUGCCAUUUGUAUCCCAAAUGCCCAUCAUCAAUGGACAGUCCUACCCUUCGGCCUCAAAACUACCCCAUCCAUUUUCAAAAAUCCAUGGUCCAAAUCUUUCACCCUAUCCUGCAUCAUGCAUUAAUUUACAUUGAUGAUAUCUUGCUUUUUUCAGGAUCACAUGAUGAACAUCACCAACUGUUAACUCAAUUCUAUGAUAUUGUCCAAAGUCAUGGAAUCAUGCUGUCUGCCAAGAAAAGCACCAUUGCCAUGGAUAACAUUGAAUUCCUUGGUAUGAUCAUAAAGGACGGCCAUUAUCAGCCAGGAAAGCACAUUGCCCAAGAGUUGCUUCACUUUCCAGAUCAGUAACUUUCCAAAAAGCAAGUUCAACAGUUUCUCAGCAUUAUCAAUUAAAUCAGAGACUUCAUCCCGCAUGUGGACCGCUAUACUCACCACCUCUCGGCUCUAUUGAAAAAGAAGCCCCCAGAGUGGAAUGCUGACCACACAACUGCUGUCACUACCCUCAAGCAAAUUACUCAAAAUCUGCCUCCCUUAAAGUUAAUUACUGAUGGAAAGUGCAUACUGCAGACAGACGCAAGUGAUGAAUCAUGGGGUGCCAUCCUCCUCGAAGAAAUCAACGGCAAAGAAUACUUUAUCGCUUACGGUAGUGGACAAUUUUCUGACGCACAGAAGCAUUACCAUAGCGUGUUCAAAGAAAUCUUAGCGGUAAAGAAUAGCAUCAAAAAAUUUGAGUAUCAUCUUAUUGGACAUCAUUUUCUCAUCCGACUGGACAGUUCAGCCUUCCCCAAUAUUCUCAAUUUCAAAGGUAAAACUGUCCCAGAAAAGAUGUUACUCCGAUUAAAAGAUUGGUUUUCCAAAUACGAUUUUUCGGUUAAGCAUAUAAAGGGGUCCCAGAACCUCAUCCCGGAUAUGCUAUCCAGACUCUCAAAACCAGAAAACCCUCUAACCUUGAUUUCCACAACAUACCAAUUUCUUAUCAUCUCCAUGGCCACAUCACUUCCGCCCGAAGCUCUCACCAAGAAAACUUUCCCCUUGACAAAACUUUCUCUUCUGUCUUUGCUAUCCAAGAGUUUGCAAGGAAAGUUGUUUUCCGCUUCUUCAUAAAAGCCUACCUUUUGGCAGACUCAUUUCCAUUUUCCACCUUCCACCCAGAAAAUCUGUUCCUUACAGGUUUAACCCUCGCUCUGUCCAGCGAAAUCACUGAAGAUGAGUUAUGGUACAUCUGGUGCCUAACUAUUCUUUAUGCAACCAAACUAGUCCUACCAAUCACUCCCACUUUGAACAAUCUCCUUAAUCCAGACAAAGCCACCUCUCUUACCUGGGCAUUACUUGAAUGUUCUCCCCAAUACCAUGGUGGAGAAAGAAGCUACAACAACUGUCAGAGAUUUACAAUCUUGAACGUAUGCUUGCCUCUGAAGCACAAUUGGUUACAUCAGUAUUUAUCAUUCACAGGCCAUACUUCCAACAUCCAGACACAAAUCUCUUUUGGACUCAAGACCAGGUAUAUGAAUGGUUUACCGCACCUCACCCAGCUAUCAUUGACAAUGAAAUCCAAUCCAAUCUGCACAACUACCUUUGUCAAUUGAACCACCAAACUCCACCACACUGGGAUAUCUUUCACACCUCCUUAGGACCACAGCAUGACCUCAUCAUGAUCCCCACUUCAUCCGCCAUAUCCAAACCAAAGUCCUUAGGAAUCAUCAUCAAAGAAGAAAAACCAAACUACACUAACUUCCUUUACCAAGACUCCCAAGACCCAUGGGAAGAAUUCCUUCCUCUAAGCCAACAUCUCCAACAAUUUCCACAACCAACCAUGUAUGAACCAGGAUCAUCAUCCCAACCCUCCAAAGUUGACAAGGCCACUCAGAUGCCAAGCCCCAAGUCCCAGUCAUCACCCCCCAAGCCGGGAUACCGAAGAGAUUGCCCUUAUCCACCUUUCUGUGGUCCCCACUGUAAGCAUCCAAAGCUCUCCAAAACCUUUUUCCCAAAAUACAACCUAUAACAGCAUCUUGGUACUGUUAAAACCGGGUAUCAAGCAUAACAAUUCGAGCUGUGACUGGUAACCCUUUUCUCCCAUGAAGGGUAAGGAUUAAUCUGAUGCCUCCAAGAUGGAGAUGAGUGUAACCUUCUCUUUUCCAAUUGGAAAUUAACUCUGAAGAUAUUUCCAGAGUGACAUAUUGCUCAGCAGAGGUUGCUUGAAGAGCACAUUGAUCUAGGCGAGAAGACUGGAUAUAUUCUUUAGGUUGAGGCCGUCUAGUAGAUAUGAGAGUACGGAUACUUCGGGUAAAGGAAGUGGGGCGUUUGUACAGCUGAUAAGGGCUGAUGAGAGGGUACGAUGACUCACUGAUUUGGGCUGAUUCAGGGAUGUAGGAAUAUUCUACAAGGCUUUCAAUCUUAUGGGUGGUAUGAGAAGUGCAGGAUUUGGGCAAAGAAAGAGUAGAAGAAAGAGUAACAGGAUUGGAAGGAGUUGAAGAUGAAGUGGAAGCCAUGAAUGAGAAAGUCUCUCUGCUCCUGAAGUUCUAGAGAUCAAAACAUAAGAAAGACUUAAAUCAUACCAUUUUGGGCAUGAAAAACUGAAGUUUAGAAAACGAAAUAUUUUCAAGGACGGGUAUGGCUCUGAUACCAAAAUAGGUGCAGUAGUAAAACCUAAAACGUUUCUUUUAAGGUCAUAUAACCCAAAACAGACUUUUCUUAGUCUUUAAAACAGGGUACCAAACCGUUUAAGAAAUCAUCAUAAGUUUUCUGAUGCACAGGAUCUUUACUGGAAGGCAAGUGCAGAGCAUAUUUCCUUAAAGUUUCAAAAUGAACAAAUUUAAUUCUUUAUUCCUUUUCUUUCUCUAGAUCUUCAUUUGCAGAGAGAGAAGAGAGUUUAGAAAUUCAUAGUUUUAUGGAAACACACGAGAGUUUUUUUUUUCUUUCGAAAACCUCUAUAUCUUACAAGCGAAGGGAGAAUUCUUUAUAUAGGAGAAUUCUUGGAGAAGACAGGACAGGACCCCUAUCUUUUACAAAAGCAAAAAUAAAAGACACAUCAUGACAGCUUUAAUGAUUACAAAGGACAAAGUGUGCUUUAAUAAUUAAAGCAUGACUUUGACAAAAGCAAAAGCUUAAAGUAAAAGCAAGCCUUAAUAAUUAUACAGGACAAAAUCAUAAAGUAGAACAUAAUUAUGACAACAAGACAAACUACUAAAACAAGCCUUAAUAAUUAUACAGGACAAAACCAUAAAGUAGAACAUAAUUAUUAUAACAAGACAAACUACUUUAUGGAGAGCGGAGAUUCAUGUAGUCGUCUUCGGAUGAGCUUUCUGUUUCAUCUGGGUCAGUGUCACGGUUGUAUUUUGGGAAAAAAGUUUUGGAGAGCUUUGGAUGCUUACAGUGGGGACCACGGCAAUGUCGAUAAGGGCAAUCUCUUCGGUAUCCCGACUUGGGAGUGAUGACUGGGACUUGGAGCUUGGCAUCUGAGUGGCCUUGUCAACUUUGGAGGGUUGGGAUGAUGAUCUUGGUUCAUAUAUGGUUGGUUGUGGAAACUGUUGGAGAUGUUGGCUUAGAGGAAGGAAUUCUUCCCAUGGGUCUUGGGAGUCUUGGUAAAAGAAGCCAGUGUAGUCUGGUUUUUCUUCUUUGAUGAUGAUUCCUGUGGACUUUGGUUUGGAUAUGGCGGAUGGAGUGGGGAUCAUGAUGAGGUCAUGUUGUGGUCCUAAGGAGGUGUGAAAGAUAUCCCGGUGUGGUGGAGUUUGGUGGUUUAAGUGACAAAGGUAGUUGUGCAGGUUGGAUUGGAUGUCAUUGUCAAUGACAGCAGGGUGGGUGAGGUGCGGUAAACCAUUCAUAUACUUGGUCUUGAGUCCAAAAGAGAUUUGUGUUUGGAUGUUGAAAGUAUGGCCUGUGAAUGAUAAAUACUAAUGUAAACAAUUGUGCUUCAGAGGCAGGCAUACGUUCAAGAUUGUAAAUCUCUGACAGUUGUUGUAGCUUAUUUCUCCACAAUGGUAUUGGGGAGAACCAUUCAAGUAAUGUCUAGGUAAGAGAGGUGGCUUUAUCUAGGUUAAGGAGAUUAUUCAAAGUGGGAGUGAUUGGUAGGACUAGCUUGGUUGCAUAAAGAACAAUUAGGCACCAGAUGUACCAUAACUCAUCUUCAGUGAUUUCGCUGGACGGAGCGAGGGUUAAACCUGUAAGGAACAGAUUGUCUGGGUGGAAGGGGGAAAAUGGAAAUGAGUCUGCCAAAAGGUAGGCUUUCAUGAAGAAGCGGAAAACAACUUUCCUUGCAAACUCUUGGAUAGCAAAGAUAGAUGAGAAAGUUUUGUCAAGGGGAAAAGUUUUCUUGGUGAGAGCUUCUGGUGGAAGUGAUGUGGCCAUGGAGAUGAUCGGAAAUUGUUAUGUUGUGGAAAUCAAGGUUAGAGGGUUUUCUGGUUUUGAAAGUCUAGAUAGCAUAUCAGGGAUAAGGUUCUGGGACCCCUUUAUAUGCUUAACCGAAAAAUCGUAUUUAGAAAACCAAUCUUUUAAUCGGAGUAACAUCUUUUCUGGGACAGUUUUACCUUUGAAAUUGAGAAUAUUGGGGAAGGCCGAACUGUCCAGUCGGAUGAGAAAAUGAUGUCCAAUAAGAUGAUACUCAAAUUUUUUGAUGCCAUUCUUUACCGCUAAGAUUUCUUUGAACACGCUAUGGUAAUGCUUCUGUGUGUCAGAAAAUUGUCCACUACCGUAAGCGAUAAAGUAUUCUUUGCCGUUGAUUUCUUCGAGGAGGAUGGCACCCCAUGAUUCAUCACUUGCGUCUGUCUGUAGUAUGCGCUUUCCAUUAGUAAUUAACUUUAAGGGAGGUGGAUUUUGCACAAUUUGCUUGAGGGUAGUGACAGCAGUUGUGUGGUCAGCAUUCCACUAUGGGGGCUUCUUUUUCAAUAGAGCCGAGAGGUGGUGAGUAUAGCGGUCCACAUGCGGGAUGAAGUCUCUGAUUUAAUUGAUAAUGCUGAGAAACUGUUGAACUUGCUUUUUGGAAAGUUACUGAUCUGGAAAGUGAAGCAACUCUUGGGCAAUGUGCUUUCCUGGCUGAUAAUGGCCGUCCUUUAUGAUCAUACCAAGGAAUUCAAUGUUAUCCAUGGCAAUGGUGCUUUUCUUGGCAGACAGCAUGAUUCCAUGACUUUGGACAAUAUCAUAGAAUUGAGUUAACAAUUGGUGAUGUUCAUCAUGUGAUCCUGAAAAAAGCAAGAUAUCAUCAAUGUAAAUUAAUGCAUGAUGCAGGAUAGGGUGAAAGAUUUGGACCAUGGAUUUUUGAAAAUGGAUGGGGUAGUUUUGAGGCCGAAGGGUAGGACUGUCCAUUGAUGAUGGGCAUUUGGGAUACAAAUGGCAGUUUUGUAACGCUUCGAGGGUUCAAUGCCUAAUGCCAAAAACCUGAUUUUAAAUCAAAUUUGGAAAAGAUUUGGGCAUUUUUGAGAAAGUAAACAUGCUUUGUUGUCGGGGCAAAGGAAAUUUGUCAUCUUGCAAAAACAUAUUUAGUGGCUGAUAGUCAAUGACUAAGCGUUUCUUUCCUCUGACAAUUUCAGAAUGCUUUUCAACAUAAAAGGCUUGGCAAGCCCAUUGAGAACUUGUGGGCUCGAUUAGACCUUGGGCUAACAGUUGUGAACAUUCUUCUUGGGCUAGGAGUAAGUCAGAAGGACUCAUUCCUGGAUGAGUAGCUUUGGUCGAGUAAAUGUCUUCAUUGAGUUUGAAAGGUAACUUAAUGAAGAAAGACGGGUUUUUCCACAAUGGAGUUGGAUGGGUGAACUCAGAAUAGGACUCUGGAUAGAAACGCAAAAGAUGGGAUGAAAUAUCCUGGUAGGACUGGGGAGUGUCAGACAAAUUGUAGAGUUUCAGAAUGUCUGUGAAUGGUUUGAACAUGGACUUGACUCGGAUUCCAGUGGGAAUGAUUUGGAGGCGUGUGAUUUGGUGAAGUAUGUCAAAUCCUAACAAGAUAUCCUUAUUAGGAAGGGUUGAACCGAUAACCUUGGUCCAAAUGACACAAUUUGGGAAGAUUUGAAUACCAAUGGGUUUGUUGGUAAUCAAAGAGGUAGUGAAAAAUUUGCCAUUAACGGCCUUGAAAUUUUCUUCGUACUUUGUCCAGUAUUUAGGUGGAAGGAUAUUGGGGUUUAACAUGCUGCAUUGGGCGCUAGUAUCUAUGAGACCAAGCCGCAACAACUAGUUUUAACUAACUAUUUUAUGGGCUGGAAUUAGAAUUAAGUGAAAUCGGAAAGAGUUGGAAUUCAAAUGGAGUUGGAAUUAAAAUUAAGUGAAAUGAGAAUUAGAAUAAAUUAUUUACUUUAGGAAAAUUUUCUUUGCACCACUUGAUAUACUUUGAACCACCUUUAUUUCUAAACUUGUAUCAAUCAACUACUUUGACACUAAAAAUAGUCAUUUUACCCCUAAAUAAAUUAAAAUUUUAUUUUAUUCUACAAAUUUUAAAAAAUAUAAAAAUUAUAAUUAUAAGAAUACUCCUAAAUUCAAUAAAAGAAUAAAUCUCAAAAUUUAAAAUGAUAAUUUUUAAAUGAAAUUAUAAUUAUAAAAACAUAACAUGUUUUAAUUAUAAUUUGUAGUUACAAAAAUUAACGUGAAGAGAAAAGCACCCUAUAAUUAUUGUAAACUUUCCUAUAAUUAAUAUUAAGAAAAUUUUCAAUACAAAUUAAAUGAGAUUAUUUUUACAAAAAAUUAACGUGAUACUUUUCAAAUGAAAUUAUAUUUAUAAAAAAAUUUAACAGAUUGAAUUCAAUUUUAUUCAGUUUAUUAAAUUAAGGGUAUUCUUAUAAUUAUAAUUUUUUAUUUUCAAAAUUUUGUAGAAUAAAAUGAUUUUUUAAUUCAUUUAGGGAUAAAAUGGUCAUUUUCUAGUGUUAAAGUGGUUGAUUGAUAUAAGUUUAAAAACAAAUGUGGUAUAAAGUACAUGUCAAAAGUUUGUGGUGGUUAGAUAUACAUAUGACAAAAGAAAUAUAGUAUAGAGAUAAUUUCCCUUUACUUUAUCUGUAGGAAUCGAAAUUAUAAUAAAUUGCACUGCCAUGCAUUGAUGAGUUUAUUUUAUCUUGAAAUCAGAAUGGAAUGUAGUAAGUUACUAAAAUAAUCUUAGUUAAUUAUUGUCAAUAUUUAUUAUAGUGGUUGUUAUUAUUAUUAAAAAUAAUUAAUAAUAAUAAUAAAUAUUAUUAUAAUUAUAAUUAUAAUAAUAAUAGUAAUCACUAUUAUUAUUUUGAUAAUAGAUUAACUAUUAUAGUUAUAAUAAUAAUAAUAAGGGUAAAUUUCAUGCUACCCCCUUAUUAAAUUGACAUAUUUCAAUUUAAUCUUCAAAAGUAUGAAAACUUCAACUUACCCCUAAAUACCGUUAUUUUUAACAGUUGACUAACGUUGAUUGAUUAAAAUAAGAGAAUGCCCCUAAUUCUAACUAACUAACAGUUUUGUAGGAUUAAAAAGGAUAAUUUUAUUUCACUUUUAUUUCACCCCUUAAAGUCUUACAUAUUUCAAUUUAGAUGACAAUAAUAGAUUUAUUGAUAACACCUCUAUCAAAAAAAAAAUAGUAAUAGACCUCUAAAAAAAUAAAAUUAAUUUUUACUUAUAUUUUAAUUUAUAAAACAAAUAUAAUAAUCAUGAAUUUUAUUUAUAAUAUCACCACGAUGAAAAUAAAAAAAUUAAUUUUUACCCUUAUUUUGAAUUUAUAUAUUUUAAGAAUAUAAAUCAUUAACCAAUUAGUUGACUUUUAUCAUUCCACCAUAAGUUCAGCGAGAAUACGUGGCAUUGUUAUACCAGAACUAUAACAGUUAAAACUAUUCUUUGGACCAGUAGUCUGUAAGUUCGGGUUUCCAGCCGAUAUACCUCUGAGAUGAAAAAGCUUUAAAACAUUUUCAUCUCGGGUUAUAUAACCCAAAAUAGACUUUCUUUUAGUCUAAAACAGGGUACCAAACCUGAUAAGAAAUGAUCAAAAGUUUUUUGAUGCACAGGAUCCUUUCAAAAGGCAAGUGCAGAGCAUACUUCCUUUAGUUUCAAAAUGAACAGAUGUAAGUUUUCAGUUGAUGUUUAAAAACGUUAGAGCUUCAUUGACAGGGAGAAAAGGAGAAAUUAGAAACUCAUGAUUUUAGAAGGCUAGAGAUUUUAUUAAGUUGCCGUCCCUCCUUCUAAUAAAGAGAAGCUGAGCUUAUAUAAGAGGCAAACCAAGAAAAAGGAUAGGACAGGACCCUAUCACUUUUUGAAAAGCAAACACAUAAUUACAAGCGACAAGCUUUUGAAAAAGGAAAAGCGAUAAGGACAAAUUAAAGCAUGACUCAUGCUUUAAUUAUUACAAACUUUGAAAAGCUAAAGGAAAAGGAUAAAUUAAAGCAUGACUCAUGCUUUAAUUAUUACAAACUUGAAAAGUAAAAGAUGCCAUUUUGCAUGAAUCAUAGAGAUGAGAGAUUCAUGUAGUCUUUGUCAGAUGAGCUGUCGGUCUCGUCUUUAUCUUUUGAGAAGAGGACUUUGAGUGAUAGACGUGGAGUUUCUAGUGGGUGUUGAUGGUCUGGGCGACAGGGUGGAUAAGGGCAAAAUAUCUUGUGCCAAUCAGAAGAUGGGUGGUCAUUGGAUCCGGGUGGUUUACUAGAACUUGCUUUAUUCAUUGGACCAUCUGAGGCAUGUGAUGGUGGAGUUUGUUGGAGGUUCUGGAGAUGUUGGCUUAAUGGCAAGAAUGCUUCCCAUGGGUCUUGUGCAUCUUGGUAUAGAAAAUCUGUGAAGUCUAGUUUUUCUUCCUUGAUGAUAAUGCAUGUGGAUUUAGGCUUUGAAAUUGCUGAAGGGGUGAGGAUCAUGAUGAUAUCAUGCCUUGGACCAAGGGAGGUGUGAGAAAUGUCUUUGUGUGGAGCAGGUUGGUGGUUUAGUUCACAAAGAAAAUUAUAGAGUUCCUUUUGAACAUUAUCGUCUUGCUCAAGGAUGGAUGGAUGAAGUGUGGUAAACCAUUCAAAAACUUGGUCUUGAGUCCAAAAGAAGUGGGUGUCUGGCUGUUGGAAGUAUGGUCUAUGAAUAAUGAACACAUAUGUGAACAUUUUUGCUUCUAAUGCUGGCAUACGUUCCAAAUUAUGAAACUGAGACAAUUGUUGGAGUUUCAUUCUCCAUCAUGGAAUUGGAGAAAACCAUUCAAGGAGCGUCCAGAUGAGGGAGGUUGAUUUGUCAAGAUUAAGCAAAUGUUCUAAAGUGGUGGUUACUGAAACAAUCAGUUUGGUGGCAUAGAGGACAGUUAGGCACCAGAUGUACCAUAAUUCGUCUUCUGAAAUGUCUCUGGAAGGGUCCAGGGUCAAACCUGUAAGAAACAAGUUUCGGGAUGGAAAGUGGAAAAAGCAAAUGAGUCUGAUAAGAGAUAGGCUUUCAUGAAAAACCUAAAUACAGCUUUCUUUGCAAACUCCUGUAUGGCAAAGACGGUGGUGAAAGUUUUCCCAAGGGGAAAGGUUUUUUGGGUAAGGGCUUGUGAGGGGAGAGAAGUGGCCAUAAAGAUGAUAGGAAAAUGAUAGUCUGAGGAUAUGAAGAACAAGGAUUUUUCUAGUUUAGCAAGUCGUGAGAGCAUAUCAGGAAUAAGGUUGUGGUCUCCUUUUAUAUGCUUUACUGAGAAAUCAUAUUUUGAAAACCAGUCUUUGAGCCUAAGCAACAUCUUUUCUGGAACAUUUUUCCCUUUAAAAUUCAUGAUGUUGGAAAAAGCUGAGUUGUCCAGUCUGACAAGAAAGUGGUAGCCGAUAAGUUGAUACUCGAACUUUUGGACACCAUGCUUGACAGCUAAAAUUUCUUUGGACACACUGUGGUAAUGGAUUUGUGUGUUAGAAAAGUUUCCACUGGCAUAGGCAAUAAAGUGUUCUUUGCCAUCUGUUUCUUCAACGAGGAUGGCCCCCCAUGAUUCGUCACUUGCAUCAGUCUGCAAUAUUCGUGUGCCAUCGGUGAUGAGCUUUAAUGGUGGCGGAUUUUGCGCAAUUUGCUUUAAAGUUGUGACAGCAAGUGUGUGGUUGUUGUUCCACGAAGAAGGAUUCUUUUUCAGUAGGGCUGACAACUGGCUGGUGUGGUGAUUAACAUGAGGAAUAAAAUCCCUGACAUAAUUAAUAAUCCCAAGGAACUGCUGGAUUUGCCUUUUAGAAAGAUUCUGAUCUGGAAGUGGAUGAGCUCUUGAGCAAUGUGCUUUCCUGGCUGGUAGUGGCCAUUUUUUAUAGUCAUUCCAAGGAAUUCAAUGUUAUUGGUGGCAAUUGUACUUUUCUUAGCUGAUAACAUGAUUCCAUGAGAUUGAAUAAUAUCAAAUAAUUGAUUUAACAAAUGGCGAUAGUCAUCUUGUGUACCUGAAAACAACAAAAUAUCGUCAAUGUAAAUCAAUGCACUAUGCAAAAUGGGUUGGAAGAUUUGGACCAUGGUUUUUUGAAAAAUAGAUGGGGCUGUUUGAAGACCAAAGGGUAAAACUGUCCAUUGAUAGUGGGCAUUGGGAAUGCAAAAGGCAGUUUUAUAUCGUUCGGAAGGUUUAAUUCCAAGUUGCCAAAAUCCGGAUUUAAGAUCAAAUUUUGAAAAGAUUUGAGCAUUUUUAAGGUAGGUGAACAUGCUCUGUCUUUUUGGCAAAGGGAAUUUGUCAUCUUGUAGAAACAUGUUUAGAGGUUGAUAGUCAAUGACUAAUCGUUUUUUUCCUCUAACAAUCUCAGAAUGUUUUUCAACAUAAAAAGCUUGACAAGCCCAUUGAGAACUAGUGGGUUCGAUAAGACCUUAGGCCAGCAAUUGAGAACAUUCUUUUUGGGCUAGGACUAAGUCAGAAGGACUCAUUCCUGGAUGGGUGGCUUUGGUUGGAUUGACAUCUUCAUUCAACUUGAAAGGUAAUUGAACAAAGAAAUGGGGAUUUUUCCACAGAGGAUUUGGAUGAUGAAAAUCAGCAUGAGACUCUGGACAAUAUUGCAAAAACUUUGUGGAAAUGUCUUAGAAAGGCUGAGAGAUUUCAGACAAACUAUAAAGCUUAAGAACAUUAGUGAAUGAUUUAAACAUAUACUUGACUCGAAUUCCAGUAGGAAUGAUUUGUAGGUGUUUGAUCUGGUGAAUGAUAUCAAACCCUAACAAGAUAUCUUUAUUAGGCAGAUGGGAACCAAUGACUUUUGUCCAGAUAACACAAUUUGAAAAGAUUUGAAUACCAAUGGGUUUUUUGGUAAUCAACUGGGUGGUGAAGAACUUUCCAUUGAUGGCUUUGAAAUUUUCUUCAGAAUGUUGCCAAUAUUGAGAUAGAAGAAUGUCUGGGUUUAACAUACUUCUUUGGGCUCCAGUAUUAAGAAGUCCAAUGGCGGGAAUUGGUCUCUGGAAUUUGGAGGGUAAGAUGUGGAGUUUUAUGGAAGGGAUAGGGAUGGUAGUGUCGAGAGACAAAAGUUGCUGGUGAAAAACCGUUUAGAACUCAUCACUUUCAGAAUCAUCGAAUGAGUUUUGUAGUGCAAACACUGUUUCAUCAGUAGACUCCUCUUGUUCUGAGAAGUAGAACUCAAUUUCAUCUUUGUGAGGAGAAUAAUCAGUGGUGGCCUGUAAAUGCUCAAGAAGUCUGAUUGCCUUAUCUUUUUUGUUGGGGCAAUCUUUAGCAUAAUGACCUUUCUUUUUGCAAAUGAAGCAUCGGCUAGACUUUCUCCUUUUCUGUUCUCUGAAAGAACUAGAUCUUUUCCUGAAAAACUUGUAUGGUUUUCGUCUGGAUUCUAGGAGACGAAUAUGGAUUUUUGAAUUUUUUGAAAUGCUUAUUCUUUUUGGUGCUGCAAUCACAAUCUUUCUUUUUCUUGCAUUUGAUCUGUAAGUAGGGCUUUUUGCAAGCACUUCGGAAAGGCUCUUUGUCUUUUAACAGUUCCUUGAAGAACUGUUUUUGUUCACAUAAUUUUUCCAAACAUCUUUUGGCGAUCUGAAAGAUCUUUCCCAAGGAAAUGUUAUUAAUGGUGAGAUUGAGACUCGUGAGCUGCCUCUGUAUGUCUGGUUGUAAUUCUUCAGGUAGAGUUGGCAACAUUCUGAAGAAAAUUUCAAAGCCGUCGAUGGAAAGUUCUUCACCACCCAGUUGAUUACCAAAAAACCCAUUGGUAUUCAAAUCUUUCCAAAUUGUGUUAUCUGGACAAAAGUCAUUGGUUCCCAUCUGCCUAAUAAAGAUAUCUUGUUAGGGUUUGAUAUCAUUCACCAGAUCAAACACCUCCAAAUCAUUCCUACUGGAAUUCGAGUCAAGUAUAUGUUUAAACCAUUCACCAAUGUUCUUAAACUUUAUAGUUUGUCUGAAACCUCUCAGCCUUUCCAAGACAUUUCCACAAAGUUUUUGCAAUAUUGUCCAGAGUCUCGUGCUGAUUUUCAUCAUCCAAAUCCUCUGUGGAAAAAUCCCCAUUUCUUUGUUCAAUUACCUUUCAAGUUGAAUGAAGAUGUCAAUCCAACCAAAGCCACCCAUCCAGGAAUGAGUCCUUCCGACUUAGUCCUAGCCCAAAAAGAAUGUUCUCAAUUGCUGGCCCAAGGUCUUAACGAACCCACUAGUUCUCAAUGGGCUUGUCAAGCCUUUUAUGUUGAAAAACAUUAUGAGAUUGUUAGAGGAAAAAAACGAUUAGUCAUUGACUAUCAACCUCUAAACAUGUUUCUACAAGAUGACAAAUUCCCUUUGCCAAAAAGACAAAGCAUGUUCACUUAUCUCAAAAAUGCUCAAAUCUUUUCAAAAUUUGAUCUUAAAUCCAGAUUCUGGCAACUUGGCAUUAAACCGUCCGAAUGUUACAAAACUGCUUUUUGCAUUCCCAAUGCCCACUAUCAAUGGACAGUUUUACCCUUUGGUCUUAAAACAGCCCCAUCCAUUUUUCAAAAAACCAUGGUCCAAAUUUUCCAACCCAUUCUGCAUAGUGCAUUGAUUUAUAUUGACGAUAUUUUGUUGUUUUCAGGUACACAAGAUGACCAUCGCCAUUUGUUAAAUCAAUUCUUUGAUAUUAUUCAGUCUCAUGGAAUCAUGUUAUCAGCUAAGAAAAGCACAAUUGCCACCAAUAACAUUGAAUUCCUUGGAAUGACUAUCAAAAAUGGCCACUACCAGCCAGGAAAGCACAUUGCUCAAGAGCUCAUCCACUUCCAGAUCAGAAUCUUUCUAAAAGGCAAAUCCAACAGUUCCUUGGUAUUAUUAAUUAUGUCAGGGAUUUUAUUCCUCAUAUUGAUCACCACACCCGCCAGCUGUCAGCCCUACUGAAAAAGAAUCCUCCUUUGUGGAACAACAACCACACACUUGCUGUCACAACUUUAAAGCAAAUUGCGCAAAAUCCGCCACCAUUAAAGCUCAUCACCGAUGGCACACGAAUAUUGCAGACUGAUGCAAGUGACGAAUCAUGGGGGGCCAUCCUCGUUGAAGAAACAGAUGGCAAAGAACACUUUAUUGCCUAUGCCAGUGGAAACUUUUCUAACACACAAAUCCAUUACCAUAGUGUGUGCAAAGAAAUUUUAGCUGUCAAACAUGGUAUCCAAAAGUUCGAGUAUCAUCUUCUCGGCUACCACUUUCUUGUCAGACUAGACAACUCAGCUUUUCCCAACAUCAUGAAUUUUAAAGGGAAAAAUGUUCCAGAAAAGAUGUUGCUUAGGCUCAAAGACUGGUUUUCAAAAUAUGAUUUCUCAGUAAAGCAUAUAAAAGGAGACCACAACCUUAUUCCUGAUAUGCUCUCACGACUUGCGAAACUAGAAAAAUCCUUGUUCUUCAUAUCCUCAGACUAUCAUUUCCCUAUCAUCUUCAUGGCCGCUUCUCUCCCCUCACAAGCCCUUACCCAAAAAACCUUUCCCCUUGGGAAAACUUUCACCACCGUCUUUGCCAUACAGGAGUUUGCAAAGAAAGCUGUAUUUAGGUUUUUCAUGAAAGCCUAUCUCUUAUCAAACUCAUUUCCUUUUUCCACUUUCCAUCCCGAAAACUUGUUUCUUACAGGUUUGACCCUGGACCCUUCCAGAGACAUUUCAGAAGACGAAUUAUGGUACAUCUGGUGCCUAACUGUCCUCUAUGCCACCAAACUGAUUAUUCCAGUAACCACCACCUUAGAACAUUUGCUCAAUCCUGACAAAUCAACCUCCCUCAUCUGGACGCUCCUUGAAUGGUUUUCUCCAAUUCCAUGGUGGAGAAUGAAACUCCAACAAUUGUCUCAAUUUCAUAAUUUGGAACGUAUGCCAGCAUCAGAAGCAAAAAUGUUCACAUCUGUGUUCAUUAUUCAUAGACCAUACUUCCUACAGCCAGACACCCACUUCUUCUGGACUCAAGACCAAGUUUUUGAAUAGUUUACCACACCUCAUCCAUCCAUCCUUGAGCAAGACGAUAAAGUUCAAAAGAAACUCUAUAAUUUCCUUUGUGAACUAAACCACCAACCUGCUCCACACAAAGACAUUUCUCACACCUCCCUCGGUCCACGGCAUGAUAUCAUCAUGAUCCCCACCCCUUCAGCAAUUUCAAAGCCUAAAUCCACGGGCAUUAUCAUCAAGGAAGAAAAACCAGACUUCACGGAUUUUCUAUACCAGGAUGCACAAGACCCAUGGGAAGCAUUCUUGCCAUUAAGCCAACAUCUCCAGAACCUCCAACAAACUCCACCAUCACAUGCGUCAGAUGAUCCAACGAAUAAAGCCAGUUCUAGUAAACCACCCGGAUCCAAUGACCACCCAUCUUCUGAUUGGCGCAAGAUAUUUUGCCCUUAUCCACCCUGUCGCCCAGACCAUCAAUACCCACCAGAAACUCCACGUCCAUCACUCAAAGUCCUCUUUUCAAAAGAUAAAGACGAGACCGACAGCUCAUCUGACGAAGACUACAUGAAUCUCUCAUCUCCGUGAUUCAUGCAAAAUGGCAUCUUUUACUUUUCAAGUUUGUAAUAAUUAAAGCAUGAGUCAUGCUUUAAUUUGUCCUUUUCCUUUAGCUUUUUCUUUUGCUUUUCAAAGUUUGUAAUAAUUAAAGCAUCAGUCAUGCUUUAAUUUGUCUUUAUCGCUUUUCCUUUUUCAAAAGCUUGUCGCUUGUAAUUACGUGUUUGCUUUUCAAAAAGUGAUAGGGUCCUAUCCUAUCCUUUUUCUUGGUUUGCCUCCUAUAUAAGCUCAACCUCUCUUUGUUAGAAGGAGGGACGGCAGCUUAAUAAAAUCUUUAGCCUUCUAAAAUCAUGAGUUUCUAAUUUCUCUUUUUCUCUCUGUCAAUGAAGCUCUAACGUUUUUAAACAUCAACUGAAAACUUACAUCUGUUCAUUUUGAAACUAAAGAAAGUAUGCUCUGCACUUGCCUUUUGCAAGGAUUCUGUGCAUUAGAAAACUUUUGAUCAUUUCUUAUCAAGUUUGGUACCCUGUUUUAGACUAAAGGAAAGUCUAUUUUGGGUUAUAUAACCCAAGAUGAAAAUGUUUCAAAACUUUUUGAUCUCAGAGGUAUAUCGGCUGGAAACCCGAACUUGCGGACUACUAGUCCAAAGAACAGUUUUAACUGUUAUAGUUCUGGUAUAACAACGCCACAUAUUCUCACUGAACUGAUUAUUAGAGUGCCAUUCUUCUUGAAGAGAUAAAUGUUGUACGUCACUUUUGUGCAUACGCCAGCGGACAAUUCAAAGACUCUGAAAAGAAUUACCAUGUGAUCUACAAAGAGAUUUUGGCGGUCAAGUAUGGCAUCAAAAAGUUUGAAUUUUAUCUAAUCAGCCAUAAAUUCCUUAUCAACAUGGACAACUCCUCUUUUCCUCGGAUCUUUGACUUUAAAAAUAAGUUGCUCCCUGACAAACAGUUGCUCAGCCUCAAAAACUGGUUUGCUAAAUAUGAUUUUACUGUCCAACACAUAAAAGGCAAACAGAACCUCAUCCCAGACUUCCUUACAUGUCCGGCUAUAAAUAAGCCUUCACUUAUUUCCUACAUCCACACCAUCCCAGUUAUAGCCAUGAAUCGUCAACUUCCUUUCAAAGCUCUCAACCAGAGAACCUUUCCCAUGAACAUUUAUUUUCAGUCAACCUACCAGAUGCAAGACUUUAUAAAGAAAUUCCUUUACCGGUAUUUCUUCAAUGUUCAAAGCAAAAAGCUUGAUCGCUUUCCUUCCCUCUGUAUGGAAAACCUGUUUCUCACAGGCCUUACCCUUUCUUCCCUAACCAUCUGCGAAGAUGAUCUAUGGUACAUGUGGUGUCUCACUACCCUAUAUGCUACCAAACUGGUCUUUCCUGUUAAACUAGUCCUCACACACAUCACUACUCCUGAGUUCUCAUCAGACAUUCUCUGAACUCUCCUUGAGUGGUAUUCAUCACUCACGUGGUGGCGAAAAUAACUCAAAAAUCUAUGUACUUUUCAUGGAUUAGACAGAAUGCUAGAACAAGAAGCCAACCUAUUCACUACAGUCUUCAUCAUUCAUAGAUCUUACUUCCAGCACUCAGAAACAAGAGACUUCUCAACACAAGAUAUGGCCUAUGAAUGGAAAACUUGUCCUCACCCUUAUACCCUAAUCCAUGAUACAUUUGUUACCUCUGUUCUCAAGUCAUACCUAAUGGAACUCAACAAUGUUCAGCCACCUACCACAAACAUCCACCACACCUUUGUUGGACCAUCACACAUCUUGGAAAUUGUGCCAAAGAAACAGACUUGUACUCUAGGUUUCAGUUCAAGUCCUUAAGGAAUCCUCCUCAUGGAACAACGUCCUAACUACACUAACGUUCCAUUCCAAGAUGCUCAGGAUCCCAUGGGAAGAUUUUCAGUCUCUUCUCCAUACUGAAAAUCCCAUUACACUGUCACAGACCCUCGUGCUACAUCAGCCCUAAAAGACAUGACUAAUAUUGAUGAAGAAGCAUAUCUACAAGCUUAAGCUUAUCUUGAUCAUAAAUAGAUUCGUCGUGCUAAACGACAAUAUCAAAAAGAAACUGGCAAGGUGUCUCCAUCACACUACCCAUCCACUCCAUUAUUGCAAACACGCAUGGGAAUCUUUAGCUUUUGUUUUUUUUUAAAAAGUUUGCUUUAAUAUUUAGACAAGGGUCCUGUCUUGUCUAAAGUAUGUUUUCUGUUUUUCCUUUUUAAUAAGGGUCUCACCUUAUCCCUCCUUCCUCGAGAUCUCUAUAUAAGGGUCUCUCUAUCCCUUUGUAAAGGAGGAGUUAAUUUGAAGUAAAAUCAGUUUUCUUCACAUCAUGUUUCUCUAAACCUUUUUCUCUCUUCUAGGAAUCAAAGAAAUUAUUUGAGGGUUAUUAAUGAUAUGCUCACCUCCAAUUUUCUAAACUAAGUAUGCUCUGCACUUGCCUUAAGCCUAAGGAUCCUGUGCAUCAGAAAGGUCUUGUUUUAUCCUCCAAAAUUGAUUUUUGUAAAAUGAAAUUGUUUUCUCACAACGUUUCACCCUCUUUGAAGGCCAAUAGUGCAGUAUUUUCGGGUGGUAUCAUGAAAAACUAUUUUCAAAGAAUGAUUUUUGGAUUUGGUAUUUGAUGGAUAAGUGUAUAUCGGCUGGAAACCAAAACUUGCGACUAUUGGUCUUAAGGACAUAUUUUGUUCUGUUUUAGAUCUGGUAUAACAAUGUCACAUACACCAAGUUGGUUUUAGAGGCAAGGCCUGAGGGCGAGGGUAGAGUGAAUGAUAAGCUCUUAUCCCACAUCGCUGGCAAGCCAAACCUCUUGGUCGCUUAUAAACGCUGGGCAGUCCUCACCCUUUGAGAGCUCUUUUGGGGCUGAGUUAGGCCUGGCCCAAGUUGGUAUCAGAGCCAAGGCCCGAGGGCGAGGGUAGAGUGAAUGAUAAGCUCUUAUCCCACAUCACUGGCAAGCCAAAGCUCCUGGUCGCUAAUAAGCGCCGGGUAGUCCUCACCCUUUGAGAGCUCUUUUGGGGCUGAGUUAGGCCCGGCCCAAGUUACCAGAUCUAAAAUAGACCAAAGUCUGUCCUUAGGACCAAUAGCCCGUAAGUUCUGGUUUCCAGCCGAUAUACAUUUAUCCAUCAAAUACUAAAUUUGAAAAUCAUUCUUUGAAAAUAGUUUUUCACGAUACCACCCGAAAAUACGGCACUCUUGACCUUUAAAGAGGGUGAACAUUGUGAGAAAACAAUUUCAUUUUACAAAAAUUGAUUUUGGAGGAUAAAACAGGACCUUUCUGAUGCACAAGAUCCUUAGGCUGAAGGCAAGUGCAGAGCAUACUCAGUUUAGAAAAUUAAAGGUGAGCGUAUCAUUAUUAACCCCAAAUAAUUUCUUUGACUCCUAGAAGAGAUAAAAAUGUUUAGAGAAACAUGAUGUGAAGAAAACUGAUUUUAUUCCAAAUUAACUCCUGCCUUACAAAGGGAUAGAGAGAUCCUUAUAUAGAGAUCUUGAGGAAGCAGAGAUAAGGUGGGACCCUUAUCUUUUACAAAAGUAGAAUAAUUAAAGCACACCAUGCCAAAUUUAAAAAGGAAAAGCAGAAAACAUACUUUAGAUAAGACAUGACCCUUGUCUAAAUAUUAAAGCAAACUUUUUUAAAAAAGCAAAAGCUAAAGAUUCUCGUGCUUGUCUGCAAUCAUGGAGUGGAUGGGUAGUGUGAUGGAGACACAUCGCUAGUUUUUUUUUUGAUAUUGUUGUUUAGCACGGCAGAUCUAUCUGUGAUCAAGAUAAGCUUUACCUUGUAGAUAGGCUUCUUUAUCAGCAUUAGUCAUCUCUUUUGGGGCUGAUGUAGCAGGAGGGUCUGGGUCUGUGAUAGUGUAAUGGGUAUUUUCAGUAUGGAGAAGAGACUGAAAAUCUUCCCAUGAAUCCUCAGCGUCUUGGAAUAGGACGUUAGUGUAGUUACGACGCUGUUCCAUGACAAGGAUUCCUUAAGGACUUGAACUGGAACCUGAAGUACAAGUCUGUUUCUUUGACAAAAUUUCCAAGAUGUGUGAUGGUCCAACAGAGGUGUAGUGGAUGUUUGUGGUAGGUGGCUGAACAUUGUUGAGUUCCAUUAGAUAUGAUUUGAGAACAGAGGUAAUAGAUGUAUCAUGGAUUAGGGUAUAAGGAUGAGGACAAGUUUUUCAUUCAUAGGCCAUAUCUUGUGUCCAGAAGUCUCUUAUUUCUGGGUGCUGGAAGUAAGGUCUAUGAACGAUGAAGACUGCAGUGAAUAGGUUGGCAUCUUGUUCUGGCAUCCUGUCUAAUCCGUGAAAAGUACACAGAUUUUUUAGUUGUUUUCGCCACCACGUGAGUGGUGAAUACCACACAAGGAGAGUCUAGAGAAGAUCUGAUGAGAACUCAGGAGUGGUGAUGUGUGUGAGGACUGGUUUAACAGGAAAGACCAGUUUGGUCGCAUACAGGGUAGUGAGACACCACAUGUACCAUAACUCAUCUUCACAAAUGGUUAGGGAAGACAGGGUAAGACCUGUGAGAAACAGGUUUUCCAUACAGAGGGAAGGAAAAUGAUCAGGCUUUUUGCUUUGAACAUUGAAAAAAUAUCGGUAAAGAAAUUUUUUUGCAAAGUCUUGCAUCUAGUAGGCUGACAGAAAAGGAAUGUUCAUGGGAAAAGUUCUCUAGUUGAGAGCUUUGAAAGGAAGUUGACGAUUCAUGGCUAUAACUGGGAUGGUGUGGAUGGAGGAAAUAAGUGAAGGUUUAUUUAUAGCCGAACGUGUAAGGAAGUCUGGGAUAAGAUGCUGUUUGCCUUUUAUGUGUUAGACAGUAAAAUCAUAUUUAUCAAACCAGUUUUUGAGGCUGAGCAACUAUUUGUCAGGGAGCAACUUAUUUUUAAAGUCAAAAAUCCAAGGAAAAGAGGAGUUGUCCAUGUUGAUAAGGAAUUUAUGGCUGAUUAGAUGAAAUUUAAACUUUUUGAUGCCAUACUUGACCGCCAAAAUCUCUUUGUAGAUCACAUGGUAAUUCUUUUCAGAGUCUUUGAAUUGUCUGUUGGCGUAUGCACCGAAGUGACUUACUCCAUUUAUCUCUUCAAGAAGAAUGGCACUCCAAUAAUCAUCACUGACAUCGGUUUGUAGAAUGCGUUGUCCAGUUGUGGGAAUUCGGAGAGGAGGAGGUGACUGAGCUAUCCACCUUUAGUUGUUUGACAGCUUCUAUUUGUGCUGGUCCCUGAUGAGAACCAUCAAGGGAAUACCAUUAAAACUUCAAGUGAUCCUUUGCACAUUCAUGGAGGCCCAAUUACAAGAGCAAGAGCCAAAAAGAUGCAAGCUGCAAGAGCAAGAGCCAAAAUGAUGCAAGGUGCUUUAAAUUGAUUAAUUGAGAAAAUAUGGAUUGAAAAUGCAAUUCAAGAUGCAAGACAUCAUGAAUUGGGCUUGAAGAGAAGACAAGGCAUUGUGGGCAUUAUUCAAGUUACUGGGCAGCCAAAUACACAAUUUGUAUCAAAUGCAGGAAGGUCAAAUUCGGAAUAAAUAUUGUCUUGAUUGAGCUAGAAGUAAUGUGCAACCUAUAUACCAUUGGAAACAUAAUUAAGUUAGCUUUCCAAUAAAUUUUAUAGAGCUGGAUUUGGAGUUCUCUAGAAGGAGUUAUGACCAAUUUAUUACAGCUUGUUCAGACUUGGGAUUUUCAACAACUCCUUUGUUUUUCAACUUCAUUUGUUUGUUUUAUUUCAAGUUUGUCAAUGUGUAAGGUAAGUAUACCAUCAAUGAUGGUGGACUAACAUUAAGUUUAUCAAUGAUAGCAUUAAUUAUGUAGGCUAGCAUUAAGUUUGUCAAAGAUAGCAUUAAUUAUGGUGGGUUGGUGAAGACUUUUGAAACAUCCUUUGACAAACCUACUUGGAGGGUUGUUCCAAUGUUUCCAUUUGUAUUUUUAGGAUCUUGGGUUUCUUUUAGUCUAUUUAAAUUCAGCAACCUUGCUAUGUAAUAAUAUUAGAGAUUAAUGUUAUUUAAAUUUGAAAGAUUAUUCUUUCUUUGGAAACCCAAGCAUGCGGACUACUGGUCCAAAGGGCGAUCUUUUCGUCAUUGUUUUGGUAUAACAACGCCACGUACUUUAUGGUAUCAGAGUCAUCACCCAAUUUUCUUACCAAAGUGGUAUGAUAGAAGUUUUAUUAGAGCCUUCAAAAACAGAGAGAAUUCUUUCUUUAUGGCAUCAACCUCCUCCAACGACGCUUCUCUUUCUUCUCUUAUCACUCCUGUUUCCCUUUCUUCUACACUCUCUUUACCCAAAUCUUGCUCCAAACACACUACUAGUAAAAUCAAAAAUUUAGUUGAAUAUUCCUAUAUCCCUGAAUCUGCUCAUAUCAAUGAAUCUUCUUUUCCUCUUCUUAGUCCUUAUCAUCUCUAUAAACGUCCACACUCCUUUACUCGUAGUAUCCGCACUCUUAUUUCCACCAAAAGACCCCAUCCAAAAGAAUAUAUCAAGUCAUCUCGAUUGGAUCAAUGUUCCCUUCAGGCUACCACAACUGAACAAUAUGUCACUCUGGAAAUUCCCCCGGACUUGAUUUCCAACUGGAAAAGAGAAGGUUAUACUCAUCUCCAUAUCGGAGGCGUCAGACUCAUCCUAACCUUACAUAGUAGGAAAGGAUUACCAGUCACAGCCCGAAUUGCUAUGCUGGAUACUCGGUUCACACAUUACCAAGAUGCUGUUAUUGGUACUAUCUUAACCACUCUUCAUGCUGGAAGUGUUUUACUCACUUUCUAUCCAAAUUUUAACCUUUCUCUUCAAGACCCUAAUCUCUCCACUGCUCUGCAAGUCCAAGUGCAAAUUCAAGGUGCAGAACAAAUAUCUUCUGCAAAAAUUGCAACUCUUCACCACCAAUUGGUUUAUAGGCUUCAGAACCAUGCCUUAGAUCUUCAUACACCUGAGCACCAUUCUGACGCCCUCAUGGUGUUAGCAGACUCAGAUCAAAUACCAACCAUUAUACAAAUUCCAAGACAGAUCCCCAGACAUGAACUCAUCAAACUCAUGCCUUGGAAUGGAUUUCAAAAUAUGAGAAGUUCCACACUAAUUCUUCUCCUAUCCAGACAACAGAAAGCAUGUUUGAAAGAAGAACUGAUGGAACUGUCCGCAUGACAUUUUGACCUCCACCAACAGCACCAGAAGAGCCUCCACGGCUCUCCUUCACUUAUUCUGCAAUGGUUACCGCUGUUCAGACAGCUCAAGAAAAGCUGCCAAUUACAAGAUUUAAUUCAAAAGGAUAUCAUGUCUAUCCUGCCAAACUUAAUGGCCACUUUCUUUGGGAUUCCCCAGGAUCAAGAAAUUGUGACCCAGAUUGUCCCUGUUGGAAUGAUUGGGACGAAGAUGAUGAUGAACCGCAGUAGAGAAGAAAACCAAAAAAGAAAUUACCUAAAACUUCGUGUUCACACCACCAACAUAAACCACCUCAUAAUCCUCUACCACCACCAGCUCCAUUACCUAUCUACCAAAAGGAACUUAGUUGGAUUGCAAAGAAUUGUAAAACUGACAUCCUAUCCAAUAUUCAGCAUUCCACACCACCCAUACAGUCUAUGGCUUGUAUGAUGUUCUCAUCCACCUCACAGGAUUAUUCCUCCAAUUUCCCUGCUCUAGAAACCCAUACUGAUCCCCAACGAAAAGUCAUAACCAAACCCUUUAUUCCUUCAGCUAUAACUCCCACAGGCCACUUAGAAGACCCCAAACCUUUUGAAGCUAUUCUCAACUGGCAAACACAAAAUGCCAAAGCUCAAAAUGAAACCUUAGUUGAUAUCCAUAAGAAGGUUAAUCAUAUCAGUUUACGAACUGAUCAUCUUGAAUCUAAGAUGGAUUCGAUCACUUCCCAGAUGCAGCAAAUCUACGAAAAUCUUUAAUCCAGAAUCUCUCAACUGGAUUCAGAAUUACGAACCAUGCUGACUCAUAGAUACUUUGGCCUAGAAUUUGAUCAGAAAGAAAAAGAGAUCAGAAAAUUGAAAGCCGAACUUGAACAGAUUGAGUCAGAAAGGCAAAGGCCAACAUUAUUUACCACCUCUCCACCAUUACCUCCCCUCAAUCCAGCAUUCCAUCCCUUUGCACCUAUGCUUUCUCCCAUAAAAUCGCAAGACCCAUCCAAGUUAUUUGGCAUGACACAUACCUUGUUUAGAAAUAAUCCUCUACCAAAACCAUCUAGAUCUAAACCUCAUCCUCGACCAAGACCAGAAAAACAACUCUUUCAACCACCUUUGUCCAUCUCAGAAUAGCACCAGCCUCUCUAUCCCCCACUUCCUCCUCAACCAACACCGACUCAGGCCAAAGAUAAAUCACCCAUGCAACAAUAUAGUGCACAGAUAAUCCCAAACCCAUCUGAUACAGACCAAACUUCUAAUUCAAAUCUAGCCGUUUCAGCCGAUUCAUCUGAAUCUAAAACCAAAUCUUCCCUCGAAUCUUCCAUAUCAUCUAGUGAUUCUGAAAAAUCCUAUGCUGACAUCACUAGAAUCCUUAUGGCCCAACCUGACGAAACCGAACCCGCUCAAUCCUCAACAACUGACCCAUUCUUUGACAUACCCUCAGAUAUUGAGGAAGAUCCACCAGAAGCAACCUCAGCCCCAACCCGGCCUACCCAAAAUGAUCAUAAACCUUCAAAUGGUCCAUGGUUCACUUUGAUGAUAUCCCUGCUGCUAAAUGGAGAGACAGAUUAUAUGAAAUGGCUGCUUGGACAGAUCUCCAAAUGUUAAGAGCAAAUGCUACUACCGCAUCCAUCCUUAGAGAACUUGCUACCCGUUUUACGGGAUCUUUAAGAGAUUGGUUUGAUACUUUAGGAGAGUACAGACAAUUACAGUUUGUGCAACUACCUAAUGUCUCAUCUGCUCUUUUUGUCAUUCAUGAGCAAUUUAUUGGAGAAUCAACCGCAGUCUUUGAAGCUGCAAGACGAGACUACCUCAAUAUGAAGUGCUGCUCCCUCAACUCUAAAGAUCUUGAUUUCCAUUACAAACGAAUGUCAAUCUUAUUUUAUAAGCUCAAUGGGUUCAAUGAUCGGACUCUCAAACAUGUCUUUAUGGCAUCAUUACCUGAAGAAUUGCAACCAGACAUACAGAGGCAGCUUACGAGUCUCAAUCUCACCAUAGACAACAUUUCCUUGGGAAAGAUCUUUCAGAUCGCCAAAGGACGCUUGGAAAAACUAUGUGAACAGAAACAGUUCUUCAAAGAAUUGUUAAAAGAUAAAGAGCCUUUCUGAAGUGCAUGCAAAAAGCCUUAUUUGCAUAUCAAAUGAAAGAAAAAUAAAGAUUGUGAUUGCAGCACCAAAAGGAAGAAACAUUUUCGAAAACUCAAAAAUCCAGAUUCCUUUCCUAGAUCAAAAUCCAGGAGAAAAUCAUACAGGUUUUUCAGGAAAAGAUCUAGUUCUUUCAGAGAACAAAAAAGGCAAAAGUCAAGCUGAUGCUUCAUCUGCAAAAAGAAAGGCCAUUAUGCUAAAGAGUGCCCUAAUAAAAAAGACAAAGCAAUCAGACUUCUUGAGCAUUUACAGGCCACUACUGAUUAUUCUCCCCACAAAGAUGAAAUUGAGUUCUACUUCUCAGAACAAGAGGAGCCUAUUGAUGAAACAAUGUUCGCACUGCAAAACUCAUCCGAUGAUUCUGAAAAUGAUGAGUUUCAGACUGUUUUCCACCAACAACUAUUGUAUCUCGACACUACCAUCCCUAUCCCUUCCAUAAAACUCCACAUCUUACCUUCCAAUUUCCAAAGACUAAUUCCCGGCAUUGGACUUCUUGAUAGCAAAGCCCAAAGAAGUAUGAUAAACCCAGACAUUCUCCCUUCUCACUCUUGGCAACAUUCUGAAGAAAAUUUCAAAGCAGUCAAUGGAAAAUUCUUCACCACCCAGUUGAUUACCCAAAAACCCAUUGGUAUUCAAAUCUUUCCAAAUUGUGUUAUUUCGAUAAAAGUCAUUGGUUCCCACCUGCCUAAUAAGGAUAUCUUGUUAGGAUUUGAUAUCAUUCACCAGAUAAACCACCUCCAAAUCAUUCCUACUGGAAUUCGAGUUAAGUCCAUGUUUAAACUAUUCACCAAUGUUCUUAAACUUUAUGGUUUGUCUGAAACCUCCCAGCUUUUCCUAGAUAUUUCCACAAAGUUUUUAAAGUUUUGUCUUGAGUCUCAUGCUGACUUUCAUCAUCCAAAUCCUUUGUGGAAAAAUCCACAAUUCUUUGUUCAAUUACCUUUCAAGUUGAAUGAAGAUGUCAAUCCAACCAAAGCCAUCCAUCUAGGAAUGAGUCCUUCUGACUUAGUCCUAGCCCAAAAAGAAUGUUCUCAGCUGCUAGCCCAAGGUCUUAUAGAACCCACUAGUUCUCAAUGGGCUUGUCAAGUUUUUUAUGUUGAAAAACAUUCUAAGAUUGUUAGAGAAAAAAACGAUUGGUCAUAGACUAUCAGCCUCUAAACAUGAUUUUACAAGAUGACAAAUUCCCUUUGCCAAAAAGACAGAGCAUGUUCACUUAUCUCAAAAAUGCUCAAAUCUUUUCAAAAUUUGAUCUUAAAUCCAGAUUCUGGCAACUUGGCAUUAAACCGUCCGAAUGUUACAAAACUGCUUUUUGCAUUCCCAAUGCCCACUAUCAAUGGACAGUUUUACCCUUUGAUCUUAAAACAGCCCCAUCCAUUUUUCAAAAAACCAUGGUCCAAAUUUUCCAACCCAUUCUGCAUAGUGCAUUGAUUUAUAUUGACGAUAUUUUUUUGUUUUCAGGUACAUAAGAUGACCAUCGCCAUUUGUUAAAUCAAUUCUUUGAUAUUAUUCAGUCUCAUGGAAUCAUGUUAUCAGCUAAGAAAAGCACAAUUGCCACCAAUAACAUUGAAUUCCUUGGAAUGACUAUCAAAAAUGGCCACUACCAGCCAGGAAAGCACAUUGCUCAAGAGCUCAUCCACUUCCAGAUCAGAAUCUUUCUAAAAGGCAAAUCCAGCAGUUCCUUGGUAUUAUUAAUUAUGUCAGGGAUUUUAUUCCUCAUAUUGAUCACCACACCCGCCAGCUGUCAGCCCUACUGAAAAAGAAUCCUCCUUUGUGGAACAACAACCACACACUUGCUGUCACAACUUUAAAGCAAAUUGCGCAAAAUCCGCCACCAUUAAAGCUCAUCACCGAUGGCAGACGAAUAUUGCAGACUGAUGCAAGUGACGAAUCAUGGGGGGCCAUCCUCGUUGAAGAAACAGAUGGCAAAGAACACUUUAUUGCCUAUGCCAGUGGAAACUUUUCUAACACACAAAUCCAUUACCACAGUGUGUGCAAAGAAAUUUUAGCUAUCAAGCAUGGUAUCCAAAAGUUCGAGUAUCAUCUUAUCGGCUACCCAACAUCAUGAAUUUUAAAGGGAAAAAUGUUCCAGAAAAGAUGUUGCUUAGGCUCAAAGACUGGUUUUCAAAAUAUGAUUUCUCAGUAAAGCAUAUAAAAGGAGACCACAACCUUAUUCCUGAUAUGCUCUCACGACUUGCUAAACUAGAAAAAUCCUUGUUCUUCAUAUCCUCAGACUAUCAUUUUCCUAUCAUCUUCAUGGCCACUUCUCUCCCCUCACAAGCCCUUACCCAAAAAACCUUUCCCCUUGGGAAAACUUUCACCACCGUCUUUGCCAUACAGGAGUUUGCAAAGAAAGUUGUAUUUAGGUUUUUCAUGAAAGCCUAUCUCUUAUCAGACUCAUUUCCUUUUUCCACUUUCCAUCCCGAAAACUUGUUUCUUACAGGUUUGACCCUGGACCCUUCCAGAGACAUUUCAGAAGACGAAUUAUGGUACAUCUUUGUGGAACAACAACCACACACUUGCUGUCACAACUUUAAAGCAAAUUGCGCAAAAUCCGCUACCAUUAAAGCUCAUCACCGAUGGCAGACGAAUAUUGCAGACUGAUGCAAGUGACGAAUUAUGGGGGCCAUCCUCCUUGAUGAAACUGAUGGCAAAGAACACUUUAUUGCCUAUGCCAGUGGACACUUUUCUGACACACAAAUCCAUUACCACAGUGUGUUUAAAGAAAUUUUAGCUAUGAAGCAUGGUAUUCAAAAGUUCGAGUAUCAUCUUAUCGGCUGCCACUUUCUUGUCAGAAUGGACAACUCAGCUUUUCCCAACAUCAUGAAUUUCAAAGGGAAAAAUGUUCCAGAAAAGAUGUUGCUUAGGCUAAAAGACUGGUUUUCAAAAUAUGAUUUCUCUGUGAAGCAUACAAAAGGAGACCACAACCUUAUUCCUGAUAUGCUCUCCAGACUUGCUAAGCCAAAUAAAUCCUUGAUUUUCAUAUCUUCAUAACACCAUUUUCCUGUCAUCUUCAUGGCCACUUCACUCCCCUCACAAGCCCUUACCCAAAAAACCUUUCCCCUUGGGAAAACUUUCACCACCGUCUUUGCCAUACAAGAGUUUGCAAAGAAAGCUGUAUUUACGUUUUUUAUGAAAGCCUAUCUGUUAUCAGACUCAUUUCUAUUUUCUACUUUCCAUCCAGAAAACUUGUUUCUCACAGGAUUAACCCUGGAUCCCUCCAGAGAUAUUUCAGAAGAUGAAUUAUGGUACGUCUGGUGCCUAAUUGUCCUCUAUGCCACCAAACUGAUUGUUCCAGUAACAGCCACCGUAGAACAUUUGUUCAAUCCUGACAAAUCAACCUCCCUCAUCUGGACACUCCUUGAAUAGUUUUCUCCAAUUCCAUGGUGGAGAAUGAAACUCCAACAACUAUCACAAUUCCAUAAUUUGGAAUGUAUGCCCACAUCAGAAGCAAAAAUGUUCACAUUUGUGUUCAUUAUUCAUAGACCAUACUUCCAAUAUCCCGACACACACUUCUUCUGGACUCAAGACCAAGUUUUUGAAUGGUUCACCACACCAUACCCAUCCAUUCUAGAACAAGAUGAUAAAGUUCAAAAGGAACUCCAUAAUUUCCUUUGUGAACUGAACCACCAACCUGCUCCACACAAAGACAUUUCUCACACCUCCCUCGGUCCACAACAUGAUAUCAUCAUGAUCCCCACUCCUUCAGCAAUUUCAAGGCCUAAAUCCACGGGUAUUAUCAUCAAGGAAGAAAAACCAGACUUCACUGAUUUUCUAUACCAAGAUGCACAAGACCUAUGGGAAGCAUUCUUGCCAUUAAGCCAACACCUUCAAAACCUCUAACAAACUCCUCCAUCGCAUGCCCUAGAUGAUCCAACGACUAAAGCCAGUUCUAGCAAACCAUCCGGAUUCAAUGACCACCCCUCUUCUGAUUGGCGUAAGAUAUUUUGCCCUUGGCCACCCUGUUGCCCAGAUCAUCAACAUCCACCAGAAACUCCACAUCCAUCAUUCAAAGUCCUCUUUUCAAGAGAUAAAGAUGCAACUGACAGCUCAUCCGAUGAAGAUUACAUGAAUCUCUCAUCUCNNNNNNNNNNNNNNNNNNNNNNNNNNNNNNNNNNNNNNNNNNNNNNNNNNNNNNNNNNNNNNNNNNNNNNNNNNNNNNNNNNNNNNNNNNNNNNNNNNNNUAUCUAGUAGUCCGCAUGCUUGGGUUUCCAGCCAAUAUACUCAAGUGGAAAACAUAAAACUUUAAAACAUUUUCAUUUCAGGUUAUAUAACCUAAAACAGAUGUUUCUUUAGUCUAAAAUAGGGUACCAAACUAGAUAAGAAAUUAUCAAAAGUUUUCUGAUGCACAGGAUCCUUACUAGAGGCAAGUGUAGAGCAUACUUCCUUUAGUUUCAAAAUGAACAGAUGUAAGUUUUCUUCUUAUUUUUUAAAUCUUUUAGAGCUUCAUUAACAGAGAGAAAAAGAGAAGUUAGAAACUCAUGAUGAUAGAAGGCGAGGAAUUUUAUUAAUAUUGUGCUUCGUUUUUUACAAAGAGAAGCUGAGGUACCUUAUAUACAAAAUCAUUAAGGACAUGACCCCUUGAAUGAUUAUAAUCGACAAAUAGGCACAUGUCUUUUGGAAAGUAAAGCACACCUUUUGAGAAAAUAAAGCACACCAACUAAGACUUUGAAAAAUGCAAGCAUGGCAAGGAUAGGACAGGGCUCCUAUCACUUUACAAACGACAUAAUGAAAAACGAUAAGCCAACGAGAAAAAGCAAAAGAUAAACAUGACAAGCAUGACUCAUGCUUUAAUUAUUACAAGCCAAAUUUGAAAAAAAGCAAAAGAUGCCAAGAUGCGUGAAUUACAGAGAUGAGAGAUUCAUGUAAUCUUCAUCGGAUGAGCUGUCAGUUGCAUCUUUAUCUCUUGAAAAGAGGACUUUGAAUGAUGGACGUGGAGUUUCUGGUGGAUGUUGAUGAUCUGGGCAACAGGGUGGCCAAGGGCAAAAUAUCUUGCGCCAAUCAGAAGAGGGGUGGUCAUUGAAUCCGGAUGAUUUGCUAGAACUGGCUUUAGUCGUUGGAUCAUCAGGGGCAUGCGAUGGAGGAGUUUGUUGGAGGUUUUGGAGGUGUUGGCUUAAUGGCAAGAAUGCUUCCCAUGGGUCUUGUGCAUCUUGGUAUAGAAAAUCAGUGAAGUCUGGUUUUUCUUCCUUGAUGAUAAUACCCGUGGAUUUAGGCUUUGAAAUUGCUGAAGGAGUGGGGAUCAUGAUGAUAUCAUGUUGUGGACCGAGGGAAGUGUGAGAAAUGUCUUUGUGUGGAGCAGGUUGGUGGUUCAAUUCACAAAGGAAAUUAUAGAGUUCCUUUUGAACUUUAUCGUCUUGUUCUAGAAUGGAUGGGUGUGGUGUGGUGAACCAUUCAAAAACUUGGUCUUGAGCCCAGAAGAAGUGUGUGUCGGGAUAUUGGAAGUAUGGUCUAUGAAUAAUGAACACAGAUGUGGGCAUACGUUCCAAAUUAUGGAAUUGUGACAGUUGUUGGAGUUUCAUUCUCCACCAUGGAAUUGGAGAAAACCAUUCAAGGAGUGUCCAGAUGAGGGAGGUUGAUUUGUCAGGAUUGAACAAAUGUUCUAAGGUGGCUGUUACUAGAACAAUCAGUUUGGUGGCAUAGAGGACAGUUAGGCACCAGACGUACCAUAAUUCGUCUUCUGAAAUGUCUCUAGAGGGAUCCAGGGUUAAUCCUGUGAGAAACAAGUUUUCUGGAUGGAAAGUGGAAAAUGGAAAUGAGUCUGGUAAGAGAUAGGCUUUCAUAAAAAAACCUAAAUACAGCUUUCUUUGCAAACUCUUGUAUGGCAAAGACGGUGGUGAAAGUUUUCCCAAGGGGAAAGGUUUUUUGGGUAAGGGCUUGUGAGGUGAGUGAAGUGGCCAUGAAGAUGACAGGAAAAUGGUGUUCUGAAGAUAUGAAAAUCAAGGAUUUAUUUGGCUUAGCAAGUCUGGAGAGCAUUCAGGAAUAUGGUUGUGGUCUCCUUUUAUAUGCUUCACAGAGAAAUCAUAUUUUGAAAACCAAUCUUUUAGCCUAAGCAACAUCUUUUUUGGAACAUUUUUCCCUUUGAAAUUCAUGAUGUUGGGAAAAGCUGAAUUGUCCAUUCUGAUAAGAAAGUGGUAGCCGAUAAGAUGAUACUCGAACUUUUGAAUACCAUGCUUCACAGCUAAAAUUUUUUUGAACACAUUGUGGUAAUGGAUUUUUGUGUCACAAUUUCAUGCUUCCAAACUAUUAAUCAUCUAUUGACCAUCAAUUUUUCAUUAUCUAAGCAUCUUUUUUCACUCAAAAUUCAUAAGUCCCUAAUUUUUUUACACAGCAUAAAAAUUUUAAUAUAAUGCAUAAAUGAUACAUGUCGAAUGAGGGAGUACAAAUAGAGGUUUCAGUAGUCACCAUUAAAAGCAUAAAAGUUAAGAUAAUAUUUUUUACCUUCUCGUUAACUCGAAAAUGAAAGAGAAUGAGAGGAAGAUGUGUUGAUGGAUAGUAACUGGUUGAUGGAUUCAACUAGAUGUUUGCUGUGAGCGAGAUGGUGGCUUUGGUUUUAUGUGAUUAGUGAGCAAAUCUAAGAGAGAAAUUAGGGAUUGCAGAGAGAGAUGAUUUAGCAGAAGAGAAAAAAUUAGGAAUUUGAGGAAGAUAAAGCAACCGGCUUUACAAUUUACCCAUAUUUUUCUAUUUUUUCUUUUAUAUUCAAUCUCAACCAUUUGAUACAUUUUACUUGAAUCAACAGUUAAGAGUUAAAACGCGGCAUGGUGAUGGGGCUUAAAGCUCACCAUGACACCAUUAUAGCAAUAGCCUUUGACUAAUUACGUACAAUUAGCCAGCUCAAACCUCAAAUAAAUAUAUUUUUUACGGAUAAUCACACUAAAUAAAGACUUGUAAGAUGAUCAAUGUAACUUUUAUGUUUCUGGUCAUGGGAACUUAAGAAAUUGCGAACAACCAGAUAUCAUAGUCAUUUCUGAAAGUAAAAUAUUGAUGAUGAUGGAACUCAAAGUUCAUGAGCUAAAGUAAAUUAUUGGUUUUGCAUGAAUCAUUCUGGAGCUUGGAGAACAAACUGCGAUUCCAACAAUAUCUUAUCGCUUUUAUUUGUGGUAAGUUGCUUGCCUGGGGUUUAGCCCCCAGCACAUUUAUUGUUUACUCAACAAGUUGAUUAAAAAAAGCCACUGCACUUAAGAUCAUCUUUGUAGUCUAAUUGUUCAGGAUAUGCUGCUCUCACCCGAACUAUCCAGGUUCCAGUCCAGAAAUGUCCUAGUUUUGUAAUAUGUAUUGUUCGCUAGUUAAUUAGCUCAUGAUAACCGUGGAGUCCAGUCCACAAAGCGUCAAAGCCAACACCAUUUCCGUUUAUAAGAAAAUGAACGAAAUAAAGAUAAGACAGAUAAGCAUUUUGUUUACAAGGCAAUACAUAAAAUAAGGUUACACACGGUAUAAUACUCUACAUGAUAAAGUCAACUUUAUUCAAAUGCAAGGCAGGAUUUAAGUUAACUGUCACUGUAAAUAUGGAUGACAAUUACUUUCUUUAUCCUGACCAUCCUCCUCUUUGAGAACCCCCAGAAGAAUGCACAUUCAGCCUGUCAAGCACUGCAUUAAAAUCAACAGGCUGCCCACUCUCCUCCAUCCUCUGAAUCACGCUUGCAGCAUGAUCUCCCCUGUAACCCAUACUAACCAGAUUCUCAAUCAAUUCACUGUAAGUAUGGUUGCGAAUAAAUUGUGGCUGACUAGGAUUCCGGGCCAAAAGAUUACUGCCUGUGGUAGGUUGUGAAGGGUAUCCACCUUGUGCGAAGUGAGAUUGUUGAGGUGGAUGUGGUGUUCUCCCCGAUUCACUAUCAUACAUCAUAUAACCACUCCCUGGAGGAAGCGUGGGACGAGGGCCAGCAGCUGCAUACCCAUCGCCUGGUUGUGCCCCAUAGUUGCCCUUAAUUGGCUGAGGUUGGAGCGGUGGUGGCUGCUGUGGAACUGGUCUACCAGGUGCACCAUACCCAUAAGGCAUAACAUCAGCACGGGUAGAUACUGGUUGAGGAACUCCUGUAUACUGCACUUGCAUAGGAGCGCUAUUUGGCAACAUCUCUGGAGGAGAUGGGUUUGAUGGUUGGCUAGGAGGGUAUGAUGGGUAAACUGUUGGCGACGGCCUAAUCUGUGGCUGCACAGUGGGUUGUUGUGUUUGCUGUACCUGCUGAGGCCAUUGCUGCUGAUACUGAGGGAGGAAAUGGUGACCAUGAGGGACUGGAUUAGGCUGAGAUUGUUGAGGCUGUGGUGUCACCCUAGAGGAGUCUGGUAGUGGGGGAGGUCUGUACUGAGGAUCAGUAGACAUAUAUUGACUUUGAGGCUGUUGGAUGGGGGCUGGGGCUGGGGCUGGGGCUGGGGCUGGGGGAUUAGGUAACUGGGUUGCAGGCAUAUAAUAGGAUUGCUGAUGAGACACAUUCUGAGGUGGGGUCUGGGGGGUCGGAGCCACAGGCUGUUGUUGGGGGGCGACUUGAUGAGGGAGGGUCUGGGGGAGCGGAGCCACAGGCUGUUGUUGGGGAGCAACUUGAUGAGGGAGAGCAAGAGCUAACUGCUGAUUUUGCAUGUCAGCGGUUGUAUUUUCACCCCUUUUAGGCUCAGAAGCAGCUGGUGAUGCUCUCUCCUCAUUUGAUUGCGAAUGGCUUGAUGAAGAUGAAUCUUUCUGGACAAGCUGAAGCUUAGCUAGUUCCUUUUGAGUUUCUGCAAGUUCUUGCUUGUCUCUCAGAAUCUGGACAGACCUGUGGACCUGAAACAGGAAAUAAAAAAGUCAAUUCUCCAACUUCAGAGGUGUUAACCUACUAAUAGACCACAUCAAGUUUACGAAAGAAACAAAGAAAAACAUGAUUUUAUUGUUUAACAACAUCAAACUGCUUCUGCAUUAAAUACGCACUUCCAGCAAGUGUGGAAGUUCCCAGGCAAGGUCAACUUGAUAACAAGGAGAACUAACUGAACCCAACAAUGGGAAAUGUGCAUCAGUAUAUGCAAAGACUUGGCCAAAUUUUCAAAUCCACGCAUCCCAUAAAGAGAAUUUUACUUUAUUUCAACUUUUUCCUUUUUUGUGUUUUCGUGGUUUAUUUUUUUUUUGGGGAGGGGGAGGGAAUACAGAGUUAUUAUUUACUAAAAGGUUUCAAAACAAUCUCCAACAGGUAGGUAGUGGGGAAAAAAAAGGAAUUGCAUUAUCCACAUAUAAUUUAAGUUAAAAGGAAAAAUGUUGCGCAAGCAAAGUUCAAGGAGACCUGAAGUGGACCUCAGCCAUUUUCCAAAGGCACCACAAUGCAAAUAGAAAGACAGGAAGAAAACAAAGAAAAAGAACAAUUUGUUAUCAUAAGAUAUUUAUAGACAAGCACAAAUAAUAUAAUGUGGGUCUAGAAAAAAGAAGAGAUAUCACAAGAUUACAGCCAAGUCCUAGCCGCUGUAUUAAGCCACAUCAAACACUUCAUAAACACAUAAGGUUUCAUAAGACGAGAAAUUCAAGGCAAUACCUUGAUGUAUGUAACUUAAAGAUCUAACUCACCUCCUGGAGAUGUUUCUCAAGAGAUUUAAGCUUCGUGUCUGCCUCCCCAUGAUCACGAACUAAAUCAGAUCGCAUUUCUACCAUUGAUUUAUCAAGGUUAUAGCAAUACAACUCCAACUGUGACAGACGAGAACUGAUUCCCUCGAGAAAACGCACGACACCAUCAGUAUGCUUUUUCAUGGUUAUUUCAACAGUAGAAACUACAUCUUCGUUUAGACAAUCGUCUGGCUGGCUAUAGGCAUGAAACAUUGAUGGUCUUGGCCUUCUGCCUUUUUGAAAAUCCUGCUGAAAUAAAGACGCAGCAGAAACUUAGCUAUAUAAUAGACAAGCCAAUGACAACCAUUCGCAACAUGUGGCAUUGAAAUAUAACGUGAGCUAGCAUAAAAAAGUGAAAAAGACCAAAAAAAAAGAAAAAAAAAGAAAGUAACUGGCAAAGGCAGAACCACCCUAAUGCCUUCAGUGGCCUGGGCAACCCCCAAUAUUUUGAAAAUUGUUAAAAUAUUAGAUCAAAAAAUAAAAAGUCAGAAGCACACAAAUGACCAGGCAGCCACCCACGAAAAUAUAUUCCUUCUAUUUUGUUGUAUUUAAACAAAAAGUAAACUAUUCAAUUUCUCUCUCCCAUAAAAAAGAACCAUACCUCAAAUCCUCAAAAUUCAAGGCUUUCUUUAUCUUCUAUCUGUUUUGAGUUAUUUCACUAAGUUUUAGGUCUGAAUAUCUCUUUAAAAAUAUUUUGAAUAAUAUCAUUUUAUUUUGUUGUAAUUUUUUUAACUAUUUCAUAAUUUUUAACCUUUAAAUUUUGCAUUAUGAAUUCGCCUCUAACCAAAAAUUUGAACUUGUGAUACAUUUUGGCAACCCUCAAAAUCAAAAUUCUGGUUUCGCCACUGUUAAUUGGAAUUCAUAAAUAUGACAAGCUACCAUUGAAAACAACAAAAACAGAAAAUGAAACUAAACAGUUAACAAUUCUGGUACCACUUUCAAUAAUAAAUCCACCAAACUAGCAUAUUUUGAGCCUUUAACAAACCAAAACUUAAGGAUUCCCCCCUCCCUCAAGUCGCACAAAACAAGCAAAGAAACUCCUGCACAGAGAUACUGCUCUUGAAACAUGAUUAAACUUUCCUAAAUUCACUUUUGAUGCCUCCACCAACAAAUUAUUGUCCUUGAGCCAAGAAUUAAUAACAGUGUAAAAGUCAUCAAAUAGUCAUCAAAUUUACACAUACGCACAAACAUAUGUCAUCAAUCAGAUGAAAUUAACUCGUAUUUGCAUAUAUGACGAUAAAUUAACAAUUCAGCUCGCUCAUAAACCCUAAAAACCCCCCAGCAAGCAAUUAAAACAAAAUCCUAAUUAAUAUGAAGACAAUGAAUAAGAUCUAUUAAUUAAUAUUGAAUUUCAACAUAAUCCGAGAGAUCAUCAUUCUAUACAAAGAUCAAAUAAAUCCCAAAUAUGAAACCCUAAUCACAGCUCCCAAAAGAAACAGAAAAAAUUAAACUUUAAAUACCUUACUGGAACCGGACCCCGUCACAAGAUCCGAAUGGCUUCCAUUCGAAGCAUCUUGGUUAGGGUAAUCCUCAUACGAGCAGAGAAUAUCAUCCGACCCGAAAUCGAACCCCUUGGAGCCCGAAUUUGCCCGGCCCGACGAUCCAGAAGCCAUCGAUUAAGCGAUCGCAAAUGUGGAAAAUGGUUGAGAACGAAAGAAUAAGGGUUUUGAUUUUUAGACAGAAAGAGGAUGACUAAUGAAUGAAUGAUAGAUUGAGAAAGUUAUUUUGCUUGUAUCGUUCAACGCUCAAGGAUUGAAACGGAAGUUUAGCGGGUUUUAUACGGUGCCGUAUUGGAACUUGUCGAAUGUAAUUGGGAUUAAUUAAAGAAAAUUUUAAAUAAUAAAUGAAACGUUUUUUAAAUGAGAAAUUAUUUGUGUUGGGUUUGGAAAGAUAGAUAAGGAUUAAGUUGAGAGGCUUGACUAUGCUCGCCGACCAAGUCCUUUCCUUCAUUUGUUUAUUUAUUUAUAUUUAAUUUAUUGAUCAAUAAAGAAGAUUAAUUAAUAGUAGUUGCAGUUGUAGCGGGCAGUGUGGUUUCCUUUUUUUAUUCGACUGUGGUUUUAUAAAUCUAAAUUAGGUAAUUAGAUGGGUAGAAACUUUUUUACUCUCUCAUGGGAUGGCAAAUAUCUAAUUAUGGAUGGAUAAUAUCCAUCCAAACACAAAUUCAUAAUUAUCUAUAAUGGAUAUAUUCAUAUCUAUAUCCAGUAUUUAAUAUUGGACAUGGAUAUGGAUUUUAUCCAUAUAGUUAUGGAGAUCCAUGGAUAUCUAUAGAUAUUUUAUUUUUAUUAUAUAAAAAUAAUAAUAUAAAAUAGUUAAAAUUCUAAUAUCAAAUUUGGCUAUUAAACUAUUUAUAUUAGUAAUAAUAUAUAUAUAUAUAUAUAUAAUAAAAUGGCGAUCUGGUGGUCGGUGGCGGCGGUCCGGCAAUUUUCUGACAAAGUCCGGCGGUGGUCCGGUGGAGACCUAUUUAUAAUAUUAAAUCAAUAAAAUAAAAUAAUAAUUAUUAAUAAUAUUAAAUAAGUUAAAAAAUUAAAGGGUAAUUUUGAAAACUUUAGUUUUUAAUAUAAGAGGAAUUUAAAUUUUUCACUAGUUAAUAUAAGAGAAAAUUAGAUUUUGUUGUUUUUUUUUAUUUUAGUUUAACAAUAUAAAUUUUUUUAACUUUAAAUGGAUAAAUUAAUUGGAUUUUGGAUAUCCAUUAAAUAUUCAUACCCAUCAAAUAUCUAAUUGGAUAUUUUUAAAAAUAUUCAUAUCCAUAUCUAAGAAGAUUUUAGAUAGAUAUUAUCCAAUCCAAUUGGAUUGAAUAUAUGGAUAUCCAAUUUGGAUAGACCAAUUUGCCAUCCCUUAAGUCAUGACUCAUGACUCAUAAGAUUUAAUUUGUGAAAUUGUUUCUCAUUUUGUUUAUAAAGAAAAAUUUACAGUAAAUGAGACUUGAGGCUUAAGUGCUUAAGUUAUCUUAAGUAUUGUAUUUGAGGUGACUCUAAUAUAGUUUUUUCAUUUGCAAAAUGAAAUAUUAUUGCCUAUUUUGAGCUUUUACAAAAAGAAAUAUUAUUGCCUAUUUUAAGCUUUCACAAAACGUUUUUACUUCCCUCUUAAAAAAAAUUAUUUAAUAAUUCAGCCAUUUGGAGAUGGAACACCUUAGUGGGUUUUUUUUUUCCUUUUUGAUACAACAAUUAAUUGGUGAUUGAUUGGGAUAAAUUUACACAUAAAAAACAAAUUGAUAAAAUUAGUUAUAAAUCACAUUAAUAAUAUCUUAGUAUUAAGAAAAGACUCUUCUAAUGAGAUUUUACUUCUCAUUCGAGGAGCAAUAUCAGUGAUAAAGGCUACUAAAAGACUUUUUAAAUGAAAUUAUCCUUCUCUCUCUUCAAUAUUUAAGAGUAACUUCUCUUUCUUAAAAUAAUAUUAUACUAUUCUUUAUAUUAUAAUUGUAGAAGAGAGAAAAUUAAUAUAACUACUUUAUUAAAAAAAGAUAGAGACAAGAUUUAUAAAUAUUUUAUUAAAAAAAAUAGAGAGUAGUUAAAUUUGGGGAGGGAAUAAUUUGAUUAAAAUUAUAGAAACUUGUUUCUAUUUGAAGAAUAUUUUUAGAGAAAACUUAUAUUUUUAUUCUUCUAUUUAUCAUCUAGAUAAAUAAAUAAAUAUUUGAAAAGUAAAAUUAGAUGAAUAUUUUGGUGAUGCUCUAAGAAAAAAUUGUUUAAAUAAGCAAUGGACAAUUUGUUGGCUAGUUACAAUUAUUAGGCAGCACAACAACAUCACACUAUCAUAGUAAUCCAAAUUUUUAUUUCAUCGUUUUAAAAUAUAAAUAUCGGCUUUUUAAUUUCUUCUAUUCUUUUCUUCUAUUUUAUUUUAAUUUUUAAAAAAAGUUUUUGGAAAUUACAAAAUGGUUUAUAUAAUCGUUUUUAAAUGUAAAUAUGUAUUCUUUUAUUUAUUUGAGAUGGUUAGUUUGGCUUUAAUUUAAUAUAUGUUUUUGUUAAUUGAAAUUUAGAUUUCAUUAAUAAUGCUAAAUAAUAUAAUAUUUAUAUUUAAUUGAUGAUUUAUAAUGUUAAUGUAUUAAUUUGUUAAUUUUCAUGCAGUUGGUAAGAUAAGAAUAAUUUUUUGAUAAGAAAAUAAUGGAAGCAGACAUAAUAAUUAAGAUUAAUAAUUUGAUGAUUUAAAACAUGGACUUCAUGAUGUUGGCUCCUACAAAUUGAAGAUCCAGAUGUCGUUACCACAAAUAACAUUUAGGGCUAAUUACCACAAGAAAUCUUAAUCAAUGCUGUCAGUUUUCAUUUUUUCCUGUUUUGUAAUGAUCUUGAGAUGUUAUGGAUUAAACAAAUAAAAGUCCACAAUCACAUACUCUUAUCAUUCAGGAAGCAUCAUAAAAAGAAGAAAUAAAAUUCUCAAACUAUGUGACCAAAAAGACUUGAAAUAAUGAGACCCAUCAAAUCUUUUGAACAAGUAAGACUUUCAACACCACUGUAUGGAUUGAAUAGAGAAGCAUCAGCAAAUAGAUAAUCAGUCCAAUAAAGCCAGUAGCUAAUGCUUCUGUAAUUUAGUCAUAGUACUUGGGGACUUAGUGGCACAUUGAUAGCCAACCUGUUGACGAAUUCUCUUUCUUGCCCACUUGAGCAAUUGUCAAGGCUGCUGAUAUGCUUGAUGUGAGCAACAUUGUGAAAAGCUAGUGACCCACAGCAUUGAAAAAAGCUAGUAAGGCUUGUACAAUCCCAAUUUUGAUUUACUAAUAAUCUUAGUAGCUAUAUGCUCUGCUAAAGGCUCUUACCACGUCAAAGCAACAACCAAUCGCUUGAUCAUCUAAAGGAAGAAACAAAACCAGAAAGCCAUAGAUGCUAACAAUUGCAUUUGCUAUUACAAAGAACCUACAAAAGAAGCAAAUUAAAACCUAAUGAUAAUUUAUAAAGCAUGCAUACCAUUGAAUUUAUUUAUAUAACUCACUUGAAUGCUGGCAUGGCACUGUACUUAGCUUCAAAUGACACUGCAAAGAAGGUAGCUAUCUCGUGGCUUGUAAGUUGUAGCCAUGACAAUUGUUCCAUAGAGUGUUGCCCCAAAGGCCAUUAGCCUUAGCAGAAGAGUGUAUAGCCUCGCGAUUUUGGGGAUGGACGUCGAAUAGUACAAUUACUUACAGCAACAAAUUUGGCGAGUUAAGAUGAGGUUUAUAUAAAUUAAACAAAAAAGUUUAUGGUUUAAAUUUAAACAACUAGCAAAUGGAAAACACAAGAUGACAUAAGGAGUUAGGAAGGCAGAUAAAUAUAUAAGUAGCGAUACUCUGUUAGCUGAGUGCUCAAUUAUCAUCAUCGCCAUUCACUACAUGUUUUUAAAAUUUUUCAACUGUAUGUAUAGACUUUUGAUUGCCUAAUGUGUGCAAGCAUUUUUUAUUUUGUUUUUAUUUUUUUGGCCAACUCUAUCAUUCAUUUGAUAUGAUAUAAAAGGGAAAAAAUUGAAUCAAUAGAAUGGAAGAAUAAAAUCAAAUCCUAUAAAUGAUAAAGAUCAUUAAUGACCUAUUGAGAGUUGUUGAAUUAAUAUUAUUAAUGGAUCAUGUGGAUUAAUCUUUAUCUCAAUCUCUUCAUUCAUACAAGCUGACUUAACAAAGUGUAAAUAAUUGAGUUUUAUUUUCUUCAAUAAUUCCUUUGUAAUUUACUGAGAAACUCCUAUACACAAACCUCCUACCUCCCUAUGAAACCAAAUGAAGAGUAAUGUAAACUUGUAGAGGGUCUUUUGAUGUGAACCUUAUAAAGAUAAGUGCGACCCUGCACGUGACGAGGUUCUUUUGCAAAGGAUCGCUCUGAUUUAUAUUCAAAUAGUUAUAAAAUAAAGACCUUGACCUUAGAGGUGGCCAAUGGGCUGGACGGCACGUGGCACGGCACGGGCAUGACACAUAUCCGUACAACAUGGCAUGAUACGAGCACGUUUCGGUAGGGCACGCAGCACGGCACGACACACACGUAGGCCGUACCUGGUUUAGAAUUUUAGGCACGUGGGCCUUAAAGGUGCGGCAUUAUUAUAGAUGGGCUAAGCACGACACAAUAAAAAAGCCCGCAAUAAGCACGUUUUAUUUUUUAAUGAAAGUAAACUCAAAAUUUUAUAAUUUUACAAAUAACUUGAAAUUGAAUUUUUGAAAUUCAUUUAAUUCUGAGUUUAAAAAAAAUACUAUAAUUGAUAUCAUGAUUUUAAUCAAUAAAAUUAUAAAUAUUAUGAUUUUAUAAAUAUGCAUUAAUAUUGUUAUGAACUGUGAUUUAUAACUCUAUGUAAAUCCAAGUUAACAAUUAAGUUAACCCUCAAGAAAAAUUUAUUAUUAUUGUUGUUGUUAAGUAUUAAAAAAAUUAUAAUACCAUAAGGUCCAACUUAGUAAUUAAUAUUAUAUUUUCUCACUCUUAUUAGUUUAUUAUUAUUAAAUAUGGACUUGAGUUUUGAAUUUUCAAUUUUAUUAAAUUUGAAUAAAGGUAUAGACUUAAGAAAAGUACAUAAACUUGAAAAAAGUACGCCAACAGCUUAACAUGCGCAUUUAAAAAAUUAGAAAAAAAGCUUAUUGGGCUUUUUUUCUCAGGCACAACAUGGCACGUGUGCCAGGCCGAGCCUAAGUAAAAAACUUUAGGCACGGCACGACACGAAACAUAUAGUGGCCACAACAUGGCACGGGCACGAACAUGCAUGGGCCUUGCUGGCCCGCCCCAUUGGGCAUCUCUACUUGAUUUAUAAAGAUAAGAACAAAUGGUAUAAGAACUCUGGGGUUAACGCCACACUUAAGAAAGAAAAGAAGAUUGUGGGUGAUAAGUCAAGAAAGAACGCCACAAGAUGAAAUUUUGAUAAAUUUUGAAAGUUAUUUGAAGAGCUAAUAGAAAAGCUAUCACUAUUCUUAUAAACUUUGAUAUGAAAUUCUCAAUAGGGUUACAUGUGUUUAUAUAGUUGAAUUUUACUGAUGGAAUAAAGUUUUCCUUAUAACCUAAAAUAAAAAGAAAAUAAAAUAUCUUAAAGGAAAUAAAAGAUCUUGCCUAAACUAAGAAGAAAAUAAAAGAUUUUGUUUAUCCUCAAGUAAAAAAGAAAUAAAAGAUAUUGCUGAUCCUAAAGUAAAAUGGAAAUAAAAGAUUUUUUUUUCCUAAAAUAGAUUAGGAAACAAGAUUUUAUCUGAUUCCUCUUCCUAAUUUGUUAAGGCCUUCUUCAUGCAAGUCACUCCAAAUCAAGUUUAAAAGCUUGAAUAAUAUUGAUAAAGCAUUGUGAUAUGAGCACCACCAAAGAACCGACACGACCUUAACCAAUUUAGUCUCCAAGAUCGAAUUCUAAACCAAGAAUUGAAUGGAACAUGACCCGAUGCUCAAUGAAGGUACGAACCUUGGAAUAUGAGGAUGCCGCAAUUAGCUAUAAAUGGUCUGAUUUAUAACUAGAGUAAUAAGUUUAAAAAAUUAGUUUAAGAACCAAAGAGAAUUAAACUCUCAAGCCAAUUGCAUAAAAAUUUAUCUAUCUUUUCUUAUUAUAUUUGAGUACAUUAUACAGGGCCGGUUACAAGAAUUUACAUCCCAUAAUUGCCGUUAGAAUUUCAAAAAUAAAUGCCAAACCAAAGUCAAAUAAUAAUUAAUGCCCAAAGAAAAUCCCUAAACUAAAGCAAAUAAGGAAAGUCUCCCAAAUGGCUUAAAUGCCUUCACUACAAGAAAAAUGAUCUACUAUGACAAUCCUAUGUGUGACAGAUAGAUGGAUGAUAGAUUAUUUUUUCUAUCAUGCAUUUAUGACAUACUUGUGAUAGAAAUUUCAUCUAUCAAACACCUAUGAUAGACUGGUGAUAAAUUAUUUGGCUAUCAGGAAGUAAUGACAAGUUUGUAAUAUACUUUUAGUUGCCAAGCAACUUUUUUAUUUUGACUUUAUUUUACAAGGUUGACUAACAAUUUUAAAAUAAAUAAAAAAGUAAAUAAAGAAUAAACGGUAUUGUUUGGAUUAAAAGUUUCUCUUUAAACAAGAAAUGACACCGUUUAGAUUGAAACUAAAUAAAAAUAAAACUCUCUUUAGUUUUCACUCAUCGUAUUUUUUUUUCUUAAGUGUUGACACUCUCAUUCUCGUCUCUUGCUCAGUCACUCUCGUCAAUCUCACACUCACAAAGCCCUUUUUGCUUGAAAUCCUUGCAUGGGCACUGAACCAUUGCCGACAUUCUCUUGUAUUUCACUAUCGAUUUUGGCCCUCACUGAGAACUAUAUGGAAUACCUACCAAACGCUUGUGCUUCUACUAUUGAAUUUCAAUACCCUAACUGAGAACCCUAGUGAUGAGAUUAAUGAUAAAACUAUCACAAAUACAUGGGAUGAGGCAUAUUCAAAUCCUAUUCAAGUUCCCGUCGGACCCGUUACAAGAGCUCAAGUAAAGAAAUUCAAAGAAGCGCUCAAUGGAUAGAUUCAAGCAACUUGGGCUCAAUCAAAUUCGUGGAGGCCCGUUGAAGGAAUCACACAUGAUAAAUGCAUGAUUCAGGCUCUUGAAGUUUCCAAAUAAUCACUUCCAUGAAAUACGGAGUUCGUCUGCACAGUGUGGCAGGAAAAUAUAUUAUUUUCCUUUUUCAGAUACUUUUCUGUUUUUUGAGGAGGCUAUUAGGGAAACAAAUCAGUUAUUUCUAUUUUAAUCGCCUAAUUUCUAUUUUAAUCGCCUAGUUUCCAUUUAAUUUCUGUAAGGCAUUUAAGCCAAUUAGGAUCCUGAUUUAAUUCAGAUUCUUUCCUAUUUAUUUAGAUUAUGAUUAAGGUUUGGUUUAAAUUCUUUCCUAUUUACUUAGAUUAGGAUUCUGAUUUGAUUUAAAUUCUUUCCUAUUAGGGAAGAUUCAGAUUCUAAUUUGAUUUUUUGGGUUAGGAUUUAUUUCCAAAAAUUCUUGUAACCAACCCUAUAUAAAGUACUCGUAUCCAAUAAACAUGGAAGAAUUUUUUUUUUAUGUAAUUGGUGAGAGAGUUAAUUCUGUUUGGUUCUUUACGAACUCUUUGAACUUAUUAGAUUUCUGUGGCGUUCAAACUCUUGACUUAUCAAUUAGACCAUCCAUAGCUGAUUAUGGCGUCCUCGCAUACCAAGGUUCGUGCUUUUAAUAAGCAUUGGGUCGAGGUUCCAUUCCAUUCCUGGUUUAGAUUUGAUCUUGGGAACUAAAUUGAUUAGGGUCGCGUCAAUUCUUGACAGGGUUCGUAUCACCUCACUUACCCACUGUCACAACCAUUCGAUCAAUACAGGUAAAUAAUGUUUCUAGUGUUGUUGUCAAACUUGAACCCUAGAUAUGUAAAUCUUAAAAUCCCUAAAUGUGUUCUUGUCAAAUUCAAACCCUAUACACCUAAAUCUUGAAAAUUCUAGAUGUGUUCUUGUCAAAUUUGAACCCUAUACAUGUAUCAUUUGGUAUCAAAGCCUAGACUCCAAGGUCAGAUCCGUCUAUCUUUUUUGUUUUCCAUUCUUGUUUGAAUUUUUCAUCCUUGUUCUAGUAUCUAUAAAAAAAAAAAAAAAGUGUCGUGAACAGUAUUUGCAUGAACAGUGCCACGUGAACAACAUUUGCGUGAACAGUGUCACGUGAACAGUAUUUUUAGGGUUUCCUUUUGUUGUGCAAAUUUUAUUGAACUCACAAGCGGACGAAUCUAUUGUAGAAUAGACUAAUGGUGACGAGUGUCGAUCCCACGAGGAGGUGGAUUUUAAUUGUGUGUAGAAUUAAUUUUGUAAAUGGGUGGUUGGAUUUGUGGUGAAAAUAAUUUGGAUUAUCCUAAAAUUGGAAUUGAAAUGAUGAGAAUAAAUUCUAAAAUUGGAAUUGAAAUAGCGAGAAUAAAUUGAAGAGAAAUCUAUUGAGAUGACGUACUUGGGUAUCUGGAUCCGUAUCAACAUGCAUCAUGGGCUAAAUAAUCCUUAUUAAUGCCAAUUAAAUCAUGAGGGGGGAAUCCACACCUCAUGAACCACGCUCUAAUCAAUAUGGUGCUAAGGGCUUAUCGUGCCAAAUAAUAAUAACCUUGUACUAGGGGGCCGGUGAAACCAAGGCGGUACUAGACAAGAUUAGUAUUAUUUGUCGACGAGAAGUCAAAACAUCCAUAAAAAUUAGAGGGGAAGAGCAAGUAAAUUUACCAAAUAAAGCCCAUGACACAUGUUGAGACUUCACCUUCAACCCAAGCUUGAAAGAAAAUUAGCCACUCAUAAUUGAACUAUGGGCAAAAUGGGAAUUUAUUAAAAUACGUAGAAAAUAUAAAAUGGAGAAGGAAUUACAGAAAAUGGAUCCCAAAAAUGGAUUCAGAGCUAUCAAAUUAGGGGGGGAGGCCCCCUUUUUAUAGAUACAUUGAGUAAAUCAUGGUCAUCGGAUUAAAAAUAGUUUGGACGCUCAGGAUUGUGCCACAUCAUUAGUCAACAGUACGCGGCUUGACCACGUGGAUGAACAGUAACACGGUUUGACCCGGCUUUGAACAGUAACGCAGUUUGGUUGAAAAUAAUCCUAUGUAAUGCAUGUACCGUACGCGUAAGUUUUGGUCCACUAAUAUGCUGCCACGUCACCAUCAACAAUUCAUAAGAAUUUUAGACCAACAGGAUCAUGACACCUCAUCAAUCAAUGCCACAUCAUCGGUCAAUGUCACGUCAUCGAUCCGUCUAUGUGAACAGUAUCGUGAACAGUAAUGUAGACAGUACCGUACAUGUGAAUAGUACCGUACAUGUGAAUAGUGCCAUUUUUCCUUUUAUGCUCCUCCUAAGGUUUUCGACCGUCCUGAGUUCAAAAGUGAUGUCCGUUUUGCCGUUUGAUCUCUCGUUUAUUAUGAAAUGACUAUGAUGCCCCUAAAAUACAUAAAAUACUUAAUUAAAAUAAAACACACAUAAUUAAAUUACAAGAACCUUAAAUACAUAAAAGUAAGGGUUGUUAGUAAGACUUGAAAUAUAAAAUGACGAUAUUUUCCUUUAUAAAUAUACAUUUUCUAAUACUCAACACACCCCCCAACCAGCUUAUUGAUAGUCCCUAGCAAAUAAAGCGAAAACAAAAUUCAAACACAAUUUUUUUUGUUUUUUUUAAACAAUCUUGUUUAUUCAAUCAGACUAAUGAUAGAAAUCAAAUAAAAGUAUAAGCAUUAUCUCCAGUCUAAAGCAACAUCACACCCACAUCAACCAUCCACAUGAAUCAGCCUAGUAGAUUGUCAUAGCUACUUUCAAGAAUGACAUGUCAAACCCCAAAAUCUCACUGGAAAUAGUGACACUCUCACAAAGAAAUUAAACCCAAUAAAAAUAGUCACUCUAAUGAAUGGUACUUGAGAGAGAAAAUAAUAAAGAAGUGAGAUCACAUGCUCUCACCAAGAUGAAAGAAAUAUGCCUUCAGCUUAGAAAUAAUACAAUCUCAAGUCAAACAAAAAUACUAGUCAACCCACUUUAUUUAUCUUUUUUUUUCUUUUUUUUUUAUUAUGCAUCACUACAUCUUUUUAGCCCAUAUAACUAGCUUCUACUUCAGACUAUAGUUUCCUAAAAUCAAAAAGGACUUUUAUUAGGAAGUAACAUAGGCUAGGGACAUGGUUAACAAAGAAGGGAAAUAAGGAAAAUAAAGUGUAUGUUUGAGAAAAAUGCAGAGGAUUUUUUUUUUUGGAAGUUGCAAGGUGGAUUUCACCUAUUAUUGUUAUUUUUUUCUUAUUUUUUUUAAACAAUUUUUUUUUUGCUUUUGCUUGGCACAACGUCACUGAACAAAAUAAUUAUUUACAUUUUUCUCAAACAUAAAUAGGUGAUGAAACUUAUAAGAUAUCGGGUAAUACUCUAAAUUGGAGUGGGUCAAGAUGAUAAGUUUAACAAAUAAAAGGCUUUUUUUUUAAAAGGCUCAAAAUGGUUAACUAUGGAUAUUUCACAAAAGGGAUGGCUAGAAAGGUUCAAACGGAUCAAAAAUGGCAUUUCCAUCGUCUUUUAGGGCUCUAAAUAACUAUCCAUAUCUACUAGUUAGAUGGGCCUCCAAAUGUGGCAACACAUUUUUUUUUUUAAUUUUACAAUUUUUUUUAAGGGUUAACUCGAAAGAAAUCUAGAGAUCGUGUAUACAAUAAUAAACCUCUAAGUUGUAUAAAGAAUGAACAAAAGGGUUACUCUCCAAGAAAAAUGAUAGGCUCAAAAACUCACUUGGUACUUAUUAUGACAUGUUCAUUCCUUCAAGCAACUCAUAUUUGUCUCCGACAUCAACAUGUAGAGUAGCAAACAUGGGGUAACAUCACUUAAGACCAAAGAUAAUACAAAUACUAAAAUUUGAAAUUAAUCAUGUCAUCCAAUGUUAAAACAAAUAACACAAUUUUUUUUAACAACAUUCUACCCCCCAACCUAUUCUAAACAUGAAAGGAAAAUAUGCAUGCAGAAAUGUGAAAAUGAUGCAGAAAAAUUAAUUAGAAAAAGAAAUUUUUUUUUAACUAAGAAGAUGCGUUUCUAGAGGCACUACACUCCAUAUUCAGCCAUCUUCGACUCAAAUAUUUGAAUAUAUUUAUAAAGGAGAAAUUAAAAAGAAGAAGAAAAAUGAACAUAAAAACUUAAUAAAGAAAAAGAAAAUGUCUGAAUUUUUUUUGAAUUUUUUUUUUGAAUUUUUUUUCAAAUGAUGAAGAUGCGUUUCUAGAGACACUACACUCCAUAUUCGGCCAUCUUCAACACAAAAAGUUAGCAGCAGUUAGUUUCUACAACAAAAAAUUAGUAAAAACUUAACCAAGAUUCCACAAUUGUUGACUAUUCCCUCCCUCCAACCAGAACGAAACAUUGUUCUCAAUGUUUUAAAGGAAAGAAGUAGAGUUUAGAAGACAUCACCUGGGUGGUGCAACACAGAAGAAAAUAUUUACAGGCGGAGAGUUAAAUCUAAUUUGUACCUCUUACUACGGCUACUGUUACCAUCAUUAUUUGGAUGCUCCAACACAAAGGUCCAGGGGUCUGGCUCCGGUUUAUAAGCUUGUAAUAGAUCAAGUAGCUCAUUAGCAGUGUGAGCACAAAUAAAGAGUUUUUUCACAUUAGAGGGAAUGCAAUAGGUUUUUAUUGCAAGGUUAAGAAAUGCGAUAAAGCCAUCAUAAAAGUUAUUGACAUUUAACAAACCGAUGGGUUUCUGGUGGAUGUGCAGAUGGGCCCAAGAUGCUAGUGUGAUAAGUGCCUCUAGAGUUGCAAGAUCUCCUGGAAGGAAAAUAAAAGCAUCAGUAUGAUUAAGCAUUUCAGUUAUUCUUUCUUGCAUACCUGAGGCGACUAACUCUUCUCCAGUUGAUGAGUCAGACGAACUGCCCAAUGGUUUUAGGACUCUUGGGAUGAUGCCUAACACUUGACUUCCUCUGACAUAAGCUGCUUUUGAGACCAUUUUUGAUAACCCUCGGUUACCUCCUCCAUACACCAAGUGUAAUUUUCUUUCUGCUAUACUUCGACCAAGAUCAAUGGCUGCCUCAACGAACUCUUUAUGUUUGCCAUAGUUAAAUCCAGAAAGCACACAAAUGUUCUUGAAUUGUCUAUUGGGAGUAGCUGCCAUUGGAAUACUUCUCAAAAACAAUUUGUGAGUGCUUGACAAAAAAAUCACAUUUAAGAGUCUUGGUGACAAUGGGUCACAGUUGUAUAUGAGGUAACAUGUCAGUGUCAAAUAACGUGUAAAGCACAUGGCUCGCGAGUCAAAAAGGAAACAGUAAAAAGGAAAAAGCAAACAGUAAUAAAAUUAUUAAAGACAAUAAUGCAAACAAUAAAACAAUAGUGAAAUAAAAUAACAGUAAAGUAAAAGGAUAUUUACAGGUAGUUGCGACUGUGGCUCACAUCUUCCUCUGGUUUUACGUCCAAAAACGGCUUGAACGCCCUCUAUGGGUCGAGGAUGGGCUUCCUAUCCAGUUUUCUUAUAAACUGGCAAACAGGGUCGUUUAUAGUCAGAUUCCUGAGACUAUAUCGUGCAUGCUCUUUCUGGAAUAAUGGCCAUAACUGGAGAAUCGCUCUUUGCACAUAUCCACUGGGAUGCAUUUCAAGAGACAAAAGGAUAUCAUCCAAUGACUCCUUAUUCAAGCCAUCCCUAAUGAACUGAAUCUUAUCUUCCCUGUUAUGAGACACCAUUCCUAAAGAACAUGGGUUUUUAUUGCAACUCAUUCUGGCACACGUAUGACAAGCAACAAAAAUUCUUCGAGCUCGUCGUUUUCUUGCAUAAUUUCCUUUACCACAACCAGGCAUGUAUGCAAUAAAUUUUGGAGGUAACUCACCUGUCAAUCGUACUUUUGGCUCGAUUAACCAAUGGAUGUCAGCAGGUAUGUUAUUCCUCAUGAGCAAUCGCAUGUGUUCGGACCGAGCUUUAUAGAUCGUAAGGAGGGCAUUCUGAGGAAGUGAAGGGAAUCGCUUGUGAAGCUUCGCUAGAGUCUCGUUUCUGUCCAUACCUUUGCCUCAGAAUAUCAGUUAUUAUGGGAAACUGAAGUAACUGACUUGAUUGUCACGGAGUACCGUUAUCUGCCACUUCACCGAGGUAACAAACUAAAGCACACAAACAGAAAAACAAAUUAAAACACACAAAGAAAAUUAAAAUCGUCCUCUUAUUGAAUUUACCUCAAGCUCCAACUGGAUGUCGUAAACACUUCUCUCAAUGUCUCUGAGUUGGCUUUCUAAACUCUCAACAUAGGCUACUAACUCUGGUGGUUGUAGAGCCCAAAUACGAUGUGUUUUACAAAAUUGAAUCUGCCUUAUGAGAUGAGUUUUGACACGUUGAAGUGGUUAAGAAUGUUCAGGAGGAACGGUCUAAGUAUGGUACUCAUGAUUAAAAAUGAUAAGAGAAAACUUAAUAGUUAAACAAACACACUUAUGCAAAAAUAAUUUCAAUUAGCAAAAGAAUAAUAUAAAGAAAGAAAAAAAAUAUCAAAUCAUCGAAAAGAAAAGAAAAAAAAAUCAAUUCAAAUCUGGUGGGUCACUCAAAUUUAUUUUGGUGUCUUCUCCAUGUGAUUGGUACUCUAGAUAUGGCUUUAAUCUUUGACCAUUAACUUUAAACGUGACACCGCUCUUUGGGUCCUUAAUUUCAAUUGCCCCAUGUGGAAAAACAAUAUGUACAAUAAAUGGGCCAGACCAACGAGAGCGUAACUUACCUGGGAAUAGGUGCAAGCGAGAAUUGAAUAAAAGCACUUUCUGACCUGGAGUGAAAGAUUUUCUCAUAAUUUGCUUAUCGUGGAAGACUUUCAUUCGUUGCUUGUAAAUCUUGGCAUUUUCGUAUGUAUCAUUGCAAAUUUCUUCAAGUUCUGCCAGUUGUAAUCUUCUUUCUGAGCUGGCUUGCUGCAUGUCAAAGUUGAAUUUCUUGAUGGCCCAAUACGCACGAUGCUCGAGUUCCACAGGUAGGUGAUAAGCUUUUCCAUACACUAAUCUGUAGGGUGACAUCCCAAUCGGGGUCUUGAAAGCCGUUCUAUAUGCCCAUAAUGCAUCAUCAAGUCUUAAUGACCAAUCUUUUCUGUCUGGCCUUACCGUCUUUUCUAAUAUGUGCUUUAUUUCUCGAUUAGAGAUCUCAACUUGGCCACUGGUUUACGGAUGAUAUGGGGUUGCCACUUUGUGAGUGAUUGAAUACUUUGUCAAAAGAGCUUUAAAUGCUUUGUUACAAAAGUGGGCACCACCAUCACUAGGGGUGGGCAAAAUAUCCGAUCCGACCUGACCCGACCCGACCCGAUCCGAUCCGAAAAAUAUCUGGUUCAGAUCGGAUCGGAUUGUUGAUAUAACCCGAUCAGAUGUAUUCUUGCUAACCCGAUCGGAUCAUGAUCGGAUCGGAUGAAACCCGAUCCGAUCCGAAAAACCGAUCAGGUUGCCAAAGAAAAAAAAGAAAUUAAAGGUAAAAAAAGGAAACCUAAACCCAAAGACUAAAGAGCACAUGCACGUGAAGAACACUCAACACUCUUUAAUAGCUAAAGACAAAAUCACAUUUUAGCCAAGCCAAUAACAUUCUUCAGUCGCAUCAAAACGGAAAAAAAAAAAGAAAAAAAACAGAGAACACUCUUCCUCCCUUCCUCAACUUCUCAAUCUCAUCUCAAGAACACUCUUCACAAUUUCAUGCACACAACCACGCACACAUAUCGGAAAAGCAAGGGGCAGCCGGAUCGAUUUUUCCCACAGUCACCACCAACGCUCACUGCUCCGCGAGGACCGUAAAUGGAUCUGCUGCUACCGGAUCUGUUGCUACCGGAUCUGUUGCUACCAGAUCUGCUGCUACCAGAUCUGCUGCUCCACGCCGCCAGUCCUCCACCAUCACCUGAUCUGAUCCAAGAUCCAUUCAACCUAGUAAUUGCAAGGCUACAACCCGAGUUUCCUUUUCCUCUUUUGAAGCUCUGUUGGUAUAAUAGUACUAUACCAAAUUGUUCACCAUUUAGCAGUAAUAUAUCAUAUAUUAUUAUAUUACAUGUGAAAUUGUUAAUUUGUAAUUAUGUAUUGUUAAAUGUUAAUAAAAAAAUAAGAAAAUUGUAAAUCCGAACCCGAUCCGAACCGAAUUUAACCCGAUUUAUUGACCCGAUCCGAAUAUCUAUCGGAUCAGAUUGGAUCGGGUUAUAAGUUCGGGUUGUGUUCGGAUGAAUUUGUGUUCAACCCGAUCAAUCCGAAAUCCAAUCGGGUUGAUCCGAAUCCGACCUGAACCCGUAUUUGCCCACCCCUAACCAUCACUGAUUAUUGCUCGAGGGAGUCCAAAGCGUGAAACAAUGUUGCUUUUCAAAAAUCCUAUCACCACCUUGUGAUCAUUGGUUCUACAUGGAAUUGCUUCUACCCAUUUCGAUACGUAGUCAACAGCAACCAAUAUGUAUUGAUGCCCAAAAAAAGGGGGAAAGGGUCCCAUGAAGUCGAUACUCCAUACAUAAAAAAUCUCAACCACUAAAAUUGGAUUUAGUGGCAUCAUGUUCCUUCGUGUAAUGCUCCCCAUUCGUUGACACGUAUCACAUGAAGAACAGAAAGUGUAAGCGUCUCGAAAUAUAGUUGGCCAAUAGAAACCACAUUGUAAAACUUUAGUUGCUGUUUUCUUAGCACUGAAAUGGCCUCCACAAGCUUGUUCAUGGCAAAAUGAAAGAAUAUUUUGAAUUUCAUUUUCUGGGACACAUCGUCUAACAAUUUGAUCUGCACAAUACUUGAACAAAUAUUGGUCAUCCCAAAAGAAAUUCUUUAUUUCUGCAAAGAAUUUAGCCUAGUCUUGCUUGGUCCAAUGCUCUGGAAGUUGACCUGUAACAAGAUUAUUCACGACGUCAGCAUACCAUGGUAAUACUUCCAUACUCAUCAAUUGUUCAUCUGGAAAUGACUCAUUAAAUGGUAAUAUUUCCAUAAUUGUGUCAAAAUGGAGACGAGAGAGAUGGUCAGCCACAACAUUCUCUGUGUCUUUCUUAUCUUUAAAUUCCAAGUCGAACUCCUGCAAAAGUAACACCCAACGAAUUAGUCUAGCUUUUGCAUCUUUCUUUGUGAGAAGAUAUUUAAGAGCAGCAUGAUCUGUGAAUAUAAUUAUUUUACAACCAAUGUGAUAAGAUCGAAAUUGCUCUAAUGCAAACACUACUGCUAGCAUUUCUUUUUCAGUAGUUGAAUAGUUCAACUGUGCAUCAUUCAAUGUCAUACUAGCAUAGUAAAUAAUAUGGGGAAUUCGAUCAACUCUUUGUCCUAAUACUGCUCCUACUGCAUAAUCAUAUGCAUCACACAUGAGCUCAAAUGGUAAGCUCCAGUUUGGGGGCUGAAUGAUGGGUGAUGAUGUCAACAACUGCUUUAGUUUUUCAAAUGCCACAAGACAUGAAUCAUUAAAGAUAAAAGGUACAUCCUUAGCAAGUAAAUUGCAUAAGGGUCUAGAAACUUUGCUAAAAUCUUUAAUGAAACGUCUAUAGAAACCAGCAUGCCCAAGGAAAGAUCUUACUUCUCUGACUGUUUUGGGUGGAGGAAGAUUAGAAAUGAGAUCCAUCUUGGCUUUGUCAACCUUAAUACCUUUGCUCGAAAUGAUAUGACCGAGAAAAAUACCUUGUUUUACCAUAAAAUGGCACUUCUCCCAAUUUAAGACUAAAUUCUUCUUGACACAUCUCUGCAGAACUAGUGUUAGAUGAUGUAAACAUUAAUCAAAGGAGUCACCAAAGACAGAAAAAUCAUCUAUAAAGACUUCAAGGAAUCGUUCAACCAUAUCAGAAAAAAUGCUCAACAUGCAUCGUUGAAAUGUAGCAGGUACAUUACAUAAUCCAAAUGGCAUCCUCCUAUAUGCAAAAGUGCCAAAAGGGCAAGUGAAAGUGGUUUUCUCUUGAUCUUUUGGUGCUAUGGGAAUCUGAUUAUAUCCUGAGUAGCCAUCUAGAAAGCAAUAAAAUUCAUGGCCUGCUAAUCUAUCUAGCAUUUGAUCAAUAAAUGGUAAAGAAAAAUGGUCUUUACGUGUGACAGAAUUCAAUUUUCUAUAAUCAAUGCAUACACGCCAUCAUGUAGUCACUCUAGUGGGUAUCAAUUCAUUAUCAGCAUUCGUAAUUACUGUGACUCCUGACUUUUUGGGGACAACUUGUACAGGACUGACCCAUGAACUAUCAGAAAUUGGGUAAAUGAUACCUGCAUCUAAUAGCUUAAGGACUUCAGUUCUAACAACUUCUUUCAUGUUAGGAUUUAAUCGACCUUGUAUUUCCCUAGUAGGUUUAGCAUUUUCAUCAAGGUGAAUGUAAUGCAUGCAAUUGACUGGGUUAAUACCUUUAAUGUCUGCUAUGGUCCAUCCUAAUGCUCCUUUGUGCUCUUUUAAAACAUCCAACAACUUACCUUUUUGUUCGUCAUUUAGGGAUGAUGAGAUGAUUACCGGCAGAGUACUUUCUUCUCCCAAAAAUGCAUAUUCCAAUGUGUUGGGCAAUGGCUUGAGAUCGAGUUUUGGUGGUGAUUCUGAUGAUGGGAUGAGUUUCUUCUCUGAUGGUGCUAGUUGUUCAACUCUUGACUUCCAUUUAUAGUCCAUGGAUGGUGCUGAGUCAAGUAGGGCGUUGACCUCAUCGACCGAUCUGUCAAUAUCAAAAUCCAAACCAAAGUGAGUUAAACAUGUUUGUAAAGGAUCAUCACUAAGGUUUGAAAGAAAAGUAUUAUCAACUAUUGUUUCUAUUAAAUUCACAUCAACAAUUCCAUCAUCUACACUGUGAGGUUAUUUGGCAAUGUUGAAAAUGUUUAGCUCCAUAGUCAUGUUGCCGAAGGACAACUGCAUAUUUCCAAUUCUGCAUUGAAUGUGAGCAUCCGCAGUUGCCAAGAAAGGUCGGCCUAGAAUAAUGGGGAUGUGCUUCCUUGAAUCUUGUAUUGGUUGAGUGUCAAUUACAAUGAAAUCAACAGGAAAAUAAAACUUGUCUACCUAGAUAAGUACGUCCUCCACAAUACCACGAGGUAUUUUCGUGGACCGAUCUGCAAGCUGUAACACCACUGGAGUUGGGUGUAAUUCUCCAAGUCCAAGUUUCAAAAAUACUGAGUAAGGCAACAUAUUUACACUAGCUCCUAAAUCCAACAAAGCAUUUUCAAUUGUGUGGUUCCCUAUGCUACAUGAGAUAGUGGGGGAGCUUGGGUCUUUGCAUUUUAGAGGAAUUUUAUGUUAGAGUAUAGAACUAACGUUUUCUGUUAAAAAUGCCUUCUUUUGAACAUGAAUGUUUCUCUUUUUAGUGCAAAGGUCUUUAAGAAACUUGGCAUAAGAUGGAACUUGUUUAAUAGCAUCAAGCAAAGGGAUGUUAACACUUACCUGUUUGAAGAUUUCAAGAAUCUCACCUGUGGAUUUUCCCUUCUUGCCUUUAGCUAACCUCUAGGGGAAUGAAGCUUUGGGAAUGUAUUCUUGUGGGUUGGUUUCUUUUUUCUCCUCCGGUGGUGAGUCUUCAACAUUCACAGGUACAAUUUGAUUUUCUUUUGUCACUGGCAUCUCCACUUUGUUGUCGACUUCUUUUCCUUUUCGCAAGGUCAUGACUGCUUUGACCUCUCUAUGCUGUUGUGGUGAACUGAUACUUGCUUCAUGUACUCCUUUAGGAUUAGACAUUGGUUGACUUGGAAAUUUAUCUUUCUCAACAGUUAUUGCCAAGGUCUGAACUGAAGAAGCAAGCUGUUCUACCAUCUUCUCAAGGCUUGAAACUGAUUGGGCUUGUGAAUUGAAACCUGCUCUCAACUCAUUUCGUAGUCCAUCAAUGGUGUGGUUCUGUUGCUCAAUCGUGGAGUGAGUAAGAUUCUUAAGAUUCUGGAAUGAAUCCUCCCAUGGUCUGGGCUGAGUGUAGUUCUGGUUCUGAUUGUAUGGUCUAAAUGGGGGCUGAGAGGCUUGAGGAGCUAGAGGAAUUGGUUGCAUUGGUGGAACUGGAGCUGCUGGUCCAUUCUGUUGGAAUCCUUGAGACCAUGAAAAAUUGGGGUGGUCUCUCCAUCCAGGGUUAUAUGUGUUGGAGUAUGGGUUGUAAUUUGAUGGCUUUCUCAUUACACCUAUGGCAUUGGCUUGAUCUGAGUAUGAGUCAUGGUCAUGUGGCUCUGUUGAUUUAGCAGUCGAUAACGAUGCUAUUUGUCGAGAGAGACCUUCAAUUAUCGUUUUGACUUCUUUAAUUUCUGAACUUGACUUGCCAAUGUGAACCUCAUUUACUCCCUUAAUUCUUCUAGUAUUCUUGAGUGAUCGACUCUGUUGUUGGGAAUUAUCCGCUUGUCGCUAGAAGAAUUCCCAAAUCUCUGAUGCACUUUUUGACAUUAGCUCUCCUCCACUUGUUGCCAUUAGUCAUUCUUGCACAUUCGGCAAUAAUCCCUCCAAAAAGUAUUGGCAUUGGUGUCAUUUCUCGUACCCAUGAUGUGGACACUUCAAGAGUAGCCCAUUGAAUCACUCCCAUGUUUCGAAAAACUUCUCGUCAUCUCUCUGGGUAAACUCUGAUAUUUCCCUGUGAAUAGCAUUGGUUUUAUGCAUUGGGAAACAUUUAUUCAAAAAUUUAGUUACCAUUUGUUCCCAUGAUGUAAUGCUAUUAGCAGGCAAAGUAUUUAACCAUGAACGAGCUCUAUCCUUUAAAGAAAAUGGGAAUAAUCUGAGUUUAAGAUCAUCGUCUGAAAAAUUCUCAUAUUUAAAUGUUUGACAAAUAGCAUGAAAAUCAUUCAGAUGAUUAUAUGGGUCCUCAUUUUCUAAGCCAUAGAAUGUGGGGAGACAAUUUAGCACACUAGGUUUUAGUUCAAAGCUCCUAACAGCUACAUUUGGGUAUCUUAUACAUGAUGAUCAAAUUAGAUAAGGGACUAAAAUAGUCCUUAAAUGGCCUUUCAUGUGGUGCUUGUAAAUCCAUUUCAAAUUUAUUUUUAACGUGCUUGUGUGUGCGAAGUAUUUUUUCUAGUUCAAGGUCUAUAGGUUCAAGAUUAGGUAAUAAUGACCUACGACCAUACAUGCAAAAUAAAUAAAAUAAAAAUAAAGAUGGGAACAAAACAAAUAAAAAUAAAGAAAAAAGAGAAAUUAUGAUACUAACCUUAUUACGCUGUUACAACCUUUCUAUAAAAACACACUAAAACAAAUUCGUGAAAUUAACUAAAAAUGAAAUUAAUAAGAUAAAAAAAAUUACAAAGACAAAUAAAUUGAAAAUUAAAUUACAGAAUUUUAAAGAAGAGAGAGAAUAAAUAAAAAAAAUUCUUAGCUCAAAAUGUAAAUCACUCUUUUUUUUCUUUCUUUUUUAAUAAUAAAAAAAUAUUACAAGAAAACAAUUAAAAGAAAUUAUUUACAAAAAUUAAUUUUACGAAUUAAAAUUACUUAGCUCCCCGGCAACGGCGCUAAAAACUUGUUGUGCAAAUUUUAUUGAACUCGCAAGCGCACGAAUCUAUUGUAGAAUAAACUAAUGGUGACGAAUGUCGAUCCCACGAGGAUGUGGAUUUUAAUUGUGUGUAGAAUUCAUUUUGUAAAUGGGUGGUUGGAUUUGUGGUGAAAAUGAUUUGGAUUAUCCUAAAAUUGGAAUUGAAAUGGCGAGAAUAAAUUCUAAAAUUGGAAUUGAAAUAGCGAGAAUAAAUUGAAGAGAAAUCUAUUGAGAUGACGUACUUGGGUAUCUGGAUCCGUAUCAACAUGCAUCAUGGGCUAAAUAAUCCUUAUUAAUGCCAAUUAAAUCAUGAGGGGGGAAUCCACACCUCAUGAACCACGCUCUAAUUAAUAUGGUGCUAAGGGCUUAUCGUGCCAAAUAAUAAUAACCUUGUACUAGGGGGCCGGUGAAACCAAAGCGGUACUAGACAAGAUUAGUAUUAUUUGUCGACGAGAAGUCAAAACAUCCACAAAAAUUAGAGGGGAAGAGAAAGUAAAUUUACCAAAUAAAGCUCAUGACACAUGUUGAGACUUCACCUUCAACCCAAGCUUGAAAGAAAAUUAGCCACUCAUAAUUGAACUAGGGACAAAAUGGGAAUUUAUUAAAAUACGUAGAAAAUACAAAAUGGAGAAGGAAUUACAGAAAAUGGAUCCCAAAAAUGAAUUCAGAGCUAUCAAAUUAGGGGGGGAGGCCCCCUUUUUAUAGGUACAUUGAGUAAAUCAUGGCCAUCGGAUUAAAAAUAGUUUGGACGCUUAGGAUUGUGCCACGUCAUCAGUCAACAGUACGCGGUUUGACCACGUGGAUGAACAGUAACACAGUUUGACCCGGCUUUGAACAGUAACGCGGUUUGGUUGAAAAUAAUCCUAUGUAAUGCAUGUACCGUACGCGCAAGUUUUGGGCCACUAAUAUGCUGUCACGUCACCAUCAACAAUUCAUAAGAAUUUUAGACCAACAGGAUCAUGACACCUCAUCAGUCAUGCUACAUCAUCGGUCAAUGCCACAUCAUCGAUCCGUCUAUGUGAACAGUGUUGUGAACAGUAACGUAGACAGUGCCGUACAUGUGAAUAGUACCGCACAUGUGAACAAUGCCAUUUGUCCUUUUAUGCUCCUCCUAAGGUUUUCGACCGUCCUGAGUUCAAAAGUGAUGUCCGUUUUGCCGUUUGAUCUCUCGUUUAUUGUGAAAUGACUAUGAUGCCCCUAAAAUACACAAAAUACUUAAUUAAAAUAAAACACACAUAAUUAAAUUACAAGAACCUUAAAUACAUAAAAGUAAGGGUUGUUAGUAAGACUUCAAAUGUAAAAUGACGAUUUUUUCAUUAUAAAUAUACAUUUUCUAACACUCAACACCUUUUUAAAUCAAUUUUGCAUCUUAGUGGUUAAUUCUCCUUAAAUGCACAAGUUUUUACCUAUUCCUUUUCCUAAAAAAAAAAAAAAAACUCCAACCUCCUCUUAAAAUCUUUCAUUUUUUUUUCAUUAUUUGUGUCUUAGAAGUCUAAAACAAGUUUUACCCAUCGGUGAAAAUUUUGCCCAAAAUCAAAACUCAACUUUCGUACACAUUGCCUUCUUACUCUGGAAAUUAAAUUCUCCUUAAUUGUCAUCUUUGUGAAUUGUUGCUUAAAUCCUGAUAUUGGUUUGAUUAGUUUGAUAAGAACCGAGUGAGGAUUACCAAGAGUGGAAAAAGACAAGAGAGUGUGAGCGUAUUAGAGGGUAAAAGCGAAUUAAUUUGAGUGAAACGCGAGUGGAAUUGAGUGUCAUUUUCUUGAGUGAAACACGUAAGGGAGUUAGGUGAGGUCCUUUCCACAUUAUUUCUAACUUUCUUUUGUAGAUGUUAGCUGUCUCACAACCUAGAACAAAAUACAAAUAAAGAGGAUCAAUCCGCAGUUACUCAGAAUUUACAAAUUCAAGCAUUGAUGGGAGAGAUGAAGAGGAUGAUGAGGGCUGAAUUAGAGCUCAUACACAUGCACGGCAGCCACAACCCGUUCCCCAAGCACGUAGGAGAGGAAGAGCUCCAACUAGAGGAGAGAUUGAUGACUAUUAUAAGGAUGAGUAUGAUGAAAGGGAGGACUCAGUCGGUAGCUAUAGGAGAGAUGGACAAGGUAGGAGAGCUAGGAAUAGAGAUGAUGGAUUAAGUGGCAUAAAGAUGAAGAUUCCAUCUUUUCAAAGAAAAUCCGACCUAGAAGUAUACCUUGAAUGGAAGAAGAAAAUGGAGUUCAUAUUUGACUGCCACAAUUUUUCAAAGGCAAAAAAGGUAAAAUUAGUUGUGAUUGAGUUUUCUGACUAUGCUAUUACCUGGUGGAAAUAGCUUGUUAUAAGUAGGAAGCGAAAUCGGGAACGUCCAAUUGAGACAUGGGAUGAAAUGAAAUCAUUGAUGAGAAGGCGUUUUGUACCUAACCACUGUUAUCGAGACUUGUACAAAAAAUUACAAUGGGUAGCCGAAGCGUUGGGGAUUAUUAUAAAGAAAUAGAGAUUGCCAUGAUUAGAGCAAAUGUGGAGGAGGAUAGAGAAGCUACCAUGACACAAUUUUUAAAUGGACUUAAUCGGGAGAUUUGAUGCGAAUCCCACAAUAAAACUUUCAAACCCACACUUAAUUUGUAGUUUCAACUUCCUAAAAAAGUUCUACACAGAUUUAAGACAAACAAAACCUUGACCCAAUGCUUAAGAAAACAUGAACCAAAAGUAUAGAGAUUAAUAUUGACACCACACUCAAGAAAUAGAUGAGAAGGGGAGUGAUAAGUCUAAAUUUGGAACGCCACAAGAAUACAAAUUCUUGAUAACUUCACUAGUUCUUAAAAGAACCAAAGAAAGAAUAAUCUUUCAAACUCAAAUAACAUUCAUCUCUAAUUUUUUAUUACAUAGCAAGGUUGCUGAGUUUAAAUAGGCUAAAAGAAACCCAAGAUCCUUAAAAUACAAAUGGAAACAUUGGAACAACCCUCCAAGUAGGUUUGUCAAAGGAUGCUUCAAAAGUCUUCACCAACCCACCAUAAUUAAUGCUAUAUUUGACAAACUUAAUGCUAACCUACUGUAAUUAAUGCUAUCAUUGACAAACUUAAUGUUAGCCCACCAUCAUUGAUCGUAAACUUACCUUACACAUUGAAAAACUUGAAACAAAACGAACAAAUGAAGUUGAAAAACAACGGAGUCGUUGAAAAUCCCAAGUCUAAACAAGCUGUAAUGAAUUGAUCAUAACUUCUUCUAGAGAACUCCAAAUCCAACUCUAUAAACUUUAUUGUAAAGCUAACUUAAUUAUCUUUUCAACGGUAUAUAGUUUGCACAUUAAUUCUGGCUCAAUCAAUACAAUUUUUAUUCCGCAUUUACCUUCUGCAUUUGAUACAAAUUAUGUAUUUGGUUGCCCAAUAACUUGAAUAAUGCCCACAAUGCCUUGUCUUCUCUCAAGCCCAAUUCAUGAUAUCUUGCAUCUUGAAUUGCAUUUUCAAUCCAUAUUUUCUCAAUUAAUCCAUUUAAAGCAACUUGCAUCUUUUUGGCUCUAGCUCUUGUAAUUGGGCCUCCAUGAAUGUGCAAAGGAUCACUUGAAGUUUUAAUGGUAUUCCCUUGAUGGUUCUCCUCAAAAGGAUUCAUUCUUGAAUCUUCACCUACAUCGAAAGGAGAAAGAUUAGAAACAUUAAAAGUAGCACUCACAUUAUACUCACCAAGAAGAUCUAAUUUGUAGGCAUUGUCAUUAAUCCGUGCAACCACUUGAAAUAGACCAUCUCCCCUUGGAAGCAACUUGGAACGCUUUUGUGCUAGGAACCUCUCCUUUCUCAUAUGCACCCAAACUCAAUCUCCAGGCUGAAAAACCACUUGCUUACGUCCUUUGUUGGCUUGAGUAGCGUAUUGUUCAGUUCUCUUUUCUAUGUGUUGUCAUGUUCUCUCAUGCAAUUGCUUGAAAAAUUCACCUUUCUUUUUACCAUCCAUACUAGCACGCUCAUCAAUAGGUAAAAGUAAUAAAUCCAAAGGAGUUAAUGGAUUAAAACCAUAUACAAUCUCAAAUGGUGAAAAUUUAGUAGUUGAAUGGACAGUUCUAUUGUAAGCAAAUUCAACAUGUGGCAAACAUUCUUCCCAAGUUUUCAAGUUCUUUUGAAUAAUGGCAUGCAACAAAGUAGACAAAGUUUUAUUUACAACCUCAGUUUGUCCAUCACCAAUUCUAAUUUACAAAGGAAGAGAUCAUCCUUUAUUAGGGAGUUUUGAACUAAUGAUUUUUGUCCAGAUAACAAUUUGGGAAAAUUUGAAUACCAAUGGGUUUUUUGGUAAUCAAUUCUUUGGCUCAAGAACUUAGCAUCUCAAUCUGAAACUAUGCUCCUUGGUACUCCAUGCAACCUGACUAUUUCCUUGAAAAACAAACUAGCUAUGUUUGUUGUAUCAUCAGUUUUGUGACAUGGAAUGAAAUGUGUCAUCUUUGAAAACCUAUCAACAACAACAAAAAUAGAAUCAUUUCCCCUUUUUGACCUAGGUAAACCCAAAACAAAGUCCAUAGAAAUAACAACUCAAGGUUCACUAUGUAUGGGCAGAGGAUUAUACAAUUCAUGGGGUAAAACUCUAGACUUAGUAUGUUUACAAGUGAUACACUUCUCACAUAUUCUUUCAACAUCACGUUUCAUAUGUGGCCAAAAAAAGUGAUUGGCAAAAUGGUAUCAGAACCAUACCCGUCCUUGAAAAUUUCUAUGUUUUCUCAAUAUCAGUUUUUCAUGUUCAAAAUGGUAUACUUUAAUUCUUUGUUCUCCUUUGAUUUCUAGUACUUCAGGAGCAGAGAGAUUUUCUUAUUCAUGGCUUCCACUUCCUCUUCAACUUCUUCUAAUCCUGUUACUCUUUCUUUGCCCAAAUCUUGUACUUCUCAUACCACCAAUAAGAUCGGAAACCUUGUAGAAUAUUCCUACAUCCCUGAAUCAGCCCAAACCAGUGAGUCCUCCUACCCUCUCAUCAGCCCUUACCAGCUAUAUAAACGCCCCAGUUCUAUUACCCGUAGUCUUCGCACCCUGAUCUAUACUAGAAGGUCACACCCUAAAGAAUAUAUCCAGUCUUCUCGCAUGGAUCAAUGUGCUCUCCAAACAACCUCUGCUGAGCAAUAUGUUACUUUGGAAAUACCCUCCGAAUUGCUUUCUAAUUGGAAAAGAGAAGGCUAUACCCAUCUCCAUCUUGGAGGCAUCCGACUAAUCCUUACCCUUCUUGGGAGAAAAGGGUUACCGAUCACAGCUCGCAUUGCUAUGCUUGAUACCCUGUUUAAACAAUACCAAGAUGCUGUUAUAGGCACUAUCCUUACAACUCUCCAUGCAGGAAGUGUUUUACUCACCUUUUAUCCAAACUUCAACCUUUCUUUUCAAGAUCCCAACUUGCCUACAACCUUGAAAGUUCAAGUCCAAAUUCAAGGUGUAGAACAAAUUUCCUUAGCCAAAAUUGCUACUCUCCAUUAUCAAUUGGUCUAUAGGCUUCAAAAUCAUGCCUUAGAUCUACCCACUCCAGAACAUCACUCUGACACCCUCAUGGUGUUAGCAGAAUCUGACCAAAUUCCCACAAUCAUCCAGAUCCCAAGACAAAUUCCCCGUCAUGAACUCAUCAAACUUAUGCCUCUUGAAUGGAUCUCCAACUAUGAACAGCUCCAUAAUAAUACAGCUCCAAUUCAGACAUCUGAAAGUAUGUUUGAAAGAAGACAAGAUGGCACAGUCAGAAUGACUUUUAAACCACCUCUAAGUGCUCCACAAAAGCCUCCUCGGCUCUCCUUUACAUAUUCUUCAAUGAUCACAGUUGUUCAGACAGCCCAGGAAGAUCUGCCCAUUACAGGGUUCAAUUCUGAAGGUUACCCAUUUUAUCCAGCCAAGCAAAAUGGCCAUUUCUUAUGGGAUGCCCCUGGCUCCGGCAUGUGUGACCCUAAUUGUCCCUGCUGGGAUGAUUGGGACGAAGACGAUGAUUAUGCAACCACAAGGAAAAAGAAACCCAAAAGGAAAAAACCUCUAGCCUCAUGCCAACCCUAUGAACCCAAAUCUCCAAAAGAUCCUCCACCUCCACCAGCCCUAUUACCCAUCUACAAAGCAGAACUCCGAUGGAUUGCAAAGCAUUACAAACCUGAGGUUCCAUCUCCUAUCCCAAAUUCACCGCCUCUUGUACAACCACUGGCUUGUAUGAUGUUUUCCUCUACUUCUUCAAAUUAUUCUUCUUCCUUUCCUCCUUUAGACACUCACAUAGAUUCACAACGAAACGUUAUCUAAACCCUUUAUCCCUUCAGCCAUAACCUCGACCGGUCAUCUUGAACCACCUAAUCCUUUUGAAUCAGUCCUCGAUUGGCAAACUCAAAAUGCCAGAGUACAGAAUGAUACUUUGUUAAAUAUCAAUUCAAAAAUUGAGAAAAUUAGUUUACGAACUGAACAACUUGAGACGAAAUUUGAUUCCAUCACUGCACAAAUGCAGCAGAUCCACCAAAAUCUCUUGUCCAAAAUUACUCAACUUGAUUCCGAGUUGCGAACCAUGCUGGCCCAGCGCUAUUCUGGCCUAGAAUUUGAUAAAAAAGAAAGGGAAAUCAGACGCUUAAAAGCUGAGCUUGCUCAGAUUGAAUCUGACAAACAAAGACCUACCCUUUUUACCACAUCACCUCCUAUCUCUUCCAUCGAUCCAACUUAUCAUACAUUUGCCUCUAUCCUUUCCCUUAUCCGACAGUAUGAUCCUUCCAAGUUAUUUGGUAUGACUCAUACUCUUUUUUGGGAUAUUCCAUUGCCACCACCACCUAAACCUAAACCAAAGCCUAAACCACAACCGCGACCCGUCACAAUUCAUCAGUCAUCCAUUUCCAUCAUCCCUGGCCAACAAUCUCCUGGUUAUACGCCGGCAUCACUGCCCGCACCUCCAUCACCAUCUUAUCCCAACCUCCUAUCCAAUCCAAGGAUAAAGAACCUAUGUACCAGUUUAGUGCCCAAGUCGACCACUCAUCUUCCCUAGAUGACCAAACUUCUGAUUCAAAUCUAGCUGUUUCUGAUAGCCAUACCAAAACUGACACAGAAUCUUCAGGAUCCACCAGUGACUCUGAAAAGCCCUAUGCUGAUAUCACCAGAAUCUUGAUGGCUCAACCUGAUCAACCUGCCCAAGGCCAAACCUCUCAUACAGAACCCUAUGUUGAUAUUCCCUCAGAAGUUGAAAAAGACAUGCCUGAAUCUUCUGCCACAAACCAAUCCCCUCCAGCCCAGGCCCAGCCUAAUCCACCCAGUCAGAAAUCGUCAAAUGGUCCAUGGUUCACAUUUGAUGACCUUCAAUCUCAUAAAUGGCGAGACCGACUUAAUGAAAUGUUUGCCUAGAUUGACCUCCAAAUGCUAAAGCCAGGAGCCACAACUGAAUCCAUCCUUAGAGAAUAUGCUACUCGUUUUACAGGUGCUCUAAGAGAUUGGUUUGAUUCUUUAGGCAACUACAGACAAUUACAGUUUGUUCAAUUACCAGAAGUCUAAAGUGCCCUUGCGGUUAUCCAUGAUCAAUUCCUUGGAGAUCCUUCUGCAGUUUUUGAAGCUGCACGCCGAGACUCUCUCAACAUGAAAUGCUGUUCACUCAAUGCUAAGGAUCUUGACUUCCAUUAUAAACGAAUGUCCCUGCUGUUCUAUAAGCUUAAUGGAUUCAAUGAGUCGACAUUAAAGCAUGUCUUUCUAGCUUCCCUUUCAGACGAACUCCAACCAGACAUAUAGAGACAACUCACCGCAUCCAAUCUUGCUCUUGACAACAUCUCCCUUGGCAAAAUCUUCUAGCUUGCCAAAACUUGUCUUGACAAACUUUGUGAGCAGAAACAGUUUUUCAAAGAACUAUUGAAAGAUAAAGAACCAUUCCGGAGUGCUUGGAAAAAAUCUUAUUUGCAGAUCAAAUGUCAGAAGAAAAAGGAUUGUGAUUGCAGUUCUAAGAAGAAAAGGCAUUUUAGGAAAUUCAAAAAUCCAGAAUUUUCAUCCAGACCUCACAGAUCCAGAAAGCCUUACAGAUUCUUCAUAAAGAAGUCAUCUUCUUCCAGAGACUUUAAACGGAGAAAAUCAAGCAGAUGUUUCAUCUACAAGAGAAAAGGGCAUUACGCCAAAGAUUGUCCCAACAAACGGGAAAAAUCUAUUCGACUAGUUGAGCAUCUUCAGGCCACUACAGACUACUCUCCCGAAAAAGAUGAACUAGAAUUCUAUUUCUCUAAACGAGAUAAACCCAACGAUGAAACUGUGUUCGCACUGCAAAAUUCCUCUGAUGAUUCAGACAGUGAUCAAUCCCAAGUGAUUUUCCACCAACAGCUAUUGUCCCUCAACACUACUAUUCCUAUACCUUUCAUCAAACUCCAGAUCUUGCCCUCAAAAUUCCAAAGGCCCGUCCCAGCCAUUGGUCUCAUCGACACUGGCGCCCAACGUAGCAUGCUCAACCCACAUAUCCUUCCAUCACAAUACUGGACAGAGUCUGAAGAACAUUUCAAAGCCGUCAAUGGAAAACUAUUCACCACCUCUUUGAUUACCAAAAACCCUAUUGGUAUUCAAAUCUUCCCCAAUUGUGUCAUUUGGAUUAAGAUUAUCGGUUCAAUCCUUCCUAAUAAGGAUUUCUUGUUAGGUUUUGACAUUCUUCACCAGAUCAAACACCUUCAAAUCAUUCCCACUGGAAUUCGAGUCAAGUCCAUGCUCAAACCAUUCACAAACAUUCUGAAACUCUACAAUCUGUCUAAAUCCUCCCAGUCCUACCAGGAUAUUUUGACUAAACUUUUGAAAUUCUGUCCAGAAUCCCAUUCUGAGUUCACCCAUCCAACUCCAUUAUGGAAAAACCCGUCUUUCUUCAUUAAGUUACCUUUCAAACUCAAUGAAGACAUUAACCCAACCAAAGCUACUCAUCCAGGAAUGAGUUCCUCUGACUUACUCCUAGCCCAAAAAGAAUGUUCACAACUGUUAGCCCAAGGUCUAAUCGAGCCCACAAAUUCUCAAUGGGCUUGCCAAGCCUUUUAUGUUGAAAAGCAUUCUGAAAUUAUCCGAGGAAAGAAACGCCUAGUCAUUGACUAUCAGCCAUUACACAUGUUUUUGGAUGUCGAUACUUUACAGUGAUUUUAUUAAUUGCACGACAGUCAAUGCACAUCCUCCAUGUUCUAUCCUUUUUGGGCACUAGUAAAACUGGUACUACACAUGGACUCAUGCCCUCCCUCACAUAUCCUUUUGCCAAGAGUUCUUCAACUUGCCUUUAAAGCUCCUUUAUCUCCUCAGGAUUACUUCUAUAUGCAGGUCUAUUAGGAAUGGUAGCUCCAGGGACGAAGUCUAUUUGAUGCUCAAUUCCCCUAAUAGGUGGCAAACGGUUAGGGACUUCAUUUGGAAACACAUCAUCAAAGUCCUGCAAAAGAGUCACAAUAGCACUAGGCAAAGAAAAGUUAAGUUCAUUAGUGUGUAAACAAGCCUCUUUGCACAAAAGUACCACGAUAGGCUAUUUUGAAAAGAAAGCCCUCUUAACCUCGCUCUCUUUUAUAAACAAGUUCACUUGCUGCCUCUCUUUUCUCUCAACAAUUUUUUUUCUAUCUUUUCACUUGCUUUUCUCUCAAUCUCUCUUUCUUUUGUACUCUCAUUUUCUUUUUUUGUAUCCCUCUCUUUUUGUAUUGACAUUUGAUCCUCAUACACUUUCCUAUGUGUUAAUGGUACAAGAGUGAUUUGCCUUUUAUUCAUUACAAAAGAAUAUCUAUUUAAGUAACCAUCAUGAGUCACACGCCUAUCAUAAAGCCAAAGUCGACCCAAAAGAAUAUGUCCAGCAUGCAUGGGUACUACAUCACAUAGAACCUCAUCCUUGUAUCUCCCAAUAGAGAAUGAAACUAGCACUUGUUUAUUUACUUUAACUUCCCCCACAAUCAUUCAGCCAUUGUAGCUUAUAUGGCCUCGGAUGUUUCAAAGUUUUCAAAUUUAAUUUUUCAACUAAGCUAGUGCUAGUUACAUUAGUAGAACUUCCACCAUCAAUUAUCAUACUACAUACCUUAGCUUUGAUGUGGCAUCUAGUAUGAAAGAUGUUAUCACGUUGUACCUCCGCAUCCUCUUUUACUUGCAUGUUGAGAGCACGCCUAGCAACCAUCAAUUUACCAUCAAUAGGAUAUUCUACACCAUCAUUAACAUCCUCCAAAAGUGGCAUAGGAUCAUCAUCUGAUUCACUCUCAAUUUCAACAUCACCAUAAUCCCUCAAGAUCAUUACUCUCUUAUUUGGGCAUUGAGAUGCCAUAUGACCUGUCCCCAAACAUUUAAAACACUUAAUAUCUCUAUUUCUAGAGUGUUGGGAAUCAGAUUUACCUUUGCUUUGGUUGCCUCCCUCUUUAUGAUCCUUGAUUGGCUCAAUCUUCGGCUUUGAAAUAACCUUUUCAUCUUUGCUCCAUUUUGACUUCCAUGAGGAAGAUGAACCCAAAUUGGUUCUAGUGGAACCUUUCUUUUGCAAUUGUCGUUCCACUUUCAUGGCCAUGUGAACCAUGUCUUCCAACUCAACAUAGUGCUGCAAGUCAACCACAUUAGCAAUAUCUUGAUUUAAACCAUGUAAAAAUCUUGCCAUAGUAGCCUCUCGUUCUUCUUCAAUGUUGGCUCGAAUCAUGAUUAUUUCCAUCUCCUUGUGGUAAUCUUCCACACUUCUAGAACCUUGUGUAAGACUUUAAAGCCUUUGGUGGAGCUCCCUAUAAUAAUGACUAGGAACAAAUCUCCUCCUCAUGAUGGCCUUCAUCUCCUCCCAAGUGUUUAUAGGCCUUUCACGAUUUCGUCUCCUACUCAAAACAAGUUGAUCCCACCAAAUAAUAGCAUAAUCAAUAAAUUCAACAGCAGCUAAUUUUACUUUUUUCUCGUCAAAGUAGUUUUGGCAAUCAAAUACUAGCUCCACCUUUUUUUCCCACUCCAAAUAAGCUUCCGAGUCAUUUUUUCAGUUUGAUACUCCCCAAAUCACAAUCUAUAUGUCUUGCCCUUCUAUUAUCUCUUCCAUGCAUGUCAAUGGUGUCCUGGUCAUCAAAAUCAUCUAUGUCAUCGCCAUCUUCUUCCCAAACACAAAUCUCACCAAGAAGCAAAUUCAACAAUUCCUAAGGAUUGUUAAUUAUGUUCGAACGUUAUGAGAAAACAAUUUUGUUUGACAAAAAUCGAUUUUGGAGGAUAAAAACAGGACCUUUAUGAUGCACAGGAUCCUUAGGCUUAAGGCAAGUGCAGAGCAUGCUCAGUAUUGAAAUUAGAGAUGAACGUAUCCUUAGUAUUCCCAAUAAUUUUCUUGACUCCUAGAAAAUCUCUUUGUAGAUCACAUGGUAGUGCUUUUCAGAGUCUUUGAAUUGUUCGCUUGCAUAGGCACAGAAAUGGGAUCCUUAGACUUAAGGCAAGUGCAGAGCAUACUCAGUAUUGAUACAGUAAUCAUUGCAGUGUAGGAAAGCCUUGGAGUGGAAUUGUAUCGGUGUCAGCAAGGAUCAUCAGAGCAUCUGAUGUAGUAUGGGGUGUAGGUAGUGCAUGAUUUUGUAAUCGAUACACUAUUUGGUGAUGGAGGGUUGCAAUCUUGCAACUUUAGGAAUGAAAUCUCAAACAUAAUUAACAAUCCCGAAGAAUUGUUGAAUUGGCUUCUUGGUGAGAUUUGUGUCUGGGAACUUUAAUAAUUCGGUUGCAAUGUGUGGGCCAGGUUGGUAGUGGCCAUUUGUGAUCACCAUGCCAAGAAAGUCAAUAGAUUCUUUCGCUAUGCUACUUUUCUUUUCAGAAAGCAUGAUUCCAUGAACCUGCAAAAUAUGAAAGAAAUCCAAAAGGAGUUGUUGAUGGCUAUUAUGAUCAGAGGAGAAUAACAAAAUAUCAUCGAUGUAGACCAAAGCAUGAUGGAGGAUGGGACUAAAAAUUUUUGUCAUGGCCUUUCAAAAUAAGGACGGAGCAACUUUAAGACCAAAGGGCAGAACAGUCCAUUGAUAGUGAGCAUCAGGAAUGCAAAAAGCAGUUUUUGGAUGAUCAACUGGUGAAAUACCAAUUUGCCAAAAACCAGCUUUUAAAUCAAAUUUAGAGAAGAUACGUGCCCCUUGAAGAUGGACAAACGGGGUCUGGAUUUUUGGAAGGGGGAACUUAUUAUCUUUAAGGAAAGAAUUGAGUGGCUAGUAAUCAAUGACUAACAGCUUUUUACCACGAACUAAUUCAAAUCCGCAGAUGAAGACAAAUAUCUGCAAGCUGAAGCUUAUCUUGACCAAAGAUGGAUGUACCGAGCCCAGCGUCAUUAUGAAAAAGAGACGGAUGAUGUGUCUCCAUCCAGAUGUCCCUCCACUCCGUAAUCACUGAUAAGCACGUGAUGCUUUAACUUUUACUUUAUUAAAGUUUGCUUUAAUAAUCAGAGCCUCUUCAACACGCAAAAUGAUUUUGGUAUAAUUCCUUUUGAAAAAUUCCUUAUUCUGAUUUAAGUUUGCUUCAUCUCCAGAGAACUUAAGAGCUUUAUAAUCAUGGCAUCUUCUUCACAAACUCCAGUUCAAUUAUCUUCUUCCAUGUCCCUUCCAAAAACUGUUACUAAACAUACUACAUCUAAACUAGAGAGUCUUGUUGAGUAUUCCUAUAUCCCAGAUUCUGUCCACGUAAAUGAGUCUUCUCUUCCUCUUGUUAAUCCUUACCAGUUGUAUCAACGUCCUUCUCGUUUCACUCGUUCUAUCCGUUCUCUUAUUAGUACUUCCCGUUCUACUCCUAAAGAGUACAUCCAGUCUUCGUCUCUUGAUCAAUGUUCCCUCCAAUCUACUUCUGCUGAGCAGUAUGUCACUUUAGAAAUUUCCCCUGAGCUCAUUUCCCACUGGAAACAGCAACGAUAUACUCACUUUCAUCUCGGUGGUGUCCGCCUUAUUCUCACCCUCCAUGGGCGAAAAGGUCUUCCUGUCACAGCCCGUAUUGCACUCCUUGACACCCGCUUCAAACAAUAUGAGCAGGCUACCAUUGGUACUGUCCUCACCANNNNNNNNNNNNNNNNNNNNNNNNNNNNNNNNNNNNNNNNNNNNNNNNNNNNNNNNNNNNNNNNNNNNNNNNNNNNNNNNNNNNNNNNNNNNNNNNNNNNUUCCCUUGAUGACCCCAACCUUUCCACUUUCUUAAAAAUCCAAGUUCAGAUUCAAGGAGCUGAACAAGUCUCCAGUGCAAAGAUUGCUACCGUCCACCAUCAGUUGGUUUACAGACUUCAGAACCACUCCCUUAUCCUUCCCACACCUCCCGAUCUCAGUUCAGAUACACUCAUGAUCCUUGCUGAAUCUCCAGACAUCCCCACCAUUAUCCAGAUCCCACGACAGAUCCCUCGUGCUGAUCUUCUCAAGAUCAUGCCUCUCGAGUGGAUAACCAACUAUGAGCAUUUCCAUCAAAACACCACUCCUGUUCAAACCUCUGAACCUAUGUAUGAGAAACGGUCUGAUGGUUCUGUUCGCCUUCAGUUCAAACCUCCUCCUUCUGCCCCUGCAGAACCUCCCCGAUUAUCCUUUACCUGCUCCAUGGUCCAACCUGUUGACAUCAUUCCAAAAGUCCUUCCUUCUGGCAAACCAUUACCCAUUAUGUCCUUCACCUCCCAAGGUACUCCUGUUUACCCAGACAAAAUUGAUGGCCAUUUCUUAUGGGAUGUUCCCAGCUCUGGCCGAUGUGAUCCCGGCUGUCCAUGUAAUGAUGAUGAGGAUGAUUAUUCUUCCAGAUCGAAAAGGAAGAAAAUUAUCUAUCCUGCCUGCAAAUUAUAUUUGCCCGAAGAUGAUGAUGAUGAACCCGAUUAUCCACCUCCUUUGCCACUUUACGACAAAGGACUUCAGUGGAUCCAGAAACAUCAGCCCAGAUCAUGCAAACCAGUCCGGUCCUCGGCUGGUCUUCUGCCUACACCUCCUAUGGUGUCCUGCAUGAUGUUCUCAUCUGCCUCUGCCUCAGAUUAUAGUUCUGAGUACCCGCCUCUUGAGAAACGCUCAGACCAAAAGCACCAGGUUUGGAGCAAACCAUUUGUCACCUCUCCUAUUUCCUCCAGUGGACAUCUUGAAGAACCCAAGCCUUCUCUUACUUCCUUACACUCUAAAGUUGAUCAGAUCGCUCACAGAUCCUCUGCUGUUGAAACAAGGGUUACUUCCCUCUCAGACCAGUUGACCAAUUUGUAUAAUAGUCUUCAUACUAAGGUUGCACAGCUUGACCGUGACCUUCGAGCCAUGAUUGCCCGCGGUGAUAAUUCUCAUGAGUUCACUCGAAAAGAGCAAGAAAUCAGACAGCUUCAAGCUGAAAUUGCCAGAAUUGAUGCUGACAACCAACGGCGUCAAGCAGUUCAUACUGCUCCCCUAUCCUAUUUUCCCACAGAACCAUAUCACCCUCUCAGGUCCUUUUUCCCUACUACUCCAAGGGAUUAUACUCCUGAGAAAGUCUUUCCCAUGACCUACCACUUGAACCCUCAACCUGCAAAACCUAAACCUCGACCUCCUCGACGCCCUGUUCCACCUCCUACAGUGUCUAUCCCUCCUCCAGUUCGUCCUAUGUAUUCAAACGCUAUCCAAAAACCCCUUCAGAUACAUGAACCAGUAUUCCCUGACCUUCCAUCUACCUCAGCCUUACCUCCAUUUCUGAAAUCUCCUUCUAAAGCCGAACAAAAGAAGCCUACUGAGACUUACCUUAUCACUGCACCAGACCUUGACCAGCUUCACCGAUCCUCAGAAGAAUCCAGUCCCUCUGAUUCAGUCGACACCUUUGAUUCUAUCACUGAGACUUUUGAGCCCCAUAGUUUCAGUUCCGAUGAAUCCCAACAGCACUUGACUGAUAUUUCUCGUCUUCUUAUGGCGGAUCAUGCUGAGUCUACCACUACUGAUCCCCCUCCUCGGGAACCUGGCCAACCCUAUGUUGACAUUCCUUCCGAUGUUGAAGGAGAAAAUGAAGGAGACAACUCUAAUCCUCCUCCACGAAUUCGAACUAAAGUUGCCCCUGGCGCUGGACCAUGGUUUACCUUUGAUGAUCUUCCACCGGCUCGGUGGCGUGAACGUCUCCAGGAACUCUCUGCCUGGUUAGAUCUACAGAUGGUUAAACCUGAUGCAGAAAUCUCUACAGUUCUUAAAGAAUUUGUCUCCCGAUUUACUGGCUCUCUCCGUGAUUGGUUUGACAGUCUCGGACAAUACAGACAAUUACUAUAUCUCCAGCACCCUACUGUCUAUGCUGCUCUCAUGGACAUUCAUUCCCAGUUUCUUGGAGAACCUGCAGCUAUCUUUGCCACUGCUCGUAAAGAAUAUCUCCAAAUGAGAUGUUGCUCGAUGCAGAGAUCUGACCUGCAUUAUCAUUUCAAACGCAUGUCUGCCCUGUUCCAUAAAAUUGGUGGUAUCAAUGACCACACCCUCAAGCAUGUCUUCUUGUCUUCUUUGCCUGAAGAAUUACAACCUGAAAUCCGUCGCCAGAUUGCUAAUGCCCAGCUCGACAUCAAUAAUCUUUCUCUUGGCCGUCUCUUCCAGCUGGCUUUAGUGUCUCUUGAUUACCUCUGUGAUCAGAAGAAAUUCUUCCGAAACCUCAUGAAAGACAAAGAAGGAUUCCAAACCGCCUGCAAGAAACCCUACUUGGAAAUCAAGUGCAAAGACUCUAAGCAUUGUACUUGUCCCUCCACGAAGACACACCACAAAGUCAGGUUUCACAGAAAAUCUUCCAGAACUCCACAGUCACGCCCAUUCCCUAGGCGUCCCAAAAAGAUUCGGUACUUCAGAAGACGACAACCUUCUGAGAUCCUUGACCGACGAAGAACAAAGAGCAGAUGCUUCAUUUGCAAAAAGCUCGGACAUUUUGCUAAAGAAUGCCCUAAGAACCCUAAGCGGUCUCAACGCUUAGUUCAACAGCUUCAAUCCUUACAUCAGUUCUCUCCUGAUACUGACCAAAUUGAGUUUUUAUACUCUGAACAAGAAAGUCCUGAUCCGGAUACAGUUUUUGCCCUUGGCACUUCUGAUUCAGAUUCAGAUUCAACUUCAUCUACUGAACCAGAAGACUAUUCCCCUGUCUUCCACAUCCAGUCAGUACCUUCAUCCUCCACUCAAUUGUCAGUUCAACCCAUUCCUUCCGUCAAAAUCCAAAUCCUGUUAUCCAAAUACAGUCGGCCCAUUCCUGCUAUUGCCUUCAUAGACACUGGCGCUCAGCGCAGUAUUUUAAACCCUGCUAUUUUGCCGCCUGAAACCUGGAUUUCAAAUGAAAAUCAUUUCCGUGCUGCUAGUGGAAAAUUGUUUUCUACAAAGCUCCGCACCAAGUCUAGAAUUGGAAUUCAGCUAUUCCCAAAGCUCACAGUUUGGACCCAUGUAAUCGGGUCUAGCCUACCUGACAAAGAUCUUCUUCUUGGGUUUGAUAUCCUAUUCCAAGCCCAAAAGAUUCAAGUCCUUCCUACUGGUCUCAGAUUCCAGUCCAUGUUCCAACCAUACACAGACCAGCUCAAACUCUAUCAUUUGGCCCAGUCCCCUCCUGAUUAUCAGUCUAUUUCGGCCCAGUUACUAAGGUUUUGUCCUCCAAAUCAUUUGGCCUUUGCCCAUCCACAUCCUCUGUGGAAAAAUCCAGCCCAUUUCGUUAAGCUCCCUUUUAAGCUUAAUGAAGACCUUAAUCCUACCAAAGCAACCCAUCCGGGUAUGCCUCCUUCUGAGCUUCAGUUAGCCCAAACAGAAUGUGCAGAAUUACUCGCCCAAGGCCUCAUUGAGCCCACAACUUCUCCGUGGGCCUGCCAAGCCUUUUAUGUUAAUAAACGUGCCGAAACAUUACGGGGUAAAAAACGUCUUGUUAUUGAUUAUCAGCCUUUAAACCAGUUUUUACAGGAUGAUAAAUUUCCUUUACCUCGAAAAAAUUCCAUCUUUACCUACCUCCAAAAUGCCAGAAUAUUUUCUAAGUUUGACUUAAAGUCUGGGUUUUGGCAGCUGGGUAUUGACCCUGCUGAACGUUAUAAAACUGCAUUCUGUAUUCCCAAUGCCCAUUACCAAUGGACCGUUCUUCCCUUUGGUCUCAAAACUGCACCAUCCAUUUUCCAAAAAGCCAUGACCCAAAUCUUCCAGCCCCUCCUUCACCAUACCCUUGUUUAUAUUGACGAUUUACUUCUGUUUUCAGGUACUCCAGAAGAGCAUCAAGUUUUACUCCAACAAUUCCAUGAUAUCAUAGCUCACUACGGUAUUAUGCUUUCCGACAAAAAGAGUACAAUUGCCACAGAUACCGUAGAAUAUCUCGGUAUGCAGAUAAAGAAUGGAUUCUAUCAGCCUGGACCCCACAUUGCACAAGAAUUACUCCACUUUCCAGAUAAGGAUUUCACAAAGAAACAAGUCCAACAGUUCCUUGGCAUCAUCAACUACAUCCGCGAUUUCCUGCCUCAUGUGGACCAGCAGACAAGUAUACUUUCUGCUUUACUAAAAAAGAAUCCUAUCUCUUGGGAUUCCCGUCACACUACAGCUAUCCAGCGGCUAAAGCAGAUAGCCCAGAAUCCACCACAACUCAAGAUCAUGACAGAUGGCAAACGUAUCCUACAGACUGAUGCUUCAGACACAUCAUGGGGAGCCCUGUUGCUUGAACAGAUCGACAAAAAGGAAUAUCUAAUCGGACAUGCUAGUGGACAUUUUAGUCCAGCCCAGCAGCACUAUCACACGAUCUACAAGGAGAUUCUUGCCGUAAAAAAUGGCAUCAAAAAGUUCGAAUACCACCUCCUUGGCCAUAGAUUCCUGAUCAGAUUGGAUAAUUCCUCUUUCCCUAAAGUCCUCCAGUUUAAAGGUAAAACGAUUCCCAACAGCCAGUUACUUCGGUUGCAGGAAUGGUUUUCCCGAUAUGAAUUUGAUGUUGCACAUAUAAAAGGACAAAAGAACCUCAUUCCAGAUUUCCUAUCUCGCAUUCAGACACCUGCCUCUCCAAUCUUCUACACUUCCCCAGUCUUCCCGAUCUUCAUGGCUACUAGAUCUACUGCUACCUCUCUGCCUUCUAAGGCUCUUACCCAAAAGACCUUCCCACGGCCUGUACAAACUUUUCCUUCCCUCUACCGCCUUCAGGAGUUUGCUAAACAAUUUCUUUUCCGCUACUACAUGAAAGCUUUCUUCCUUGAAGAAAACCCUCACAAUCAGUUCCUCACUUUUCAUCCCGAGAAUCUCUUCCUCACCGGAUUCUUCAUCCCCUCUGUCCGGGAUAUCAGUGACGAUGAACUCUGGUAUUUCUGGUGCUUAACUGCACUCCAUGCAACUCAGUUAAUCAUCCCCUUAGCCUACACAGUCAACACCCUCAAUAAUCCUUCCAAGGCUACUUCUCUGUUAUGGACUCUGUUAGAAUGGUUCUCUCCUAUUCCUCAAUGGAGAUCCCAACUCCAGCAGCUUAGUCACAACCAUCAUCUUUCCACCAUCCCUUCUCAUGAAGCUGAAAAAUUCACAUCCGUGUUCAUAGUUCACCGACCAUAUUUCCGUCACCCAGAGACAGCCGCCUUCUUUGCUCAACCACAAAUCAGCCACUACCACACAACCCCUCAUCCCAGCACACUGGAUCAAGACCCCAUGUUCAAAAAGGCUCUCAUGAAUCAUCUCCUGUCCUUAAAUCAUGUUCCUCCACCACCACAAGACAUCAUCUCCAGUUCCAUUGGACCUCGUCAUGACAUGUUCAUGGUACCUAAUCCUUCUGGUUCUAGCAAAGGUAUUAUUAUCAAAGAAGAACGUCCAGAUACUCCUCCACAGAUUUACUACCAGGAUUCUCAGGAUCCUGAAGAUGACUUUUUACCGCUCAGUCAACUCCUCCAAGAGUUUCAGACUCCACCAGAACAAGGCUAGUCAUCACGAGUCAUUUCACAAUCUGAGCCCAUCAUCACUCAUCCACCAUCACAAUGCAGAUCUCUCUGCAUUCCCGGGAUUGUCCAUGCUAAAGGAUGUCCUCAGUAUGAUGGCCCUACUUAUCUAGAACAGUGCACCUUAUUCUGUGAACCUCAUGGAGCCAAUUGCCACAAAAGCUGCGUCAACUACCGCAGAUUUGAAUCCAGCUCCAGCUCAGAUGAUUACGGGAUGAAUCUAUCCUCUCCGUAAUCUCCGCCGCAUGUCUUGUCUUUUAUGUAAAAGAUAAAGUUAGGGGGUCCUGUCCCUACUUUACUUUAUUAAAGUAGCUUUUAUGUCUUGUCUUUUUAUGUAAAAGAUAAAGUUAGGGGUCCCUAUCCCUACUUUACUUUAUUAAAGUAGCUUUUAUGUCUUGUCUUUUUAUGUAAAAGAUAAAGUUAGGGGUCCCUAUCCCUACUUUACUUUAUUAAAGUUGUUUGCUUUAUGAAAAGAUGAGGGUCCUGUCUCACUUUUCGAAAUUUGGCUUUCUCCCGUUGUAAUCCCUAUAUAAGGGAGCCUCCUCUUAGUUUUUCACUAAGUAAGAGGUGAGCCUUACAGUAAUAUAUUGAGUGUUCUAUUAUCCAUGUCUCUCUAAACUCCUCUUUCUUAAGUUCUAUGGAGCUCUGAAAUAGAUAAGAAAAAGAAUAAGGAAAAUUUUAAAAACGAGUUUGUUCAAAACCAAGUUAGUAUGCUCUACACUUGCCUUUGUAUGAAGGAUCCUGUGUAUCAGAACACUUGAGACGGUCUUUAGCUGUUUUCUUAUCUGGUUUGGUACCCGUUUUAAGCUAAGGAAAGCUGUUUUAGGGUUGUAUAACCUAGCAAAGAAAACUGGUUUGAAAAGUCUCAAGUUAAACGGAGUGGUAUCAGAGUUUGCUUUUUCUUUUCUAGUUUGGCGUGGUGUGCUUUAGUGCUUUCUUGCUUUCAUAAUUAUGUUUCUCCUUUUGUAAAAGAAUUUAACACACAAAUUGCCUUUUACCACACUUAAUUCUCUCUUUCAGUUCUUUAUUGAACUAAAUAAACAAAAUCAAGAAAAAAAAAUUUAGUUUUCUUACAUCAUGUUUCCCUAAAACCUUUUUUAUCUUCUAAGAGUCAAGAAAAUUAUUGGGAAUACUAAGGAUACGUUCAUCUCUAAUUUCAAUACUGAGUAUGCUCUGCACUUGCCUUAAGCCUAAGGAUCCUGUGCAUCAGAAAGGUCCUGUUUUUAUCCUCCAAAAUCGAUUUUUGUAAAACAAAAUUGUUUUCUCACAACGUUCACCCUCUUUGAGGCCGUGAGUGUCGUGUUUUCGGGUGGUAUCGUGAAAAACUAUUUUCACUAUGAUUUUGGAAUUGGAGCUGUCUGUAUUCUCCCAAGCUUUCUAACCAAUCUCGUAAAGAACCCGUUAAACGGGCCAUAAAUUCACGAAGAACAUUUUCUGGAUGGCCAGUAGCUCGCAAGUUCUGGUUUCCAGCCGAUAUAUUUUGUUAUUCUCCUCUGAUCAUAAUAGUCAUCAACAACUCCUUUUGGAUUUCUUUCAUAUUGUGCAGGUUCAUGGAAUCAUGCUUUCUGAAAAGAAAAACAGCAUAGCGAAAGAAUCUAUUGACUUUCUUGGCAUGGUGAUCACAAAUGGCCACUACCAACCUGACCUGCACAUUGCCACUUGUGUAGUUGUACGUGGCGUUGUUACACCAGAUCUAUGACAGAUCAAAGUCUGCCCUUAGGACCAGUAGCCCGCAAGUUCUGGUUUCUAGUCGAUAUACACUUAUCCAUCAAGUACCAAAUCUGAAAAUCAUAGUGAAAACAAUUUUUUCACGAUACCACCCGAAAACACGGCACUCACGACCUCAAAGAGGGUGAACGUUGUGAGAAAACAAUUUUGUUUUACAACAAUCGAUUUUGGAGGAUAAAAACAGGACCUUUCUGAUGCACAGGAUCCUUAGGCUUAAGGCAAGUGCAGAGCAUACUCAGUAUUAAAAUUAGAGAUGAACGUAUCCUUAGUAUUCCCAAUAAUUUUCUGGAUGGGCAUUGGGUUUGGUUCCUUGGAGAUCAAUCCAUACAGCAAAUUCUCGAAGACGAGAAGGCCAUUUGUGACGUGGAAUGUCAUGAAAUGUAAACCAAGAUGCUGAGGAAGGUUUGGUAGAAUGGUCAGUAACCGGUGCAGGCAUUUGUGGAACCGGUUUUGUUGGAGCUUGUGUUUGAUCAUCAGAAGAACUGUCUUCUACAAUAGGUGUUGUAGUUGAGGCACUUGGGUCUUCAGUUUUGGUUGCCAUCAGUAUGCUUGUAAGAUCAGUAUAUUCAGAUUCAGAAUCAGUGGAAGUAUGGGCUGUGUUUAGGGAUGAGGAAGAGGAAGAUGAAGAGGAGUCUGAAUGAUUAGAGUCAUAUAAUGGUAAGGAUUCAUAUGCAGAGGAAAAGGAGUCUUGGGCUUGAACUGUAUGGUAAUGAUAUUGAUCCAUUGGACCUUUGUCCUUUUUAGGAGGUUCUGGAGUGGCUUUUGGCGAACCUUCAGGAGGUAUUGGAGAAGAAGGAGAAGCCUUUGAUUGUGGCUCUGUGAUUUUGACCUUGGAUUUUGAUUUUUUGGGUGAAGAUGGUUUAGGUUGAGGGGUUGGUUGGAGAUGUGAGAAUCCAAAGAACUGGUUGUAAACAGGCGGUUGAGGUCUGGAUGGUGUGUAGAAAGGUGCAUAAGUGUCAAAUAUUGGAGUGGGCAUUGGUGUGGACGCUGUGUGGGUGAAAAGUGAUGGCUGGGUUUUUUCAGUAUCAAUUUUGGCUAGCUCAGCUUUGAGUCUUCUUAUCUCUGCUUCUUUUUUGUUGAAUUCUGGACCCCAUAGGUGAUUGUUGAUCAUUCGGCUGAGAUCUGUGUCGAGCUCAGAGAUUCUAUCCUGAAGAUGUAUGUACAUCUAAUCAAGACGAUUGUUGAUCGAAUCCACCUUGUUUUCAAUCUGGGAGACUUGACUGGCUACUUGGUCAAUUUUCAUUCCAAGUUGGUGGAGGGUUUGAUUCUGAGCACUGGCCUUUUUGGUUUGCCAGUUGAGAAUAGCUUCAUACUGUUUGGGCUCUUUAGGUUGGCCAGAGGCAGUAACAGGAGAUUGGACAUAAGGUUUUGAGAUGACUCUGGUUUGUGUAUCUGCCUAUCUUUCAAGCAGAGAAAAAGAUUCUUCAUAAGAUUGCCUUGAAAACAUUAGGCAUGAUCUGAUUGGUUGCACAGGAGGUUUUGGGUCUGGUGGAGGUUGUUGAGGGAAAGGUUUACAAGAUGUCUUGGGAAAAGAAUCUUUUUUCUUUUUCUUUUUUCUUCAUCGUAUUUCCUCAAGUUCAUCAUCAAUAUCCAUAUCAUCCAAACAAGGACAAUCCGGAUUGCACAUAUGGGCUUCAGGAACAUCCCAUAGAAAGUGACCAUUGAGUUUGUCAGGGUGCACAUCAUACCCUUCAGAAGAAAAACCAUGGAUUGGAAGGUUCUUUUCCUCACCAGUUUGAACUGCAGUAAUCAUUGUAGUGUAGGAAAGCCUUGGAGUUUCUGAAACUUGAUUGGGAGUUUGAAAAGAUAGUUUGACUUGGCCAUUGUGUCGUCUUUCAAAUGUGGCUUCUGUUGUUUGAACUGGUUCAGAGUUUUGAUGGAAAUGCUCAUAAUUGGUCAGCCAUUCAAGAGGCAUGAGUGUGAGCAAUUCUUGUUUCUAAAUCUGUUUAAGAAUCUGGAUGAUGGUUGGAAUUGUAUCGGUGUCAGCAAGGAUCAUCAUGGCAUCUGAUAUAGUAUGGGGUGUAGGUAGGUCUAGUGCAUGAUUUUGUAAUCGAUACACUAUUUGGUGAUGGAGGGUUGCAAUCUUGGAUGUGGGUGUUUGUUCUACUCCUUGGAGCUGGAUCUGGACCUUAAUGGUUAUAGGCAAGUUUGGAUCCUCAAGAGAGAGGUUGAAGUUUGGGUAAAAGGUUAACAAAACACUACCAGCAUGGAGUGUUGUCAGGACGGCUCCUAUAACAAUGUGUUGAUACUGUUUGAACCUAGUAUCUAGGAGAGAAAUUAUGGCUGUGACUGGCAAGCCUUUUAUGCCAUGGAGGGUAAGAAUCAAUCUAACACCACCAAGAUGGAGAUGCGCAUACCCUUCGCGUUUCCAAUUUGCUACAAGAUAUGGAGGGAUUUCUAAAGUGACAUAUUGUUCACUUUGAGAGGCUUGUAACGCACACUGAUCUAAUUUAGAAGACUGGAUGUAUUCUUUUGGAAGUGGUCUUUUGGUAGAGAUGAGGGUAUGGAUACUUCUGGUGAAAGAAGUUUUCUGUUUGUAGAGGUUGUAGGGACUCAUGACGGGAAACUGAGAUUCAUUGAUUUGAGCAGAUUCAAGGAUAUAGGAAUAUUCAAUAAGAUUUUCUAUUUUAGAGGUACCUUGCUUUUGACAAGAUUUGGGGAGUGAUAGAGUAGAGGAAAGAGAAAUAUGAGAUGAGGAAGAAGAAGGAGUUCAGGAAGAAGUUGAAGUCAUUUCCAUAUUUUGAAAUCUUCUUCUAGGAAAUCAAAGAAAGAUUAUUCAGAAAUUCUAAUGAUACCACCUCUGCGUGGGACAUUUGGCUCUGAUACCACUUGGGUAGUUGUACGUGGUGUUGUUACACUAAAUCUAUGAUAGAUCAAAGUCUACCCUUAGGGCCAGUAGCCCGCAAGUUCUGAUUUUCAGCCGAUAUACACUUAUCCAUCAAGCACCAAAUUCGAAAAUUAUAGUGAAAAUAGUUUUUCACUAUACCACCUGAAAACACGGCACUCACAGCCUCAAAGAGGGUGAACGUUGUGAGAAAACAAUUUUGUUUUACAACAAUCAAUUUUGGAGGAUAAAAACAGGACCUUUCUGAUGCAUAGGAUCCUUAGGUUUAAGGCAAGUGCAGAGCAUACUCAGUAUUGAAAUUAGAGAUGAACGUAUACUUAGUAUUCCCAAUAAUUUUCUUGACUCCUAGAAGAUAGAAAAGGUUUUAGAGAAACAUGAUGUAAGAAAACUGAAUUUUAUUCCUGAUUAACUCUUGUCUUACAAAAGAGAAGAGAGAUCCUUAUGUAGAGAUUUCGAUGAGGAAAGAGAAAAGGUGGGACCCUUUUCUUUUACAAAAGGAGAAACAUAAUUAUGAAAGAAAGAAAGCACUAAAGCACACCACGCCAAACUAGAAAAGCAAAAGCAAACUUUAAUAAAGUAAAAGCUAAAGCAUCACGUGCUUAUCAGUGAUUACAGAGUAGAGGGACAUCUGGAUGGAGACACAUCACCGGUCUCUUUUUUAUAAUGACGCUGGGCUCGGUACAUCCGUCUUUGGUCAAGAUAAGCUUUAGCUUGCAGAUAUUUGUCUUCAUCUACGUUGGUCAUUUUUUAUGUGGAAGGACCAGGAGAGUAUGGAUUGGUGACAGUGUAGGGGGUAUUUUCAGUGUGGAGAAGAGACUGAAGACAAGAAUCCCAUGUGGACUUGAACUUGAACCUGGAGUACAGGCCUAUGUCUUUGGAACUAUUUCCAAGCUGUGUGACAGUCCGACAGAGGUGUGGUGGAUGUUUGUGGCAGGUGGUUGAAGUUCUGAAGGAAGUGAAGCGAUGAUGACAUGCUUGAGGGACGGUUCAUUGAAGCCGUUCAGCUUGUAAAUAGAAUACUCAUUAGUUUGUAAUGAGAUUCUAAAAGACGCCUUUUGAGAGAAUAGCAUUUCAUCUGGUGAUAUUCUUUUCGAUCUGCUUCUUUGGAAGCUGUCUGUUCACCUAUGAACUGUUCAUGGAUGAUGUUGAGAGUUGUGCCAAUGGUGGAUUGCAUGAAUUGGAGCUGUCUGUAUUCUCCCAAGCUUUCUAACCAAUCUUGUAAAGUACCCGUUGAACAGGCCAUAAAUUCAUGAAGAACAUUUUCUGGACAGAACUCAAGAAGUUUUUGUGAAAUAUGACUGUAUGGAGUUGGGACAUCAGUAAGUGUAUACAGAUGAAGCAUAUCUGUAUAAGGCAAGAACAUCUGUUUGUAGCAAAUUCCAGAACUAGUAAUGAAUAGAUUUUUGACCAAAUGAAGGAUAUCAAAACCUAUGAGCAAGUCUUUAUCUGGAAGAGUGGAUGCUACAAUCUUUUUCUAAAUAAUGCAAUUCGGAAUGAACUGAUUACCAAUGGGUUUUUUGGUAAUCAGAGUUGUUUCAAAUGUCCCGCAAUUAAUGGCUAUGAAUAAUUUGGAAUGGUUUUCCCAACAGUCUGAGGGAAGGACAAAAGGAUCAAUCAUAUUGGUAUCUGCACCAGUGUCUAUAACCCGAUGACAAGAACAAGUUUAUGAAACUUUGAAGGAAGGAUUGACAUUUUGAGAGAAGGUCUGAGAAUGGUUGAAACCUGGUUGACAUUUUGAACUGUAGAAAUGACUGAAAUAUCAUCAGAAUCGGAAGAUUCUGCAAGGAUGAAAGCAGUCUGAUCAUUUUGUUCUGACUGUUCUGAGAAGUUGGAUUCAACAUCUUCGUUUUCAGAUAACAAUGAAGAAUGUUGGAGAUGUUGUAUGAGAUGAACAGUUUUGGUAGAUUUAUAAGGACAGAUUCAAGCAAAGUGACCGCGUUUUUUACAGAUGAAACAACGGUUAUGCUUCUUUUUUCUAUACUGAGAAACAUCUUUUUUCUUGAAAUACCGGAAAGGCUUUUUGGAGGAUGAUUUUUUGUGGAAGUGUUUCUGAAAGUGUUUUUUCUUCUUGGUCGGACAAAAACAUUUCUUCUCAUCUUUGCAUUCAAUUUGGAGAUAGGGUUUUUUGCAAGCUUCAGAAAAGGGUUUUUUAUCUGCCAUGAGAUCUUUGAAGAACUCUUUCUGUCCACAAAUUUUGUCAAGGCAUAACAUUGCUGUUUGAAAAAUCUUUCCAAGAGAAAUGUCAGCUAUGCUGAGAUUUGUGGCAUUAGGAGCCAUUGGUUGUUUCCCCUUUUGUAGAUUGGCUAUGGCAGUGUCUUGCCUCUCCAAUUUGUCACAGAUCUCUCCAAACAUCAUAUUCAUGUGCUCAAAUUGUUGUUGCAUGAUUGAUUGGUCUAUAACUUCUUGAUAUUUUGACAUAUUUGUGAUCUGAAAAGAAUGUUAGCAAAAAGACCUCACAACACUCCCUCACGUGUUUCGCUCAAUUUGAUGUCACUUAACUCUCGUGUUUAACACACAAAUUGGCUUUUACCCUCUAAUGAUCUCACAAACUUUUUUUUUAUUUACCACACUUAAUUCUCUCUUUCAGUUCUUUAUUGAACUAAAUAAACAAAAUCAAGAAAAACCCAAGUGGCACCCCAAAUAUGACAAACCAAGACACCAAACAAAGAAAAGGAAUUAAGAGGACACAAAGAACCACAAAGGAAAUUGAUGAAAAGAAAGCAAGAAAGCAAAGGAACACAAUUGAUAUUGUGUGUAAACAAUGUCAAGGAAAAUGAAUAGCAAUCUGUUUUUUUUUGUACGUUUUUUUUCUUUUUUUUUUAUAAUCAAAAUAAAUAAGACAUUCAAACCUGAUUAGAAACUAGCUCUGAUACCAAAUAAUGCGAAUCCCACAAUGAAACUUUCAAACCCACACUUAAUUUGUAGUUUCAACUUCCCAAGAAAGUUCUAAACAUAUUCAAGACAAACAAAACAUUGACCCAAUGCUUAAGAAAACAUGAACCAAAGGUAUAGAGAAUGAUAUUGACGCCACACUCAAGAAAUAUAUGAGAAGGUGAGUGCAUCCAACUUCCUUUUCUAAAACAAAGUCUCGGAAAUGGAAGAAAUCAUACAGAUUCUUUAGAAAAAGAUGUUUCUCUUCCAAAGAAUAGGGCAGAAAAAAAUCUAGCAGAUGCUUUAUUUGCAGGAAAAAAGGCCACUAUGCAAAAGAUCAUCCAAACAAAAAAGAAAAGGCAAUCAGAUUGGUAAAGUAUUUACAAGCUGUUACUGAGUAUUCUACUGAAAAGGAAGAAGUAGAAUCUUACUUCUGAGAACAAAAAGACCCUAUUGAUGAGACAGUGUUUGAACUGGAAAACUCAUCUGAUGAUUCAGAAAACGAUGAGUUUCAAUCCAUUUUUCAUCAACAAUCAUUGUCCCUAGGCACUACCAUUCCAAUUCCCUCCAUUUUUCAAAAAGCCAUGCUCAAAAUCUUUCAACCCAUCCUGCAUCAUGCAUUGAUUUAUAUUGAUGAUAUUUUGUUGUUUUUAGGCACACAUGAAGAACAAAUAUUAAAUCAAUUUUUUAAUAUCAUCCACAUUUACAGAAUUAUGUUAUCAGCUAAGAAAAGCAUCAUUGCAACAAAUAAUAUUGAAUUCCUUGACAUGAUUAUCAAAGACAGACACUACCAACCAGGAAAACACAUUGCCCAAGAAUUACUCCCCUUUCCAGAUCAACAACUCACCAGGAAACAAAUACAGCAAUUCCUUGGCAUCAUCAAUUACAUCAGAGACUUUAUUCCUCAUGUCGAUCACCAUACCAAUAAGCUUUCAGUUUUUUUUUUUUUUAAAAAGCCACCAGAAUGGAAUGAUAACCACACACUUGCUGUCACCACUUUAAAAAUGAUUGCUAAAAAUCCGCCACCAUUAAAGCUCAUCACAGAUGGCAAACAGAUACUCCAGACAGAUGCAAGUAACGAAUCAUGGGGUGCUAUUCUUCUCGAAGAAAUAAAAGGCAAAGAAAGCUUUAUUGCGUAUGCUAGCGGACAUUUCUCUGACACACAACAGCACUACCACAGUGUGUACAAAGAAAUCUUAACUAUAAAGAAUAGUAUCAAGAAAUUUGAAUACCAUCUUAUCGGCUAUCAUUUUCUUAUCUGAAUGGACAGCUCAACAUUUCCCAACAUCAUGAAUUUCAAGGGGAAAACAGUUCCAGAAAAGAUGUUGCUCAGGCUCAAAAACUGGUUCUCAAAAUAUGACUUCUCUGUGAAGCAUAUAAAAGGAACCCAUAACCUCAUUCCAGACCUACUCUCAAGACUUGCAAAACCAAUAUCACCUUUGCAUUACAUAUCCACAGGAUAUCACUUUCCCAUCACUUUCAUGGCUACCUCUCUACCAAACCAAGCCUUAACCCACAAGACUUUCCCUCUCGGAAAAACCUUUUCCAUAGUUUUUUACAUCCAAGAAUUUGCAAAAAGAUAUGUUUUUAGGUUUUUCAUGAAAGCCUACAUGUUAGCAGAUUCAUUUCCUUUCUCAACUUUCCACCCUGAAAACUUGUUUCUCACAGGUCUAAACAUUGACCCUUCCAGAGAUGUGACUGAAGAUGAGUUUGGUACAUCUGGUGCCUAACUGUUCUUUACACCACAAAGUUAAUUCUCCCUGUUAGACCUACCCUGAAUCAUCUCAUGAAUCAUGACAAAUCAACCUCAUUGACCUGGACCCUUCUUGAGUGGUUCUCUCCACUUCCCUGGUGGAGAAGAAAGUUACAACAACUAUCAACGGUCUACAAUCUUAAUCCAAUGCCUGAAUCAAAAUCAAAUAUGUUCACCUCAGUGUUCACUAUCCACAGCCCAUAUUUCCAGCAUUCAAACACCAACUCUUUUUGGACUCAAGACCAAGUGUUCGAAUGGUUCACAACACCACACCCAGCGAUCCUUAAACAAGACAAUAGCUUCUAGAAAAACAUUCAAAAUUUCCUUUGCCACCUCAAUCAUCAACCUGAACCAUAUAAAGACAUAUUCCAUAUGUCUUUAGGUCUAAAACAUGACAUCAUUAUGAUUCUAACUCCUUCGUCCAUUUCAAAACCAAAACCCACAGGUAUCAUCAUCAAAGAAGAAAAAUUGAAUUUUACAGAUUUCUUAUUCCAAGACGCUCAAGACCCUUGGACUGACUUCCUACCCUUAAGCCAACAUCUCCAACAGCUCCAAGAUCCAUCGCUACUGGAAGAACUUUCAUUAUCCAGAGCUAGUGCCAGCAUUUGUCCACCUAACGUUCAGCCACCCAAUCAAAUGGUGAUAUUCCCCUCAGAUUGUCCAAAAGCACAACAUUGCCCAUGGCCACCAUGUGGUCCCACCUGCAAGCAUCCAAAGAAAAAGUUAGCAAAAGACGACACAGAUAGCUCCUCUGACGAAGAUUACAUGACUCUUUCGUCCCCAUAGCUAUUGAUACGAAUUUCCCAUAAUGAAACUUUGAAACUCACACUUAAAUUGUAGUUUCAACUUUCCAAGAAAGUUCUAAACAGAUUUAUGAGAAACAAAAUCUUGACCCAAUGCUUAAGAAAAGCAUGAAUCAAAGGUAUAGAGAAUGAUAUUGAUGCCACACUCAAGAAAUAGAUGAGAGGGUGAGUGAUAAGUCUAAAUUUGGAACGCCACAAGAAUGCAAAUUCUUGAUAAGUUCACUAGUUCUCAAAAGAACCAAAGCAAGAAUAAUCUUUCUAAUUCAAAUAAUAUUAAUCUCUUAAUUAUCAUACAUAGCAAGGUUCCUGAGUUUAAAUAGACUAAAAGAAACCCAAGAUCCUAAAAAUACAAAUGGAAACAUUGGAACAACCCUCCAAGUAUAGGUUUGUCAAAGGGUGCUUUAAAAGCCUUCACCAACCCACUAUUAUUAAUGAUAGACUUACCUAACACAUUGAUAAACUUGACACAAAACAAAUAAAUGAAGUUGAAUAAUCAAAGGAGUCGUUUGAAUUCCCAAGCCUGAACAAGCUAUAAUAAAUUGAUCAUAACGCCUUCUAGAGAACUCCAAAUCCAGUUCUGUAAAAUGCAUUGGAAAGCUAACUUAAUUAUCUUUCCAAUGGUAUAUAGCUUGCACAUUAAUUAUGGCUCAAUCAAUACCAGAUUUAUUCCGAAUUUGCCCUUUCUGCAUUGGAUCCAAAUUGUGUAUUUGGCUGCCCAAUAGCUUGAAUAAUGCCCACAAUGCCUUGUCUUCUCUCCAAGCCCAAUUCAUGAUGUCUUGCAUCUUGAAUUACAUUUUCAAUCCAUAUUUUCUCAAUUAAUCCAUUUUAUGCAACUUGUAUCUUUUUGGCUCUAGCUCUUGUAAUUGGGCCUCCAUGAAUGUGCAAAGGAUCACUUGAAGCUUUAAUGGUAUUCCCUUGAUGGUUCUCAUCAUUCUCCCCCCCCCCCUCUCUUCAAAAGGAUUCGUCCUCGAAUCUUCACCUACAUCGAAAGGAGAAAGAUCAGAAACAUUAAAAGUAGCACUUACAUUAUACUCACUAGGAAGAUCCAAUUUGUAGGCAUUGUCAUUGAUCCAUGCAACCACUUGAAAUGGACCAUCUCCCCUUGGAAUCAACUGGGAACGCCUUUGUGCUGGGAACCUCUCCUUUCUCAUAUGCAACCAAACCCAAUCUCCAGGCUGAAAAACCACUUGCUUACAUCCUUUGUUGGCUUGAGUAGCAUAUUGUUCAGUUCUCUUUUCUAUGUGUUGUCGCGUUCUCUCAUGCAAUUGCUUGACAAAUUUAGCUUUCUUUUUACCAUCCAUACUAGCAUGCUCAUCAAUAGGUAAAGGUAAUAAAUCCAAGGGAGUUAAUGGAUUAAAACCAUAUACAAUCUCAAAUGGUGAAAAUUUAGUAGCUGAAUGGACAGUUCUAUUGUAAGCAAAUUCAACAUGUGGCAAACAUUCUUCCCAAGUUUUUAAGUUCUUUUGAAUAAUGGCUUGCAACAAAAUAGACAGAGUUCUAUUUACAACCUCAGUUUGUCCAUUAGUUUGUGGACGACAAGUAGUAGAAAACAAAAGUUUAGUACCAACUUACCCCACAAAGUUUUCCAAAAGUGGCUCAAGAACUUAGCAUCUCGAUCUGAAACUAUGCUCCUUGGUACUCCAUGCAAUCUGACUAUUUCCUUGAAAAAUAAAUUAGCUAUGUUUGUUGCAUCAUUAGUUUUGUGACAUGGAAUGAAAUGUGCCAUCUUUGAAAAUCUAUUAACAACAACAAAAACAGAAUCCUUUCCCCUUUUUGACCUAGGUAAACCUAAAACAAAGUCCAUAGAAAUAUCAACCCAAGGUUCACUAGGUAUGGGCAGAGGGUUAUACAAUCUAUGGGGUAAAACUUUAGACUUAGCAUGUUUACAAGUGAUACACUUCUCACAUAUUCUUUCAACAUCACGUUUCAUAUGUGGUCAAAAGAAGUGUUCUUUUAAAACAUCUAAAGUUUUUGCAAUGCCAAAAUGUCCUAUUAAACCUCCCCCAUGAGCUUCACGCACAAGCAAUUCAUGCAAAGAACUAUUAGGCGCACACAAUUUAUUUUCUCUAAAUAAGAACCCAUCAUGCCUAUAGAACUUACCGAAUGAAACUUUCUCACAAGCAUUAAACACAUUAGCAAAAUCAGGAUCAUUAACAUAUAAUUCUUUAAUGUACUCAAAUCCUAACAACUUUGCAUUUAAUGUAGAGAUAAGUGCAUAUCUUCUAGAUAAUGCAUCAGCCACCACAUUCUCCUUACCUUGUUUGUAUUUGAUCACAUAGGGAAAUGGCUCAAUAAAUUCAACCCAUUUGGCAUGUCUCUUAUGCAACUUACCUUGCCCUUUCAAAUGCUUCAAGGACUCAUGAUCAGUGUGUAUAACAAACUCUUUAGGUAGAAGAUAGUGUUGCCAAGUUUCUAAUGCUCUCACCAAUGCAUAUAUCUCCUUGUCAUAUGUAGGAUAGUUUAGGGCUGCUCCACUCAAUUUCUCACUAAAAUAAGCAAUUGGACGCCCUUCUUGCAUCAAAACAGCUCCAAUACCUAUACUUGAAGCAUCACACUCAAUUUCAAAAGUUUUAGCAAAAUCGGGUAAAGCGAGUAAUGGUGCAGAAACCAAUUUCUCCUUAAUUAGAUUAAAUGUCCUUUCUUGUUCACUACCCCACUUAAAUCCCACAUGUUUCUUCAGAAUUUCAGUCAAUGGUGCAGCAAGGGUGCUAAAAUCUUUCACAAAUCUUCUAUAAAAACUAGCCAAACCGUGAAAACUUCUUACCUCACUUACACUUUUAGGUGUAGGCCACUCUUUAAUAGCCUUUACCUUCUCUUCAUUAACCUUAAUUCCUUUAGCACUUACAACAUAACCAAGAAAAACAAUCUGAUUUGUACAAAAGGAACACUUCUUCAAAUUAGCAUAUAACUUUUCCUUCCUUAAAACAGUCAAUAUAGUUUGCAAAUGUUCAAUGUGUUCAUCUAAGCCUUUACUUCGAAUUUACCAAUAAAAGCACGCAAAACAUGGUUCAUUAACCUCAUAAAAGUGCUAAGUUCCUUAGAUAACCCAAAUGGCAUCACUAACCACUCAUAUAAACCAUAUUUUGUUUUAAAGGCAGUUUUCCACUCAUCUCCCUCUCUAAUCCUAACUUGAUGAUAUCCACUUUUAAGAUCAAUUUUACUAAACACACAAGAACCAUGCAGUUCAUCAAGCAUGUCAUCAAGUCUAGGAAUAGGAUGUCGAUACUUUACAGUGAUUUUAUUAAUUGCACGACAGUCAACGCACAUCCUCCAUGUGCCAUCCUUUUUGGGCACUAGUAAAACUGGUACCGCACAUGGACUCAUACUCUCCCUCACAUAUCCCUUUGCCAAGAGUUCUUCAACUUGCUUUUGAAGCUCCUUUGUCUCCUCAGGGUUACUUCUAUAUGUGGGUCUAUUAGGAAUGGUAGCUCUAGGGACUUAAGUCUAUUUGAUACUCAAUUCCCCUAAUAGGUGGCAAACCAUUAGGAACUUCAUUUGGAAACACAUCAUCAAAGUCCUGCAAAAGAGUCACAAUAGCACUUGGCAAAGAAAAGUUAAGCUCAUUUGUAUGUGAACAAGCCUCUUUGCACAAAAGUAUAACGAUAGGCUGUUUUGAAAAGAAAGCCCUCUUAACCUCGCUCUCUUUUGCAAACAAGUUCACUUGCUGCCUCUUUUUUCUCUCAACAAUAUUUUUUUCUAUCUUUUCACUUGUUUUUCUCUCAAUCUCUCUUUCUUUUGUACUCUCAUUUUCAUUUUUUGUAUCACUCUCUUUUUGUAUUGACAUUUGAUCCUCAUACACUUGCCUAGGUGUUAAUGGUGCAAGAGUGAUUUGCCUUUUAUUCAUUACAAAAGAAUAUCUAUUUAAGUAACCAUCAUGUGUCACACGCCUAUCAUAUUGACAAGGUCUCCCCAAAAGAAUGUGUCCAGCAUGCAUGGGUACUACAUCACAUAGAACUUCAUCCUUGUAUCUCCCAAUAGAUAAUGAAACCAGCACUUGUUUAUUUACUUUGACUUCCCCACAAUCAUUCAGCCAUUGUAGCUUAUAUGGCCUAGGAUGUUUCAAAGUUUCAAAUUCAAUUUUUCAACUAAACUAGUGCUAGCCACAUUAGUACAACUUCCACUAUCAAUUGUCAUACUACAUAUCUUAUCUUUGAUGUGGCAUUUAGUAUGAAAGAUGUUAUCACGUUGUACCUCUGCAUCUUCUUUUACUUGCACGUUGAGGGCACGCCUAACAACCAUCAAUUUACCAUCAACAGGAUACUCUACAAAGGUGGCAUUAGCAUCCUCCAAAGGUGGCAUAGGUUCAUCAUCUGAUUCACUCUCGGUUUCAACAUUCCAUCAUCCUUCAAGAUCAUUACUCUCUUAUUUGGGCAUUGAGAUGCAAUAUGACCUAUCCCCAAACAUUUAAAACACUUAAUAUCUCUAUUUCUAGAGUGUUGGGAAUCAGAUUUACCUUUAUGAUCCUUGAAUGGCUCAAUCUUAGGCUUUGAAAUAACCUUUUCAUCUUUGCUCCAUUUUGACUUCCAUGAGGAAGAUGAACCCAAAUUGGUUCUAGUGGAACCUUUCUUUUUCAGUUGUCGUUCCACUUUCAUGGCCAUGUGAACCAUUUCUUCCAACUCAACAUAGUGCUGCAAGUCAACCACAUUAGCAAUAUCUUGAUUUAAACCAUGUAAAAAUCUUGCCAUAGUGGCCUCUCGUUCUUUUUCAAUGUUGGCUCGAAUCAUGAUUAUUUCCAUCUCCUUGUGGUAAUCUUCCACACUUCUGGAACCUUGUGUAAGGCUUUGAAGCCUUUGGUGCAGCUCCCUAUAAUAAUGACUAGGACUAUUCUUCCUCUUGUAUGAUGUUUUCAUCUACUUCUUCAGACUAUUCUUCCUCUUUUCCUCCUUUAGAAACUCACACCGACUUCCAACGCAAUGUUGUGUCCAAACCUUUUAUUCCCUCAGCCAUUACCUCUACCGGCCACUUAGAACCUCCCAAACCUUUUGAAUCAGUCUCAACUAGCAAACCCAAAAUGCCAGAGCACAGAAUGAUACUUUGUUGAAUAUCAAUUCAACAGUUGAGAAAAUCAGUUUGCGCACUGAACAACUUGAGACAAAAGUCGACUCCAUCACUGCACAGAUGCAGCAGAUCCACCAAAAUCUCCAGUCCAGAAUUACUCAACUCGAUUCUGAGUUACGAACCAUGCUUGCCCAGCGCUACUAUGGCCCAGAAUUUGACCAAAAGGAAAGAGAAAUCAGAUGCUUAAAAGCUGAGCUUGAUCAAAUUGAAUUUGAAAAACAAAGACCUACCCUUUUUACCACAUCACCUCCUAUCCCUUCCAUAGGUCCAACAUAUCAUCCAUUUGCCUCUAUGCUUUCCCCCAUCAAAUAGUAUGAUCCUUCCAAGUUAUUUGGCAUGACUCAUACUCUUUUUAUAGACAAUCCCCUACCACCACCACCUAAACCUAAACCAAAGCCUAAACCUCAAUCACGACCCGUCACAAUUCAUCAGUCAUCCAUUUCCAUCCCCGGCCAACACUCUCUUGAUUCACUCUCGGUUUCAACAUUCCAUCAUCCUUCAAGAUCAUUACUCUCUUAUUUGGGCAUUGAGAUGCAAUAUGACCUAUCCCCAAACAUUUAAAACACUUAAUAUCUCUAUUUCUAGAGUGUUGGGAAUCAGAUUUACCUUUAUGAUCCUUGAAUGACUCAAUCUUCGGCUUUGAAAUAACCUUUUCAUCUUUGCUCCAUUUUGACUUCCAUGAGGAAGAUGAACCCAAAUUGGUUCUAGUGGAACCUUUCUUUUUCAGUUGUCGUUCCACUUUCAUGGCCAUGUGAACCAUUUCUUCCAACUCAACAUAGUGCUGCAAGUCAACCACAUUAGCAAUAUCUUGAUUUAAACCAUGUAAAAAUCUUGCCAUAGUAGCCUCUCGUUCUUCUUCAAUGUUGGCUCGAAUCAUGAUUAUUUCCAUCUCCUUGUGGUAAUCUUCCACACUUCUAGAACCUUGUGUAAGACUUUAAAGCCUUUGGUGGAGCUCCCUAUAAUAAUGACUAGGAACAAAUCUCCUCCUCAUGAUGGCCUUCAUCUCCUCCCAAGUGUUUAUAGGCCUUUCACGAUUUCGUCUCCUACUCAUAACAAGUUGAUCCCACCAAAUAAUAGCAUAAUCAAUAAAUUCAAGAGAAAAGGUCAUUUUGCCAAAGAUUGUCCCCACAAGCGAGAAAAAUCUAUUCGGUUAGUUAAGCAUCUUCAAGCCACUACAGAUUACUCUCCAGAAAAGGAUGAACUGGAAUUCUAUUUCUCUGAACAUGAUGAAGCUAAUGAUGAAACAGUGUUCGCACUGCAUAACUCAUCUGAUGACUCCGACAGUGAUCAGUCUCAAGUCAUUUUCCACCAACAGUUACUGUCCCUUGACACUACUGUUCCUAUACCUUCCAUCAAACUUCAGAUCUUGCCCUCAAAAUUCCAAAGGCCCGUUCCAGCAAUUGGUCUCAUAGACAUUGGCGCCCAACGCAGCAUGUUAAACCCACAUAUUCUUCCACCAGAAUACUGGAUAGAAUAUGAAGAACAUUUCAAAGCUGUCAAUGGCAAACUGUUCACCACCUCUCUGAUUACCAAAAAACCCAUUGGUAUUCAAAUUUUCCCCAAUUGUGUCAUUUGGACUAAGAUUAUCGGUUCAACCCUUCCUAAUAAGGAUAUCUUGUUAGGCUUUGACAUCCUUCAUCAAAUCAAACACCUCCAAAUCAUUCCCACUGGAAUUCGAGUCAAAUCCAUGUUCAAACCUUUCACAGACAUUCUGAAACUCUACAAUCUGUCUGAAUCCCCCCAGUCCUACCAGGAUAUUUCAAUCAAACUUUUGAGUUUCUGUCCAGAGUCCCAUUCUGAGUUCACCCAUCCAAACCCAUUGUGGAAAAAUAAGUCUUUCUUCAUUAAGUUACCUUUCAAACUUAAUGAAGACAUUAACCUAACCAAAGCUACUCACCCAAGAAUGAGUCAUUCUGACUUACUCCUAGCCCAACAGGAAUGUUCCCAAUUGUUAGCACAAGGUCUAAUUAAGCCCACGAAUUCUCAAUGGGCUUGCCAAGCCUUUUAUGUUGAAAAGCAUUAUGAAAUUGUUCGAGGAAAGAAACACCUAGUCAUUGAUUACCAGCCAUUAAACAUGUUUUUGCAAGAUGACAAAUUUCCUUUGCCCCGUCGACAAAGCAUGUUUACUUUUCGAAAAAAUGCCCAGAUCUUUUCAAAAUUCGAUUUAAAAUCAAGUUUCUGGCAAUUAGGCAUUGAACCUUUUGAGCGCUACAAAACUGCCUUUUGUAUCCCAAAUGCCCAUUUCCAAUGGACAGUCCUUCCCUUCGGCCUCAAAACUGCCCCAUCCAUUUUUCAAAUAUCCAUGGUCCAAAUCUUCCAGCCUAUCCUGCAUCAUGCAUUGAUUUAUAUUGAUGAUAUCUUACUUUUUUCAGGAUCACAUGAGGAACAUCGCCAGCUGUUAACUCAAUUCUAUGAUAUUGUCCAAAGUCAUGGAAUCAUGUUAUCAGUCAAGAAAAGCACCAUUGCUACAGAUAAUAUUGAAUUCCUUGGUAUGAUCAUAAAAUAUGGCCAUUAUCAGCCAGGAAAACACAUUGCCCAAUAAUUGCUUCACUUUCCCAAUUAGCAACUUUCCAAAAAGCAAGUUCAACAGUUUCUCGGCAUCAUCAAUUACAUCAGAGACUUCAUCCCACAUGUGGAUCAUUACACUCAUCACCUUUCGGCUUUAUUGAAAAAGAAGCCCCCAGAAUGGAAUGCUGACCACACAACUGCUGUCACUACCCUCAAGCAAAUUACGCAAAAUCCGCCUCCUUUAAAGUUGAUUACUGAUGGAAAGCGCAUAUUGCAGACAGCCGCAAGUGAUGAAUCAUGGGGUGCCAUCCUUCUCGAAGAAAUCAAUAGAAAAGAACACUUUAUCGCUUACCCUAGCGGACAAUUUUCUGACACACAGAAGCAUUACCAUAGCGUGUUUAAAGAAAUCUUAGUAGUAAAGAAUGGUAUCAAAAAGUUUAAGUAUCAUUUGAUUGGACACCAUUUUCUCAUCCGAAUGGACAAUUCAGCCUUCCCCAAUAUCCUCAAUUUCAAAGGUAAAACUGUUCCCGAAAAGAUGUUACUCAAAUUAAAAGAUUGGUUUUCCAAAUAUGAUUUUUCGGUUAAGCAUAUAAAAGGGUCCCAGAACCUCAUCCCUAAUAUGCUCUCCAAACUCUCAAAACCAGAAAAACCUCUCACCCUGUUUUCCACAACAUACCACUUUCUGAUCAUCUCCAUAGCUACAUCACUACCUCCAGAAGCCCUCACCAAGAAAACUUUUCCCUUUGCCAAAAACUUUUCUUCUGUUUUUUCCAUCCAAGAGUUUGCAAGGAAAGUUGUUUUUUGCUUCUUCAUGAAAGCGUACCUUGUCACAGACUCCUUUCCAUUUUCCACCUUCCACCUAGAAAAUCUGUUUCUUACAGGUUUAACCCUUGAUCCAUCCAGAGAAACCACUGAAGAUGUGUUUUGGUACAUCUGGUGCCUAACCGUCCUUUAUGCAACCAAGUUAGUCCUACCAAUUACUCCUACUUUGGAACAUCUUCUUAAUCCUGACAAAGCCACCUCUCUUACCUGGACAUUACUUGAAUGGUUUUCCCCCAUCCCAUGGUGGAGAAAGAAGCUACAGCAACUGUCAGAGACUUACAAUCUUGAACGUAUGCUUGCCUCUGAAGCACAACUGUUCACAUCAGUAUUUAUCAUUCACAGGCCAUACUUCCAACAUCUAGACACAAAUCUCUUUUGGACUCAAGACCAGGUCUAUGAAUGGUUUACUGCCCCUCACCCAGCUGUCAUUGACAAUGAAAUCCAAUCCAACCUGCACAACUAUCUGUGUCAAUUAGACCACCAAACUCCACCACACAAAGAUAUCUUCCACACCUCUUUAGGUCCACAACAUGACCUCAUCAUGAUCCCUACUCCAUCCGCCAUAUCCAAACCAAAGUCCAUAGGAAUCAUCAUCAAAGAAGAAAAACCAGACUACACCGAUUUCCUUUACCAAGACUCACAAGACCCGUGGGAAGAAUUCCUUCCCCUCAGCCAACAUCUCCAACAGUUUCCACAACCAACCAUGUAUGACCCAGGAUCAUCAUCUCAACCUUCCAAAGUUGACAAGGCCACUCAAAUGCCAAGUCCUAAGUCCCAAUCAUCACCCUCCAAACCAGGAUGCCGAAAAGAUUACCCUUAUCCACCUUGUCGUGGUCCCCACUGUAAGUAUCCAAAGCUCUCCAAAACCUUUUUUCCACCAACCUCUCGUGACACUGAUCCCGAUGAAACCGACAACUCAUCUGAAGACGACUACAUGAAUCUCCCCUCUCCAUAAAGUAGUUUGUCUUGUUGUAAUAAUUAUGUUUCACUUUAUAUUUUUGUCGUGUAUAAUUAUUAAAGUUUGCUUUUACUUUAAGCUUUACUUUUGUCAAAGUCAUGCUUUACUUUAAUCAUUAAAGCCCACUUUGUCACUUUGUAAUAAUUAAAGUCGUGUCAUGAUGUACCUUUUACUUUUGCUUUUGUAAAAGAUAGGGGUCAUGUUUUAUCUCCCCGAGAAUUCUCCUAUAUAAAGGAUUCUCCCCUCAUUUGUAAGAUAGAGAAGUUUUCCAAGAAAUAAACUCUCGUGUGUUUUCAUAAAACCAUGAAUUUCUAAACUCUCUUCUCUCUUUCUGCAAAUGAAGAUCUAAAGAAAGAAAAAGAAUAAAGAAUUGAAUUUGUUCAUUUUGAAAACUUAAGGAAGUAUGCUUUGCACUUGCCUUCCAGUAAGGAUCCUGUGCAUCAGAAAACUUAUGAUGAUUUCUUGAACGGUUUGGUACCCUGUUUUAAGACUAAGGAAAGUCUAUUUUGGGUUAUAUAACCUCUAAAGAAGCGUUUUAGGUUUUGCUGCACCUAUAUGUAUAUCGGCUGGAAACCAGAACUUGCGGGCUACUGGCCCUAAGGAUAAACUUGUGCUGUCGUAGAUUUGGUAGAACAACGCCACGUACAUUUAUGGUAUUAGAGCCAUUCCAGUCCUUGAAACUUUUAUGUUUUCAAAACUUUUAUUUUUCUACUCAAAAUAGUAUGAUUUAAGUCUUUUUCUGUUUUGAUCUUUCGUCUUUAGGCGCAGAGAGAGAACUUCUCAUUCAUGGCUUCCACUUCCUCUUAAACUCCUGUUACUCUUUCUUCCACUCUUUCUUUACCCAAAUCUUGCACAUCUCAUACCGCCAAUAAGAUCAAAAACCUUGUUGAAUAUUCCCACAUCCCUGAAUCUGCCCAAAUUAGUGAGUCAUCCUACCCUCUCAUCAGCCCUUAUCAGUUGUACAAACGACCCAGCUCCUUUACCCGCAGUAUACGCACCCUCAUCUCUACCCGACGACCUCAACCUAAGGAAUAUAUCCAGUCUUCUCGCUUGGAUCAGUGUGCUCUUCAAGCCACCUCUACUGAGCAAUAUGUCACUCUGGAGAUUCCCUCCGAGUUGCUUUCCAAUUGGAAACGAGAAGGUUAUAUUCAUCUUCAUCUUGGAGGCAUCAGAUUAAUCCUUACUCUUCAUGGAAGAAAAGGAUUACCCGUUACAGCUCGCCUUGCUAUACUUGACACCCGGUUUAAACAGUACCAAGAUGCUGUUAUUGGCACCGUCCUCACAACUCUUCAUGCAGGAAGUGUUUUACUCACCUUUUAUCCAAACUUUAACCUUUUUCUCCAAGACCCCAAUUUGCCCACAACCUUGAAAGUCCAAGUUCAGAUCCAAGGUGCUGAACAAAUUUCUUCUGCCAAAAUUGCCACCUUACACCACCAAUUGGUCUAUAGGCUUCAAAAUCAUGCCGUAGAUCUCCCCACUCCAGAACACCAUUCUGAUACCUUCAUGGUAUUAGUCGAAUCUGACCAGAUCCCAACAAUAAUCCAAAUCCUGAGAUAAAUUCCUCGUCAUGAGCUCAUCAAGCUUAUGCUUCUUGAAUGGAUCUCCAACUAUGAACAUUUCCAUAACAAUACAGCUCCCAUUUAGACAUCUGAAAGCAUGUUUGAAAGACGUCAAGAUGGAACAGUCCGAAUGACUUUUAAACCACCUCCAAGUGCUUCACAAAAGCCUCAUCGGCUCUCCUUUACCUAUUCUUCAAUGAUCACAGCUGUUCAGACAGCCCAAGAAGACCUGCCCAUUACAGGGUUCAAUUCUGAAGGCUACCCUGUUUAUCCAGCAAAGCAAAAUGGACAUUUCCUAUGGGAUGUCCCAGGCUCAGGCAUGUGUGACCCAAAUUGUCCCUAUUGGGAUGAUUGGGAAGAGGACGAUGAUACUUACGCCACCUCAUCUCCUCCCAAGUGUUUAUAGGCCUUUCACGAUUUCUUCUCCUACUCAAAACAAGUUUAUCACACCAAAUAAUAGCAUAAUCAGUAAAUUCAACAGCAGCUAGUUUUACCUUUUUCUCCUCAGAGUAAUUGUGGCAAUCAAAUACUAGCUCCACCAUUUUUUCCCACUCCAAAUAAACUUCCGGAUCAUUUUUACCUUGAAAAGAAGGAAUUUUUAGUUUGAUACUCCCCAAAUCAUGAUCUAUACGUCUUGCCCUUUUAUCAUCUCUUCCACGCAUGUCAGAUGUCAACAGUGGCCUGGUCAUCAAAAUUAUCUAAGUCAUCACCAUCUUCUUCUCCCAUGGCAGCACGCCCUUGAUUACCUCAUACAUCAGGAGCUAUUGGUUGUUGUCCCCUUUGUAGAUUGGCUAUGACAGUGUCUUGCCUCUCCAAUUUGUCAUGGAUCUCUCCAAACAUCAGAUUCAUGCGCUCAAAUUGUUGUUGCAUGGCCUUGAGCAUAAUUGAUUGGCCUAUAGCUUCUUGAUCUUUUGACAUAUUUGUGAUCUGAAAAGAAUGUUAGCAAAAAGGCCUCACAACACUCCCUCGCAUGUUUCACUCAAUUUGAUGUCACUUAACUCUCGUGUUUAACACACAAAUUGGCAAACUAAAAAUGCUAAUGCUUAGAUUCAAACUCUCAAACAACUCAGAAAAAGAAUUGAUUGAGUUGCCAGUCAAGUCUCCCAGACUGAAACUAAAGUUGAUUCAAUUAGCCAUCGUCUUGAUCAGAUGUACAUACAUCUACAAGACCGUAUCUCUGAGUUAGAUGCCGAUCUCAGACGAAUGAUCAAUAAUCAUAUCUAGGGUCCCGAGUUUAACAAGAAAGAAGCAGAGAUCAGAAAGCUCAAAGCUGAAUUGGCAAGAAUUGAUGCUGAAAAGACUCGACCAACACUUUUCACCCAUACACAAUCCACACCUGUGCCUCCUCCUGUGUUUGAAACCUAUUCACCUUUCAUCCAAAUUUCAACCUUUCUCUUAAAGAUCCCAACCUUCUUACAACCAUCAAAGUCCAUAUCCAGCCAGACCCCCACAUCAAAGCUUGCCACUCUUCAUCACCAAAUAGUGUAUCGAUUACAAAAUCAUGCACUAGAUCUUCCUAUACCUUACACCACCAGCUGAUGCCUUAAUGAUCCUUGCUGACACAGACACAAUUCCAACCAUCAUCCAAAUUCCCAAAAAAAUCCAGAAACAAGAAUUGCUCAAACUCAUGCCUCUUGAAUGGCUGACCAAUUAUGAGCACUUCCACCAAAACUUUGAACCAGUUCAAGCAACAGACGCCACGUUUGAAAGACGACAAAAUGGUCAAGUCAAACUAUCUUUUCAAACACCCGAGCCUCAACCUGUUUCAGUAACUCCAAGGCUUUCUGGCACUGCUAUGAUUACAGCAGUCCAAACUGGUCAAGAAAAGAAACUUGCAAUUCAUGGUUUCUCAUCCAAAGGGUAUCUUGUAUAUCCUGAUAAAAUCAAUGGUCAUUUUCUAUAGGAUGUUCCUGAUGCCCAUAUUUGUAAUCCAGAUUGUCCUUGCUUAGAUGAUAUGAAUAUUGAAGAUGAACUCGAAGUCAUGCGAAGAAAGAAAAAGAAAAAGAAAAAACCUUCUCAUUCAAAAACAUCUUGCAAAUCUUUUCCUCCACUAUCUCCACCAGAUCCCAAACCUCCUGUUCAACCAAUAAGAUCAUUCCUAAUGAUUUCAAAUCAAUCUUAUGAAGAGUCCUUCCCUCUACUUGAAAAGCAGAAUAUGCUAACAUUACGAGCAUAUUGAUGGCAACUAAAACUGAAGAUCCCAAUGCUUCAACUUCUACACCAAUUGUUGAAGACCAUUCUUCUGAUGAUGAGCAUAAAGCAUCUCACACAGAACCAGUGCCACCUAUGCCACCACCAGCUCAUGAUCACUCCACAAAACCAUCUUCAGCAUCUUGGUUCACAUUUGAUGACAUUCCCCGUCACAGAUGACCUGCUAGACUUCAAGAAUUUGCUGCAUGGAUUGAUCUCUAAGGAAUAAGGCCAACUGCUCAAUCUCAAGCUGUCCUUCGCGAAUUAAUGGCCCGAUCUACGAGUUCUUUGAGAGAUUGGUUAGAAAGCUUGGGAGAAUAUAGACAACUCCAAUUCAUGCAAUCACCUGUUGGCACCGCACUCAACAUCAUCCAUGAACAAUUCAUUGGUGAAAAAACAGCAUCUACCGAUGCAGACAGAAAAGAGUAUCAUCAAAUGAAGUGAUGUUCUCUCAAAAGACAUCUUUUGGAAUCUCAUUACAAAAGAAUGAGUAUUCUAUUUUAAAAGCUGAAUGGGUUUGAUUAGGAAUUCCAAAUAAUCUUAUUUGAUCUCCUAGAAGAAGAUUACCUAAACAUGGAAACAACUUUAUCUUCAGCCUCAACACCUUCAUCAUCUUCAUCCCAUAUUUCUCUUUCCUCCAGUUUCUCUCUUCCAAGAUCAUGUCAAAAACAUGUAGCCUCUAAAAUUGAAAACCUUGUCGAAUAUUCUUAUAUUCUCAAAUCUGCCCAAAUCAAUGAAUCACAGUUUCCUAUCAUGAGUCCCUACAACCUCUACAAACAAAAAAGCUUCUCUCACCAGAAGUAUUAGAAACCUCAUCUCCACAAAAAGACCACUCCCGAAAGAGUAUAUCCAGUCUUCUAGACUCGAUCAGUGUGCUUUACAAGCCUCUCCAAGUGAACAGUAUGUCACUUUAGAAAUACCCUCAGAUCUUGUAGCAAACUGGAAACGAGAAGGGUAUACCCAUUGUUGUGCAAAUUUUAUUGAACUCGCAAGUGCAGGAAUCUAUUGUAGUAUAGAUCAAUGAUGACGAGUGUCGAUCCCACGAGGAGGUGGAUUUUAAUUGUGUGUAGAAUUAAUUUUUCUAAAUGGGUGGUUGGCUUUGUGGUGAAAAUAAUUUGGAUUAUCUUAAAAUUGGAAUUUAAAUGGCAAGAAUAAAUUGAAUAGAAAUCUAUUAAAAUGGCGUACUUGGGUAUCUGGAUCCAUAUUAACAUGCAUCAUGGGCUAAAUAUUCCUUAUUAAUACCAAUUAAAUCAUAGGGGGGGGGAAUCCACACCUCAUGAACCACACUCUAAUCAAUAUGGUGCUAAGGGCUUGUCGUGCCAAAUAAUAAUAACCUUGUACUAGAGAGUCGGUGUAACCAAUGCGCUAUCUAGACAAGAUUAUUAUUAUUUGUAGACGAGAAGUCAAAACAUCUACAAAAACUAGAGGGGAAGAGAAAAUAAAUUUACCAAAUAAAGCCCAUGACACAUGUUGAGACUUCACCUUCAACCCAAGCUUGAAAGAAAAUUAGCUACUCAUAAUUGAACUAGGGACAAAAUGAGAAUUUAUUAAAAUACGUAGAAAAUACAAGAUGGAGAAGGAAUUACAGAAAAUGGAUCUAAAAAAUAGAUUCAGAGCUAUCAAAUUAGGGCGGGAAGACCCCCUUUUUAUAGAUACAUGGAGUAAAUCAUGGCCAUCGAAUUAAAAAUAGUUUGGACGCUCAGGAUUGCGCCACGUCAUCAGUCAACAGUACGCGGUUUGACCACGUGGAUGAACAGUAACACGGUUUGACCCGGCUUGAACAGUGACGCGGUUUGGUUGAAAAUAAUCUGUAUGAUGCAUCUGUCGUACGCGAGAUUUUUAGUCCACUGAUAUGCUGCCACGUCACCAUCAAUAGUACAUAAGAAUUUUAGCCCAACAGGAUCGUGACACCUUAUCAGUCAAUGCCACAUCAUCGGUCAAUGCCACAUCAUCGAUCCGUCUAUGUGAACAGUGUCAUGAACAGUAACAUAGACAAUACCGUACACGUGAAUAGUACCGUACAUGUGAAUAGUAUCAUUUUUCCUUUUAUGCUUCUUCUAAGGUUUUCGAACGUCCUGAGUUCAAAAGUGAUGUCCGUUUUUCCAUCUGAUCUCUCGUUUAUUGUGAAAUGACCAUGAUGCCCCUAAAAUACAUAAAAUACUUAAUUAAAAUCAAACACACAUAAUUAAAUUGCAAGAAGCUAAAAUACAUAAAAGUAAGGGUUGUUAGUAAAACUUGAAAUGUAAAAUGAUGAUUUUCUCCUUUAUAAAUAUACAUUUUCUAACACUCAACACACCCCCCAACCAGCUUAUUGCUAGUCCCUAGCAAAUAAAGUGAAAACAAAAUUCACAUCCAAAAUGAUUUUUUUUUUUUAAACACUCUUGUUUAUUCAAUCAGACUAAUGAUAACAAUCAAAUAAAAGUAUAAGCAUUAUCUCAAGUCUAAUGAAAUAUUACACCAACAUCAACCAUCUACAUGAAUCAGCCCAGUAGACUUUGUCAUAGCUACCUUCAAGAAUGACAUGUCAAACCCCAAAAUCUCACUGGAAGUAGUGACACUCUCACAAAGAAAUUAAACCCAAUAAAAAUAGUCACUCCAAUGAAUGGUAAUUGAGAGAAAAUAAUCAAGAAGUGAUAUCACAUGCUCUUACCAAGAUUAAAUAAAUAUGCCCUCAACUUAGAAAUAAUACGAUCUCAAGUCAAACAAAAAUGCUAGUCAACCCAAUUUAUUUAUCUUUUUUUUCUUUUAUAUAUAUAUAUAUAUAUAUGCACUACUACAUCUUUUUAGCCCAUAUAACUAACUUCUAAUUCAGACUAUAGUUCCCUAAAAUCAAGGACUUUUAUUAGGAUGUAACGUAGGCUAGGGACAUGGUUAACAAAGAAGAGAAAUAAGGAAAACAAAGUGUAUGUUUGAGAAAAAUGCAGAGGAAUUUUUUUUUUUUAGGGAGUUGCAAGGUGGAUUUCACCUAUUAUUGUUAUUUUUAUUCUUUUGAAACAACAAUUUUUUUCUUUUUUUUUUUUAGCAACAACAAUUUUUUUUUUUGAACUAGGCAUAACUUCACUGUACAAAAUGUUUAUUUACAUUUUUCUCAAACAUAAAUAGGUGAUGUAAUUUGUAAGAUAUUGGGUAAUACUCCAAAUCGGAGUGGGUCAAGAUGAUAAGUUUAACAAAGAAAAGUUUUUUUUUUUUAAAGGUUCAAAAGGGUUAACUAUGGAUACUUGAUAAAAAGGAUAGCUAGAAAGGCUCAAACGGAUCAAAGAUGUCCUUUCCAUUGUCUUUUAGGGCUCUAAAUAAUCAUCUAUAUCUACUAGUUAGAUGGGCCUCCCACUGUAGCAACACACAUUUUUUUUUCUUUUUCUUUUUUUUUUAUUUUACAAUUUUUUUUAAGGGUUAACUCAAAAGAAAUCUAGAGAUCGUGUAUAAAAUAAUAAACUGCUAAGCUGUAUAGAGAAUGGGCAAAAGGGUUACUCUCCAAGAAAAUGAUAGGCUCAAAAACUCACUUGACACUUAUUUAUGACACGUUCAUUCCUUCAAGCAACUCAUAUUUGUCUUCGACAUCAACAUGUAAAGUAGCAAACAUAGCAUAACAUCACUUAAGACCAAAGAUAAUACAAAUACUAAAAUUUGAAAUUAAUCAUGUCAUCCAAUGUUAAAAAAAUCACACAAUUUUUUUUUUAAACAACAUUCUACCCCAAUUUUUUUUUUUAAACAACAUUCUACCCCCCAACCUAUUCUAAGCAUGAAAGGAAAAUAUGCAUGCAGAAAUGUGAAAAUGAUGCAGAAAAACUAAUUAGAAAAGUUACACUUAAAAUGAUAGAAAAUGAUUUUUUUUUAAAGGCUCAAAAGUUUGAAAAUGUAUAUUUAUAGAGGAGAAAGAAGAAGAAAAAUGAACAUAAAAACUUAAUAAGGAAAAAGAAAAUGUCUGAAUUUUUUUUGUUUUUUUUUUACUUUUUAUUAUUAUUAUUAUUAUUUUUUUCAAACAAUGAAGAUGCGUUUCUAGAGUCACUACACUCCAUAUUCAGCCAUCUUCAACACAAAACGUUAGCAACAGUUAGUUUCUACAACAAAAAAUCAGUAAAAACUUAACCAAGAUUCCACAAUUGUCGACUAUUCCCUCCCCCCAACCAGAACGAAACAUUGUCCUCAAUAUUUUAAAGGAAAGAAGUAGAGUUUAGAAGACAUCACCUGGGUGGUGCAACACAGAAGAAAAUAUUUACAGGCUGAGAGUUAAAUUUAAUUUGUACUUCUUACUGCGGCUACUAUUACCAUCAUUAUUUAGAUGCUCCAAUAAAAAGGUCCAGGGGUCUGGCUCCGGUCUAUAAGCUUGUAACAGAUCAAGUAGCUCAUUAGCAGUGUGAGCACAAAUAAAGAGUUUUUUCGCAUUAGAGGGAAUGAAAUAGUUUUUUAUUGCAUGGUUAAGAAAUGCGAUAAAGCCAUCAUAAAAGUUAUUGACAUUUAACAAACCGAUGGGUUUCUGGUGGAUGUGCAUAUGGGCCCAAGAUGCUAGUGUGAUAAGUGCCUCUAGUGUUGCAAGAUCUCCUAGAAGGAAAAUAAAAGCAUCAACAUGAUUAAGCAUUUCAGUUAUUCGUUCUUGCAUACCUGAGACGACUAACUCUUCUCCAGUCGAUGAGUUAGUCAAACUGCCCAAAGGUUUUAGGGCUCUUGGGAUGAUGCCUAACACUUGGCUACCUCUGAUAAAAGCUGCUUCUGAGACCAUUUUUGAUAACCCUCGAUUACCUCCUCCAUACACCAAGUGUAAUUUUCUCGCUGCUAUGCUUCGACCAAGAUCUAUGGCUGCCUCAACGAACUCUUUAUGUUUGCCAUAGUUAAAUCCAGAAAGCACACGAAUGUUCUUGAAUUGUCUAUUGGGAGUAGUUACCAUUGGAAUACUUCUCAAAAAUAAUUUGUGAGUGCUUGGCAAAAAAAUCACAUUUAAGAGUCUUGGUGACAGUGGGUCACAGUUGUGUAUGAGGUAACAUGUCAGUGUCAAAUAACGUAUAAAGCACAUGGCUCCCGAGUCAAAAAGGAAACAGUAAAAAGGAAAAAAGCAAAUAGUAAUAAAAUUAUUAAAGACAAUAAUGCAAACAAUAAAACAAUAGUGAAAUAAAAUAACAGUAAAGUAAAAGGAUAUUUACAGGUAGUAGCGACUGUGGCUCACAUCUUCGUCUGGUUUUACAUCCAGUAACGGCUUGAACACCCUCUAUGGGUCGAGGAUAGGCUUCCCAUCCAGUUUUCUUAUAAACUGGCAAACAGGGUCGUUUAUAGUCAGAUUCCUGAGACUAUAUCGUGCAUGCUCUUUCUGGAAUAAUGGCCAUAACUGGAGAAUCGCUCCUUGCACAUAUCCACUAGGAUGCGUUUCAAGAGACAGAAGGAUAUCAUCCAAUGACUCCUUAUUCAAGCCAUCCUUAAUGAAUUGAAUCUUAUCUUCCCUGUUAUCAGACACCAUUCCUAAAGAACAUGGGUUUUUAUCACAACUCAUUCUGGCACACUUAUGACAAGCAACAGAAAUUCUUCGAGCUCGUCAUUUUCUUGCAUAAUUUCCUUUACCACAACCAGGCAUGUAUGUAAUAAAUUUUGGAGGUAAUUCAUCUGCCAAUCGUACUUUUGCCUCGAUUAACCAACGGAUGUCAGCAGGUAUGUUAUUCCUCAUGAGCAAUCGCAUGCGUUCGGACCGAGCUUUAUAGAUCGUAAGGAGGGCAUUCUGAGGAAGUGAAGGGAAUCGCUUGGGAAGCUUUGCUAGAAUCUCGUUUCUGUCCAUACUUUCGCCUCAGAAUAUUAGUUAUUAUGGGAAACUGAAGUAACCCACUUGAUUGUCACGGAGUACCGUUAUCCGCCACUUCACCGGGGUAACAAACUAAGGCACACAAACAGAAAAAUAAAUUAAAACACACAAAGAAAAUUAAAAUCGUCCUCUUAUAUUUACCUCAAGCUCCAACUGGAUGUCGUAAACACUUCUCUCAAUGUCUCUGAGUUGGCUUUCUAAACCCUGAACAUAGGUUACUAACUCUGGUGGUUGUAGAUCCCAAAUACGAUGUGUUUUACAAAAUUGAAUCUGCCUUAUGAGAUGAGUUUUGACACGUUGAAGUGGUUUAAGAAUGUUCAGGAGGAACGGUCUAAGUAUGGUACUCAUGAUUAAAAAUGAUAAGAGAAAACUUAAUAGUUAAACAAAUACACUUAUGCAAAAAUAAUUUCAAUUAGCAAAAGAAUAAUAUAAAGAAAGAAAAAAAAUAUCAAAUCACCGAAAAGAAAAGAAAAAAAAAUCAAUUCAAAUCUGGUGGGUCACUAAAUUUAUUUCGGUGUCUUCUCCAUGUGGUUGGUACUCUAGAUAUGGCUUUAAUCUUUGACCAUUAACUUUAAAUGUGACACCGUUCUUUGGGUCCUUAAUUUCAAUUGUCCUGUGUGGAGAAACAGUAUGUACAAUAAAUGGGCCAGACCAACGAGAGCGUAACUUACCUAGGAAUAGGUGCAAGCGACAAUUGAAUAAAAGCACUUUCUGACUUGGAGUGAAAGAUUUUCUCAUAAUUUACUUGUCGUGGAAGACUUUCAUUCGUUGCUUGUAAAUCUUGGCAUUUUCGUAUGCAUCAUUGCAAAUUUCUUCAAGUUUUGCCAGUUGUAAUCUUCUUUCUGAGCUGGCUUGCUGCAUGUCAAAGUUGAAUUUCUUGAUGGCCCAAUACGCACGAUGCUCGAGUUCCACAGUAGGUGGCAAGCUUUUCUAUACACUAGCUUGUAGGGUGACAUCCCAAUCGGGGUCUUGAAAGCCGUUCUAUAUGCCCAUAAUGCAUCAUCAAGUCUUAAUGACCAAUCUUUUCUGUUUGGCCUCACCGUCUUUUCUAAUGUGUGCUUUAUUUCUCGAUUGGAGAUCUCAACUUGGCCACUGAUUUGCGAAUGAUAUGGGGUCGCCACUUUCUAAGUGAUUGAAUACUUUGUCAAAAGAGCUUUGAAUGCUUUGUUACAAAAGUGGGCACCACCAUCAAUGAUUAUUGCUCGAGGGAAUCCAAAGCGUGAAACAAUGUUGCUUUUCAAAAAUCCUAGUUCGACAUGGAAUUGCUUCUACCCAUUUCGAUACGUAGUCAACAGCAACCAAUAUGAAUUGAUGGCCAAAAGAAGGGGGAAAGGGACCCAUGAAGUCGAUACCCCAAACAUCAAAAAUCUCAACCACUAAAAUUGGAUUUAGUGGCAUCAUGUUCCUUCAUGUAAUGUUCCCCAUUCAUUGACACCUAUCACAUGAAGAACAGAAAGUGUAAGCAUCUCGAAAUAUAGUUGGCCAAUAGAAACCACAUUGUAAAACUUUAGUUGUUGUUUUCUUAGCACUAAAAUGGUCUCCACAAGCUUGUUCAUGGCAGAAUGAAAGAAUAUUCUGAAUUUCAUUUUCUAGGACACAUCAUCUAACAAUUUGAUCUGCACAAUACUUGAACAAAUACGGGUCAUCCCAAAAGAAAUUCUUUAUUUCUGCAAAGAAUUUAGCCUUGUCUUACUUGGUCCAAUUCACGAUGUCAGCAUACCAUGGUAAUACUUCCACACUCAUUAAUUGUUCAUCUGGAAAUGACUCAUUCAAUAUUAAUGGCUCUGUAAUUGUGUCAAAAUGGAGACGAGAGAGGUGGUCCGCCACAACAUUUUUUGUGCCUUUCUUAUCUUUGAAUUCCAAGUCGAACUCCUGCAAAAGUAACACCUAACGAAUUAGUCUAGCUUUUGUAUCUUUUUUUGUGAGAAGAUAUUUAAGAGCAGCAUGAUCUGUGAAUAUAAUUAUUUUACAACCAAUGAGAUAAGAUCGAAAUUUCUCUAAUGCAAACACUACUGCUAGCAUUUCUUUUUCAGUAGUUAAAUAGUUCAAUUGUGCAUCAUUCAAUGUCAUACUAGCAUAGUAAAUAACAUGGGGAAUUCGAUCAACUCUUUGUCCUAAUACUGCUCCUACUGCAUAAUCAGAUGCAUCACACAUGAGCUCAAAUGGUAAGCUCCAGUUUGGGGGCUGAAUAAUGGGUGAUGAUGUCAACAACUGCUUUAGUUUUUCAAAUGCCACAAGACAUGAAUCAUCAAAGAUAAAGGGUACAUCCUUAGCAAGUAAAUUGCAUAAGGGUCUAGAAACUUUGCUAAAAUCUUUAAUGAAACGUCUAUAGAAACCAGCAUGCCCAAGGAAAGAUCUUACUUCUCUGAUUGUUUUAGGUGGAGGAAGAUUAGAAAUGAGAUCUACCUUAGCUUUGUCAUCCUCAAUACCUUUGCUCGAAAUGAUGUGACCGAGAACAAUACCUUGUUUUACCAUAAAAUGACAUUUCUCCCAAUUUAAGACUAAGUUCUUCUCGAUACAUCUCUGCAGAACUAGCGUUAGAUGAUGUAAACAUUGAUCAAACGAGUCACCAAAGACAGAAAAGUCAUCCAUAAAGACUUCAAGGAAUCGUUCAACCAUAUCAGAAAAAAUGCUCAACAUGCGUCGUUGAAAUGUAGCAGGUGCAUUACAUAAUCCAAAUGGCAUUCUCCUAUAUGAAAAUGUGUCAAAAGGGCAAGUGAAAGUAGUUUUCUCUUGAUCUUUUGGUGCUAUGGGAAUCUGAUUAUAUCUUGAGUAGCCAUCUAAAAAGCAAUAAAAUUUAUGGCCUGCUAAUCUAUCAAGCAUUUGAUCGAUAAAUGGUAAAGAAAAAUGGUCUUUACGUGUGACAGAAUUCAACUUUCUAUAAUCAAUGCAUACACGCCAUCCUGUAGUUACUCUAGUUGGUAUCAAUUCAUUAUUAGCAUUGGUAACUACUGUGACUCCUGACUUUUUAGGGACAAUUUGUACAAGACUGACCCAUGAACUAUCAGAAAUUAGGUAAAUGAUACCUGCGUCUAAUAGCUUAAGGACUUCAGUUCUAACAACUUCUUUUAUAUUAUGAUUUAACCGACGUUGCAUUUCCCUAGUAGAUUUAGCAUUUUCAUCAAGAUGAAUGUAAUGCAUGCAGUCUACUGGAUUUAUACCUUUUAUGUCUGCUAUGGUCCAUCCUAAUGCUCAUCUGUGCUCUUUUAAAACAUCCAACAACUUACCUUUUUGUUCGUCAUUGAGGGAUGAUGAGAUGAUUACCGGCAGAGUACUUUCCUCUCCCAAAAAUGCAUAUUCCAAAGUGUUGGGCAAUGGUUUGAGCUCGCGUUUUGGUGGUGAUUCUGAUGAUGGGAUGAGUUUCUUUUCUAAUGGUGCUAGUUGUUCAACUCUUAACUUCCAUUUAUUAUUGUCCAUGGAUGGUGCUGAGUCAAGUAAGGCGUUGACCUCAUCGACCGAUCUGUCAAUAUCAAAAUCCAAACCAAAGUGAGUUAAACAUGUUUGUAAAGAAUCAUCACUAAGGUUUGAAAGAAAAGUAUUAUCAACUAUUAUUUCUAUUAAAUCCACAUCAACAAUUUCAUCAUCUGCACUGUGAGGUUGUUUGGCAAUGUUGAAAAUGUUUAGCUCUAUAGUCAUGUUGCCGAAGGACUGCAUAUUUCCAGUUCUGCAUUGAAUGUGAGCAUCCGCAGUUGCUAAGAAAGGUCGGCAUAAAAUAAUGGGGAUGUGCUUCCUUGAAUCCUGUAUUAGUUGAGUGUCAAUUACAAUGAAAUCAACAGGAAAAUAAAACUUGUCUACCUGGAUAAGCACGUCCUCCACAAUGCCAUGAGGUAUUUUUGUGGACCGAUCUACAAGCUGUAACACCACUGGAGUUGGGUGUAAUUCUCCAAGUCCAAGUUUCAAAAAUACCGAGUAAGGCAACAAAUUUACACUAGCUCCUAAAUCCAACAAAGCAUUCUCAAUUGUGUGGUUCCCUAUGCUACAUGAAAUAGUGGGGGAGCCUGGGUCUUUGCAUUUUAGAGGAAUUUUGUGUUGGAGUAUAGAACUAAUGUUUUCUGUUAAAAAUGCCUUCUUUUGAACAUGAAUAUUUCUCUUUUUAGUACAAAGGUCUUUAAGAAACUUGGCAUAAGAUGGAACUUGUUUUAUAGCAUCAAGUAAAGGGAUGUUAACACUUACCUAUUUGAAGAUUUCGAGAAUCUCACCUAUGGAUUUUCCCUUCUUUCCUUUCGCUAACUUCUGAGGAAAUCGAGCUUUAGGAACAUAUUCUCGUGGGUUGGUUUCUUCUUUUUCCUCCGGUGGUGAGUCCUCAACAUUCACAGGCACAAUUUGAUUUUCUUUUGUCACCGACAUCUCCACUUUGUUGUCGAUUUCUUUUCCUUUUUGCAAGGUCAUGACUGCUUUGACCUCUCCAUGCUGCUGUGGUGAACUAGUACUUGCUUUAUGCACUCCUUUGGGAUUAGGCACUGGUUGACUUGGAAACUUGCCUUUCUCAACAGUCAUUACCAAGGUCUAAACUAAAAAAGCAAGCUGUCCCACCAUCUUCUCGAGGCUUGAAACUGAUUGGGCUUUUGAAUUGAAGCCUGCUCUCAACUCAUUUUGUAGUCCAUCAAUGGUGCGAUUCUCUUGCUCAAUCGUGGAGUGAGUAAGAUUCUUAAGAUUCUGAAAUGAAUCCUCCCAUGGUCUGGGUUGAGUGUAGUUAUGGUUCUGAUUGUAUGGUCUAAAUGAGGGCUGAGAGGCUUAAGAAAUUUGAGAAAUUUGUUGCAUUGGUGGAACUGGAGUUGCUGGUGCAUUCUAUUAGAAUCCUUGAGACCAUGAAAAAUUGGGGUGGUCUCUCCAUCCAGGGUUAUCUGUGUUGGAGUAUGGGUUGUAAUUUGAUGGCUUUCUCAUUACACCUAUGGCAUUGGCUUUAUCUGAGUAUGAGUCAUGGUCAUGUGGUUCUGUUGAUUUAGCAGUCGAUAACGAUGCUAUUUGUCGAGCAAGACCUUCAACCAUCUUCUUGACUUCUUUAAUUUCUGAACUGGAUUCGCCAAUGUGAACCUCAUUUACUCCCUUAAUUCUUCUAGUAUUCCUGAGUGACCGAUUCCGUUGUUGGGAAUUAUCCGCUUGUCACUGGAAGAAUUCCCAAAUCUCUGAUGUACUUUUUGACAUUAGCUCUCCUCCACUUGUUGCCAUUAGCCAUUCUUGCACAUUCGACAAUAAUCCCUCCAAAAAGUAUUGGCAUUGAUGCCAUUUCUCAUACCCAUGAUGUGGACACUUCAAGAGUAGCCCAUUGAAUCCCUCCGAUGUUUCAAAAAACUGUUCGUCCUCUCUCUGGGUAAACUCCGAGAUUUCCCUACGAAUAGCAUUGGUUUUAUGCACUGGGAAAUAUUUAUUCAAAAAUUUUGUUACCAUUUGUUCCCAUGAUGCAAUGCUAUUAGCAGGCAAUGUAUUAAGCCAUGAACGAGCUCUAUAUUUUAAAGAAAAUGGGAAUAAUCUGAGUUUAACAUCAUCGUCUAAAAAAUUCUCGUAUUUAAAAGUUUGAAAAAUAGCAUGAAAAUCAUUCAGAUGAUUAUAUGGGUCCUCAUUUUCUAGGCCAUAAAAUAUUGGGAGACAAUUUAGCACACUAGGUUUUAGUUCAAAACUCCUAGCAGCUACAUUUGGGUAUCAUAUACAUGAUGUGCUCAAGUUAGCUAAAGGACUAAAAUAGUCCUUAAAUGGCCUCUCCUGUGGUGCUUGUAAAUCCAUUCCAAAUUUAUUUUUAAUGUGCUUGUGUGUGCGAAGUGUCUUUUCUAGUUCAAGGUCUAUAGGUUCAAGAUUAGGUAAUAAUGACCUACGGCCACAUGAAAAGAACACAAAAAUAAAUGGGAACAAAAUUAAUAAAAAUAAACAAGAAGGAGAAAUUACGGUACUAACCUUAUUGCGCUGUUACAACCUUACUAUAAAAAUACAAAAAAACAAAUACAUGAAAUAAAUUAACUAAAAAUAAAUUAAUAAGAUAAACAAAAAAAAAUUAGAAAGAAAAAUAAAUUGAAAAUUAAAUUAUAGAAUUUUAAAGAAGAGAAAAAGAAAAGAAAUACUAACCUUUAAAUGUAGAUUCACUUUUUUUUCUUUUUUUUAAAUAAAAAAAUUACAAGAAAACAAUUAAAAGAAAUUAUUGAACUCGCAAGUGCACGAAUUUAUUGUAGAAUAGAUUAAUGGAGACGAGUGUCGAUCCCACGAGGAGGUGGCUUUUAAUUAUAUGUAGAAUUAAUUUUGUAUGAGUGUGGUUGGAUUUGUGGUGAAAGUGACUUAGAUUAUCUUAAAAUUGGAAUUGAAAUGGCAAGAAUAAAUUCUAAAAUUGGAAUUGAAAUGGCGAGAAUAAAUUGAAGAGAAAUCUAUUGAGAUGACGUACUUGAGUAUCUGGAUCCGUAUCAACAUGCAUCAUGGGCUAAAUAAUCCUUAUUAAUGCCAAUUAAAUCAUGAGGGGGGAAUCCACACCUCAUGAACCACUCUCUAAUCAAUAUGGUGCUAAGGGCUUAUCGUGCCAAAUAAUAAUAACUUUGUACUAGGGGGCUGGUGAAACCAAGGCGGUAUUAGACAAGAUUAAUAUUAUUUGUAACGAGAAGUCAAAACAUCCACAAAAAUUAGAGGGGAAGAGAAAGUAAAUUUACCAAAUAAAGCCCAUGACACAUGUUGAGACUUCACCUUCAACCCAAGCUUGAAAGAAAACUAGCCACUCAUAAUUGAACUAAGGGUAAAAUGGAAAUUUAUUAAAAUACUUAGAAAAUACAAGAUAGAGAAGGAAUUACGGAAAAUGGAUUCCAAAAAUGGAUUCAGAGAUAUCAAAUUAGGGGGGAGAGGGCCCCUUUUUAUAGAUACAUGGAGUAAAUCAUGGCCAUCGGAUUAAAAAUAGUUUAGACGCUCAGGAUUGCGCCACAUCAUCAGUCACCAGUACGCGGUUUGACCACGUGGAUGAACAGUAACACGGUUUGACCUGGGUUGAACAGUGAUGCGGUUUGGUUGAAAAUAAUCCUGUGUGAUGCAUGUACCGUACGCGAGAUUUUUCGUCCACUGAUAUGCUGCCACGUCACCAUCAACAGUACAUAAGAAUUUUAGCCCAACAGGAUCGUGACACCUCAUCAGUCAAUGCCACAUCAUCCAUCAAUGCCACGUCAUCGAUCCGUCUAUGUGAACAGUGUCAUGAACAGUAAUAUAGACAGUACCGUACACGUGAAUAGUACCGUACAUGUGAAUAGUACCGUACAUGUGAAUAGUACCGUACAUGUGAAUAGUGCUAUUUUUCCUUUUAUGCUUCUCCUAAGGUUUUCGACCGUCUUGAGUUCAAAAGUGAUUUCCGUUUUGCCGUCUGAUCUCUCGUUUAUUAUGAAAUGACCAUGAUGCCCCUAAAAUACAUAAAAUACUUAAUUAAAAUCAAACACACAUAAUUAAAUUGCAAGAAGCUUAAAUCCAUAAAAGUAAGGGUUGUUAGUAAAACUUGAAAUGUAAAAUGAUGAUUUUCUCCUUUAUAAAUAUACAUUUUCUGACACUCAACACAACUCAUAUUUGUCUCCGACAUCAACAUGUAGAGUAGCAAACAUAGGGUAACAUCACUUAAGAUCAAAGAUAAUACAAAUACUAAAAUUUGAAAUUAAUCAUGUCAUCCAAUGUUAAAACAAAUCAGAAAUUUUUUUUUUUAAACAACAUUCUACCCCUCAACCUAUUCUAAACAUGAAAGGAAAAUAUGCAUGCAGAAAUGUGAAAAUGAUUCAGAAAAAUUAAUUAGAAAAAGAAAUGUUAUUUUUUAACUAAGAAGAUGCGUUUCUAGAGACACUACACUCCAUAUUCAGCCAUCUUCGACUCAAAUAUUUGAAAAUGUAUAUUUAUAAAGGAGAAGUUAAAAAGAAGAAGAAAAAUGGACAUCAAAACUUAAUAAAGAAAAAGAAAAUGUCGAAUUUUUUUUUUGAAUUUUUUUGUUGUUUUUUUUCCAAACGAUGAAGAUGCGUUUCUUCAUUACACCUAUGCCAUUGGCUUAAUCUGAGUAUGAGUCAUGGUCAUGUGGCUCUGUUGAUUUAGCAGUCGAUAACGAUGUUAUUUGUCGAGCGAGACCUUCAACCAUCUCCUUGACUUCUUUGAUUCCUGAAGUUGACUCGCCAAUGUGAACCUCAUUCACUCCCUUAAUUCUUCUAGUAUUCCUGAGUGAUCGACUCCGUUGUUGGGAAUUAUCCGCUUGUCGCUGGAAGAAUUCCCAAAUCUCUGAUGUACUUUUUGACAUUAUCUCUCCUCCAAUUGUUGCCAUUAGUCAUUCUUGCACAUUCGGCAAUAAUCCCUCCAAAAAGUAUUGGCAUUGGUGCCAUUUCUCGUACCCAUGAUGUGGACACUUCAAGAGUAGCCCAUUAAAUCGCUCCCAUAUUUCGAAAAACUGCUCGUCUUCUCUUUGGGUAAACUCUGAAAUUUCCCUGCGAAUAGCAUUGGUUUUAUGCACUGGGAAAUAUUUAUUCAAAAAUUUUGUUACCAUUUGUUCCCAUGAUGCGAUGCUAUUAGCAGGCAAUGUAUUAAGCCAUGAACGAGCUCUAUCCUUUAAAGAAAAUGGGAAUAGUCUAAGUUUAACAUCAUCGUUUGAAAAAUUCUCAUAUUUAAAUGUUUGACAAAUAGCGUGAAAUCAUUCAGAUGAUUAUAUGGGUCCUCAUUUUCUAAGCCAUAGAAUGUGGGGAGACAAUUUAGCAGACUAGGUUUUAGUUCAAAACUCCUAGCAGCUACAUUUGGGUAUCUUAUACAGGAUGUGCUCAAAUUAGCUAAGGGACUAAAAUAGUCCUUAAAUGGCCUCUCCUGUAGUGCUUGUAAAUCCAUUCCAAAUUUAUUUUUAACGUGCUUGUGUGUGCAAAGUGUUUUCUCAAGUUCAAGGUCUAUAGGUUCAAGAUUAGGUAAUAAUGACCUUCGACCAUGCAUGCAAAACAAAUAAAAUAAAAAUAAAGAUGGGAACAAAACAAAUAAAAAUAAAGAAGAAUGAGAAAUUACAAUACUAACCUUAUUGCGCUAUUACAACCUUACUAUAAAAACACACUAAAAAAAAUACGUGAAAAUAAAUUAAAUAAAAAUAAAUUUAAAAAAACUACAAAGAAAAAUAAAUUGAAAAUUAAAUUGCAGAAUUGUAAAGAAUAGAGAAAGAAAAGAAAUUAUUACCUCUAAAUGCAGAUUCCCUUUUUUCUUUUUUUUUUAAUAAGAAAAAAAAUAAAAGAAAACAAAUAAAGAAAUUAUUCAAAAAAGUUAAUUUUACAAAUUAAAAUAACUUACCUCCCCGGCAACGGCGCCAAAAACUUGAACUCGUAAGUGCACGAAUCUAUUGUAGUAUAGAUCAAUGGUGACGAGUGUCGAUCCCACGAGGAGGUAGAUUUUAAUUGUGUGUAGAAUUAAUUUUUCUAAAUGGGUGGCUGGAUUUGUGGUGAAAAUGAUUUGGAUUAUCUUAAAAUUAGAAUUUAAAUGGCGAGAAUAAAUUAAAUAGAAAUCUAUUAAAAUGGCGUACUUGGGUAUUUGGAUAUGUAUCAACAUGCAUCAUGGGCUAAAUAUUCCUUAUUAAUACCAAUUAAAUCAUGAGAGGGGAAUCCACACCUCAUGAACCACACUCUAAUCAAUAUGGUGCUAAGGGCUUGUCGUGCCAAAUAAUAAUAACCUUGUACUAGAGAGCCGGUGUAACCAAGGCGAUAUCUAGACAAGAUUAUUAUUAUUUGUCGACGAGAAGUCAAAACAUCCACAAAAACUAAAGGGGAAGAGAAAAUAAAUUUACCAAAUAAAGCCCAUGACACAUGUUGAGACUUCACCUUCAACCCAAGCUUGAAAGAAAAUUAGCUACUCAUAAUUGAACUAGGGGCAAAAUGAAAAUUUAUUAAAAUACGUAGAAAAUACAAGAUGGAGAAGGAAUUACAGAAAAUGGAUUCAGAGCUAUCAAAUUAGGACAGAACACGGAAUUAGGACAAAACAACUCUCUAAGAGGAUAUUUUCGAAGAAAUAAACUCUCGUGUGUUUCCAUAAAACUAUGAAUUUCUAAACUCUCUUCUCUCUCUGCAAAUGAAGAAUCUAGAGAAAGAAACAGAAUAAAGAGUUAAAUUUGUUCAUUUUGAAACCUUAAGGAAGUAUGCUGUGCACUUGCCUUUCCGUAAGGAUCCUGUGCAUUAGAAAACUUAUGAUGAUUUCUUGAAUGGUUUGGUACCCUGUUUUAAGACUAAAGAAAGUCUGUUUUGGGUUAUAUGACCUUAAAGGAAACAUUUUAAGUUUUACUGAUACAAGGCCCCCUUUUUAUAGAUACAUGGAGUAAAUCAUGGCCAUCGGAUUAAAAAUAGUUUGGACGCUCAGGAUUGCACCACGUCAUCAGUCAAUAGUACGCGGUUUGACCACGUGGAUGAACAGUAACACGGUUUGACCCGAGUUGAACAGUGACACGGUUUGGUUGAAAAUAACCUGUGUGAUGCAUGUGUCGUACGCGAGAUUUUUGGUCCACUGAUAUGCUGCCACGUCACCAUCAACAGUACAUAAGAAUUUUAGCACAACAGGAUCGUGACACCUCAUCAGUCAAUGCCACAUCAUCGGUCAAUGCCAUGUCAUCGAUCCGUCUAUGUGAACAGUGUCGUGAACAGUAACAUAGACAAUACCGUACACGUGAAUAGUACCGUACAUGUGAAUAGUGUCAUUUUUCCUUUUAUGCUCCUCUUAAGGUUUUCGACCGUCUUGAGUUCAAAAGUGAUGUCUGUUUUGCCUUCUGAUCUCUCGUUUAUUGUGAAAUGACUAUGAUGCCUCUAAAAUACAUAAAAUACUUAAUUAAAAUAAAACACACAUAAUUAAAUUACAAGAAGCUUAAAUACAUAAAAGUAAGGGUUGUUAGUAAGACGUGAAAUGUAAAAUGAUGAUUUUCUCCUUUAUAAAUAUACAUUUUCUAACACUCAACACCCAUCUUCAUCUUGGUGGUAUUAGAUUGAUUCUGACUCUCCAUGGCCGAAAAUGCUUACCUAUUACAGCCAGAAUUGCUCUCUUGGACACAGGUUCAAAUAGUACCAACAUGCUGUUAUAGGCACCGUUCUGACCACACUCUAUGCUGGUAGUGUCCUCUUAACCUUUUAUCCAAAUUUCAACUUUUCUCUUGAGGAUCCCAACCUUCCUACAACCAUCAAAGUCCAGAUCCAGCUCCAAGGAGUAGACCAGACCCCCACAUCAAAGCUUGCCACUCUUCAUCACCAAAUAGUGCAUCGAUUACAAAAUCAUGCACUAGAUGUUCCUACACCUUACACCACAUCUGAUGCCUUAAUGAUCCUUGCUGACACAAACACAAUUCCAACCAUAAUCCAAAUUCCCAAACAAAUCCAGCAACAAGAAUUGCUCCAACUCAUGCCUCUUGAAUGGCUGACCAAUUAUGAGCACUUCCACUAAAACUCUGAACCAGUUCAAGCGACAAACGCCAGGUUUGAAAGACGACAAAAUGGUCAAGUCAAACUAUCUUUUCAAACACCCGAGCCUCAACCUGUUUCAGUAACUCCAAGGCUUUCUGACACUGCUAUGAUUACAGCAGACCAAACUAGUCAAGAAAAGAAACUUGCAAUUCAUGGUUUCUCAUCCAAAGGGUAUCAUAUAUAUCCUGAUAAAAUCAAUGGUCAUUUUCUAUGGGAUGUUCCUGAUGCCCAUAUGUGUAAUCCAGAUUGUCCUUGCUUGGAUGAUACGGAUAUUGAAGAUGAACUCGAAGUCAUGCGAAGAAAGAAAAAGAAAAAGAAAAAACCUUCUCAUGCAAAAACAUCUUGCAAAUCUUUUCCUCCAUUAUCUCCACCAGAUCCCAAACCUCCUGUUCAACCAAUAAGAUCAUGCCUAAUGUUUUUAGGUCAAUCUUAUGAAGAGUCCCUCCCUCCACUUGAAAAGCAGACAGACACUCAAACCAGAGUUGUCUCUAAACCCUUUGUCCAGUCCCCAGUUACAGCCUCUGAGCAACCUGAAGAGCCAAAAUAGUAUGAAGUUGUUUGAAAUUGGUAAACUAAAAAUGCCAAUGCUUAUAAUCAAACCCUCAAACAACUCGGAAAAAGAAUUAAUCGAGUUACCAGUCAAGUCUCCCAGACUGAAACUAAAGUUGAUUCAAUUAGCCAUCGUCUUGAUCAGAUGUACAUACAUCUACAAGACCGUAUCUCUGAGUUAGAUACCGAUCUCAGAUGAAUGAUCAAUAAUCAUAUCUAGGGUCUCGAGUUUAACAAGAAAGAAGCAGAGAUCAGAAAGCUCAAAGCUGAAUUGGCAAGAAUUGAUGCUGAAAAGACUUGUCCAACACUUUUCACCCAGACACAAUCCACACCUAUGCCUCCUCCUAUGUUUGAAACCUAUUCACCUUUUUAUACACCUCCCAGACCUCACCAGCCUGUUUACAACUAAUUUUUUGGUUUCUCACAUCUCCAACCAACUCCUCAACCAAAACCCUCUUCACCUAAAAAAUCAAAGUCCAAAGUAAAAAUUUCAGAACCAAAAACAAAGCCAACUUCAUCCUCAUCUACUCCUCCGGUACCUCCCGAAGAUUCACCACAAGCAACUCCUGACCCUCCUAAAAACGAUGAAGGACCAAUGGAUAAGUAUCAUUAUCAAAUUGUCCACGACUCAUCUCCUGAAUCCUCUGAACCAGAAAUAGUACGUGAGUCCUAUCCGUCAGAGUCACACUCAUCCUCCUCAUCCACAAACUCAACCAGUACCUCUACUGACUAUAAAUCAGAAUAUGAUGACAUUACGAGCAUAUUGAUGGCAACUAAAACUGAAGAUCCCAGUGCUUCAACUUCUACACCAAUUGUUGAAGACAGUUCUUCUGAUGAUGAGCAUAAAGCAUCUCACACAGAACCAUUGCCACUUAUGCCACCACCAGCUCAUGAUCACUCCACAAAACCAUCUUCAGCAUCUUGGUUCACAUUUGAUGACAUUCCCCGUCACAGAUGGCCUGCUAGACUUCAAGAAUUUGCUGCAUGGAUUGAUCUUCAAGGAACAAGGCCAAUUGCUCAAUCUCAAGAUGUCCUUCAUGAAUUUAUGGCCCGAUCUAUGGGUUCUUUGAGAGAUUAGUUAGAAAGCUUGGGAGAAUAUAGACAACUCCAAUUCAUGCAAUCACCUGUUGGCACCGCACUCAACAUUAUCCAUGAACAAUUCAUUGGUGACAAAAAGCACCUACCGAUGCAGACAGAAAAGAGUAUCAUCAAAUGAAGUGCUAUUGUCUCAAAAGGCAUCUUUUGGAAUCUCAUUACAAAAGAAUGAGUAUUCUAUUUUACAAACUGAAUGGGUUCAACGAACCUUCUCUUAAACAUGUCUUCAUAGCCUCUCUUCCUUCUGAGUUACAACCUGAUCUUUAAAGAAAACUCACAGCCACUAAUCUCAGCAUUGCUGACAUCUCUUUGGGAAAGAUUUUCCAAAUGGCAAUGUUAGGCGUGGAUAAAAUCUGUGAGUAGAAGGAAUUCUUCAAAGAUCUCAUGGCAGACAUAAAACCCUUCUUUGAAGCUUGUAAAAACCCUUAUCUCAAGAUGGAGUGCAAAGAUGAAAAGAAGUGUGUUUGUUCGCCCAAAAAGAAAAAAACAUUUUCAAAAACACUUCCACAAAAAAUCAUCCUCCAAAAAACCUUUCCGAUAUUUCAGAAAAAAAGAUGUCUCCCAGUACAGAAAGAAAAAGCAUAACCAUUGUUUCAUCUGUAAAAAAUGCGGUCACUUUGCUCAAAACUAUCCCCAUAAGUCUGUUAAAGCUGUUCGUCUCAUACAGCACCUUCAACAUUCUUCCAUGUUAUCUGAGAACGAAGAUGUUGAAUCAAACUUUUCUGAGCAAUCAGAACAAGAUGACCAAACUGCUUUCAUCAUCACAGAAUCUUCAGAUUCUGAGGAUAUUUCAGUCAUCUCUACAGUUCAAAAUGUCAACCAUGUUUCCACCAUUCCCAGACCUUCACUCAAAAUGUCAAUCCUUCCUUCCAAGUUUCAUAAACCUGUUCCUGUCAUCGGAUUUAUUGACACUGGUGCAGAUACCAGUAUAAUUGACCCUUAUGUUCUUCCCUUAGACUAUUAGGAACCUCAUUCCAUGACAAAAAUCUUUAGUCCUAUCCUCCACCAUGCUCUGGUCUACAUUGAUGAUAUUUUGUUAUUUUCCUCUGACCAUGAGAGCCAACAGAAGCUCCUUAUGGAUUUCUUUCAUCUUGUGCAGGCACAUGGAAUCAUGCUUUCUGAAAAGGAAAGCAGCAUAGGCAAGGAAUCCAUUGACUUUCUUGGCAUGGUGAUUAAAGAUGGCCACUACCAACCUGGUCCACACAUUGCAACUGAAUUAUUAAAGUUCCCGGACACAAAUUUCACCAAAAAGCAGAUACAACAAUUCCUCGAGAUUGUUAAUUAUGUCUGUGAUUUCAUCCCAAAAGUUGCAAUCCACACAAGCCAGUUGUUGCACAUGCUAAAAAAAUAGUGCCCUCCAUGGGGCCCUACAUAGACAGAAGCUGUUAAGCAGCUAAAGGUGAUAGCCCAAUCACCUCCUCAACUCUGAAUUCCCACAUCUGGCCAACUCAUCCUCCAGACUGAUGCCAACGAUGAUUACUGGAGUGCCAUUCUUCUCGAAGAAAUCAAUGGCGUGCAUCAUUUCUGUGCACAUGCAAGCAGAUAAUUCAAAGACGCUGAAAAGAACUACCAUAUGAUCUACAAAGAGAUUUUGGCAAUCAAGUAUGGAAUUAAAAAAUUCGAAUUUCAUCUCAUCAGCCACAAAUUUCUUAUCAACAUGGAUAACUCUUCUUUUCCCCGAAUCUUUGACUUCAAAAACAAGUUGCUCCCUGACAAGCAACUGCUCAGUCUUAAAACCUGGUUUGCUAAAUAUGAUUUCACUGUUCAACAUAUCAAAGGCAACCAAAAUCUCAUUCCAGACUUCCUUACACGUCCAGCUAUAAAUAAACCCUCACUCAUUUCCUCAAUCCAAACCAUUCUAGUAAUAGCCAUGCAUCGCCAACUUCCUUUCAAAGCUCUCAACUAGAGAAACUUCCCAAUGAACAUCUCUUUCCAAUCGGCUUACCAGCUGCAAGAGUUUGCAAAGAAGUUCCUUUACAGGUAUUUCUUUAAUGUUCAGACCAAAAAACCUGACUGUUUUCCUAACCUUUGCAUUGAACACCUAUUCCUCACCGGCCUCACUCUCUCAUCUCUGUCCAUCUGUGAAGAUGAGCAUUGGUACAUGUGGUGUCUCACCACCUUGUAUGCUACGAAGCUAGUUUUCCCCAUCAAACCAGGGUAGUUGUACAUGGCGUUGUUACACCAGAUCUAUAAUAGAACAAAGUAUGUCCUUAGGGCCAGUAGCCCGCAAGUUCUGGUUUCCAGCCGAUAUACACUUAUCCAUCAAAUACCAACCGAAAAUCUUAUUUGAAAAAUAGUUUUUCACGAUAUCACCCGAACACACAGCACUCAUGGCCUCAAAGAGGAUGAACGUUGUGAGAAAACACUUUCAUUUUAUAAAAAUUGAUUUUGGAGGAUAAAACAGGACCUUUUUUAUGCACAGGAUCCUUAGGCUUAAGGCAAGUGCAGAGCAUACUCAGUAUAGAAAAUGAGAGGUGAGCGUAUCAAUAUUAACCUAAAUAAUUUCUUUGAGCCCUAGAAGAGAGAAAAGAUUUAGAGAAACAUGAUGUAAGGAAACUUAAAUAUUUAUUUUUGAUUAACUCGUGCCUACAACGGAAGCAUAAGGUGCCUUAUAUAGAAAAUCAUCAAGAACAGGACCCCUUGAAUGAUUAUAAUCGACAAAGAGGCACAUGCUGUUAGAAAAGUAAAGCACUCCUUUUUAGAAAGUAAAGCACACCGACUAAGACUUUUACAUAAGACAAAGGAAAACAGAAAGUAAAGCACACCGACUAAGACUUUUUAUAUAAACAUUCAAAGCAAAUGGGGGACACAUGGGCUUAUUGCAUUAAAAGCAAUGUGAUGGUGACAAGAUGUCAUUAUGGAGUGGAUGGAUAGCGCGAUGAUAACACAUCUCCUGUCACUUUCUCAUAUUGGCGCUUGUGCCGACGUAUCUGUCUCUAGUCGAGAUACGCCUCAACUUGCUGAUAUUUGUCUUCAUUAGCGUCAGUAUGCGCGGUGAUGUAGUGCAGCAGGAGAGUCUAGGUUGGUGAUGGUAUAAUGGGGAUUUUCAGUAAGGAGAAGGGACUGAAAAUCUUCCCAUGGGUCCUAAGCAGCUUGGAAUAAGACGUUGGUGUAAUCAGGGCAUUGUUCCAUGACAAGGAUUCCUUGAGGACUUGAACUUGAACCCGGAGUACAGCCUUGUGUUUUUGGAAUUAUUUCAAGGGUGUGUGAUGAUCUAAUAGAGGUGUGGUGAAUGUUUGUGGCAGGUGGAGUAACAUUGUUAAGUUCCAUGAGGUAGGCUUUGAGAACGGAGGUGACCGAUGUAUCAUGGAUGAGGGUAUAAAGAUGAGGGUAAGUUCUCCAUUCAUAUGACAUGUCUUGUGUCCAGUAGUCUCUUGUUUGUGGGUGCUGGAAGUAGGGCCUGUGGAUGAUGAAAACUGUAGUCCACAUGUUAGCUUACUGUUUUGGCAUUCUGUCUAAUCCGUGAAAGGUACACAUAUUCUGGAGUUGUUUACGCCACCAUGUGAGUGGGGAAUACCAUUCGAGGAGAGUCCAUAGAAGGUCUGGUGAGAACUCAGGAGUGGUAAGGUGAGUUAGGACUGGUUUGAUGGGGAAAACUAGCUUCGUAGCAUACAAGGUGGUGAGACACCACAUGUACCAAAGCUCAUCUUCACAGAUGGAUAGAGAGGCGAGAGUGAGGCCGGUGAGGAAUAGGUAUUCCAUGCAAAGGUUAGGAAAAUGGUCAGGUUUUUUGGUCUGAACAUUAAAGAAAUACCUGUAAAGGAACUUCUUUGCAAAAUCUUGCAGCUGGUAAGCCGAUUGGAAAGAGAUGUUCAUGGGGAAGUUUCUCUGGUUGAGAGCUUUGAAAGGAAGUUGGCGAUGUAUGGCUAUUACUGGAUUGGUUGAAUUGAGGAAAUGAGUGAGGGUUUAUUUAAAGCUGGACGUGUGAGGAAGUCUGGAAUGAGGUUUUGGUUUCCUUUGAUAUUUUGAAUAGUGAAAUCAUAUUUAGCAAACCAGGUUUUGAGACCGAGCAGUUGCUUGUCAGGGCGCAACUUGUUUUUGAAGUCAAAGAUUCGGGGAAAAGAAGAGUUAUCCAUGUUGAUAAGAAAUUUGUGGCUGAUAAGAUGAAAUUCAAAUUUUUUAAUUCCAUACUUGAUUGCCAAAAUCUCUUUGUAGAUCACAUGGUAGUUCUUUUCAGCGUCUUUGAAUUGUUCGCUUGCAUGUGCAUAGAAAUGACGCACGCCAUUGAUUUCUUCGAGAAGAAUGGCGCUCCAGUAAUCAUCGCUGGCAUCAGUCUGGAGGAUGCGUUGGCCAGAUGUGGGAAUUCGGAGUGGAGGAGGUGAUUGGGGCCCAUGGAGGGCACUGUUUUUUGAGCAUGCGCGACAGUUGGCUUGUGUGGAUUGUAACUUUUGCGAUGAAAUCACGGACAUAAGUAACAAUCCCGAGGAAUUGUUGUAUCUGCUUUUUGGUCAAAUUUGUGUCCGGGAACUUUAAUAAUUCAGUUGCAAUGUGUGGACCAGGUUGGUAGUGGCCAUCUUUAAUCACCAUGCCAAGAAAGUCAAUGGAUUCCUUGCCUAUGCUGCUUUUCUUUUUGGAAAGCAUGAUUCCAUGUGCCUGCACAAGAUGAAAGAAAUCCAAAAGGAGCUUCUGGUGGCUCUCAUGGUCAGAGGAAAAUAACAAAAUAUCAUCAAUGUAGACUAGAGCAUUGUGGAGGAUAGAACUAAAGAUUUUUGUCAUGGCCAUUUGAAAUAAUGAAGGAGCAACUUUAAGAGCAAAGGGCAGAACGGUCCAUUGAUAAUGGGCAUCGGGAAUACAAAAGGCAGUUUUGUGACGGUCAACUGGUGAAAUACCAAGUUGCCAAAAACUAGCUUUUAAAUCAAACUUAGAGAAGAUACGAGCCCCUUGAAGGUGGACAAACAGGGUCUGGAUUUUUGGAAGGGGAAUCUUAUCAUCUUUAAGAAAAUAAUUAAGUGGCUGGUAAUCAAUAACUAAUCUCUUUUUACCACAAACUAAUUCAGAUCGUUUUUCAACAUAGAAGGCUCGACAAGCCCAAUCUGAAUUAGUAGGUUCAAUUAGACCUUGUUGGAGUAACUGAGAGCAUUCUUGCUUGGCAAGCAAGAAAUCUGAAGGAGACAUACUCGGGUGAGAAGCUUUUGUGGGAUUUAUGUCCUCAUUGAGUUUGAAAGGAAGAUGGAUAAAAAAUUGUUCAUUUUUCUAAAGGGGUGAAAGAUGGUGAAACUGUGAAUGAUUUUCUGGAUAAAACUCUAAGAACUUAUAGGAGAGAUGACUGUAUGGAGAUGGUGUUUCUGAAAGUGCAUACAGACGGAGAGUAUCGGUAGAGGGUAAGAACAUUUGUUUGUAGCGAACUCCAGAACUGGUGAGGAAUAUGUUUUUAACCAAAUGAAGAAUGUCAAAACCUAUGAGGAGAUCUUUAUCGGGGAAUUUGGAGGCUACAAUCUUUUUCCAAAUUAUACAAUUCGGAAAGAAUUGAAUACCAAUGGGUUUUUUGGUAAUCAAAGUGAUCUCAAAAGUUUCUCCAUUAACAGCUCUGAAAAGCUUUGAAUGAGGUUCCCAAUAGUCUGAGGGAAGAACAGAAGGGUCAAUCAUACUGGUAUCAGCACUAGUGUCAAUAAACCCGAUGACAAGAACAGGUUUAUGAAACUUGGAAGGAAGGAUUGACAUUUUAAGUGAAGGUCUGGGAAUAUUGGAAACAUGGUUGCAUUUUGAACUGUAGUGAUGACUGAAAUAUCCUCAGAAUCAGAAGAUUCUGCGAUGAUGAAAGCAGUUUGGUCAUCUUGUUCUGAUUGUUCAGAAAAGUUUGAUUCAACAUCUUCGUUCUCAUAUAACAGGGAAGAAUGUUGAAGGUGCUGUAUGAGACUAGCUUUGGCAGACUUAUGAGGACAGUUUCGAGCAAAGUGACCACGUUUUUUACAGAUGAAACAAUGGUUAUGCUUUUUCUUUCUGUACUGGGAGACAUCCUUUUUUCUGAAAUACCGGAAAGGUUUUUUGGAGGAUGAUUUUUUGUGGAAGUGUUUUUUAAAAUGUUUUUUUCUUUUUGGGCGAACAAACACACUUCUUUUCAUCUUUGCACUCCAUCUUGAGAUAAGGUUUUUCACAAGCUUCAGAGAAGGGUUUUGUGUUUGCCAUGAGAUCUUUGAAGAAUUCCUUCUACUCACAGAUUUUAUCGAGGCCUAACAUUGCCAUUUGAAAAAUCUUUCCCAAAGAGAUGUCAGCAAUGCUGAGAUUAAUGGCUGUGGGUUUUCUUUGAAGAUCAGAUUGUAACUCAGAAGGAAGAAAGGCUAUGAAGACAUGUUUAAGAGAAGGUUCGUUGAACCCAUUCAACUUGUAAAAUAGAAUACUCAUUCUUUUGUAAUGAGAUUCCAAAAGAUGUCUUUCGAGAGAACAACACUUCAUUUGAUGAUACUCUUUUCUGUCUGCAUCAGUAGAUGCUGUUUUGUCACUAAUGAAUGAUUCAUGGAUGAUGUUGAGUGCAGUGCCAACAGGUGAUUGCAUGAAUUGAAGUUGUCUAUAUUCUCCCAAGCUUUCUAACCAAUCUCUCAAAGAACCCGUAGAUCGGGCCAUGAAUUCGCGAAGGACAGCUUAAGAUUGAGCAGUUGGCCUUGUUCCUUGGAGAUCAAUCCAUGCAGCAAAUUCUUGAAGUCUAGUAGGCCAUCUAUGACGGGGAAUGUCAUCAAAUGUGAAACAAGAUGCUGAAGAUGGUUUUGUGGAGUGAUCAUGAGCUGGUGGUGGCACAGGUGGCACUGGUUUUGUGUGAGAUGCUUUAUGCUCAUCAUCAGAAGAACUGUCUUCAACAAUUGGUGUAGAAGUUGAAGCACUGGGAUCUUCAAUUUUAGUUGCCAUUAAUAUGCUCGUAAUGUCAGCAUAUUCUGCUUUUCAAGUAGAGGGAAGGACUCUUCAUAAGAUUGACCUGAAAACAUUAGGCAUGAUCUUAUUGGUUUGAACAGGAGGUUUGGGAUCUGGUGGAGAUAGUGCAGGAAAAGAUUUGCAAGAUGUUUUUGAAUGAGAAGGUUUUUUCUUUUUCUUUUUCUUUCUUCGCAUGACUUUGAGUUCAUCUUCAAUAUCCGUAUCAUCCAAGCAAGGACAAUCUGGAUUACACAUAUGGGCUUCAGGAACAUCCCAUAGAAAAUGACCAUUGAUUUUAUCAAGAUAUACAGGAUACCCUUUGGAUGAGAAACCAUGAAUUGGAAGUUUCUUUUCUUGACCAGUUUGGACUACUGUAAUCAUAGCAGUGUAAGAAAGCCUUGGAGUUACUGAAAUGGGUUGAGGCUCGGGUGUUUGAAAAGAUAGUUUGACUUGACCAUUUGUAUUCUUUCAAACGUGGCGUCUGUUGCUUGAACUGGUUCAGCGUUUUGGUGGAAGUGCUCAUAAUUGGUCAGCCAUUCAAGAGGCAUGAGUUUGAGCAAUUCUUGUUUCUGGAUUUUUUUUUUGGGAAUUUGGAUGAUGGUUGGAAUUGUGUUUGUGUCAGCAAGGAUAAUUAAGGCAUCAGAUGUGGUGUAAGGUGUAGCAAGAUCUAGUUCAUGAUUUUGUAAUCGAUACACUAUUUGGUGAUGAAGAGUGGCAAGCUUUGAUGUGGGGGUCUGGUCUGCUCCUUGGAGCUAGAUCUGGACUUUGAUGGUUGUAGGAAGGUUGGGAUCCUCAAAAGAAAGGUUGAAAUUUGGAUAAAAGGUUAAGAGGACACUACUAGCAUGGAGUAUGGUCAGAAUGGUUCCUCUAAUAGCAUGUUGGUAUUGUUUGAACCUGGUGUCCAGGAGAGCAAUUUUGGCUGUAACAAGUAAGCCUUUUUAGAACCAAAAACAAAGCCAACUUCAUCCUCAUCUACUCCUCCGGUACCUCUCGAAGAUUCACCAUAAGCAACUCCUGACCCUCCACUCACAGCCACUAAUCUCAGCAUUGUUGACAUCUCUUUAGGAAAGAUUUUCCAAAUGGCAAUGUUAGGCCUCGAUAAAAUUUGUGAGCAGAAGGAAUUCUUCAAAGAUCUCAUGGCAGACACAAAACCCUUCUCUGAAGCUUGUAAAAAACCUUAUCUCAAGAUGGAGUGCAAAGAUGAAAAGAAGUGUGUUUGUUCGCCCAAAAAGAAAAAAACAUUUUAAAAAACACUUCCACAAAAAAUCAUCCUCCAAAAGACCUUUCCGGUAUUUCAGAAAAAAGGAUGUCUCCCAGUACAGAAAGAAAAAACAUAACCGUUGUUUCAUCUGUAAAAAACGCGGUCACUUUGCUCGAAACUAUCCCCAUAAGUCUGCCAAAGUUGUUCGUCUGAUACAGCACCUUCAACAUUCUUCCCUGUUAUAUGAGAACGAAGAUGUUGUAUCAAACUUUUCUGAACAAUCAGAACAAGAUGACCAAACUGCUUUCAUCAUCGCAGAAUCUUCAGAUUCUGAGGAUAUUUCAGUCAUCUCUACAGUUCAAAAUGUCAACCAUGUUUCCACCAUUCCCAGACCUUCACUCAAAAUGUCAAUCAUUCCUUCCAAGUUUCAUAAACCUGUUCCUGUCAUCAGGUUUAUUGACACUGGUGCAGAUACCAGUAUGAUUGACCCUUCUGUUCUUCCCUCAGACUAUUGGGAACCUCAUUCAAAGCUUUUCAGAGCUGUUAAUGGAGAAACUUUUGAGACCACUUUGAUUACUAAAAAACCCAUUGGUAUUCAAUUUUUUCCGAAUUGUAUAAUUUGGAAAAAGAUUGUAGCCUCCAAUUCCCCGAUAAAGAUCUCCUCAUAGGUUUUGGCAUUCUUCAUUUGGUUAAAAACCUAUUCCUCACCAAUUCUGGAGUUCGCUACAAACAAAUGUUCUUAUCCUAUACCAAUACUCUCCCUCUGUAUGCACUUUCAGAAACACCAUCUCCAUACAAUCAUCUCUCCCAUAAGUUCUUAGAGUUUUGUCCAGAAAAUCAUUCACAGUUUCACUAUCCUUCACUCCUUUGGAAGAAUGAAUAAUUUUUUAUCCAUCUUCCUUUCAAACUCAAUGAAGACAUAAAUCCCAAAAAUGCUUCUCACCCGGGUAUGUCUCCUUCAGAUUUCUUGCAACACUUCACGCAUAAGUGGUAUCAUUAGUAAUUCCAAAUAAUCUUAUUUGAUCUCCUAGAAGAAGAUUACCUAAACAUGGAAACAACUUCAUCUUCAGCCUCAACACCUUCAUCGUCUUCAUCCCAUAUUUCUCUUUCCUCCAGUCUCUCUCUUCCAAGAUCAUGUCAAAAACAUGUAGCCUCUAAAAUUAAAAACCUUGUCGAAUAUUCUUAUAUUCCCGAAUAUGCCCAAAUCAAUGAAUCAUAGUUUCCUAUCAUGAGUCCCUACAACCUCUACAAACAAAAAACUUCUCUCACCAGAAGUAUCAUAACCCUCAUCUCCAUAAAAAGACCACUCCCAAAAGAGUAUAUCCAGUCUUCUAAACUCGAUCAGUGUGCUUUACAAGCCUCUACAAGUGAACAGUAUGUCACUUUAGAAAUACCCUCAGAUCUCGUAGCAAACUGGAAACGAGAAGGGUAUACCCAUCUUCAUCUUGGUGGUAUUAGAUUGAUUUUGACUCUCCAUGGUCGAAAAGGCUUACCUGUUACAGCCAGAAUUGCUCUCCUGGACACCAGGUUCAAACAGUAACAACAUGCUGUUAUAGGAACCGUACUGACCACACUCCAUGCUGGUAGUGUCCUCUUAACCUUUUAUCCAAAUUUCAACCUUUCUCUUGAGGAUCCCAACUUUCCCACAACUAUCAAAGUCCAAAUCCAGCUCCAAGGAGCAGACCAGACCCCCACAUCAAAGCUUGCCACUCUUCAUCACCAAAUAGUGUAUCGAUUACAAAAUCAUGCACUAGAUCUUCCUACACCUUACACCACGUCUGAUGCCUUAAUGAUCCUUACUGACACAGACACAAUUCCAACCAUCAUCCAAAUUCCUAAACGAAUCCAGAAACGAGAAUUGCUCAAACUCAUGCCUCUUGAAUGGCUGACCAAUUAUGAGCACUUCCACUAAAACUCUGACCCAGUUCAAGCAACAGAAGCCACGUUUGAAAGAUGACAAAAUGGUAAAGUCAAACUAUCUUUUCAAACACCCGAGCCUCAACCUGUUUCAGUAACUCCAAGGCUUUCUUACACUGCUAUGAUUACAGCAGUCCAAACCGGUCAAGAAAAGAAACUUCCAAUUCAUGGUUUCUCAUCCGAAGGGUAUCCUGUAUAUCCUGAUAAAAUCAAUGGUCAUUUUCUAUGGGAUGUUCCUGAAGCCCAUAUGUGUAAUCCAGAUUGUCCUUGCUUGGAUGAUACGGAUAUUGAAGAUGAACUCGAAGUCAUGCGAAGAAAGAAAAAGAAAAAGAAAAAACCUUCUCAUUCAAAAACAUCUUGCAAAUCUUUUCCUCCACUAUCUCCACCAGAUCCCAAACCUCAUGUUCAACCAAUAAGAUCAUGCCUAAUAUUUUCAGGUCAAUCUUAUGAAGAGUCCUUCCCUGCACUUGAAAAGCAGACAGACACUCAAACCAGAGUUGUCUCUAAACCCUUUGUCCAGUCCCCAGUUACAGCCUUUGGGCAACCUGAAGAGCCAAAAUAGUAUGAAGCUAUUUUAAAUUGGCAAACCAAAAAUACCAAUGCUCAGAAUCAAACCCUCAACCAACUCAGAAAAAGAAUUGAUCGAGUUGCCAGUCAAGUCUCCCAGACUGAAAUUAAAGUUUAUUCAAUCAGCCAUCGUCUUUAAAGAAAACUCACAGCCACUAAUCUCAGCAUUGCUGACAUCUCUUUAGGAAAGAUUUUCCAAAUGGCAAUGUUAUGCCUGGAUAAAAUCUAUGAGUAGAAGGAAUUCUUCAAAGAUCUAAUGGCAGACACAAAAUCCUUCUCUGAAGCUUGUAAAAAACUUUAUCUCAAGAUGGAGUGCAAAGAUGAAAAGAAGUGUGUUUGUUCGCCCAAAAAGAAAAAAACAUUUUAAAAAACACUUCCACAAAAAAUCAUCCUCCAAAAAACCUUUCUGGUAUUUUGAGACAAAUGGAUGUCUCCCAGUACAAAAAGAAAAAGCAUAACCAUUGUUUCAUCUGCCAGAAACGUGGUCACUUUGCUCGAAACUGUCCCCAUAAGUCCGCCAAAGCUAUUCGUCUCAUACAGCACCUUCAACAUUCUUCCCUGUUAUCUGAGAACGAAGAUGUUGAAUCAAACUUUUCUGAACAAUCAGAACAAGAUGACCAAACUGCUUUCAUCAUCGCAGAAUCUUCAGAUUCUGAGGAUAUUUCAGUCAUCUCUACAGUUCAAAAUGUCAACCAUGUUUCCACAAUUCCCAGACUUUCACUUAGAAUGUCAAUCCUUCAUUCCAAAUUUCAUAAACUUGUUCCUGUUAUUGGGUUUAUUGACACUGGUGCAGAUACCAGUAUGAUUGACCCUUCUAUUCUUCCCUCAGACUAUUGGGAACCUCAUUCAAAGCUUUUUAGAUUUGUUAAUGGAGAAACUUUUGAGACCACUUUGAUUACCAAAAAACCCAUUGGUAUUCAAUUCUUUUCGAAUUGUAUAAUUUGGAAAAAGAUUGUAGCCUCCAAACUCCCUGAUAAAGAUCUCCUCAUAGGUUUUGACAUUCUUCAUUUGGUUAAAAACCUAUUUCUCACCAGUUCUGGUAUCAGAGCCUACCCAUCCUUGAAAAUUUGUAUGUUUUCUCAAUAUCAGUUUUUUAUGCUCAAAAUGGUAUGCUUUAAUUCUUUGUUCUCCUUUGAUUUCUAGUACUUCAGGCGUAGAGAGAUUUUCUUAUUCAUGGCUUCCACUUCCCCUUCCACUUCUUCCAAUCCUGUUACUCUUUCUUCUCCUCUUUCUUUGCCCCAAUCUUGUACUUUUCAUACCACCAAUAAGAUCGAAAACCUUGUAGAAUAGUCCUACAUCCCUGAAUCAGCCCAACUCAGUGAGUCCUCCUACCCUCUCAUCAGCCCUUACCAGCUAUAUAAACGCCCCAGUUCCAUUACCCGUAGUAUUCGCACCCUGAUCUCUACCAGAAGGCCACACCCUAAAGAAUAUAUCCAAUCUUCUCGCCUGGAUCAAUGUGCUCUCCAAGCAACCUCUGCUGAGCAAUAUGUCACUUUGGAAAUACCCUCCGAAUUGCUUUCUAAUUGGAAAAGAGACGGCUAUACCCAUCUCCAUCUUGGAGGCAUCCGCCUAAUCCUUACCCNNNNNNNNNNNNNNNNNNNNNNNNNNNNNNNNNNNNNNNNNNNNNNNNNNNNNNNNNNNNNNNNNNNNNNNNNNNNNNNNNNNNNNNNNNNNNNNNNNNNNNNNNNNNNNGGAAGUGUUUUACUCACCUUUUAUCCAAACUUCAACCUUUCUCUUCAAGAUCCCAACUUGCCCACAACCUUGAAAGUCCAAGUUCAGAUUCAAGGUGCUGAACAAAUUUCUUUUGCCAAAAUUGCCACCUUGCACCACCAACUGGUCUAUAGGCUUCAAAAUCAUGCUUUAGAUCUACCCACUCCAGAACACCAUUCUGAUACCCUCAUGGUAUUAGCCGAAUCUGACCAAAUUCCCACCAUCAUUUAGAUCCCAAGACAAAUUCCUCGUCAUGAGCUCAUCAAGCUUAUGCCUCUUAAAUGGAUCUCCAACUAUGAAUAGUUUCAUAACCAUACGGCUCCAAUUCAGACAUCUAAAAGUAUGUUUGAAAGACGACAAGAUGGCACAGUCAGAAUGACUUUUAAACCACUUCUAAGUGCUCCACAAGAGCCUCCUCGGCUCUCCUUUACCUAUUCUUCAAUGAUCACAGUUGUUCAGACAGCCCAAGAAGAUUUGCCCAUUACGGGGUUCAAUUCUGAAGGCUACCCUGUUUAUCCAGCAAAGCACAACAGCCAUUUCCUAUGGGAUGUCCCUGGCUCAGGCAUGUGUGACCCAAAUUGUCCCUGCUGGGAUGAUUAGGACGAAGAUGAUGAUUAUGCAACCACAAGGAAAAAGAAACCCAAAAGGAAAAAACCUCCAGCAUCAUGCCAACCCUAUGAACCCAAAUCUCCAAAAGAUCCUCCACCUCCACCAGCCCCAUUACCCAUCUACACAGCAUAACUCCGAUGGAUUGCAAAGCAUUGCAAACCUGAGGUUCCAUCUCCUAUCCCAAAUUCACUACCUCUUGUACAACCACUGGCUUGUAUGAUGUUUUCCUCUACUUCUUCAAAUUAUUCUUCUUCCUUUCCUCCUUUAGACACUCACACAGAUUCACAACGAAACGUUGUAUCCAAACCCUUUAUCCCUUCAGCCAUAACCUCGACCGGUCAUCUUGAACCACCUAAACCUUUUGAAUCAGUCCUCAACUGGUAAACUCAAAAUGCCAGAGCACAGAAUGAUACUUUGUUAAAUAUCAAUUCAAAAGUUGAGAAAAUUAGUUUACGAACUGAACAACUUGAGACAAAAGUUGAUUCCAUCACUGCAUAAAUGCAGCAGAUCCACCAAAAUCUCUUGUCCAAAAUUACUCAACUUGAUUCCGAGUUACGAACCAUGCUGGCCCAGCGCUAUUCUAGCCCAGAAUUUGAUCAAAAAGAAAGGGAAAUCAGACGUGUAAAAGUUGAGCUUGCUCAGAUUGAAUCUGACAAACAAAGACCUACCCUUUUUACCACAUCACCUCCUAUCCCUUCCAUCGGUCCAACUUAUUAUCCAUUUGCCUCUGUGCUUUCCCCUAUCCGACAGUAUGAUCCUUCCAAGUUAUUUGGUAUGACUCAUACUCUUUUUUGGGAUAAUCCAUUGCCACCACCACCUAAACCUAAACCAAAGCCUAAACCACAACUGGGACCCGUCACAAUUCAUCAGUCAUCCAUUUCCAUCCCUGGCCAACAAUCUCCUAGUUAUACGCCGGCAUCACCGCCCGCACCUCCAUCACCAUCUUUAUCCCAACCUCCUAUCCAAUCCAAGGAUAAAGAACCUAUGCACCAGUUUAGUGCCCAAGUCGACCACUCAUCUUCUCUAGAUGACCAAACUUCUGAUUCAAAUCUAGUUGUUUCUGAUAGCCAUACCGAAACUGACACAAAAUCUUCAGCAUCCACCAGUGACUCUGAAAAGUCCUAUGCUGAUAUCACCAGAAUCUUGAUGGCUCAACCUGCCCAAGGCCAAACCUCUCAUACAGAACCCUAUGUUGAUAUUCCCUCAGAAGUUGAAGAAGAAAUGCCUGAAUCUUCUGCCACAAACCAAUCCCCUCCAGCCCAGGCCCAGCCCAAUCCACCCAGUCAGAAAUUAUCAAAUGGUCCAUGGUUCACAUUUGAUGAUCUUCCAUCUCAUAAAUGGCGUGACCGCCUUAAUGAAAUGUCUGCCUGGAUUGACCUCCAAAUGCUAAGGCCAGGAGCCAUAACUGAAUCCGUCCUUAGAGAAUAUGCUACUCGUUUUACAGGUGCUCUAAGAGAUUGGUUUGAUUCUUUAGGCAACUACAGACAAUUACAGUUUGUUCAAUUACCAGAAGUCUCAAGUGCCCUUGCGGUUAUCCAUGAUCAAUUCCUUGGAGACCCUUCUGCAGUUUUUGAAGCUGGACGCCGAGACUAUCUCAACAUGAAAUACUGUUCACUCAAUGCUAAGGAUCUUGACUUCCAUUAUAAACGAAUGUCCCUGCUGUUCUAUAAGCUUAAUGGAUUCAAUGAGUCGACAUUAAAGCAUGUCUUUCUAGCUUCCCUUCCAGACGAACUCCAACCAGACAUACAAAGACAACUCACUGCAUCCAAUCUUGCUCUUGACAACAUCUCCCUUGGCAAAAUCUUCCAGCUUGCCAAAACUUGUCUUGACAAACUUUGUGAGCAGAAACAGUUUUUCAAAGAACUGUUGAAAGAUAAAGAACCAUUCCGGAGUGCUUGCAAAAAGCCUUAUUUGCAGAUCAAAUGUCAGAAGAAAAAGGAUUGUGAUUGCAGUUCUGAGAAGAAAAGACAUUUAAGGAAAUUCAAAAAUCCAGAAUUUUCAUCCAGACCUCGCAGAUCCAGAAAGCCUUACAGAUUCUUCAGAAAGAAGUCAUCUUCUUCCAGAGACUUUAAACGAAGAAAAUCAAGCAGAUGUUUCAUCUGCAAGAGAAAAGGCCAUUACGCCAAAGAUUGUCCCAACAAACAGAAAAAAUAUAUUCAGCUAGUUGAGCAUCUUCAAGCCACUACAGAUUACUCUCCCGAAAAAGAUGAACUAGAAUUCUAUUUCUCUGAACAAGAUAAACCCAAUGAUGAAACUGUGUUCGCACUGUAAAAUUCCUCUGAUGAUUCAGACAGUGAUCAGUCCCAAGUGAUUUUCCACCAACAGCUACUGUCCCUCGACACUACUGUUCCUAUACCUUCCAUCAAACUCCAGAUCUUGCCCUCAAAAUUCCAAAGGCCCGUCCUAAGCAUUGGUCUCAUCGACACUGGCGCCCAACGUAGCAUGCUAAACCCACAUAUCCUUCCAUGACAAUACUGGACAGAGUCUGAAGAACAUUUCAAAGCCGUCAAUGGCAAACUAUUCACCACCUCUUUGAUUACCAAAAAACCUAUUGGUAUUCAAAUCUUCCCCAAUUGUGUCAUUUGGACUAAGGUCAUCGGUUCAACCCUUCCUAAUAAGGAUUUCUUGUUAGGUUUUGACAUCUUUCACCAGAUCAAACACCUUCAAAUCAUUCCCACUGGAAUUCGAGUCAAGUCUAUGUUCAAACCAUUCACAAACAUUCUGAAACUCUACAAUCUGUCUGAAUCUCCCCAGGAUAUUUCGACUAAACUUUUGAAUUUCUAUCCAGAAUCCCAUUCUGAGUUCACCCAUCCAACAUAGAGGAUCCUUGAGAUCAUGACUUCUCAAGUGAUUAUGACCUGUAGCACACCUUUUUAGAAAGCCAAGCCCAUCGAUCAAGACUUGGACAAAUGGACAAAAGAUAAAGCAUGCUUACUAAGACUUUUACAACUGGCAAAAGCCAAAGCGUAAGGUAAGCCAAGACAAAACCAUAAAGUAAAACAUAAUUAUUACAACAAGACAAACUACUUUAUUGAAAGCAACAAGACAAACAACUUUAUGGAGAGCGGAGAUUCAUGUAAUUGUCUUCGAAUGAGCUUUCGGUUUCAUCGGGGUCAGUGUCACGGUUGGAUUUUGGCAAAAAGGUCUUGGAGAGCUUUGGAUGCUUACAGUGGGGACCACGGCAAGGGGGAUAAGGACAAUCUCUUCGGUAUCCUGGCCUUGGUGAUGUUUGAGUGGCUUUGUUAACUUUGGAGGGUUUAGUGGUCGAGUCAGCAUUGGGAGAUUGGGAUGAGGAUCCUGGUUCAUUCAUGGAUGGUUGCGGAAACUGUUGGAGAUGUUGGCUGAGGGGAAGGAAAUCUUCCCAUGGGUCUUGGGAGUCUUGGUAUAGAAAGUCGGUGUAGUCGGGUCGUUCUUCUUUAAUGAUGAUACCUGUGGAUUUAGGUUUAGAUAUGGCGAAUUGAGUAGGGAUCAUGAGGAGGUCAUGUUGUGGGCCUAAGGAGGUGUGGAAGAUGUCUUUAAGUGGCGGAGGUUGGUGGUUUAAUUGGCAAAGGUAGUUGUGAAGGACAUCUUGGAUUUCAUUUUCAAUGACAACUAGAUGUGGGGCAGUGAACCAUUCAUAUACCUGGUCUUGAGUCCAAAAGAGUUUUGUGUCUGGAUGCUGAAAGUAUGGCCUGUGAAUGAUAAAGACUGAGGUAAACAUUUGUGCUUCCGAGGCAGGCAUACGUUUAAAGUUGUAAAUUUCUGACAGUUGUUGGAGCUUCUUUCUCCAACAUGGUAUGGGGGAGAACCAUUCAAGUAAUGUCCAGGUAAGAGAGGUGGCUUUGUCUGGGUCAAGGAGAUGUUCCAAAGUGGGAGUAAUUGGUAGGACUAACUUAGUGGCAUAAAGGACUGUUAGGCACCAGAUGUACCAUAAUACAUCUUCAGUGGUGUCUCUGGAUGGAUCAAGGGUUAAACCUGUAAGGAACAGAUUUUCUGGGUGGAAGGAGGAAAAAGGAAAAGGUUAUGUGACAAGGUAGGCUUUCAUGAAGAAGCGAAAGAGAGCUUUCUUUGCAAAUUCUUAGAUGGCAAAGAUAGAAGAGAAGUUUUUGUUAAAGGGAAAAGUUUUCUUAGUGAGAGCUUCUGGGGGUAGUGAUGUAGCCAUGGAGAUAAUUGGAAAGUGGUAUGUAGUGGAAAACAGGGUGAGAGGUUUUUCUGGUUUUGAGAGUCUGGUGAGCAUAUCAGGGAUGAGGUUCUGGGAUCCCUUUAUAUGCUUGACCGAAAAGUCAUAUUUGGAAAACCAAUCUUUUAAUCUGAGUAACAUUUUUUCAGGAACAGUUUUACCUUUGAAAUUGAGAAUAUUGGGGAAGGCUGAACUAUCCAUACGGAUGAGAAAGUGGUGUCCAAUCAGAUGAUACUUAAACUUUUUGAUGCCAUUCUUUACCGCUAAGAUUUCUUUGAACACGCUAUGGUAAUGCUUCUGUGUGUCAGAAAAUUGUCCACUAGCGUAAGUGAUAAAGUGUUCUUUUCCAUUGAAUUCUUCAAGGAGGAUGGCACCCAUGAGUCAUCACUUGCGUCUGUCUGUAAUAUGCGCUUUCCAUCAGUAAUCAACUUUAAAGGAGGCGGAUUUUGCGCAAUCUGCUUGAGAGUAGUGACAACAUUUGUGUGGUCAGCAUUCCAUGCUGGGGGCUUCUUUUUCAAUAAAGCUGAAAGGUGAUGAGUGUAGUGAUCCACAUGUGGGAUGAAGUCUCUGAUGUAAUUGAUGAUGCCGAGAAACUGUUGAACUUGCUUUUUGGAAAGUUGCUGAUCUGGAAAGUGAAGCAACUCUUGGGCAAUGUGUUUUCCUGGUUGAUAAUGGCCAUCUUUUAUGAUCGUGCCAAGGAAUUCAAUGUUCUCCGUGGCAAUGGUGCUUUUCUUGGCAGACAGCAUAAUUCCAUGAUUUUGGAUAAUAUCAUAGAAUUGAGUUAACAGCUGGCGAUGUUCAUCAUGUGAUCCUAAAAAAAGCAAGAUAUCGUAAAUGUAAAUCAAUACAUGAUGCAGGAUGGGCUGAAAAAUAUGGACCAUGAAUUUUUGAAAAAUGGAUGGGGCAGUUUUGAGGCCAAAAGGUAGGACGGUCCAUUGGAAAUGGGCAUUUGGAAUACAAAAAGCAGUUUUGUAACGCUCAGAGGGUUCAAUGCCUAAUUGCCAAAAGCCUGAUUUUAAAUCAAAUUUUGAAAAGAUCUGGGCAUUUUUGAGAAAAGUAAACAUGCUUUGUCUACGGGGCAAGGGAAACUUGUCAUCUUGCAAAAACAUGUUUAAUGGCUGGUAGUCAAUGACUAGGCAUUUCUUUCCUCGGAUAAUUUCAGAAUGCUUUUCAACAUAAAAGGCUUGGCAAUUUUAUAUCAAUGGCUACCUCUAAAACCUCUUCCUCAAUAUAUGUCAAACUAUCAAUAUCGUCAUCUGUUCUGAUUAAAAAAAAAAAUCACAAGUUAUAUCUCAAGUAUAUGAUAAUUGAUCCAAAAAAAUAAAAUAAAAUGAAUAUACAAAUACAAAUAAAUAAAUAAAAACAUUAGAAAGUUCAACUCACAACAAUAAAAUGAAGUUCAACAAAUACAUUUCAGCAAAAAAAAAAAAACAUAAAGUUCGACAAAUAAAAGUUCUACAAAGUUCAAACCAUAAAAUAAACAAGCACAUAGUUCACAGCCAACAACAUCCAAGUUAAACAUAUUACAUAUUAAAGAACAAACUAUAAACUAGUUAACCAAUAAUUUUUCCUAUGCUCAGAAAAGCUUUCCUCCACUCAAUACUGGGCACUAGCUUAGCCAUCAAUUUGUUGUAUGUAUCUCCAUAGACCACUUUUCAACACAUUGAGAAGUUGACUCUGCACUUUUGCAUUUAACCAUCUCCAUUCUAGCUUCAUCACUGAACUAGUCAUUUUAAAGUAACUAUCAAACUCACUCUUUUUUUUUUACCAUGCUUAGUUGAAGUUGCAACUGGCCAACGAGGCCUUUUUUCUGUCCUAGUCUAGGAAAGAGGUUCUAUUGAAUCAUCAUCCUCAAUAUUAACAUGAACUCCAUGACCAAGAUAAUCCUCUUCCAAUUCACGAUCCUCAUCCGAGGACAAUGGAACUUGGUUAGAGGAAAAACACAAAUGGCCAGAAGCUAUGGUGGUGUUGAAUAUCUCCCCUAAGGUUUAGUAGUGCUCGAAUCCUUUUUUACGAUAUGGCUUCACUCCAGACACUCUCUAUGUAAAAACAUAAGUGUAUAAAAUCAAAAAAUAAUAUUUUAAUUUUAUAUGAAACUAUUUAACAUAUUGUGAAUAUAGUUUUACCUUAAUAUAUUCAGCCCAAACAGCUUCUGAUGCUGUGACAGUAUUUGAAACAAGAUCCCAACCAAACCCGGUAUGGGCUAUUAAGUUAGAAAACUCUCGAUGUUUUUUGCACAACCUAUUAAACUUGGACUUAAGUUGCCCUACAUUGAAUCUUUUUUAGGAUUGUUCAAAUAACUCAUCACUUAUAUUGGUCCAAAUUUUCUUAGUGAAAGUUGAUGUUUGUAAAUCACCCUUUUUAACAUGGUCAUGUACUAUACAAAUAAAAAUGGUUUUGGUCCGGCUAGACCAAUCAGCCUUAUCCUCAACAUCAACAUCAUGUGGAUCCAUAUCUUGAAAAAUUAGGAAAAAAACACAUAUAAAAUAUUAAUCAAAUUCAAUAAAGCAUGAAAGCCAUUUCAGCAACAUGUCAGACAUUAAAAACUGAAUGUUACUCGAAAAAUUUAAAAAAAAAAAACAUAUAUCAUAUAUUAAUCAACUAAAAACACUGCUCUUACAUAUACAUAGAUUAUAAAUUACAUAAGCCAAUUUAAAUUAAGGCCGAGCUCUCAUCAAAAGUUUUUUAGGGUACAAUAAAAAAAUGGGUUUCUAUUUUUUGUUCUCACUUCUACAAGUUGCAGAUUGGAGUGAAUUCUAUCCAGGCAAUACUUUUGGCAUGACAGGCAAUAAAUUCAAUUGUGAAUUCCAUCUAAAGCAAUAAAUUGAAAUUACAGAUUGUUUGACUGAAUUCUAUCCAGGGCAAAGCUUAAAAAAUCUCUAUUUCUCUCUAAUAACAAAAGUCCAAUUUGCCUAAAUCAUUUUCUCUGUAAAAAUAAAAUUGGAGUAACAGGUAAUAAAUUCAACUUGUGCAUCAUCAACAAAAUGGAAUUUGUAGUAAAAUCAAUAUUAUAGCAAUGACAAUCGUGAACAAUACCAUCUUUACAUGCUAUUAAAAACAAUUAAAAUCACUUAAAUAAUUUCUGAAAAUUUUAACUCAAAGAAAACAAAUACCGGCAAGUGACAGAUCUAGGAGAGCAACAACGGCUAGGCAAAGAUGGAGCAACAAUAGCUGAACAGAGACGAAGCAGCAAUGGCUGAGCAGAGACGAAGCAGUAGUAGCUAUGGCAGAAACAAAGCAGCGGCAGUGGUGAGACACGAUAGCAGUUGGAUAAAGAGGAGAGAGUAGAUCGGGAGAAAUAAAGAGAGAGAAAGAUGUUGGAUGAAGAUAAGGGGAGGGAGAGAGUGUAGAUUUGCUGCAACUGGAUCAAGAAAGCUGCGGGGGAAGAGAGAGAGGCAGUGAAGAGAUAAGGAGGAGAGAGUAGAUCGGGAGAAAUAAAGAGAGAGAAAGAUGUUGAUCAAGAUAAAGGGAGGGAGAGAAUGCAGGUUUACUGCAACUAGAUGAAGAAAGCUGCGGGGAAGAGAGAGCAGCAGUGAAGAGAUAAGGAGGAAGAAGGUCAUGAUUUUGCUUUUGUUUUUCAAUUCAUUUUUAGGUUUAGUUUGUAAAAUUUGGAGAACAUGUUUAACAUGUUUUCAGUUUGGUAGUUAUAAUAAUGAAUCCAGAUUUUAUGUUUUGUAAUUUGUUUUAUGUGUGUAUUAUAAAAAUGAAAAUGAAAACAUUGCUUGGAAAAGGGUACCGAACUGGCCCUUAUCAUCUCUGCAAAUCUGUUGCAGCAGCAUUCCAUCUUUAAAACUUAAGUUUUUCGGUCACCUACAAUUAUACACAUAAUCUAAGUAGUAUAGGAAAGCUUUGGACUGUCUAGAUGGUGUGUAGAAAGGUGUAUAGGUUUCAAAGAACGGAGGAGAUACUGGUGUUGGUUGUGGUUGAGUAAAAAGGGAAGGUCGAGUCUUUUCAGCUGAACAGUGAAGUCAUACUUAGCAAACCAGGUUUUCAGAUUGAGCAGUUGCUUGUCAGGGAGCAACUUGUUUUUGCCCAGAGGCUGUAACGGGAGAUUGGACAAAGGGUUUGGAGAUAACUCGGGUUUGUGUGUCUGUCUGUUUUUCAAGUGGAGGAAAAGAUUCUUCAUAGGAGUGGCUUGAAAACAUAAGGCAUGAUCUGAUUGGAUGGACAGGAGGUUUGGGAUCUGGUACUAAAAUGGAUGCUCAUAUCAAAUGUAACUAUAAUGCAAUAAAAACACAUAAUUUACUCUCUAAGUAAUAUUGAUUUAAGGCUAAAAGUGUCAUGAUAACUGUCAUUUCAUAGCAUUAUCAUUAGGCAAGUACAAUAUGGGAACAUUAGUUAGCUUUUGCUUGAUCAUUUGAAACAUAUUCUCUUGUUCUUCUCCACACAUGAAUCCAACAUCUUUUUUUAUUACUUCGGUAAGUGGUGUGGCCAAUGUGCUAAAGUCUUUCACAAACGGCUGGCAGAAGCCAGCGAGCUGGUGAAAGCUUCUUACAUUACUUACGCCUAUGGGACUUGGCCACUCUUGGAUUGCAUAUGCCUCCUUAUCAAUCUGAAUACCCUGUGCACUCACAAUAAAUCGUAGAAACACAAGUUUAUCGGUGCAAAAGGUACACUUCUUCAGAUUAGCAAAUAACUUUUCAUUCCUAAGCACAUCUAAAAUAGAUUUCAAAAGUACUACAUGUCUGUCCUAGUUUUUGCUAUAUAUGAGGAUAUCAUCAAAAUAAACAACAAAGAACUUGCCAAUAAAAGCUUACAAAACAUGAUUCAUACGUCUCAUAAAAGCACUCUAAGCAUUAGUCAGACCAAAAGGCAUGACUAACCAUAUUUUGUUUUAAAGGCAAUUUUUCAUUCAUCACCUUCUUUCAUUCUAACCUGAUAAUCACCACUUAAUUAACCAUUCAUAUGAUGUUCCUAAUUAAAGUUAGGCCUUUGAUAAAUGUCGUGCCUAUAUUAAUUACAUAUUUACCCUUAAGUCACUAUUUGUUCAAACAAUCACUUUUAAUAUAUCUAUAUUUGUAAAUAAAUUUUGCAAAUAAAUAUUAUUAUUCAAUUAACAAUUUAUUAAAGGUUGUUUAUAGUGAAGUAUAACAUGAAAGAAAAGUAGGGCUUAUGGAGAAUAGAGAGUUUUCUAAGAAAAGAAUAAGGAAAAGCUUCUUUGAGAGUUUUUGAAGAAAAGAACAAGCAGCCUCUCAAGAAAUCAAAUCUAGAAAAAUCACAUAGGGUUGGUCGGAGCAAAAGGAGAGAGAUAAAACUAGAGAUCCCUUUCAAAAUUGAACAUGUAGAGCUUAUAUAGGCGUGUUCAUGAAGGUAUUUUGGUGAUUUUGCAAAGCUCGUGAAUUUUCAUUGGUGUUUCCUUCUUGUCCUUUAAUGGUGACCUCCAACCACCAUUUUGUCUUAACAGCUGGGCACAUGGCAAACUCUUAGCCUUGUGGUCUUAUUAUUUUUCUAGGAAUAUUAGCUGAGUUGGUCCCUCCUGUUUUCACUCAUUUUAACCAAAAAUAAUAUAUUUUAUUCUUUCUCAUGAUAGCACGUACUGUUCAUGUGUUGGCUCUAACCAACAAAUUGUGGAGUCUGAUAAUACCCUUUGAUGCUGGGCAUAUUAACCGAAAUUGUUCUUUUCCUUAGGGAGCUUAUCUUCUGACCUUUGAGAGCUUUACUGCAUUCGGUUAAAUGAGCUGACUUCAUUUGCCACUUGUCAUCCAUCAUUAGUCUAUAUCAGCAUCUAACCAAAUUUCCUCCUAAACAAAAGCAUUAAAAUUAAGAAAGAUAUAAGAUGAAUCAAGAAAUAAACACAUAAGAUCUAUUUAUUAAUCACUAAUUAUAUUUCACAUUCAAUCAAAUGAAAAUAUCUAAUAAUCUUAGUCACAAUUUACCCUUUAGGUUUAGCUCUUUGAAAAUCACAGAUCAAAAACUCUAAAAUAACAAUCAUAACCCCAUCAAAUUCAUAUAUUUGGCCACCUAACAAGAUAGCAAUUAUUGAACACUAAAAUUAGUGAAACAUAAAAUUUUCUUGAGAAAGAUGAAGAAAUUCUUAUUCAAAAACUUUAUUAAUAAAAGUCUAUGUCUAUGGUUUUGAAAACAACCUUAACCAAUAAAAAGAUUACUCACACACUUCUGGAUUAUUCAAUAAAAAAAUGCAUUAAACAAAACUAAAAAAAGACAAGAGAAAGAAAGGUUUAUUGAUUAAAUUAUAGCUAUGGCAGCCAAGCCUUCUCUUCAGUUUGCCUACCCAUUACUACAAAAAUAACCCUUAUUGACAUUUGGUUUACCAAAACUUUGUAAAAUGUGUCAAUAAUCGAGUAUAUAUGCCCCAUUUUUGGCUUUUAACAAAUAAGUAUCUAAUAUGAACCCCGCCAAGAAUUGAUGCAACCCUAACCGAUUUAGUCCCUAAGAUCGAAUUCUAGAAUUGGAGUUGUAUGGAACUGCAACCCGAUACUCAAUGAAGGCAUAAAUCUUAGUAUGUAAGGACACCACAAUCAGGUAUGGAUAGGGUGAUUGAUAUGUCAAGGGCAAGAACCAAAAAGAAUUAACUUUCAAGCAAAUUGCAUCAAAACUUAUCUAUCUUUCUUAUUGGAUGCGAGUACAUUAUAUAUGGUUGGUUAUAAGAAUUUCCAUCCCAUAAUUGCUCUUGGAAUUUUUAAAAAUAAAUCCAAACAAAAAUCAAAUCAGAAUUAAUUACCUAAGGAAAACAUCUAAUCUAAAGCAAAUAAGGAAAGUUUCUUAAAUUAAAAUGGAAACUAAACAAUUGAAAGAGAAAUAUAUUAUUUGUCUCGCCACUUGUCUCCUUAAGAAAUGGGGAAUUAUCAAAAAAGGAAAGAAGUAUACUUUCCGACCAUAAUAUGCAAGAUAACUCGUUGAUGUCAUAGUAGUGAUUACUCUGAAAAUUCAAGAGCUUGAGUCAGGCAUUUGGUGGUCUGACUAUCAUGUGCAAUUCCUUCAAUAGGCCUCCACGAAUUUGAUUGAGUCCAAGAUGCUUGAAUCAGCCCAUUAAGCGCAUUCUUUGAAUUUUUUUUUGCACGAGCUCUUAUGACGGGUCUGAUGGAAACUUGAAUAUGAACUAAAUAUGCUUUAUCCCAUGUGCCUGUGACAGAUUUGUCCUCAAUCUCAUCAUUCUCCUCCUCUUGAAGAGGAUUUAUGCUGAAAUCAUCAUCUGCAUCAAAAGAACUCAAAUCAAAAACAUUAAAAUAAGCACUUACAUUGUACUCGCUAGGCAAAACUAGCUUGUAUGCAUGGUUGUUGAUCUAUUCUAAGACUUGAAAAAUACCAUCCACUCGAGGUAAUAACUUGGGUUUCCUUUGUUUCGGAAAUCAUUCCUUGCGAAUGUGUAACUACAUCCAAUCGUCCGGUUCAAAGACUAGCUUGUGUCACCCUUCAUUGGCUUGUUUAGCAUAUUUCUCAGUUCUCCCCUAAUGUUGAACCAUCUAAGUUACCAUGCUCAGAAACAGGUAAUGGGGUUAAAUCUAAUAGGGCUAAAGGAUUAAAACCAUAAAUAAUUUUAAAUGGUGAACACUUCAUAGCAGAAUUAACAGAAUGAUUAUAAGCAAACUCAACAUGUGGCAAACAAUCUUCAGAAGUUUUUAUGUUCUUUUUAUUGAUAGCCCGCAACUGAGUAGAUAAAGUUCUAUUCACAACUUCUAUUUGACCAUUAGUUUGAGAGUGACAAAUAGUUGAAAACAGCAACUUAAUUUCUAACUUAGCCCACAAUAUUUUUCAGAAGUAGCUUAAAAAUUGUCCUAAGUAUACCAUACAACCUCAUAAUCUCCCCCAAAGAAUAGAUCAGUGAUAUUAGAAGAAUCAUACAAGUUAUGUUUUGUUUUAAAAGUAGUUUUUCCAUUCAUUUCCUUCUUCAUUCUACUCUGAUGAUAUCUAUUUUUCAGAUCAGUUUUAGAAAAAAACACAAGAUCUAUGCAAUUCAUCAAGCAUAUCAUCUAGCAUAGGAAUGAAAUGUCGAUACUUUAUUAUUAUGUUGUUAAUAUAAAGACGAUUAUAGAAAGAUACUACGAUUAUACUCAAACAAUAGCCUUGAAAAUAAAGGUGAUACGCUAUAAUAAUUAUAGUGACCAGAACAGGGCCUAGGCCCCUGAUGCAAUGGUUUUCUUAAGCAUUCCUUGCCAAGGGCAGCUGCUCAACCAAGCAACAAAUUACCACCCUAAAAUGUAGCCACUCGCCUGGGAUAAAUUUAUGCUCAGAUCUCAAUCCUAUAGUUUUUCCCUUCCACGCCGUCCUUAGGCAAGCUCGGUUGUUAAGGGAAAGGCUCCUGAAUUACAAGCCAUGAUCUAAAAAGUGAUUGCCUCUUAACCCUUUGACAGUUCCCGAAGUAGAUGGAGCUGCUUAAGUACUUCCAUCUCUCUAACCCGUAGGAGUUCCAGUAAAAGGUGAGGACCCAAAUAGGGACCUAUGGCAAUAGUUUAAGUUGGUUUAAGUGGCGAAGAUAGCAGUAGUAAAACCUUUUUUUUAGAGAUAGUGAAAUUCUGGACCGAAGAGAUUCAUCCGUAGUAGAUAAGGGGCCAAGACAAGAGAAGCCAAUAAAAGACAUUAAUCUUACCACUUGGCUAUAAUACUAGUAUAGCAAACCAAAGACAAGAUGCGCAAGUCGGUCUAUUCGAAUGAGAUACUAAUACAAAUAUUGUCGGGGUAAGCCAAUGGGAUACUAAGGGGAUAAAUCAAUCCGAUAAAGAGAUGUUGUUGUUCUUUUGUGCUCUAAGUAGAGCUCUUGUUACUUGAGUCACAAAACCCGAGGGAAAGAACUCAUCGGCAUGCAAGUUGAUAAAACCUAAAGAUAAGAAACGAAGAUACAAGCUUGAAGUGUCCAUGAAGCAUAUAAGGGUAGCGAGCUCUUAUUAGUAUUAGUAAUAGUAAAGUAAAGCUCCAAAAAAUGAGAGAUUAAUCUGCAGUGCUGAUCUGACUCGUCUAAAGACUCCAAAAGAUCACAUAGAAAGAAGAGUGUUUGAUAUACUAAUAGCAUCAUAAGAACAGCAACUAUACUGGUAUUGCUUCAGCCUAAGCAAAAUAAAUUUUUAAGAAAUAGUGAUCCAUACUCUCUAUCAGGGGGCUUGGGCUUGGCAACCCAUGCUCUGUCCACCAAACCAAUAUCAAAUAUCUUUGUGGGGACUUAGGCUUAUGGAACCCCUAUAUCUUAAAGGUUGUCCUUAAUAAAUAUCUCUUUCUUUCUUCUCAAGCAUAGUAGAUUAAGGCACAAUGUCUUUGAUAAAUCGUUAUCUCUGUCUCUGUCUCAUCUCAGGUUCUGUGGGUUAGUCACUUUGGUAUAGUGUAUUAGAAAAUUUAUCUUUUUGAGACAUAAAAAUUAAACUCGGCCUUAAUAUAUGAGCAAGGUCAAAUCAUAAAACCAAAGCAAUCUUUUUCAACCCAGUCCUCGAGCUUUUUUAAAACCUUGUGACUCCCAUCCCAUCAAGUACGGAACCAAACACUGAAACUAGUUCAGGUUAAGUAGAGAUCAAGGGAUGAGCGAAGCUUAAUCCUUUCUGCUGAGGUUCAAGAAUCAUACAUCAUUUAUCUGUGAGCCGAGAAAGAUUUCCAUUGUUGAGGAACUUGACGCAGAAAGAUAAAUUCAAAAAGAAAGAAAACCCCUCAAUAGAUAGAGUGAGACUAUACCCUUAUCUAUGAAAAAUUAGUUUAGAGGGUUCCAAACCUUUCUUCAAUAUAAGGGACAUUGAACCCUAGAUUUCCCUAUCUACUUUCCCAUUACUUCUUACCAAGAAAAGGCAUGCCAAAGAUUUAGGCGCACGAUCAAACGCCUUAUGUGAUAGAGGCUUCGAGAUUCAGAGCUUUAAGAACAAUAAGAACCUAUGCUUACUAAAAUAGUUUGUCGAUUAACCACUUUUUAACUUUCUUAACUUAUUUCACUUAUCGCUACUCUCCUAAGUGCCUAGAACAAGAGAUUCUCAUUGUGUCGCACCCUAAAUUCCUUCACUUUAACUAGCGUUAUUAGAAAAAAAAAAAGUAGUUUUCUAUUUAUCUAACUCGUUGUGUCGUGCUCUAAACUCACAAGGCUAGGUCUUACACCUAAAAAGAGUGUUUCAAUUUACCUAUUUCAACUUAUCUAAACAGGCUAUCAUUGCUAAUAGAAAAAAAAAAUACUUGCUUGGCCUGGCUUACCAUUCUAAAAUGAAAGUCUCAUCUUGUUCACAUUAUAGGCAGUAGAAGAGUCAUAUUGAGUCUAUUCUAGUCUUAGUUUCACUCAGUGGUUAAGCAAGCAGUGGAUGUGCAAAGAUUAACAGAGAUCUCAUAAGUUAAGGCUAAGAGAAAGAAAAGAAAAGAAAAGAUGGUGCACGGCGCAUCAGGAUAAGUUUUUGAAUUCAUAGAUAUGUCCGCUUCACUCUCAAACUGUCCAUCAGGUGCAUGUUUAGUACCAACAAAGUAAAGUUAAAGCUCUGGAUCGGCUUUGCCAACAGAUUUAAUGCUGGGGCAUAAGAACAUUAUCUUUGGAAGAGAGAUAAUACAUAAAAUUCACUCACCGAUAUUUUGAUUUUGAUUGAGAAACUAAUCAAUGAAAGCCCUUUACUAGUGUCCGGAACUUAUAUCAUCACCUACCUGGAAUUGGAAUUCUUCGCGACCUAUCUAAAAAGGCUCAAGAGGACUUUGCUUUGCUUGGCGAGAAGAGUCUUAUAUCCAUUGGUCGAGGAAAUAAAAUAAUCUUUCCACACGAGAUGAACUGUUUUUACUACUUUGAUCCCCACCACGAGGCAAGUAGGUUUCCUUGGUCAUUCAAGAAGCUCUUCUUCCUUUUCAGUAUGAGACGAAGAUUGAGGCGUCAUCGUGACAUAAAAAAUGAAGUUUUUUUGAAUUGAGAGAAGCAUUGAUCGGCCAAAGUUUGCCUUUCCACUGACUAACUCAUCGGAUUGCCUUUUCUGACCCUACUAUUUGACUUAUUCACCCUUUUUUUUUUAAAGAAUGAAAGGACAUGCACGAAUGGAUUUAUUGGGAGUAAAGGAUAUCCUCUAAAGGAGAAUUCUAAAUUGAAAAAAAAUUAUCUAACGAAGCAAUCUACUGCGCCAAAGUCGCAUUAAGACCCAUAUCAAAAGCCUGAAAGAUGUAUUUUGAUUGUGCCUUAAAAAUAGAUAAGAAAGGACAACUAAAAUCAGGGGUCAAAAUCGUCUUUAUUACUCCCAAAGGCAUCAUGAUCAUGUAUUCUUUCACUUUGUCAGAGUCAUGUUCCAACAACGUGUUAAAAUACACGAUGUUGAUUUUAGGAAUGGAACUAGCUUGUGACAUCAAAGUACAUCAAAUGGAAGUUUGAAGUAACCAAAAUUUAGUAAUUAACCAAAUGAACAGCGUCUAUGAAGUUAGAAAACCAUAUCCUUUACCCUAUCAUACAGUAGCGAGCGAAUUAGCACGCACAUUUGCAUAUUUCAACAUUAAACAUGUGCCAAGGAGACAAAACACAAAGGCAAACGUCUUAACCAGUCUCGCAGCUUCUCUGUCUUUACCAGAAGGAGAAUCCAUGAUGGCCUAUAAGCAAAGAAACCUGCCACCACUCAACACCUGUGAAAUAAGCAAAACAACUAACAAAGCAAGCAUUGAAGGGCACUCACUAAGUCUUCUAUCAAAGGAAGCUCUCGCUGAGGGCUCUUCAUAUGUCCAUCCUCUACUCAUCCAUUUCAGGUUAAGAAAAAGCCUCCUACAAGGAAUAGAAAGACUAUGCAAUAGCAUAAGGAUAACAAAGAAAACUCUUACACACAUCCUUCAUGUUCCCUUCUUAGGAACUAGCAAAACUGAAACUACACAUGAACUCAUGCUUUUUCUCACGUAUCCUUUUUCCAUUAAUUUACUUACCACUUUUGAAGUUUCUUUGUCUCCUCCGAUUUACUCCUAUAGCCUGGCCGGUUUAUAAUGGUUGCACUGAGCAUAAAAUCAAUCUAAUGCUCAAUCCCCCACAUCAGAGGUAAACCAUAUAGUAUUUUCUCAAGAAAGACAUCCUCAUAAUCCUGCAAAAGAGAAGUAAUAGAACUAGACAAGGUAGGGUCAAGUUCGUUAAUGUUUAAAUAUGCCUCUUUGCAUAAAAAUAAAAUCAUUGGCUAAUACAAAAGCAUUGCUUUUUUUAUCACUCACUCUUGCAUAGAAAUUCUUUUGUUUUCCUUCUGAUUUUCUCUCAAUGGCUACUGCAUUCUUCUUUUCAUUUUCUUUCUCAUUUUUUCUCGGCCUCUCUCUGAUUUUUACUCUCUUUUUCUUUUUUUCUUUUGUUCACUCUUUUUCUUUUAAUCACUCUCUUUAUAGGCUCGCUUGAUCUCCAUAUACAUGUUUUGGUGUCAAUAGAACAAAAGUUAUAUUGCGUUGAUUAAACACAAAUGAAUACUUAUUGGUGAGCCAUCAUACUUCACACGUCUGUCGAAUUACCAAAGCCACCCGAGUAACAAGUGUCCAACUUGCAUUAGCACUACAUCACAUAGCACCUUAUUUUCAUACUUACUAAUCCAAAAAGUCUUUAAUACCUACUUGUUCACUCGCACCUCACCACUAUAAUUUGUAUGGUCGUGGAUGUUCCUAACUUCUCCACCAUGAUAGUACUAGCAAUAUUAAUACAACAUUUUCCAUCAAUAAUCAUACUACACACUUUAUCUUGAAUAUAGCAGCUAGUAUGAAAAAUAUUUUGCCGUUGCACUACUUUGUCUUCUUUUACUUGCAUACUCAAAACUCUCCUACCUUUUAAAGUCAAUUCCCCCGAGGCUUUAUACUCUUCAUCUUCAAUGUCCUCCAAUGGUGCAUCUCAUUAUCCUCUGUUUCAUCUUUAGUUACAAUCUCUCCAUUAUCUGCAACACCAUAACUUAUUUAGACAUUCACUUGCUAUGUGUCUCCUGCCUUUACAUUUAAAACAUUUAAUAUCACAAUUCCUAGUAAUGGAAGUCAUGAUGUUAUGUGGUGAAUUAUGUUUGGAUGUGAGGUACAAUUUUCUGACUUAAAUAAAAUAGAAUUUACUUUAAGCUAAUAAGCAAUGACAUAAGUGAUGAUGUAAGAAACGUUUGUAAAGAUAGUUAAAAAUUCUAGAAUUUAGUAAGAUAUUUAUGAAGGAUAAUCUCAACCAUUGAUCAAAAGUUAUGGUGGCAAAAUCCUAGCCAUCAAUUAGCCUUAAGAAAUCCUAUAAAAUACCCCCUACCCCUUUCAUUUUUAAUCCAACCUAGAAAUUUCACCCUCUUCUAUUCUAAGUCAUAACAUCAAGAGUAGAGAAAUCCUCAAUUUAAAAUGGUCUAGAAAAGUCAAGGACAAGAGGUAAGUAACACUUAAACGGCAAUGUAGGGACAUAAUUCUUUUUAUACUUAACUUCAACUUUAAUUAAUUCUUAAUCUUGUGAUGACUAUUAUGAUGUGAUUGGUUAUGAUCUAAAGUUUUACAUGGAUGGCUAUGCCGCCUAUAUUAUAGUAAUUUCUUACUUAUCAUUAUAUAGUCGGCUAUGUCGUCUAAUCUAUGAUACUUAAUUAUGUUAUGGUCGGCUAUACCACCUAAUCUACGAUACUUAAUUAUGUUAUGGUGGGCUCUGCCGCCUAUACUAUAAUUCCAUUUUGUUUAAUCUCUGUAUGGAUGACAUUGCCGCCUAUAUUAAAGAUUGUUGUCCUUAAAUAGUGUUGUGUGUUGAUUCUAUUGUGCAUCUAAGAACUUCAAAUGUUAUGACAUAAGUUGCAUUGGACACAUGCAUUUCAUGGAUUACUUUAUGAAGAAGACAUUUCAGAAAAUGAAUUUAUGAAAAAUGGGUGGUUGUACUACCAGGUGGCAAAGUUUCCAAAGAGGGCAAGCCCUCCAAGCAUAGUAAAAGGUAAAUCUUUUAGGGACGGCAAUACAUAAUGCCCAAAAGAUCAACUAAUUAGGCCCAAGGGCAUGAUAUUUUAAAGAAUAAGAAUGUUAGCCUUAUGGUACAACAUACCUAGGGCCCUAACAAAGUUGUUUUGUAUUUUCUAAGCUUCAUUUAAAAAACUUAAUAUGGUCAUUUAUAUGCAUAAUAAUUUAUACAUGCAUCAAAGUGUUAUCUUAUUGGACAUUAACUCAAAAAGUCCUUACAUUGCAGCUAACGAUGAGUAAGGCAAGCUGACGUCAAGUUCCAACCGAGGCCAGGUGCAUAUAGGCAUAUCAAACCUUGGGUUUUAUGAUGGACUCAAUUUUGUUUCAAUAAAAAUAAAUAAAUAUCUUAGCUUUAGUAUUAAUAAAAUUUUGAGUAAUAUAUUAAGGAAUCUCUGUAUGUCUCCUACCUUUUGUAAGGAAGUUUUGCUUGCUAUGUAAAUUUUUUUUUUUAGAAUUCGUAUCUAUAUUAAAAGUAACAAUGUUUUAAACAUUUAAAAAAAAAAUUAAGUGGAGUGUUACAUUGGAGGACUUAGAUCUUGGCUUAGGUGCAGUAAAUACUUUUCGUCUCUUAUCUUGCUUUACAUAGCUCAGCUUCCAAGGAGUGGAACUUGAGCUUGGGCUUGCACGAGUUUACCCCUUCUCUUGAGUUGCUACUCAAUCUUGAUGGUUUUGUGGACCAUCUCCUUAAUCUCCACAUAAUGUUGUAACUCAACAAUAUUUGCAAUCUCCCUAAUUAAGGCCAAUCAAGAAUCGUGUCAUGGUAGUGUUUCUAUCCUCCUCCAUGUUCGCUCUAAUCAUGGCAAUCUUUAUUUCUUUGUAAUAAUCCUCUAUGCUUCGGCUACCCUGUGUAAGACUUUGUAAAUUUUUGUAUAAGUCUUAGUAGUAGUGGUUAGGUACAAAACUUCUUCUUAUUAACGUUUUCAUUUUAUCCCACGUCUCAACUAGACGUUCCCUAUUUCACCUCUUGUUUAUAACAAGCUGACCUCAUCAAGUAAUAACAUAGUAAAAAAACUCAAUCAUAAUUAAUUUUACCUUUUUUUGCCUCAGAAUAGUUGUGGCAAUCAAACACAAACUUCAUUUUCUUUUCCCAUUCAAGGUAUGCUUCAAAGUUAGAUUUACCUUGGAAAGAUAGGAUCUUCAUAUUUAUGCCACUCGAAUCAUUAUCUUGGUUCCUAGCUCUCCAACCCUGUCCAUCUCUCUUAUAAUUUCCCACAGAAUCCUCAUCUUCAUCAUACUCAUCUUUAUAGUGGUUAUCAAUCUCUUUUCUAGCCAGAACUCUCUUCCUUCUACGUGCUUGGGGAAUAGGUUGUGGCUACCCCGCACAUGCAUUCUCUACUUGAUCUAAAUGCUCAUGUAGUGCUCUAAUUCAGCCCUCAUCAUCCAUCUCAUCUCCUUUAUCAGGGCUUGAAUUUGUAUAUUUUAGACGGCUUGUUAUUGAGCCAUUUCUUCUGCAUUUCAUUCAUGUUAUGAGACAUGGUUAAAAUCUAUAAAAAGAUGUUAGAAAUUAUGUUAAAGGGACCUCACUACACUCCUUUACGUAUUUCACUAAAGAAACUGAUUCACUCAAUUCAACUAGUGCUUCACUCAAAUUAGAUGGCUUCUACCCUCUAAUAUGCUCACACUUUCUUGCCUUUUUCCACUCGUAGUAAUUCUAACUCGGUUCUUAUCAAACGAAUCAAACCAAUAUUAAGAUUUCAACAGCAAUUUAUAAGGAUUAUACCAAGGAGAUUCAGAUUUCAAAAGCAAGAAUUCAAUGAACAUGUAUGAUCAAGUUUCGGAAGCACAAAUUAUCGAACUUUUGAGCAAAAGAAAAAUUUCAUACUAUAGGUUAAAACCAAUUUCGGGCUCUCUAAGACACUAAUAAUGGAAAACAAACAAAAACUUUUAAGCGGAGUUUGUGGACUUUUUUUUUUUAACUCUCACUAUCCUCUUGUUUCUUUCUUCUCUUGUUUCUUUGUUUCCUUUUUUCUUUUGGAAUCCUGCUUUUGUUUUUUUGUACGAAUCGAUACAAAAGUCUAACGAAACUGAAAAAUUAAAGCAAGAAUCAUAACUCAAUAAAUUAAAACAAAGAUAAAUAAAAAUACUGGAAAAGGUGUAAAGUUCGACCAAAAAGGUUUUAUGGAUUAAGGGAAUUAAGACUUGCGAUUAACAUGAAUCAAAAAUUAAAGAAGUGGAUAAGCAAAACCUGGUCAGAAUGUCUCUCUGUUACCAAAUAAUAUGAAUCCUACCAAGAAUUAAUGCAACCCUAACCAAUUUAGUCUCUAAGAUUGAAUUCUAAAAUUGGAGUUGUAUGGAACUGCGACUCGAUGCUCAAUAAAGGCAUGAACCUUGGUAUGUGAAGAUGCCACAAUCAGAUAUAGAUGGGUAAGUUAGAGGUUUGAACGCCACGAAAUCCAAUAAGUUCAACAAGUUAGUUUAAGAACCAAAGAGAAUUAACUAUCAAACUAAAUGCAUCAAAACUAGUCUAUUUUUCUUAUUGGAUGAGAGUACAUUAUACAUAGCUAGUUUGAAGAAUUUUCAUCCCAUAAUUGUCCUUGGAAUUUUCAUAAAUAAAUCCCAAACAAAAAUCUAAUUAAAAUUAAGGGUUAUUAUUAUUUCACUACUUCAAAAAUUACCAAAUACCAAAUGACUACAACAAGUAUUGUCUCCUAUCAUUUUUCUACUAUAUCUUUAUAAAAAUAUCAUUUUACUACUUAGUUGACCAGUUAGUUGACUAACAAAUGUUAUAACUGUUAGUUGACCAGUUAGUUGACUAACAAAAUACCAAUUUCACCCUUCAUGAUUAAAAAAAAAUACUUGAAACUUAUUUACAAAAUAAAUUUGUAAUAUAUUUAUUAAAAUGGAUAUAUAAUACCAACAUAAUUCUUUUACUGGAAUUAUGAUAUAUGGAUUACAAAUUUGGUAUUUUGUUACUCAACUAACUGGUCAACUAACGGGUCAACUAACGGGUCAACUAACGAUUCUAACCGAAAAGCAGUAAAAUGAUAUUUGUUGUAACGGAAAAGUAGUAAAAUGAUAUUUUUAUAAAGAUAUAGUAGGAAAAUGAUAGGAGACAAUAUUUAUUGUAGUCAUUUGAUAUUUGAUAAUUUUUGAAGUAAUAAAAUGAUAAUAACCCUAAAAUUAAUUACCUAAAGAAAAUGCCUAAUCUAAAGCAAAUAAGGAAAACCUCUUAAAUGGCUUUAAUGCCUUACAUCAAUCAACAUGGAAAAUAGGCAAUUAAAAGAGAAAUAGCUUAUUUGUCUCGCCACUUGCCUCUUCAAGAAACGGGAAAGUAUUCGAAAAGAAAAGUAGCAUAUUUUCCAACAAUAAUAUGCAAGCUAACUUGCUGGUGUCAUGGUAAUGAUUAUUCGGAAACUUCAAGAGCCUGAAUCGCGCAUUUGGUGAUCUGAAUAUCAUGUGCAAUUCCUUCAAUAGGCUUCGAUGAAUUUGAUUGAGCCCAAAUUGCUUGAAUCAACCCAUUAAGUGCUUCUUUGAAUUUCUUUGCACGAGCUCUUAUGACGGGUUUGAUCGGAACUCGAAUAGGGUCUAAAUAUGUCUCAUCCCACAUGCUUAUGACAACUUUGUCCUCAAUCCCAUCAAUACAUUUGAGAAUCCAUCUCUUUACAAGAGCAUUAUUGGAUCACUUCAAUAUGUCACUUUAACAAAGCCUAAAAUAGUAUCUACUAUCAACAAACUCAAUCAAUUUUUGGCAGCUCCUACUAUUCAAAAUUGGCAAGUUUAUAGGAGGGCGCUCAGAUAUCUAAAGGCACUGCACAUUUUGGCCUUCAGUUCUUUCACUCAGGAUCUCUUACUUUGAUAGCAUAUUCAAAUGUAAAUUGGAGGUCUACUCUAGAUGAUUGGAGAUGAAUAGAAGGGUGUUGUUUGUUCCUUCGAUCAAAUCUUGUUUCUUGCUUAUCAAAGAAGCAAAUUCUUAUCUCUCAGUCCACUGUUGAAUCAGAAUAUAGAGCACUUGCCUUAGCCACUCCUGAGGUGUUAUUGAUAACUUAUCCACUGAAAGAGUUAAAUCUUCUAUUCUACAUUAUGACAACACUAUGUAGUCUAAAAUACCAUGCAACACUAUAAGAAAAUUGAUUAUUAGCGAGGGACCUGUUCCCUCGGUAUUUCUCUAAAUCCCUCGAUAAUAGUAAAACAUGAACCCACUUUGCUCAGCUGCAGACUUCAAUCAACCCAUAAGACUACCCAUGUUAGUCCCACUCCCAAAAUACAAUCCUGUAUGAUGUUUUCCCCAUCAACAUCUACAGAAUACCAAGCUCAGUUCCCACAUUUGGAAAAACAAACUGACCAACAAAAGAAUUUCAUCUCCAAACCAUAUCUCCCCUCUACAGUAACUCCUGCUGGCCAUUUAGAAGAACCUCGUUCUUUUGAGGCAGUCUUAAACUGGCAAACUCAAAAUGUUGUUGCACAGAACCAAGCACUCACUACCUUGCAUCAUAAGGUAGACCACGUUACACACAAAACCAACCAGGUUGAGAAAAAGGUUGAUACUAUCUCAAAUAAGUUAAAUCUGAUUUAUCAAAAUCUUCAUAACAGAGUUACUCAACUAGACUCUGAACUUUGGGCUAUGCUUGCUCAAUGAGUCUAUAGUCUUGAUUUUGAUAAAAAAGAAGCUGAGAUAAGUGCUUUGAAAGCUGAAAUUGCCAGAAUUGACUCAGAAAGAGUCCAGCCUACCCUGUUUACAAGUUUUGCUCCAUUACCAGUAAUUAAUCCUACCUAUCAUCCCUUCUUGCCAUCUUUUUCCUCCCGAACAUAUGAACCUUCUAAACUUUUUGGUAUGACCUAUACUUUGUUUCCUCCACAUCCACGACCUCAACCAAAACUAAAGAAGACACCAAAACCAGCUCCAGUUCAAAAACCCAUUCCUCAGCAAAAUCCUCAAACAUCCAGAUUUGAACCAUCACUCUCUCCAUCACCAACUUCUUUACCUGAAUCUACUCAACCACCACCAAUCCAAACUAUUGUUUCUCUAGAAAAAUAGCCCAUGUACCAGUAUUCUGCUCAACAAUUUUCCCAUUCACCAUCUCUAGAUUUCUCUACUGAAAAUUCCCCUUCACAAUCAGAUUCAUCAUCCAUUAAGUCAUCCGAUUUGUCUGAUUUAGACACUUCUAAUUCAACUCUAGCUGAUAUUUCCAAACUCCUCAUGGAAGAACCUACUGAACAAUCUGGUGCUAUUGACCCUGGCCCAAGAACUGAACCUGUUGACACUGAUGAAGAAAACCAAGAAAUUGGCGAAACUGGUAAAUCUUCUCAAAAUUCCACCUCAGCCAAAAGUUUCCAAACCUUCCAAUAGUCCAUAGUUUACUUUUGAUGAUAUCCCUCCAACAAAAUAGAGAGAAAGACUACAAGAGUUAUCUGCUUGGAUUGAUCUCUAGAUGUUAGCUCCAGAUGCAACAACCCAAUCUGUUCUAAGAGAAUUCAGUACUCGGUUUACGGGUUCUCUUCGAGAUUGGUUUGACAGUCUUGGACAGUAUAGACAACUUCAGUUCAUCCAUAUUUCUGAUGUCUCUCAGGCCUUAGCCAUUCUCCAUGAUCAAUUUAUUGGAGAACCAAGUGCUACUUUUGAAGCUGCAAGACGUGAUUAUCUCAACAUGAAAUGUUGUUCUCUCAACAUGAAAUGUUGUUCUCUCAACACAAAAGAUCUUUAUUACCACUACAAGAGAAUGUCUUUGCUCUAUUAUAAGCUGAAUGGAUUCAAUGAUCCCACACUCAGGCAUGUAUUUAUGGCAUCUCUUCGAGAAGAAUUACAACCAAAAAUUCAGCGUCAGUUAGCUGCUCACAGGCUCAAUAUUGACAUAUUAUCAUUGGGAAAAUUAUUCCAGAUUGCUCUAGGAUGUCUUAACAAAUUGUAUGAACAAAAGAAGUUCUUCUAGGAACUUAUCAAAGACAAAGAACAUUUCAGAUCUGCUUGCAAAAAGCCUUACUUGGCUAUCAAGUGCAAAGAUCCAAAGAAGUGUGACUGCUCACCCAAGAAAAAAUCUCACUUUAAGAAAUCUAGAUUCCCAUUUCCAUCCAGGAAACUGUGUACCAAACAAUUUCGCUUUUUCAGAAAAAGGAAAUCCCAUUCCAAAUAGUUUCAUGACAGAAAGAAAAACAGGUGUUUCAUUUGCAAAAAGAAAUGUCAUUUUGCCAAAGAUUGUCUUGUCAAACCUCACAAGGCAAUAAAACUUAUUUAACACCUGGAAUCCACUACAGAUUUUUCCCCAACCACGGACCAAGUUGAACACUUGUUUUCUGAACAAGAAGAGCCAAAUGAUGAUACAGUCUUUGCCUUACCAGCAAAAUCCAAUGAUUUAGACAGUUUUGAUUUUGAACCCAUCUACACAGUCCAACUUUCCUCCAUUUUCAUUCAUGACCAUACCAUACCCAUACCUUCUAUCAAAAUCCAAAUUAUCCCUUCCAAAUAUCAUAAACCUAUCACAACCAUUGGUUUUCUUGACACUGGUGCUCAGCGAAGCAUGCUUGAUCCUGCUAUUCUUCCUACUGAGUAUUCGAAAACUCAAGAGGAACACUUCAAAGCAGCAGAUGGAAAGAUCUUUACAACUAAAUUAGUUACUAAACAUCCAAUAGGAAUCCAGUUAUUUCCUAAUUGUGUUGUUUGGAUAAAACUAAUUGGUUCAUCUUUGCCAACACAAAGAUCUUCUUGUAGGUUUAGACAUCCUACAUCAAGCAAAAAAUGUCCAGAUUACUUCCUCUGGUCUCCGUUACAAAUCCAUGAUUAAACCUUUUACCAGCACUCUAAAGAUCUAUUCUUUAGCCAAUUCACCACCCUCAUACCAGGCCAUUACAAACCAAAUCCUCAAAUUUUGCCCUGAAAACCACAGCCUUUUUACCCAUCCAAACCCGUUGUGGAAAAACCCAAAGUUCUUCAUAUCCUUACCUUUCAAACUAAAUGAAGACAAUAACCCAACCAAAGCUACCCAUACAGGAAUAACCCCACAAGACCUUAUCUUGGCCCAACAAGAAUGUGCCCAAUUACUAAAACAAGGCCUCAUUGAGCUCACAAAUUCUCAAUGGGCUUGUCAAGCCUUUUAUGUUGAAAAAAGGUCUGAAAUUCUUCGUGGCAAAAAAUGAUUAGUCAUUGACUAUUAGCCACUCAAUAAUUUUCUCCAAGAUAAAAAAUUUCCACUACCCAACAGACACACCCUUUUUGUCCAACUAAAAAAUGCUCGAAUCUUUUCAAAAUUCGACUUGAAGUCCGGUUUUUGGCAACUUGGCAUUCACCCCUCUGAACGAUACAAAACUGCUUUUUGUAUUCCAAAUGCUCAUUACCAAUGGACAGUCCCUCCUUUUGGCCUCAAAACAGCCCCUUCCAUUUUUCAAAAGGCCAUGACCACUAUCUUUCAGCCAAUCCUCCACUAUACCCUUGUUUACAUUGACGAUUUGCUUCUUUUUUCAGGUACUCAUGCGAUUGCGACUACCUCUGUUGACUUUCUUGGCAUGAAAAUCCAAGAUGGCCAUUAUCAGCCUGGACCCCACAUUGCACAAGAGUUACUCCACUUUCCCGAAAGUAACUUUACCAAAAAGCAAGUCCAACAAUUCCUUGGAAUCAUCAAUUACAUCCGUGAUUUCCUGCCACAUGUCAAUCACCACACAAGCAAGUUGUCUGCCCUUCUAAAAAAGAAUCCACCCUCCUGGUCAGAAAUCCACUCAGAUGCUGUAAAGUAAUUAAAGCAGAUUGCCCAGAAUCCUCCAUCUUUAAAGCUGAUUACAGACGGCAAACGAAUCUUGCAAACAGACGCCAGUGAUGAGUCAUGGGGGGCCAUUCUCCUUGAAGAAUGCAAGUGGAUAAUUUCCUGAUGCAUAAAUGCAUUAUCACACAGUCUACAAAGAGAUCUUAGCCAUGAAAAAUGGUAUAAAAAAAUUUGAAUUCCAUUUGAUUGGUCAUAGAUUCUUGAUCAGACUAGAUAAUUCAGCUUUUCUCAAUAUCUUAAACUUUAAGCGGAAAGUUCUCCCAGAAAAAACCCUACUUCAGCUUAAAGAAUAGUUUUCAAGAUAUGAUUACCAUGUCCAGCAUAUAAAAGGAGAUCAUAACCUCAUUCCAGACUUACUAUCCAGACCUCCAAAAUCAAAACCUCCCUAGUUUUUCUGUCCCACUUCUCAUAUUGCCUUCCCGAUCAUUGCCAUGGCUAGUUCACUCCCUAAAACAGUUCUCACCCAAAAGUCUUUCCCACUCAACAUGACUUUUCAGUCACCUCACACAAUUCAAGACUUUGCUAGGAAAUUCCUCUUUGGGUUUUUUAUGAACAUCUAUCAGAUGAGUAGAGAACCUAUGUUCCUUCCAAGCUUUUAACCUGAUCAUCUUUUCCUCAUAGGAUUAAUAAUUACACCUUAUAGAAAUAUUCCCAAAGAUGAACUUUGGUAUACAUGGUGUCUUACUGUUCUGUAUGCCACAAAAAUGGUUUUCCCUAUUUUACCCCUUCUGAACAGACUCAAUAAUCCAGAGUUAUCCACCUCCCUUACCUGGACUCUUUUUGAAUGGUUUUCACCAUUACCAUGGUGGCGCCGAAAACCGCAACAAAUUGCUGACACACCACUUUCUCGACCUUCCAGACCAAGAAGGACAACAGUUCACUUAUGUUUUUAUCAUUCAUCGUCCAUAUUUCCAACAUCCUCAUACUAGAGAUUUUUGGACUUAGAAUCAAAGUUAUGAAUGGAUGACAGUCCCUCACAUUGCCUGUCUCAAACAAGAUUUCCAGAUCAAGACUUCCUUGAAGAACUUCCUUAUGGAACUCAACCAUAUUCCUCCAGACUAGCCAGAAAUCCUCCACACAUCUCUUGAACCAAAACAUGAAAUGUUUAUGAUCCCUACUCCAUCCUUACAUUCCCAACCUCCCAACCGUGGAAUCAUCAUAAAAGAAGAAAAACCAGAUUACGCUGACUUCUUAUUUCAAGAUUCCCACGAUCCUUAUGAAGAUUUUACUCCGGUACCUUCACCAUCACCCUAUGAACUUGGAUCAUCCUCUUCUCUAUAUCCACCAUUUUCCUCUUAGCCUGACUAGCCUGAACAUUAUCCUCAACCAGUUCCUUCAUCUCCACAAGAUAUUCCUCUACCAAAAGGAUAAUAUUGCCCUUGGCCAUGUGUUCCAAGAUGUUCUCAUCCAGAGAGAAUAUUCAAGAAAGACAAGGAUCCUGAUCGUGACCCUGAUGAGACUAAAUCAUCAUCUGAAGAUGGUUCCAUCUCUCUUUAAGAUAUUUUUCAUCUUGUAAUAAUGGGUGUCUUUAGGUUUUGCUUUUGCCUUUAACUUUUUAAAAGUUGUUUGUCAUUUUGUAAUAAGUGUAUGCUUUAGCUUUAUGCUUUAGUUGUUUGUCCUUAUGUAAUCAUGCCCUUUACUUUUUUCGGCCACUACUGUACCAGUGAGCCCUACCUACUUUUGUAAAAUAAGUGUGCUUGUAUGCCAACUGGAAUGAUCUUGAUCCAGCUUUUGUCUUUUCUUCUCCUUAUCCUUAUAAAAGGAGAGUUAUUUUGAUACCAUAAAUGUACGUGGCGUUGUUCUACCCGAUCUACAACAGCACAAGUCUGUCCUUAGGGCCAGUAGCCCGCAAGUUCUAGUUUCCAGCCGAUAUACAUAUAGGUGCAAAACCUAAAACAAUUCUUUAGAGGUUAUAUAACCCAAAACAGACUUUCCUUAGUCUUAAAACAGGGUACCAAACCGUUUAAGAAAUCAUCAUAAGUUUUCUGAUGCACAGGAUCCUUACUAGAAGGCAAGUGCAGAGUAUACUUCCUUAAGUUUUCAAAAUGAACAAAUUCAAUUCUUUGUUCUUUUUCUUUCUUUAGAUCUUCAUUUGCAGAGAGAGAGAAGAGAGUUUAGAAAUUCAUGGUUUUUUAUGAAAACACACGAGAGUUUAUUUCUUGGAAAACUUCGAUAUCUUACAAGCGAGGGGAGAAUCCUUUAUAUAGGAGAAUUCUCAGGGAGAUAGGACAGGACCCCUAUCUUUUACAAAAGCAAAAGUAAAAGAUACAUCAUGACACAACUUUAAUUAUUACAAAGGGACAAAGUGUGUUUUAAUAAUUAAAGCAUGACUUUGACAAAAGCAAAAGCAUAAAGUAAAAGCAAGCUUUAAUAAUUAUACAAGACAAAAGCAUAAAGCAAAACAUAAUGAUGACAACAAGACAAAAUACUUUAUGGGGAGCGGAGGUUCAUGUAGUCGUCUUCAGAUGAGCUUUCUGUUUCAUAGGGAUUGUCAUAAGGGGUUGGUGGGAAAAAGGUUUUGGAGAGCUUUGGAUGCUUAUAGUGGGGACCACGGCAAGGUGGAUAAGGGCAAUCUUUUCGGCAUCCUGCUUUGGAAGUUGUUGACUGGGACUUGGGACUUGGCAUUUGAGUGGCCUUGUCAACUUUGGAGGGUUGAGAUGAUGAUCCUAGUUCAUACAUGGUUAGUUGUGGAAAUUGUUGGAGAUAUUGGCUGAGAGGAAGGAAUUCUUCCCAUGGGUCUUGGGAGUCUUGGUAAAGGAAGUCAGUGUAAUCUGGUUUUUCUUCUUUGAUGAUGAUUCUUGUGGACUUUGGUUUAGAUAUGGCGGAUGGAGUGGGGAUCAUGAUGAGAUCAUGUUGUAGACCUAAGGAGGUGUGGAGGAGUUUGGUGGUUUAAUUGAUAAAAAUAAUUGUGCAGGUUGGAUUGGAUUUCAUUAUCAAUGACAGCUGGGUGUGGUGCAGUAAACCAUUCAUAUACUUGGUCUUGAGUCCAAAAGAGAUUUGUGUCUGGAUGUUGGAAGUAUGGCAUGUGGAUGAUAAAAACUGAUGUGAACAGUUGUGCUUCAGAGGCAGGCAUACGUUCAAGGUUGUAAAUUUCUGGCAGUUGUUGUAGCUUCUUUCUCCACCAUGGGAUGGGGGAAAACCAUUCAAGUAGUGUCUAGGUAAGGGAAGUGGCUUUGUCAGGAUUAAGAAGGUGUUCCAAUGUGGGAGUAAUUGGUAGGACUAACUUGGUUGCAUAAAGGACUGUUAGGCACUAGAUGUACCAUAACACAUCUUCAGUGGUUUCUUUGGAUGGAUCAAGGGUUAAACCUGUAAGGAACAUAGUUUCUGGGUGGAAGGUGGAAAAUGGAAAGGGUUCAGUGACAAGGUAGGCUUUCAUGAAGAAGCGAAAAAGAGCUUUCUUUGCAAAUUCUUGGAUGGCAAAAACAGAAGAAAAGUUUUUGUCAAAAGGAAAAGUUUUCUUGGUGAGAGCUUCUGGGGGUAGUGAUGUAGCCAUGGAGAUGAUCGGAAAGUGGUAUGUAGUGGAAAAUAGGAUGAGAGGCUUUUCUGGUUUUGAGAGUCUGGAUAGCAUAUCAGGGAUUAGGUUCUGGGAUCCCUUUAUAUGCUUGACCGAAAAAUCAUAUUUGAAAAACCAAUCUUUUAAUCUGAGUAACAUCUUUUCGGGAACAGUUUUACCUUUGAAAUUAAGCAUAUUAUGGAAGGCUGAUCUGUCCAUUCGGAUGAUAAAAAUGGUGUCCAAUCAGAUGAUACUCAAACUUUUUGAUGCCAUUCCUUACCGCUAAGAUUUCUUUGAACACGCUAUGGUAAUGCUUCUGUGUGUCAGAAAAUUGUCCACUAGCGUAAGCGAUAAAGUGUUCUUUUCCAUUGAUUUCUUCAAGGAGGAUGGCACCCCAUGAUUCAUCACUUGCGUCUGUCUGCAAGAUGCACUUUCCAUCAGUAAUCAACUUUAAAGGAGGUGGAUUUUGCGCAAUUUGCUUGAGGGUAGUGACAGCAUUUGUGUGGUCAUCAUUCUAUUCUGGGGGCUUCUUUUUUAAUAAGGCCGAGAGGUGGCGAGUGUAGUGGUCCACAUGUGGGAUGAAGUCUCUGAUGUAAUUGAUGAUGCCAAGAAACUGUUGAACUUGUUUUUUGGAGAGUUGCUGAUCUAGAAAGUGAAGCAAUUCUUGGGCAAUGUGUUUUCCGGGCUGAUAAUGGCCAUCUUUUAUGAUCAUACCAAGGAAUUCAAUGUUGUCGGUGGCAAUGGUGCUUUUCUUGGCCGAUAACAUAAUUCCAUGACUUUGGACAAUAUCAUAGAAUUGAGUUAACAGCUGGCGAUGUUCAUCAUGUGAUCCUGAAAAAAGCAAGAUAUCAUCAAUAUAAAUCAAUGCAUGAUGCAGGAUUUACAUUGAUUUGGACCAUGGAUUUUUGAAAAAUGGAUGGGGCAAUUUUGAGGCCAAAGGGUAGGACUGUCCAUUGGAAAUGGGCAUUUGGGAUACAAAAAGCAGUUUUGUAACGUUUAGAGGGUUCAAUGCCUAAUUGCCAGAAACCUGAUUUUAAAUCAAAUUUUGAAAAGAUCUGGGCAUUUUUUAGAAAAGUAAACAUGCUUUGUCUACGGGGCAAGGGAAACUUGUCAUCUUGUAAAAACAUGUUUAAUGGCUGGUAGUCAAUGACUAGGUGUUUCUUUCCUCGAACAAUUUCAAAAUGCUUUUCAACAUAAAAGGCUUGGCAAGCCCAUUGAGAAUUCGUGGGCUCAAUUAGACCUUGGGCUAACAAUUGGGAACAUUCUUGUUGGGCUAGGAGUAAGUCACAAGGACUCAUUCCUGGGUGAGUAGCUUUGGUUGGGUUGAUGUCUUCAUUGAGUUUGAAAGGUAACUUAAUGAAGAAAGACUUAUUUUUCCACAAUGGGUUUGGAUGGGUGAACUCAGAAUGAGACUCUGGACAAAAACUCAAACGCUUAGUUGAAAUAUCCAGGUAGGAUUGAGAGGUUUCAGACAGAUUGUAGAGUUUUAGAAUGUCUGUGAAUGGUUUGAACAUAGACUUGACUAGACUUCCAUGGGGAAGGAUUUAAAGGUGUGUGAUCUGGUGAAGGAUGUCAAAACCUAACAAGAGAUCCUUAUUAGGAAGGGUUGAACCGAUAACCUUAGUCCAGAUGACACAAUUUGGGAAAAUUUUAAUACCAAUGGGUUUUUUGGUAAUCAGAGAGAUGGUGAAUAGUUUGCCAUUAACAGCUUUGAAAUGUUCUUCAUAUUCUGUCCAGUAUUCAGGUGGAAGAAUAUGUGGGUUUAACAUGCUGUGUUGGGCACCAGUGUCUAUGAGACCAAUUGCUGGAACGGGUCUUUGGAAUUUUGAGGGCAAGAUCUGGAGUUUGAUGGAUGGUAUAAGAACAGUAGUGUCAAGGGACAGUAAUUGUUGGUGGAAAAUUACUUGGGACUGAUCACUGUCUGAGUCAUCAGAAGAAUUCUGUAGUGGGAACACUGUUUCAUCAUUGGGUUCAUCUUGUUCAGAGAAGUAGAAUUCCAGUUCAUCCCUUUCUGGAGAAUAAUCUGUAGUGGCUUGAAGAUGCUCAACUAACCAAAUAGAUUUUUCUCGCUUGUUGGGACAAUCUUUGGCAAAAUGACCUUUUCUCUUGCAGAUGAAACAUCUGCUUGAUUUUCUCCAUUUAAAGUCUCUAGAAGAAGAGGACUUUUUCCGGAAGAAUCGGUAUGGCUUUCUGGAUCUGCGAGGCCUAGAUGAAAAUUCUGGAGUUUUGAAUUUUUGAAAAUGCCUUUUCUUUUUAGAACUGCAAUCACAAUCCUUUUUCUUCUGACAUUUGAUCUGCAAAUAAGGCUUUUUGCAAGCACUCCGGAAUGGUUCUUUAUCUUUCAACAAUUCUUUGAAAAACUGUUUCUGCUCACAAAGUUUGUCGAGACAAGUUUUGGUAAGCUGAAAGAUUUUGCCAAGAGAAAUGUUGUCAAGAACAAGAUUGGAUGCGGUGAGUUGCCGUUGUAUGUCUGGUUGGAGUUCUUCUGGUAGGGAAGCCAGAAAGACAUGCUUUAGUGUAGGCUCAUUGAAUCCAUUAAGCUUAUAGAACAACAAGGACAUUCACUUGUAAUGGAAAUCAAGAUCCUUAGCAUUGAGGGAACAACAUUUCAUGUUGAGAUAGUCUCAGCGUGCAGCUUCAAAGACUGCAGAGGGGUCUCUAAGGAAUUGAUCAUGGAGAACCACAAGAACACUUAAGACUUCUGGGAGAUCAACAAACUGUAAUUGGCGGUAGCGGCCUAAAGAAUCAAACCAAUCUCUCGUAAAACGAGUAGCAAACUCUCUAAGGACUGAUUGAGUUGUGGCUCCUGGACGUAGCAUUUGAAGGUCAAUCCAGGCAGACAUUUUAUUAAGGCGAUCACACCAUUUAUGAGAUGGAAGAUCAUCAAAUGUGAACCAUGAACCAUUUGAUGAUUUUUGACUUGGAGAACCGAUCUGGGCUUGAGCUGGAGGGGGUUGGUUUGUGGCAGAAGAUUCAGGCAUUUCUUCUUCAACUUCAUAGGGAAUAUCAGCAUAUGGUUCUGGAUGAGAGGUUUGGCCUUGGGCAGGUUGAUCAGGUUGAGCCAUCAAGAUUAUGGUGAUAUCAGCAUAGGACUUUUCAGAGUCACUGGUGGAUACUGAGGAAUCUGUGUCAGACUCAGUAUGGCUAUCAGAAAUGGCUAGAUUUGAAUAAAAAGUUUGGUCAUUUGAAGUAGGUGAAGGAUCGACUGUGUGGGCACUAAAUUGGUGCAUGGGUUCUUUAUCCUUGGAUUGGGUCGGAGGUUGGGAUAAAGGGGCUGAUGGAGGAGCUGGCGGUGAUGUCGGCGUAUAACCAGGAGAUGGUUGGCCAGGGAUGAAAAUAGAUGAAGGAUGAAUUGUGACAGGGCGCGGUUGUGGUCUAGGCUUUGAUUUUGGUUUAGGUCGUGGUUGUAAGGGGUGGUCUCUAAAAAGAGUAUGAGUCAUGAUAAAUAACUUAGAAGGAUCAUAUUGUUUAAUCGGGGAAAGCAUAGAGGCAAAUGGGUGAUAAGUUGGAUCGAUGGAAGGGAUAGGAGGGGAUGUGGUAAAAAGAGUAGGUCUUUGUUUUUCAGAUUCAAUCUGAUCAAGCUCAGCUUUUAAGCGUCUAAUUUCCCUUUCUUUUUGUCAAAUUCUGGGCCAUAGUAGCGCUGGGCAAGCAUAGUUCGUAACUCAGAAUCGAGUUGGGCAAUUCUAGACUGGAGAUUGUGGUGGAUCUAUUGCAUCUGUGCUGCGAUGGAGUCAACUUUUGUCUCAAGUUGUUCAGUUCGUAAACUGAUUUUUUCAACUUUGGAAUUGAUAUUCAACAAAGUAUCAUUCUGUGCUCUGGCAUUUUAAGUUUGCCAGUUGAGGACUGAUUCAAAAGGUUUGGGCGGUUCUAGGUGGCCAGAUGAGGUAAUUGGCGAAAGGACAAAGGGUUUGGACACGACAUUUCGUAGGGAAUCUGUGUGAGUGUCUAAAGGAAGAAAAAAAGAAGAAUAGUCUAAAGAAGUAGAUGAAAACAUCAUACAAGUCAGUGGUGGUGUUGGAAGUGGGAUUGGUGAUGGAGUCUCAGAGUUGCAAUGCUUUGCAAUCCAUUUGAGUUCCUUUUUGUAAAUGGGUAAUGGAGUUGGUGGAGGUGGAGGAUCUUGUGGUGGCUUGGGAUCAUAAUGGUGGCAUGAGGCUGGAGAUUUUUUCUUUUUGGGUUUCUUUUUCCUUGUGGUGGAAUAAUCAUCAUCCUCUUCCCAAUCAUCCCAGCAGGGACAAUUUGGGUCACACAUGCUGGAGCCAGGGGCAUCCCAUAGGAAAUGGCCAUUUUGCUUUGCUGGAUAUACAGGGUAGCCGUCAGAAUUGAACCCUGUAAUGGGCAGGUCUUCUUGGGCUGUCUGAACAGCUGUGAUCAUUGAAGAAUAGGUAAAGGAGAGCCGAGGAGGCUCUUGUGGAGCACUUGGAGGUGGUUUAAAGGUUAUUCUGACUGUGCCAUCUUGUCGUCUUUCAAACAUACUUUUAGAUGUCUGAAUUGGAGCUGUAUUGUUAUGGAACUGUUCAUAGUUGGAAAUCCAUUCAAGAGGCAUAAGCUUAAUGAGCUCAUGACGGGGAAUUUGUCUUGGAAUUUGGAUUAUGGUUGGGAUCUGGUCAGAUUCGGCUAAUACCAUGAGGGUAUCAGAAUGGUGUUCUGGAGUUGGUAGAUCUAAAGCAUGAUUUUGAAGCCUAUAGACCAGCUGAUGAUGGAGAGUAGCAAUUUUGGCAAAAGAAAUUUGUUCAGCACCUUGGAUCUGAACUUGGACUUUUAAGGUUGCGGGCAAAUUGGGGUCUUGGAGAGAAAGGUUAAAGUUUGGAUAAAAGGUUAGUAAAACACUACCUGCAUGAAGAGUUGUGAGGACAGUGCCAAUAACAGCAUCUUGGUACUGUUUAAACCGGGUAUCAAGUAUGGCAAGGCGAGCUGUAACCGGUAAACCUUUUCUUCCAUGAAGAGUAAGGAUUAAUCUGAUGCCUCCAAGAUGAAGAUGAGUAUAACCUUCUCGUUUCCAAUUUGAAAGCAACUCGGAGGGAAUCUCCAGAGUAACAUAUUGCUCAGCAGAGGUGGCUUGAAGAGCACAUUGAACCAGGCGUGAAGACUGGAUAUAUUCUUUAGGGUGAGGUCGUCUGGUAGAGAUGAGGGUGCGAAGACUGCGGGUAAAGGAGCUAGGUUGUUUGUACAGCUGAUAAGGACUGAGGAGAGGGUAGGAUGACUCACUGAUUUGGGCAGAUUCAGGGAUGUAUGAAUAUUUGACAAGGUUUUCAAUCUUAUUAGUGGUAUGAGAAGUGCAAGAUCUGGGCAAAGAAAGAGUAGAGGAAAGAGUAACAGGAGUGGAAGAUGAAGUAGAAGCCAUUUAUGAGAAGUUCUCUCUCUGUGAAUGAAGACUAAAGAUCAAAAGAAAAAAAGACUUAAAUCAUACCAUUUUGAACAAAAAAACAGAAGUUUAGAAAACUGAAAAGUUUCAAGGACAAGUAUGGCUCUGAUACCAUAAAAGAUCAAGAGGUUUUUGAUAACAUUUCAAGUUUCAAUAUUCCACCCUAUGGANNNNNNNNNNNNNNNNNNNNNNNNNNNNNNNNNNNNNNNNNNNNNNNNNNNNNNNNNNNNNNNNNNNNNNNNNNNNNNNNNNNNNNNNNNNNNNNNNNNNNNNNNNNNNNNNNNNNNNNNNNNNNNNNNNNNNNNNNNNNNNNNNNNNNNNNNNNNNNNNNNNNNNNNNNNNNNNNNNNNNNNNNNNNNNNNNNNNNNNNNNNNNNNNNNNNNNNNNNNNNNNNNNNNNNNNNNNNNNNNNNNNNNNNNNNNNNNNNNNNNNNNNNNNNNNNNNNNNNNNNNNNNNNNNNNNNNNNNNNNNNNNNNNNNNNNNNNNNNNNNNNNNNNNNNNNNNNNNNNNNNNNNNNNNNNNNNNNNNNNNNNNNNNNNNNNNNNNNNNNNNNNNNNNNNNNNNNNNNNNNNNNNNNNNNNNNNNNNNNNNNNNNNNNNNNNNNNNNNNNNNNNNNNNNNNNNNNNNNNNNNNNNNNNNNNNNNNNNNNNNNNNNNNNNNNNNNNNNNNNNNNNNNNNNNNNNNNNNNNNNNNNNNNNNNNNNNNNNNNNNNNNNNNNNNNNNNNNNNNNNNNNNNNNNNNNNNNNNNNNNNNNNNNNNNNNNNNNNNNNNNNNNNNNNNNNNNNNNNNNNNNNNNNNNNNNNNNNNNNNNNNNNNNNNNNNNNNNNNNNNNNNNNNNNNNNNNNNNNNNNNNNNNNNNNNNNNNNNNNNNNNNNNNNNNNNNNNNNNNNNNNNNNNNNNNNNNNNNNNNNNNNNNNNNNNNNNNNNNNNNNNNNNNNNNNNNNNNNNNNNNNNNNNNNNNNNNNNNNNNNNNNNNNNNNNNNNNNNNNNNNNNNNNNNNNNNNNNNNNNNNNNNNNNNNNNNNNNNNNNNNNNNNNNNNNNNNNNNNNNNNNNNNNNNNNNNNNNNNNNNNNNNNNNNNNNNNNNNNNNNNNNNNNNNNNNNNNNNNNNNNNNNNNNNNNNNNNNNNNNNNNNNNNNNNNNNNNNNNNNNNNNNNNNNNNNNNNNNNNNNNNNNNNNNNNNNNNNNNNNNNNNNNNNNNNNNNNNNNNNNNNNNNNNNNNNNNNNNNNNNNNNNNNNNNNNNNNNNNNNNNNNNNNNNNNNNNNNNNNUAUUUGUGAUCGAUCCAGCUAUCUCCCCAAAGGAGAGUCUAUGUCUUUUUGGGUUGUCUAGGUUCUUAGUUCAUCGUAAGAUACGGAAUGUCUGGUAUCUCACAACCACAUCAUUCUCAUUUUCUAGGUAUAUCGGCUGGAAACCCGAGCAUACGGACUACUGGUCCAAAGGAUAACUUUAUUAUCAUUGCUCUGGUAUAACAACUCCACGUACUUAGAAUACCAAGUUGGCAUAAGAUGUCCCAGUCUCUGGUAAUUGUGAUGCAGGCUGUCCUUAUUGGGAAGAUAUUGAAGAAGAUGAUGACAAACCAAAAAGACGCAAGCGCAAGUCUAAAAGAUCAUUUAUCUAGUUUGUCGCUAUCAUGCUACUCAUCCUGAAGAUCCACCUGAACCUGAUUCUCAAGCACCUUUACCCAUCUAUGAUAAAGGUCUUGCCUGGAUCCGAAAACAUGAACCCGCUUUGCUCAGCUGCAGACUUCAAUCAACCCAUAAGACUACCCACGUUAGUCCCACUCCCAAAAUACAGUCCUGUAUGAUGUUUUCCCCAUCAACAUCUACAGAAUACCAAGCCCAGUUACCACCUUUGGAAAAACAAACUGACCAACAAAAGAAUUUCAUCUCCAAACCAUAUGUCCCCUCUGCAGUAACUCCUGCUAGCCAUUUAGAAGAACCUCGUUCUUUUGAGGUAGUCUUAAACUGGUAAACUCAAAAUGCUGUUGCACAGAACCAAGCACUCACUACCUUGCAUCAUAAGGUAGACCACAUGAAAGCGCUUGUUGUUCAUUUUGUACUACCGACAAAACCUAAAAACUAAGUACUAUUUCUUAUGGAUAUUGCCCUCGAUAUAAAAAAUAAUGUUCCUAGGUAAAAGUAUUCAAACGAGGAAGAAAAACACUUCCUAGGGCUAUUUGUUCUUGGUAAUAGUAAACUUAUGAUGCUUUGUUUUUGUCGGUAAAAUUAUGAUUCAUCAGAAAUAAAAAUUCCAACGACAUAUGUUCGCUCGGAAUGAAAAUUAAUCCCUUGGAAAUUACUAGAUUCCAAAGAUAUGAAUCCCUCAUAGAUAAUGAAUUUUCCCUCGGAGAUAAUGAAUUCCAAAUUAUCAAAUGCUUCAACUGGAUAUUUAGAAUAUUUUAUCCAUGGUCUUGAGAUACAUUCAUGGAAAACAACAGAAAUUUCUCGAACAACCUCAGUAGUUAUGAUCCUAAAGCAAUAGACCAACAAAAUUAGUUAUAAUCCUAAAGCAAUAAACCAACAAAAUUAUUCAUUAAUUAUACAUAAAAAUAGAUAAAUUUAAUCAAAAUAUAUGGAAAUUUGUUCUUUCAUGCAUGACAACCUGUCAUCAUAUAUUUCUACUCCUAUUUUUUUUUCCUUUAGGUACACUUUAGCUUCCCACGACCGUUCUUUUUCUUUCUAUCUAAAAAUAAUUAAAAAAAUUCUACUUAUUUUAGUCAUAGUCAAUUCACGUAUAUUUCAUCUUAUAACAAUAAGAUUAGUUAAUCGAUUUAAAUAAGUGGUACCUCCAGCCAUUUUUUAAGUCUCUAUGGUAAAAACACAAGCUUCACCAUUUUGAUGCUGAGUAGGAAGCACCAUAUCUAAUGUAAUAUUGAGAGAUCAAGAAGCUGUUGUAUUAUCAUUAUUAUUAUUAUUACUGAACAUCUGCUAAGAUAAGGUAUUGGAAUCAAUUACUUUUCUAUUGUGUUUCUUUCCCAUAAUGGCCAAUUAUCUGAAAUUUCAAAAUAUAAGCCAUUAGUAAAUGUUUAUAGGCAAAAAUAAUAAUAUUAAACAAUAAGAUUAAUAUUAGAUAAUAAUAUCAACAUAAAAUAAAACAUAGAAUAGUAUAACAGCAAAAUGUUAAAAAAAUCAAAUAACUAGUGUUUUCAAUUUUUGAACUUACUUACAUAUACUAAACAAAAAAUCAUUCAACAGCCAUUUUAUCAACUGUAUUUUGACUCCAAUCUAUAUCCCUAGUAUCUUGGUUCAAAAUGAAAGGCACAUUAAUAUGUUGAAUCUCUUCUUCUUGAUAUGGAUCUCCUUCAUCCAUAGAAACCUCAUAAAGGUUUCGAGGCUUGGUCUCAAUUGUAGUACCCCAUCUAGGAUCUUUUAUCCCUCUCACAUAGUAAACUUGUAAUGCUUGGGAUGCUAACACAAGUGGCUCUUGAGUGUUUUAGCUUUCUUGAUAUAUUAAGAAUAACUCUGCCAUGACGAUCUCUCUUAUAGCCAAUCUUUUCUCAAAUUGUAUCCGACCAAUCAUAGUUAAACAAUACUAUUUAUUCCUUUCAGUAUAAGAAAGUUCAACAAUUUCCUUCAACAGUUUAUAAUAAGACACUAUAACAUUUUGAUCAUCACUUCUCACCAUAACUCCAUAGUUUUAAGUUUUUCUAGUUUCAUCAUUUUGUUUUGUGUGAAAUCUAAAUCCACUUGUAUUGUAGCCAGAAAAAAAUGUCACUUUUCUUUGAGGGCCUUGAGCUAAAGAAAGCAUAUGCUUGCUAGCUUACCCUUUAUUAUAAAGAUUUAAGAUCUAUAAAUAAAAUGACAGAAUGAAAUGUCAUAAAUACAAUUAUAGUGAAAUUCACACAUUUUUAGUUACUAUGUUUAAAAUAAUCCUUAAUUCUCACUCUUCAUGGUCGAAAAGGCUUACCUGUUACAGUUAGAAUUGCUCUCCUAGACACCAGGUUCAAGGAGUACCAACACGCUGUUGUCGGCAGCGUUCUGACAACACUUCAUGCUGGCAGUGUCUUAUUAACCUUUUACCCCAAUUUCAAUUCUUGUCUAUGUUUCCACAUUUCUAAUACCUAAAUUCAACAACAUAUGUUUAUGUUCAUAGAAAUAAUUUUUUUUAGCAAAAUUUAAAAUAUAUGAUACUACGAAUACUAUUAAUAUUAGUCUAAGAAAUAAACUUACUCAAUAAACGUGAGACAUCCUUCAUAAUUUUGAAGGACAUAAAGUGAUGCAGCAUUGUGUAGAGAAUGACUCAAUUCCCUCACAUGAAUGUUUCCAUAUGAUUGCCCAAAUCUAGAAAAAUUGGGUAAUGUAUCUGUUGAGAGUUGGCCACCAUCAUAAUUUCUCUCUUGUCUAUUAAAUUUAGUUUCCACAUUAAGAGGUAGCGAGAGCAAAACGUUAAGCACUCAUCAGCUAAGUAACCUUUGCAAUGGAUCCUUUAGGAUGAGCCUUGUUGCGAACAUAUCCCUUAAGUUUAUGUAAAUACCUAGUAUUUAGAGAUAUAAUAAUGUAAACUUAUUUUAUAAUAAAUUAACUUAAAAGAAUAAAUUGGAAACUAAAAAUAAAUUGUUAUAUUACAUUUCUAUUGGGUAAAUCCACCUAUAUUGUACUGGACUAGCAACCUUUACUUCCCAAGCUAAGUGAAUUGACAAAUGUAUCAUUAUAUCAAAAAAGGCCGAAGGGAAAAUCCUUUCUAACUCGAGUCAAUCUAACUCAUUUUCUUUUAACAUUUUAACAUAUAACUCCUUGAAAAAUAUACUAAGCUCAAUCAAUGGAUCAAAUACUUGUUUAGGCAAAAUAUCAUAAACUGUUGGUGGUAGUAACCUCUCUAAAAAUACAUGACAAUCAUGUGUCUUCAUGCCUGAAAUUUUACUAUCUUUCACAUUAUCACAUCGUGACAAAUUAGCACAAUAUUCAUCUAGAACUUUUAAAUUUGACAACCACUCUAAUACAUUUGUCUUUUGCUCAGGUGUAGUGGGUAGCACUGUCUAUCGAACCACCUCUUUUGGGUGAAGUUCUGCCCUUAUUUUCAUCUCUUUAAGAUCCAAACGAACAUCUACAAAGCCUUUAGUUUUUCCUACAAUGUUCAGAAUAGUGCCAAGCACAUUGUCAAACACACUUUUCUCAAUAUGCAUAACAUCUAAACAAUGAUGCAAUAACAAUGUUUUCCAAUAUGGCAAUUGAAAAAAAAUAUAUUGUGUUUCUUCCAAUUAUGCUUCUUCCCAAAACCAGCAACAACUUGUUAUUUUCCAACCUUUCCAAAUGCUAUAGGUCUCAAACUUUCAAGUUCAUUUAAGAUGUCUUCACCUUUUUGACACUUUGGUGCAUCUCUCUUAUCCUUAUUUCUAUCAAAUUGCAUUUUUUUAUCUCACCAUGGGCGAUCUUCAGGUAAAUAUCAUUGAUCCCAUGUAACACAUUUUGGAACCAUUUUUCAGCCUAUGGUGUGUAGUCUCUUUACAACAACAUGGACAUGCCAACUUUCCUUUUGUACUCCAACUAGACAAAAUAGCAUAUGCUGGAAAGUCAUUAACAAUCCACAUAAUUGUAGCUUUCAUUUGAAAAUUCUGGUUUUUUGAGACAUCAUGUGUUUACACUACUUUCCUAUAACAUCUUUAACUCAUCAAUUAAUGGCCUCAAAUAUACAUCAAUAUCAUUGCCUAGGCCUUUUGGUCCUGGGAUAAGUAAAGUCAUAAAUAUAUAUGGUUCUUUCAUACACAUCCAAAGAGGAAAAUUAUAAGGAAAUAAAGGGACAGGCCAAGUACUGUUCCCAAUAUUCAUGUUUCUAGAGGGAUUAAACCCAUCAAUAACCAACCCCAACCUUACAUUUUAAGGAUCUAAUGGAAAGCCCUCAUGUGUUUGAUCAAAGGUCUUCCAAGCAUCACAAUCUGCUGGAUGUCUUAACAACCCGCUUUCACACGAUUAUCAAAGUGCAAUCUCAUGUCUCCAGCAAUUUUGGAUGACAAGAAUAACCUUUGAAGUAUUGGUGUAAUAGGAAAGUAACGUAAGAUCUUCCACGGAACCAUUUUUGUAGAUUUAUUGGCACCCUUUCCUUUAGUCUUCCAUCUUGAAACUCUACAAUCUGGACAUUGAGAUGUUGUGCAUGCUCCUUAUAAUAAAUGACAAUCAUUUUUAUAGGCAUCAAUUUUCUCAUAAUGAAGACCAAUGUCUUUGAUAAUUUUUGCAUUAUAGUUAGCAAUAGGCAUUUGUUUUACACAUUGGAAACACAUCAUUUAAUAAUUCCAACAACAUGUUGAAAGAUUUAUUACUCCAAUUGCUGAUUUAUUUAAUGUACAUUAACUUAACUUUGGAGUACUUUUGACAAUUCAAAUACAAAGGUUGUUCUACCUCUUCACCAAUUCAUAGAACUUUUGUGCCUCUUCGUUAGGAUCUUGAGAAAAGCCUUCUUCUAUCAUAUCAUACAUCUCAUUUUGUUGAAAGCUCUCAAGAUUAUCAUUCUCAUAAUCUUCAUCCCUAUCAUUAUCAGUAUUACUAUCCCCAUUCUCUCCAUGACAAUACCAAAUAGUGUAGUCACGCCUUAAUCCCAACCAUAAUUCAAAUCCCAAGGCAAAUCCCUUGAGACGAGCUAAUUAAACUCAUGCCUUUAGAAUGGAUAUCAAAUUAUGAGCAAUUUCACAACACUGCUCCAAUUUAGACAUCAAAAGGAAUGUUUGAAAGAAGUCGUGAUGGAACAGUAAGAAUGACUUUCCGACCUCCACCAAGUGCUCCUCAAGAGCCUCCAAGGCUAUCUUUCACACAAUCUUCUAUGAUCACAGCUGUCCAUACAACCCAGGAAGAUUUACCUAUCACUGGGUUCAAUAAAGAAGGAUAUCUAGUCUACCCAGCCAAAAUGAAUGGCCAUUUCCUAUGGGAUACACUUGGGUCAAGAAAUUGUGGCCCAGAUUGUCCUUGUUGGGAUGAUUGGGAGGAAGAUGAUUUAGUUUCCAGAAGGAGAACAAAGCCAAAAAAGAAACUCCAUCAUCCAUGUAAACAUUUCCAACUAAAGCCACAUGAUGAUCCACCUCCACCUUCAACAAAUCCAUUACAGCAAGUCUGAAGUUCUUUCACCAGUUCAAAACCAUACACCAAUCAUACAGCCCACUGCUUGUAUGAUGUUUGCCUUUACCUCCAAAGACUAUUCCACCAAUUUUCCAACUUUAGAUACCCAAUCAGACUCCCACAAAAAAGUUGUUUCAAAACCCUUCAUUCCUUCGGCCAUAACCUCCGCCGGCCAUCUUGAAGAACCCAGACCUUUUGAGGCAGUCCUCAACUGGCAGGCGCCAAAGCACAAAAUGAUACCUUGGUGGACAUUCAUAAAUAGGUUGACAUGAUUAGUUUGCGAACUGAUCAGAUUGAAUCCAAGGUUGAUACAAUAACCUCACAACUGCAACAAAUCUACCAAAAUUUACAAUCCAGAAUAAUCUAGUUGGAUUUAGAAUUACGUGCCAUGCUUAGUCAGAGAUACUAUGGUCCUGAGUUUGACCAAAAGGAAGGGGAAAUCAGGCGCAUGAAAGCAAAGCUUGAUCAGAUUGAUUUAGAAAGACAAAGACCUACACUUUUCACCAAGUCACUACCAAUACCUACCAUAAGCCUAACUUAUCAUCCAUUCACUUCUAUGCUUGCUCCAAUGAAACCCUAUGACCCCUCCAAAUUGUUCGGUAUGACACAUACUCUUUUAAAAAAUCAGCCUUUACAACCCCAGCCAAGCCAAAAGCCAAAAGCUACUCCCAGGCCAGUCAAAAUUCAUCCGCCAGUUACUUUAACCACUGAACAACAAUCCCCAAGAUAUACACCUGCUCCACCACAGAUUUGACCUCAACCAACCCAAACCAAAGAUAAAGAACCCAUGCACCAAUACAGUUCUAAAAAAUUUAAGACCUUUUCACCCUCUGAAUCUGAGUGUACUCCCUCUGUUACUGAUGGGGAUACUUCGGUUACUCAGUCUGAGACAGAAUCUUCAGUCUCGACUAGUGACUCUGAAAAGCUUAUGCAGACAUUACUAAGCUUUUAAUGGCACAACCAGAAGAAACAGAACCAGCCCAUCCAGAAUCUUAUUUUGAGAUACCCUCAGAUGUUGAUGAACCGGCUGAAUCUUCAGCAACAAAUCAACAACCUCAGCCUCAUGCACAAACCUCUCACAUACCAUCAAAUGGCCCAUGGUUCACUUUUGAUGAUAUUCCCUCAUCCAAAUGGCGAGAAAGAGUCCAAGAAAUGUCAGCAUGGAUUGAUCUCCAUAUGAUAAGAGCUGAUGCAACAACAGAAUCAAUCCUUAGGGAAUUCACCACUCGUUUCACGGGAUCUCUAAGAGAUUGGUUUGACAGUUUAGGGCAGUACAGACAAAUGCAGUUUGUCCAAUUGCCUAAUAUUUCUAGUGCUCUUGUUAUUUUACAUGAACAAUUCAUCGGAGAACCAAGUGCAGUUUUCGAAGCUGCAAGACAGGACUACCUAAACAUGAAGUGUUGUUCCUUAAAUUCCAAAGAUCUUGAUUUCUAUUACCAGAGGAUGUCCAUCUUGUUUUAUAAGCUCAAUGGAUUCAAUGACCUGACUCUAAAACAUGUCUUUCUUGCUUCUCUACCUGAAGAAUUGCAACUAGAAAUACAAAGACAAUUUGCAACGCACAACAUCAAUAUUGAUAACAUCUCCUUAGGAAAGAUUUUCUAGAUCGCCAGGGAUGUUUGGAGAAGCUCUGUGAACAGAAACAGAUUUUCAAAGAUCUGAUGAAAGAUAAAGAGCCUUUCAAAAGUGCCUGCAAGAAACCAUAUUUCCAGAUCAAGUGCAAAGAAAAAAAGAAUUGUGAUUGUGGGCCAAAGAAGAAAAGACAUUUUAAGAAGUUCAGACGUCCAGAUUCUGCUUCAAAACCCAAAUCUCGAAGAUGGAACAACCACAGAAAACUAUACAUGUUUUUCAAGAAACAAUCAUUUUCUUUAAAGGAAUAGAGGAAACAGAAAUCCAGCAGAUGCUUUAUUUGCAACAAAAAAGGCCACUAUGCAAAUAACUAUCCAAACAAGAAGGACAAAUCAAGCAGAUUGAUAAAGCAUUUACAGAUGGUUACUAGGUACUCUCCUGAGAAGGAAGAAGUAGAGUUCUAUUUCUCUGAACAAGAGGAACCUACUGAUGAAACAGUGUUCGCACUGGAAAACUCAUCUGAGGAAUUAGAAAGUGAUGAGUUCCAAAACAUUUUCCACCAACAAUCCUUGUCCUUAGACACCACUAUUCCAAUUCCUUCCAUUAGACUCCAAAUUUUACCCUCCAAAUUCCAAAGACUAAUUUCAGCCAUUGACCUCAUAGACACUGGUGCUCAACGAAGUAUGUUAAACCCAGAUAUUCUCCCAGCCCAAUACUGGAAUCAGCACACUGAAAAUUUUUGUGCUGCAGAUGGAAAAAUGUUUUCAACAACAUUGAUUACGAAAAAACCCAUUGGUAUUCAGAUUUUCCCAAACUGUGUUAUCUAGACAAGAGUCAUUGGUUAAAAACUUCCUAACAAGGAUAUAUUGUUAGGAUUUAAUAUCAUUCACCAGAUCAAACACCUCCAAAUCCUUUCCUCUGGAAUAAGAGUCAAAACCAUAUUCAAACCUUACACAGAAAUUCUCAAACUUUACAGUUUGACUGAUUCACCACAGUUCUACAAAGACAUUUCAACCCAACUUCCAAAAUACUGUCCGGAGUCCCAUUAUGAAUUUUCCCAUCUAAACCCUUUGUGGAAAAACAAGUCUUUCUUUAUUUAGUUACCUUUCAAACUGAAUGAAGACAACAAUCCUACUAAGGCUACUCAUCUAGGAAUGAGCCCAUUUGACUUAGCCUUAGCCCAAAAGGAAUGUUCACCACUCUUGGCCCAAGGUCUUAUCGAGCCCACAACCUCUCAAUGGGCUUGUCAGGCGUUUUAUGUCGAAAAAUGUUCAGAACUUGUUAGAGGGAAAAAGCGACUAGUCAUUGACUAUCAACCCUUAAACAUGUUCUUACAAGAUGACAAGUUUCCUUUUACCAAAGAAACAAAGCAUCUUCACUUAUCUAAAAAAUGCCCAGAUCUUUGGCAUUGAACCCUCCAAAAGAUACAAAACGGCUUUUUGCAUCCCAAAUGCCCAUUACCAGUGGACAGUUUUACCCUUUGGUCUUAAAACUGCCCCUUCCAUUUUUCAAGAAGCCAUAGUCCGAAUCUUUCAACCCAUCCUGCAUCAUACAUUGAUUUAUAUUGACGAUAUUUUAUUGUUUUCAGGCACACAUGAAGAACAUUGCCAAUUAUUAAAUCAUUUUUUUUAUAUCAUCCAGACUUACGGAAUUAUGUUAUUAGCCAAGAAAAGCACUAUUGCAACAGAUAAUAUUGAAUUCCUUGGAAUGAUUAUCAAAGACGGACACUACCAGCCAGGAAAAUAAAUUGCCCAAAAAUUAAUCCGCUCUCCAGAUCAGAAUCUCACCAAAAAGCAUAUACAACAAUUUCUUGGUAUCAUCAAUUAUAUCAGGGACUUUAUUCCACAUGUCGAUCACCAUACCAAUCAGCUUUCGACUUUAUUAAAGAAAAAGCCACCAGAAUGGAAUGAUAACCACACACUUACUGUCACCACUUUAAAAAAGAUUGCUCAAAGUAUGCCACCAUUAAAGCUCAUCACAGAUGGCAACCGGAUACUCCAGACAGAUGCAAGUGACGAAUCAUGGGGUGCUAUUCUUCUCGAAGAAAUAAAUGGCAAAGAAAGCUUUAUUGCUUAAGCUAGCGGGCAUUUCUUUGACACACAACAGCACUACCACAAUGUGUACAAAGAAAUCUUAGCUGUAAAGCAUGGUAUCAAGAAAUUUGAAUACCAUGUUAUCCGCUAUCAUUUUCUUAUCCGAAUGGACAGCUCAGCAUUUCCCAACAUUAUGAACUUCAAAGGGAAAACAGUUCCAGAAAAGAUGUUGCUCAGACUAAAAAACUGGUUCUCAAAAUAUGACUUCUCUGUGAAGCAUAUAAAAGGAACCCAGAACCUCAUUCCAGACCUACUCUCAAGACUUGCAAAACCAACAUCACCCUUGCAUUGCAUAUCCAUAGGAUAUCAUUUUCCCAUCAUUUUCAUGGCUACCUCUCUACCAAACCAAGCCUUAACCCACAAGACUUUCCCUCUCGAAAAAAUAUUUUCCACAGUUUUUGACAUCCAAGAAUUUGCAAAAGAUAUGUUUUUAGGUUUUUCAUGAAAGCCUACAUGUUAGCAGAUUCAUUUCCUUUUUCAACUUUCCACCCUGAAAACUUGCUUCAACUUUCCACCCUGAAAACUUGCUUCAACUUUCCACCCUGAAAACUUGCUUCAAUUUUCCACCCUGAAAACUUGCUUCUCAUAGGUCUAAACAUUGACCCUUCCAGAGAUGUGACUGAAGAUGAGUUAUGGUAGAUCUGGUGCCUAACUGUUCUUUACGCCACAAAGUUAAUUCUCCCUAUCAGAACUACCUUGAAUCAUCUCAUGAAUCCUGACAAAUCAACCUCAUUGACCUGGACCCUUCUUGAGUGGUUCUCUCCACUUCCUUGGUGGAGAAGAAAGUUACAGCAACUAUCCAUAGUCCACAGCCUUGAUCCAAUGCCUGAAUCAAAAGCAAAUAUGUUCAUCUCAGUGUUCAUUAUCCACAAGCUAUAUUUCCAGCAUCCAAACACCAACUCUUUUUGGACUCAAGAUCAAGUGUUCGAAUGGUUCACAACACCACACCCAACAAUCCUUGAACAAGACAAUAACAUCCAGAAAAACCUUUAAAAUUUCCUUUGCCACCUCAAUCACCAACCCGAACCACAUAAAGACAUAUUCCAUACGUCUUUAGAUCCACAACAUGACACCAUUAAAAAAUUGGAUUUCACAGAUUUCUUAUUCUAAGACGCUCAAGACCCUUGGACUGACUUCCUACCCUUAAGCCAGCAACUCCAAUAGCUCCAAGAUCCAUUACAACUGGAAGAACCUUCAUUAUCCAGAGCUAGUACCAGCACUUGUCCACCUAAAGUUCAGCCAACCAAUCAGAUGGUAACAUUCCCAUGGCCACCAUGUGGUCCCACUUGCAAGCAUCAAAAGAAAAAGUUAGGAAAAGACGACACAGAUAGCUCCUCUGCCAAAGAUUACAUGAAUCUUUUGUCCCCAUAGCCAUAAAGUUUGUCGUAUGUAAUUAUUAAAGUAUGCUGAGUCAUACUUUAAUUAUUAAAGUUUGCUUUGUUUGCUUUUAUUACUUUUACUUUUAUAAAGUAAAGUUUGUCAUGUGUAAUUAUUAAAGUAUGUUGAGUCAUGCUUUAAUUAUUAAAGUUAAGUUUGUCGUAUGUUCUUUACUUUUGUAAAAGUUUGCUUUUGCUUUAGCAUGUUUUUCUUGAUAAGGGUCCUGUCUUAUCAAGAUGCUUUUUCAAGGCUUUCUCCUCUCUAUAAAAGAGAAGCCCCUCUCUUUGUAAGAUAAGCUUGGCAGAAAAUAAAAAGAAUGUUUUCUUCAGCUAUGAGUUUCUAAAUUCUCUCUCUCUCUCUCUAUCAAUGAAGCUCUGAGAUAGAAAAUAAAGAAGAUAUAAAUUUGUUCAUUUUGAAACUUAAGGAAGUAUACUCUACACUUGCCUCUUGUAAGGAUCUUAUGCAUAAAGAAACUUUUGAUACUUUCUUAUCUGGUUUGGUACCCUGUUUUAAGACAAAGGAGUGUCUGUUUUUGGGUUAUAUAACCCGAGAUGAAACCCGAACUUGCGGACUACUGGUCCAAAGUACAGUUUUAACUGUUGCAGUUCUGGUAUAACAAUGCCACGUAUUCUCUGCUGACAUAUUUGGUAUCAGAGCAUAAAAUUUUCAUAUCAUCUUUUUGGAUAUGAUGAUACGCAUAUUCAAGGAAAAAUGGUACUCUAUCAUAUUACGCCAUUGUUGGCCAUGGCAUUUGCAUCCAAGAUUUAUCUGAUGGCAUAUUGCUAAAAAUCAUUAAAAAUAAAUAUAAGAAAAUUAAUUUGCUACUAAAUAAACAAUUGUUUAUAGCUGUUUUCAAAUACAAUUAUCUCAUAAACUACUGAAUAAACAAUUAAAGGAAGAUAAAGCCAUAGUAUAUGAUGUCCUAGUAAUUAAUCACAUAGUAUGGACUCCAAGUAAUAUAAACACAAGAAAUAUGCAAAAAAAAUUAGACAAUGUUACAUUACGGUGAUCUUUCAAGAGUCACGAGAAGUGAUGAGAAAAAUAGAAUUGUUACACGCCUUGGUCACCAAACUAGAUACUUAAAACUUCAAUUUGCUGUAAAUUUCAAGAAUAUUAAAAUUUAAUUCUAGUAUUAUUGAAGAGAAAUCACAAUCAGUAAUGCAAAAUAAAAUAGUAUUGCGAAUUCCUACAAACCAACAAAAUUCUCAAUUACUAAAUGAUUUGCUCCUACACAACCUUUGCCCAGACAUACAUCCCUAAAUAUGUAUCCACCUACUAUAGUUCACCCUGUGUGUCACCCCUUCCACCCUUUGGUAUUCGGUGUUUUUGGGUGACCUGUCACAAACAAACAGUCAUGAUGAAAAUGAAACUAUCAGGACUAGUUUGGUGGACUUUAAACAUAUAGCGAUAGACAAAUUUCUGGGCGAAGUCUUUGAUUUGGUUAAGAGUGGUGAAGGUAAGGUUUAAAGGAAAGGAUUUCUGGAUAAGAGCUUGGUUGGAUAGAGGGGUUGUCAUAGCUAUGAUAGGAAAGUAUGUCUAAGAUGUGAUGAGUGAGAUUUUGUGCGGUUUGGACAAGAGGUCAGGGAUGAGGUUUUGAUUUCCCUUUAUAUGUUUUACUAAGAAGUCAUAUUAGGAAAACCAUUUUUUCAAUCGCAACAGCUGUUUAUCAAGAAGGGUUCAGUUUUUAAAUUCAAGGAUCUCGGGGAACAAAGAGUUGUCAAGACAAAUGUGAAAAUGAUGACCAAUCAGGUGGAACUCAAAUUUUUUAAUUCCAUACUUGACAGCCAAGAUCUCUUUAUAAUAGACAGAACCCUGCCUUUAGACUAAUUGACCAAGGAGAGUCUGUGUCUUUUUUGACUUGUCUAUACUCUUAGUUCAUCAAAUGGAGUGUCUGGUUUCACCUAACCACGUCACUCUCAUCACCCAAAAUGGUAUCAGAGCCUUAUGUUUCUAAGUAUAUUGGCUGGAAACCCAAGCAUGCGGGCUAUUGGUCCAAAGUAUAACUAAGGUUAUCAUUGUUCUGGUCUAACAACGCCACGUACUUAGACGACAGAAAUCAUUCUCUGACAUUGGUAUAGGUUAUAAGAGUUCAAUGCCUUAAGAAUCAAAGCAUUAAGGAAUAGAAAAUCUAAAUCUCAUGGCUUCAUCAUCGUCCUCAGCUACUCCUACUUCUUCAUCUUUUCUAGUUACUCUUUCUUCUACUCUCUCUUUACCUAAAUCAUGUACUAAGCAAACAGCUAGUAAGAUAGAGAAUCUUAUUUAAUACUCCUAUGUUCCUGAAUCUGUUCAAAUCAAUUAAUCCUCUUUACCUCUUAUCAGUCCAUAUCACCUGUAUAAAAAACCUUCUUUUACCAAAAGUAUCAAAACCCUAAUUUCCAACAAACGACCUCAUCCUAAAGAAUACAUCCAGUCGUCCCGACUCAAUCAGUGUGCUUUGCAAGUUACUAUAGUUGAACAAUAUGUCACUCUUGAGAUACCCUCAGAAUUUAUCUCUACAUGAAAACGUGAAGGCUAUACACAUCUUCACCCUUCAUGGGAGAAAAGGAUUACUUGUCACAGCCAGAUUUGCUUUACUUGACACCAGGUUUAAGCAAUAUCAACAUGCCAUCAUUGGCACAGUUCUCACCACCCUCCAUGCCGGAAGUGCUUUGCUUACCUUUUAUCCCAAUUUUAAUCUUUCACUUCUUGAUUCCAAUCUUGCUACCACUUUAAAAGUCCAGCUCCAGCUCCAAGGAGCUGAACAAAUAACCUCAGCUAAGAUAGCUACCCUGCACCAUCAGCUUGUUUACUAACUGUAAAAUCAUGCUUUGGAUUUUCCAACCAUUAUUCAAAUACCAAGGCAAAUUCCUCGACAAGAAUUUAUCAAACUCAUGCCUUUAGAAUGGUUGUCUAAUUAUGAACAAUUUCAUCAAAAUUCUAAACCCAUACACAAACUUCUGAAAGGCAUUUUCAAAAAAAUUUUGAUGGAACUGUUCAUCUUACUUUCAAACCACCACCCAAUUCGUCCUCAGAACCACCUAGAUUAUCUUUUACAUAUUCUUCAAUGAUCACUUCUGUACACACAACACAAGAAAACCUACCCAUUCAAGCCUUUAAUGAUCAAGGUUUUCCCAAAUACCCCGCAAAACUUCAUGGACACUUCUUGUGGGAUGUCCCAGGCUCUGGCAACUGUGAUGCAGGCUGUCCUUGUUGGGAAGAUAUUGAAGAAGAUGAUGACGAACCCAAAAGAACCAAGCAUAAGUCUAAAAAGAUUAUUUAUCCAGCUUGUCGAUACCAUGCUGCUCAUCCUAAAGAACCACCUGAGCCUGAUUCUUAAGCACCUUUACCCAUCUAUCACAAAGGUCUUGCCUGGAUCUGAAAACAUUAACCUACUUUGCUCAACUGCAGAAUAUAAUCAACCCAUGAAACCAUCCAUGCUAAUCACACUCCUAACAUACAAUCCUGUAUGAUGUUUUCCCCAUCAACAUCUAUAGAAUACCAAGCCCAAUUCCCGCCUUUAGAAAAACAAAUUGACCAACAAAGGAGUUUCAUCUCCAAACUAUUUGUCCCAUCUACAGUAACCUUUGCUGGUCAUUUAGAAGAACCUCAUUUUUUUGAAGCAGUCUUAAACUAGCAAACUCAAAAUGAUGUCGCAUAAAACCAAGCAAUCACUACCUUGCAUCCUAAGGUAGACAACAUUACACACAAAACCAACUAGGUUGAGAAAAAGGUUGAUACCAUCUCAGAUAAGUUAAAUAAGAUUUAUCAAAAUCUUCAUAACAGAGUUACUCAACUUGACUCUGAACUUCGGGCUAUGCUUGCCCAACGAGUAUAUAGUCCUAAUUUUGAUAAAAAAGAAGCUGAGAUAAGAGCUUUGAAAACUGAAAUUGCCAGGAUUGAUUCAGAAAAGGUCCAACCUACCAUUUUUACAAGUUUUGCUCUAUUACCAGUAAUUAAUCCUACCUACCAUCUUUUUUGCCAUCAACUUCUUCCCGAACAUAUGAACUUUCUAGACUUUUUAGUAUGACCCAUACUUUGUUUCCUCCACAUCCACGACCUCAACCAAAACCAAAGAAAGCCCCAAAACCAGUCCCAGUUCAAAAACUCAUUCCUCAACAAAAUCCACAGACAUCCAGAUUUGAACCAUCACCCUCUCCAUCACCAACUUCUUUUCCUAAAUCUACGCAGCCACCGCCAAUCCAAACCUCCGUUUCUUUAGAAAAACAGCCUAUGUACCAAUAUUCUACUCAACAAAUUUCCCAUUCUCCAUCUCUAGAUUCUUCUACUGAAAAUUCCCCUUCACAAUCAGAUUCAUCAUCCAUUGAGUCAUCUGAUUUGUCUGACUCAGACACUUCUGAUUCAAAUCUAGCUGAUAUUUCCAAACUCCUCAUGGCAGAACCUACUGAACAGUCUGGUGCCACUGACACUAGCCCAAGAACUAAACCUGUUGACAUCAAUGAAGAAAAUCACGAAACUGGUAAAUCUUCUCAGUCAGUUCCACCUCCACCAAAAGCCUCCAAAACCUUCAAAUGGUCCAUGGUUUACUUUUGAUGAUAUCCCUAGCACAAAGUGGAGAGAAAGACUACAAGAGUUGUCUGCUUGGAUUGAUCUCCAAAUGUUAGCUCUAGAUCCCACAACCCAAUUUGUUCUACGAGAAUUCAGUACUCGAUUUACAGGUUCUCUUUGAGAUUGGUUUGACAAUCUUCGACAAUAUAGACAACAUCAGUUCAUUCAAAUUCCUGAUGUUUCUCAAGCUUUAGCCUUUCUCCAUGAUUAAUUUAUUAGAGAACCAAGUGCUACUUUUGAAGCUGCAAGACGUGAUUAUCUCAACAUGAAAUGUUGUUCCCUCAACACAAAAGAUCUUCAUUACCACUACAACUGAAUGUCUUUGCUUUAUUAUAAGCUAAACGGAUUCAACGAUGCUACCCUUAGACAUGUAUUUCUAGCCUCUCUUCCAGAAGAAUUACAACCAGAGAUCCAGCGUCAGUUAGCUGCUUACAAGCUCAACAUUGACACAUUAUCAUUGGGAAAAUUAUUUUAGAUUGCUAUGGGAUGUCUUGACAAAUUGUGUGAACAAAAGAAAUUCUUCCAGGAUCUCAUCAAAGACAAAGAACCUUUCAAAUCUGCUUGCAAAAAGCCUUACUUGGCUAUGAAGUGCAAAAGAUCUAAAAAAAUGUGACUGUUCAUCAAAGAAAAAGUCUCAUUUCAAGAAAUCCAUAUUCCCAUUUUCAUCCAAGAAAUGGCAUACUCAACGAUUUCACUUUUUCAGGAAAAGGCAAUCCCACUCCAAAGAUUUUCCUAACAGAAAGAAGAGUAGAUGUUUCAUUUGCAAAAAGAAAGGUCAUUUUGCCAAAGACUGUCCCGUCAGACCUCAGAAGGCAGUCAAGCUUAUCCAACACCUAGAAUCCACUAUAGAAUUUUCCCCAACCACAGACCAAGUUGAACACUUAUUUUCUGAACAAGAAGAACCAAACGAUGAUACAGUCUUUGCCUUACCAGCAAAAUUUAAUGAUUGGUAUAACAACGCCAUGUAUCUCUGCUGCUUCAUUUGAUGCAGGAUUGGCUGAAAGAUUUUGACCAUGGCUUUUUGAAAAAUGGAGGGAGCAGUUUCAAACCGAAGGAUAAAACUGUCCAUUGGUAAUGAGCGAACUCGUCUACACAGUCCAACCUUCCUCCAUCCUAAUCCAUGAUCAUACCAUACCUAUACCUUCUGUCAAAAUCCAAAUUGUCCCUUCCAGGUAUCAUAAACCUAUCACAGCCAUUGGUUUUCUCGAUAUUGGUGCUCAGCGAAGCAUGCUUAAUCCUGCUAUUCUUCCUCCUGAUCAUUGGAAAGCUCAGGAAGAACACUUCAAAGCAGCUGAUGAAAAGAUCUUUACAACUAAAUUAGUUACUAAACAUCCAAUAGGAAUUCAGUUAUUUCCUAAUUGUGUUGUUUGAUCUCCUUAUAGGUUUUGGCAUCCUACAUCAGGUAAAAAAUGUCCAGAUUACUUCCUCUAGUCUCUGUUACAAAUCCAUGAUUAAACCCUUCACCAGCACUCUAAAGAUCUAUUCUUUAGCCCAUUCACCACCCACAUACCAGGCCAUUACAGAUUAAAUCCUCAAAAUUUUCCUUGAAAACCAUAGUCUUUUUACCCAUCAAAAACCAUUGUGGAAAACCCAAAGUUCUUCAUAUCUUUACCUUUUAAACUAAAUGAAGACAGCAACCUAACCAAAGCUACCCAUACAGGAAUGACUCCACAAGACCUUAUUUUGGCCCAACAAGAAUGUGCCAAGUUGCUAAAACAAGGCCUCAUUGAGCCCACAAAUUCUCAAUGGGCUUGUCAAGCUUUCUAUGUUGAAAAAAGGUUUGAAAUUCUUUAUAGCAAAAAAUGAUUAGUCAUUGACUAUCAGCCACUCAAUAAUUUUCUCCAAGAUCAGAUAUUUCCAUUACCUAACAGACACACCCUUUUUGUCCACCUAAAAAAUGCUCGAAUCUUUUCAAAAUUCGACUUGAAGUCCGGUUUUUGGCAACUUGGCAUUCACCCUUCAAAACGAUACAAAACUGCUUUUUGUAUUCCAAAUGCCCAUUACCAAUGGACAGUUCUUCCUUUCGGCCUCAAAACUGCCCCUUUUAUUUUUCAAAAGGCCAUGACCACUAUCUUUCAGCCAAUCCUACACCAUACCCUUGUUUACAUUGAUGAUUUGCUUCUUUUUUUAGGUACUCAUGAUGAAUAUCACAAGUUACUCCAACAGUUUUUCCAAAUCAUUCAAGAACAUGGAAUUAUGAUCUCUAACAAGAAAAGUACGAUUGCGACAACCUCUGUUGACUUUCUUGGCAUGAAAAUCCAAGAUGGCCAUUAUCAGCCUGGACCCCACAUUACACAAGAGUUACUCCACUUUCCCAAAAGUAACUUUACAAAAAAGUAAGUCCAACAGUUUCUUGGCAUCAUCAAUUACAUUCGUGAUUUCCUGCCACAUGUCAAUCACCAUACAAGCAAGUUGUCUGCACUUCUAAAAAAGAAUCCACCAUCCUGAUCAGAUAUCCACACAGAUGCUGUAAAGCAAUUAAAGCAUAUUGCUCAGAAUCUGUGACCUCUAAAGCUAAUUACAGACGGCAAAAGAAUCUUGCAAACAGAUGCAAGUGAUGAGUCAUGGGGGGCCAUUCUCCUUGAAGAAUGCAAUGGAAAAGAACACUUUAUUACCUAUGUAAGUGGACAAUUCCCUGAUGCACAAAAGCAUUAUCACACAGUCUAUAAAGAAAUUUUAGCCGUGAAAAGUUGUAUCAAGAAAUUUGAAUUCCAUUUGAUUGGUCAUCGAUUCUUGAUCAGACUAGAUAAUUCGGCUUUUCCCAAUGUCUUGAACUUUAAGCAAAAGGUUGUUCUAGAGAAAACCUUACUUCGGCUUAAAGAAUGGUUUUCAAGAUAUGAUUAUCAUGUCCAGCAUAUAAAAGGUGAUCAUAACCUCAUCCCAGACUUACUAUCCAGACCUCCAAAACCACAACCUUCCCAAUUCUUCUGUAUCACUUCUCAGAUUUCCUUCCCGAUCAUUGCCAUGGCUAGUUCACUCCCUAAAACAGCUCUCACCUAGAAAUCUUUCCCACUCAACAUGACUUUCCAAUCACCUUACUCGAUUCAAGACUUCGCCAGAAAAUUCCUCUUUAGGUUUUUUAUGAACAUCUACAUCAUGACUAAAGAACCUAUGUUUUUUUCCCAUCUUUCAUCCUGAUCAUCUUUUCCUUACAGGAUUAGUAAUUACACCUCACAUAGAUAUUACCGAAGAUGAACUUUGGUAUACGUGGUGUCUUACUGUUCUGUAUGCCACAAAAAUGGUUUUCCCAGUCUUACCCCUUCUCACCAAGCUCAAUGAUCCAGAGUCUUCUACUUCUCUUACAUAGACUCUUUUUGAGUGGUUUUCACCAUUACCAUGGUGGCGCAGAAAACUACAACAGAUUGCUGACACACAUCGUCUUCUAGAACUCCCAAACCAAGAAGGCAAAUAGUUCACUUCUGUUUUUAUCAUUCAUCGUCCAUACUUUCAACAUCCUCAUACCAAGGAUUUUUGGACUCAGAAUCAGAGUUAUGAAUGGACCACAGUCCCUCAUAUUGCCUAUCUUGAACAAGAUUUCCACAUCAAAACUUCCUUGAAGAACUUCCUCAUGGAACUCAACCAUAUUCCUCCAGACCAACCAGAUAUCCUCCACACAUCUCUUGGACCAAAACAUGAAAUGUUCAUGAUCCCUACACCAUUCUUACAUUCCCAACCUCCCAACUGUGGAAUCAUCAUAAAAGAAGAAAAGCCAGAUUAUAUUGAUUUUCUCUUCCAAAGAACAGGGCAGGAAAAAAAUCUAGCAGAUGCUUUAUUUACUGAAAAAAGGCCAUUAUGCAAAAUCCGCCAGUCCCUUCAUUAUCACCAUAUGAAUUCCCUAGAUCAUCCUCUUCUCAAUAUCCGCCAUUUUCCUCUUAACCUGAGCAUUUUCCUCAAUCAUUUCCUCUAUCACUAAAAGCCCGAAAUUGCCCUUGGCCAUGUGUUCCAAGAUGUUCUCAUCCAGAAAAAAAUCUUCAAGAAAGACAAAGACCCUAAUCGUGACCCGGACGAGACAAAUUUCUCCUCAUCUGAAGACGCGUCAAUAUCUCUUUAAGAGAUUUGUCACUUUGUAAUAAUGUAAAAUAAAGUACUUUAUGCUUUAGUUUUUAAAGUUGUUUGUCCUUAUGUAAUCAUGCACUUUACUUUUGUUGGCCACUACUGUACCAGUGAGCCCUGCCUACUUUUGUAAAAUAAGUGUGCCUGUAUGCCAGCUGGAAUGAUCUCAAUCCAGCUUUUGUCUUUUCUCCUCCUUAUCUUUAUAUAAGGAGAGUUAUUUUGAAUAAAAAUUAAAGAGUUUUCGAUAACAUUUCAAGUUUCAAUAUUCCAUCCUAUGGAUAACUAAAACCUUCGUUUCUAUUCUUUAAUCCUAAGAUUCUUUAGGUUUAGAGCUCUUACCCUUGUUCAAUGUCUAUAUUUUGCAAGUAUGCUCUACACUUGCCUUGAAAAAGGAUCAUGUGCAUUAGAAAGCUAGUCAGGUUGCCAUUCUUUCUUUGUUCUAAGAUAAUAGACGGAACCCUGCCUUUAGACUAAGUGACCAAGGAGAGUCUGUGUCUUUUUUGGGUUGUCUAUACUCUUAGUUCAUCAAACUGAGUGACUGGUUUUACCAAACCAUGUGGCAUGGGCACAAAAAAGUUCUUUGCCACGAUCAAUUCGAGUAAAAUGGCACCCUGGUAUUCGUCGCUUGCAUCGAUUUGGAUUUGUUUUUUGGUUAGGUGCUCAUCUAGAAACUGUAACAAUUCUUGUGCUAUGUGGGGACUGGGACGAUAGUAUCCAUCUUCGAGGAUCAUGCCAACAAACGCAAUUGUAGAUUGACCUAGGGUGCUUUUCUUUUCAGAAAGCAUAAUACCGUGGGAUUUCACUAGGGUAAGGAAGUGGUCCAACAAUUUUUGGUGAGUCACGUGGUCUUUGGAAAAUAUGAGGAUGUCGUCAAUAUAGACUAGUGUGUUAUGGAGGAUUGGUUCAAAGAUUUUGGCCAUAGCCUUUUGGAAAAGAGAAUGGGCUACCUUUAAGCCAAAUGGCAUGACAGUCCACUGAUAAAGGUCAUUGGGUAUGCAAAAAGCAGUUUUAUGUCUAUCACUGGGAUCAAUGCCUAGUUGCCAAAAACCUGCUUUAAGGUCAAAUUUUGAGAGUACCUUUGCAUCAUGGAGGUGGACAAACAAAGAUUAGAUUUUGGGUAAAGGGAACUUGUCAUCUUGAAGAAAAAAAUUUAAAGGUUGGUAAUCAAUGACAAGUCUCUUCUUUUUUCGAAUGAUUUUGGAUCGUUUUUCCACAUAAAAUGCUUCACAGGCCCAGUUUGAUUUGGUGGGUUCAAUGAGACCUUGUUGGAGGAGAUCUGAACAUUCUUGUUGAGCCAAUUUAAGAUCUGAAGGAGACAUACCUGGAUGUGUGGCUUUGGUGGGAUUAACAUCUUUGUUAAGCUUGAAGGGAAGCUUAAUGAAGAAUUGAGUAUUUUUCCAGACAGGGUUUGAAUGACUGAACUCGGUAUGGGAUUCUGGACAAAAGGGGAGAAAUUUUUUUAUGUAAGGCUGGUAUGAUGGUGUAGUUUCUGAAAGUUUAUACAGACAUAAAAUUUCUGUAUAUGGCUUGAAUUGACUUUUGUAGGAGACUCUUGCAGCUGUGAUCUGCAGUCUUUUGGAUAAGUCCAAGAGAUCAAAGCCAAUUAGUAGAUCCUUAUAUAGAAGCUCUAAGUUAAUAAUCUUUGACCAUAUGACACAAUUUGAAAAAAUUUGCACCCCAAUGGGAGCCUUAGUGAUAAGGCUGGUUUGAAAGAUCUGGCCAUCUGCAGCUCUGAAAUUUUCAAUAUGUUUUACCCAGCAGUUUAGAGGGAGGAUUGAAAUGUGUAACAUACUUUUCUGGGCUCCAGUGUCGAUGCAUCCGAUGACAGAGAUGGGUUUAUGGAAUUUUGAAGGGAGAAUAUAGACUGAGAUGGAGGGUAUGGAUAUGGGAGACUGAGAUGGAGGGUAUGGAUAUGGGAGACUGAGCAACAGAUGCUUGAAGAAAGUGGAUCAUAUCGAUUACCUAGACCUUUUCUGAGUCAGAGGCAGAAUUUGUAUCUGUCUCUUCAAGAGCAAAGACUGAACCAAGGACCAUUUGAGGGUUUAGGAGUCGUGUCUAGUAGAUGGGGAGGAAUUGUGCUCGUUGGAUUAUCAUUACAAGCACAUGUCGGCCCUGUUCUAUAAACUAAAUUGGUUUAAUGACCCAACACUCAAACAUGUGUUUGUAGCCUCUUUGCCAAAAGAACUUCAGCCUGAAUUACAACGGCAAGUGAACCUCCACCAAUUAAACAUUGCUAACCUGUCUUUUGGAAAAUUUUAUCAACUAGUAGUGACCUGCCUUAAAUGUCUAUGUGAACAAAAAGAAUUUUUCAAAGACUUGAUGGAAAACCGUCAACCAUUCAAAAGUGCAUGCAAGAAGCCUCAUCUGAAGAUUAAGUGCAAAGAUGAAAAAGACUGCACAUGCUUCUCAAAGAAGAAACCCCAUUAGAGCAUGGUUCUGAAGUCGGUAUACCAACUGAUGGUGCAAUGUUGCCAUAUUGGAUUAUACAAUCUGUUCAGCUCCCUGAAGCUGGAUCUGAACUCUUAAGGUUGUGGGUAAAUUGGGAUCUUGAAGAAAGAGGUUGAAAUUUGGGUAGGAAGUGAGUAGUGCGCUUCCAGCAUGAAGAGUUGUAAGGACAGUGCCAAUAACAACUUGUUGGUAUUCUUUAAAAAGGGUAUCAAGGAGGGCUAACCGAGUAGUUACUGGUAAACCUUUUCUGCCAUGAAGGGUGAGGAUUAGUCUGAUACCUUUUCGGAUCGUUUUUCCACAUAAAAUGCUUGACAUGCCCAGUCUGAUUUGGUGGGUUCAAUGAGACCAUAUUGGAAGAGAUCUAAACAUUUUGGUUGAGCCAAUUUAAGAUCUGAAGGAGACAUGCCUGGAUGUGUGGCUUUGGUGGGAUUAACAUCUUCGUUAAGCUUGAAGGGAAUAAUAAAGAAUUGAGUAUUUUUCCAGAGAGGGUUUGAAUGACUGAAUUCGGUAUGGGAUUCUGGACAAAAGGGGAGAAAUUUUUUGAUGUAAGGCUGGUAUGAUGGUGUAGUUUCUAAAAGUUUAUACAAACGUAAAAUUUAUGUAUAUGGCUUGAAUUGUCUUUUGUAGGAAACUUAUGCAGUUGUGAUCUACAGUCUUUUGGAUAAGGCCAAGAGAUCAAAGCCAAUCAGUAGAUCCUUAUCUGGAAGCUCUGAGCCAAUAAUCUUUGACCAUAUCACACAAUUUGGAAAAAUUUGUACCCCAAUGGGAGCCUUAGUGAUAAGGCUGGUUUGAAAGAUCUGGCCAUCUGCAGCUCUGAAAUUUUCAAUAUGUUUUACCCAGCACUUUGGAGGGAGGAUUGAAGGGUGUAACAUCCUUUUUGGGCUCCAAUGUCGAUGAAUCCAAUGACUAAGUAGUAAUACCCCGAGUGGUAUCGAAGCCAUAGCCUUCCACGGAAGCUGUAAAUGUAAUAGGUUUUUAUAUUCCUUCAAUGAUGACAAGAAAGCACUUUUUCAUAUCAUGGCAUUAUCUUGUUCAGAAUCUUUUAUUACCCCCAAUCCUAUUACUCUUUCAUCUACUCUUUCUCUCACAUCCUUAUGUUCUAAACAUACAGCCUCAAAAAUAGAAAACCUGGUAGAAUACUCCUAUAUCCCUGAGUCAGCCCAGAUAAGUGAAUCAUCCAUGCCCUUAAUUAGUCCAUACCAUCUUUACAAACGACCAAAUUCUUUUACCAUAGUAUCAAAACUCUUAUCUCUACCAAAUGACCUCUUCCAAAAGAAUACAUCCAGUCUUCCCGAUUGGAUCAAUGUUCAAUUUAGGCCACCCAAGCAGAACAGUACGCCACCCUUGAAAUACCUUCUGAGCUUAUAGCCACCUGGCUAAUCCUCACCCUUCAUGGAAAAAAAGGUUUACCAGUAACUGCUCGGUUAGCCCUCCUUGAUACCCGUUUUAAAGAAUACCAACAUGUUGUUAUUGGCACUGUCCUUACAACUCACUACUCACUUUCUACCUAAAUUUCAACCGAGCAGCCUUAAGAGUUCAGAUCUAGCUUUAAGGAGUUGAACAGAUUGUAUCAUCCAAAAUGGCAACGCUGCACCAUCAAUUGGUAUACCGACUUCAUAACCAUGCUCUUUAUCUACCAACUCCACAUACAUCAGUUGAGGCUUUAAUGAUCUUAGUUGAUACCGAGUCUAUACAAACCAUCGUAUAGAUCCCCAGACAGAUCCUAAAACAAGAUCUGUUCAAGCUCAUGCCACUUGAAUGGCUUUCUAAUUAUGAGUAGUUCCACCAAAACUCUCAGCCUAUCCAAACUUCAGAAGCCUCUUAUGAAAAGCGUUCGGAUGGAACUGUUCGGAUGACCUUUAAGCCUCCUGCAGAACAAGCCCCAAGACUUUCUUUUUCCUACUCCUCGAUAAUUACUGAUGUUUCUACAAGUCAGGAGGAUAUUCCUAUUUCUGCUUUCCAAACGGAUGGAUAUCCCAUCUAUCCUACCAAACUCAAUGGCCAUUUCUUAUGGGACAUUUCUGAGGCCCAUAUGUGUAAUUCUGGUUGUCCCUGUUUGGAUGAUUAUAAUUCAGAUGACGAUUAUCUUGUACGCCGAAGACGAAAGAAAAAGAAGAAACCUGUUUUUGCGAACACCCUAUGUCAUACCUACUCUCCUCACAUGCCAGAUGAACCUGACUUUCAACGUCCUUUACUAGUUUAUAAUAAAAGUCUCAAAUACUUGCAAAAGACGCAGGCUUUUUCUUGCGAACCUCAAACAUGUGUACCCCCAGUCCACCUAUGGUUUCCCCCUGUAUGAUGUUUUCAAGUUCUUCAUCUUCUUACCAAACACACUUUCCAGCACUUGGAAAACAAACUGAUCCAAGUACAAAGGUUUCCUCCCAACCUUAUAUACAAUCCCUAGUAACCCCUGCUGGACAGUUAGAAGAACCUCGCCCUUUUGAAGCCGUCCUCAAUUGGCAGACUCAAAAUGCAACAUCACAAAAUGUUGUUUUGCAAAACCUUGAUCAUAGGGUUCAAUCGGUUGCAACUCAGGUUCAGAACACAGAUAAAAAUAUUGACAGCAUUGCUGCCCAGCUUGAACAGAUGUAUACUGAUCUCAAGAAUAGAGUUACUCAACUUAACUCUGAACUCAGACAGAUGAUCCAACAACGAUANNNNNNNNNNNNNNNNNNNNNNNNNNNNNNNNNNNNNNNNNNNNNNNNNNNNNNNNNNNNNNNNNNNNNNNNNNNNNNNNNNNNNNNNNNNNNNNNNNNNCCUUCGUUGUUUGUUCCUACCCAACUUUUGCCCAGACAUACAUCCCUAAAUAGGUAUCCACCUUUUUAAAUUUCGUCCUUAUAUAGGAAACCCCAUGAUUAUUCCAAAACAUUCAGCCUUACCUACAAGUUAUUUCAGUCCUCUUCAAAAACACAAGCAACAACACCUCCUAAACAACCAACCAGAGUAGACACUCCUCCAGCUUCAAAUCCUUCCCCACAAGCUAAGGAUAAAUAUCCUAGCCAACCCAAUCAACCUAGUUAACAAUAUGCUGCCCAUUCAGUCCUUUUACUACAUUUAACUUCUCCUUCUAAAUCUUUUGAUUCUAGAUCAAAAUCAGUAACUAAAUCCGAUUCUGCAUCAGAUUCGAAAGCUGAAUUUGCUGAUAUUACCAAACUGCUCAUGGCCAUACCAUUCAUUGGUUCCAAUGAUCCUUCUCCAUAAGAAUUCCCACCUGAUACACCCAUAAUGGAAUAAUAAGAUGAAACGAGCACAUUUCCUCCCCAUCGACCGGACACGGCUCCUAAACCCUCAAAUGGUCCUUGGUUCACUCUUGAUGACAUGCCUAAGGCGAAAUGGCCCUCACGGUUAUAGGAAUUUAUAGCCUAGAUCGAUGUCCAAAUGCUCAAGCCUAGUUCAUCAGUCCAAUCAGCUCUAAGAGAAUUUAGUUCCAGAUUUCUUGGUUCUCUAAGAGACUGGUUCGAUAGUCUUGGUCAAUACAGACAAUUGCAAUUCAUACAAAUUCCUGACGUGCCCACAACACUAGGCCUCAUGUAUGAACAAUUCAUCGGAGAAGCAGUCCCAGCAAAUGAAUUGGCGCAAAAAGAAUAUUUUCAAAUGAAGUGUUGUUCGCUUCAACAAAAAGAUUUGGAUUAUCAUUACAAGCACAUGUCGGCCCUGUUCUAUAAACUAAAUGGGUUUAAUGACCCAAUACUCAAACAUGUGUUUGUAGCCUCUUUGCCAAAAGAACUUCAGCCUGAAUUACAACGGCAAGUGAACCUCCACCAAUUAGACAUUUCCAACCUGUCUUUUGGAAAAAUUUAUUAACUAGCAGUGAGCUGCCUUAAACGUCCAUGUGAACAAAAAGAAUUUUUCAAAGACUUGAUGGAAAACCGUCAACCAUUCAAAAGUGCAUGUAAGAAGCGUCAUCUGAAGAUUAAGUGCAAAGAUGAAAAAGACUGCAUAUGCUCCUCAAAGAAGAAAUCCCAUUUCAAAAAAGCCUUCUCCAAAAAGAAGUCUUAUUCCAAACCAAAAAAAACCCUACCAGUUCUUCAAAAGGAAAGAUCCAUUCUCUUCCAAAAACCCAAGAAACAGUCGUUGUUUCAUAUGCAAAAAGAAAGGGCAUUUUGCAAAAAAUUGCCCAAAUAAGCCAGCAAAGUCCAGUCGUCUUCUCCAUCAUUUACAAACCUCAUCUAUCAUCUCUGCCCCAGAAUAAGAGAGUGCUAAUGAAGAAACAGUCUUUGCUCUUGAAGAGACAGAUACAGAUUCUCCCUCUAACUUAGAAAAGGUCCAGGUAAUUGAUAUGAUCGACUUUCUCUGAGCAUCUGUUGCUCAGUUUCCCAUAUUCAUACCCUCCAUCUCAGUCCAUAUUCUCCAUUCAAAAUUCCAUAAACCCAUCUAUGUCAUUGGAUUCAUCGACACUAGAGCCCAGAAAAAUAUGUUACACCCUUCAAUCCUCCCUCCAAACUGUUGGGUAAAACAUAUUGAAAAUUUCAGAGCUAUAGAUGGCCAGAUCUUUCAAGGCUCCCAUUAGGGUACAAUUUUUUCCAAACUAUGUCAUAUGGUCAAAGAUUAUUGGCUUAGAGCUUCCAGAUAAGGAUCUACUGAUUGGCUUUGAUCUCUUGGCCUUAUCCAAAAGUCUGCAGAUCACAGCUGCAGGAGUCUCUUACAAAAGACAAUUCAAGCCAUAUACAUAAAUUUUAUGUCUGUAUAAACUUUCAGAAACUACAUAAUCAUAACAACCUUACAUCCAAAAAUUUCUCUUUUUUUGUCCAGAAUCUCAUGCCGAAUUCAGUCAUUCAAACCCUCUCUGAAAAAAUACUCAAUUCUUCAUUAAGCUUCCCUUCAAGCUUAACGAAGAUAUUAAUCCCACCAAAGCCUCACAUUCAGGUAUAUCUCCUUCAGAUCUUAAAUUGGUUUAACAAGAAUGUUAAGAUCUCCUCCAACAAGGUCUCAUUGAACCCACCAAAUCAGACUGGGCAUGUCAAGCAUUUUAUGUGGAAAAACGAUCCGAAAUCAUUCAAAAAAAGAAGAGACUUGUCAUUGAUUACCAACCCUUAAAUUUUUUUCUUCAAGAUGACAAGUUCCCUUUACCCAAAAUCCAAUCUUUGUUCGUCCACCUCCAUGAUGCAAAGAUACUCUCAAAAUUUGACCUUAAAGUAGGUUUUUGGCAACUAGGCAUUGAUCCUAAAGUAAUAAUAACAAUAAUUAAUAAUAACUAAAAUAAUAAAGUUAAUAAAAUUUAAUAAUAAUAAUAAUAAUAAUAAAUAUUAAUAAAAAUAAUAUUAACAGUAAUUAAUAAUAACUAAAAUAAUAAAAUUAAUAAAAUUUAAUAAUAAUAAUAAAUGUUAAUAAUGAUAAUAUUAAUAAAAAUAAUAUUAACAGUAAUUAAUAAUAACUAAAAUAAUAAAGUUAAUAAUAUUUUUAUUAAUAAUAAUAAUAAUAACAACAAAAAUAAUGAUAAUAUUGUUAAUAAUGAUAAAUUAAUUAUUUUUAUUAAUUAUUAAUACUAUGGGUAUUUUGGUAAAUUGAUUCUCAUUCACAUUCCUCAUUUUCAUUUAUUUUGCCAAGUAAACACAUCAAUGGCAUUCCAGCACAUUCUUAUUUCCAUUUAUUUUUGUCAAGUAAACAUUGAAAUCUCAUUCCCAUUCCUUAUUCACAUUCCCAUCCCAUUCUCAUCCCACCCCAUUCGCAUUCCAGGAAGUAAAUGCACCAUUAAUCUUUUCAUUUAAUGAAUCAAUGCAUUUUUGUAAAGAAUCAUUUUCAUUUGAAAUUUCUAAUAUUUUCUUUUUAAGGGAUGCAUUCAUUUUUACCUAUUCUUAUCAAAUCAUCAUGCAAUUCUUUAAAAACAUUAUUUAAUGCAUCACAUGCUGGAAGAUCACUUACCCAUCAAGUUAAUCAAAUGAUUCUUCCCUGAUUGCCAUGGGAGCUAGAUUUGUCAUCUCUCUUUGCUUUUCAUCAUCACUCGUUUCCUUAUCGCUGUCAUCCUAUGUUGCUACCAUUGCCUUCUUCUUGAGCUUGUUGAGGAGAGGACACUCCGAUUGUAUGUGUUGAGGGUUUUUGCAUUCAUAGCAAAUAAUUGGCCCAUUCUUCUCUUUUUGAUUCUUGUAGUUUUUGAAUUUUCUCCGCUCGUUAGUUUUCUUGUAGAAUUUUAUAAACCUCCUAGCCAGCAUGGCUAUUUCCUNNNNNNNNNNNNNNNNNNNNNNNNNNNNNNNNNNNNNNNNNNNNNNNNNNNNNNNNNNNNNNNNNNNNNNNNNNNNNNNNNNNNNNNNNNNNNNNNNNNNUUCCUCAUAAGAAAUAAGAGAACUAAUCAAAUCGUCAAUAGGUAACGUAUUUAAAUUUUUGGCUUCCUCAAUGACAGUCCUCUUAGGUCUCUAUUCCUUUGGUAGUGACCUAAUAAUUUUCUUAACUUUUUUCGCUAUUCGAAAAGGUUAUUUCCUAAGGCUCCAAGAGUGUUCACUAUGUCCAUAAAUCUAGUAUACAUAGAAUACACACUCUCAUUUUGUUCUAUUUGGAACAAUUCAUGUUAUCGAGUGUAUCUACUAAUUUUAGACUCUUUUACUUGAUUUGUGCCUUCAUAAACAACUUCAAGUUUAUUCCAAAUUUCAUGAGCACUUUCACAACUAGACACUCUAUGGAACUCUUCCUUAUCAAGUGCACAAAACAAGGCAUUCAUAGCUUUGGAAUUUAGAGAAGUUUUUCUCUUUUCCAAUUCAUUCCAUUCCCGUGAAGGUUUUGAAACAUCUUCCCCUACUUCAUUUUUAGUCAUAGGCAUGAAUGGACCAUCACAAAUAACUUUCCAAAUUUCAUAAUCUAAAACUUGCAAGUAAAUUCUCAUCCUAAUUUUCCAAUAAAGAUAGUCAUUUCCAUAAAAAAAAAUGGAGGUCUUGUGGUUAAUUGACCUUCCCUAAAUGUGGAGUUAUUUUGAGUUGCCAUUUAUAUUUAACUCUAGAUGGUUAAGUCCAAACAAGAGCACCUCGCUCUGAUACCAAAUGAAAUACUAACUAGGCAACCCAAGAGAGGGGUGAAUUGAGAUUCUAAAAAUUUAAGCAACUAAAACUUAAUGCAAUAUAAACUAAGCAAUCAAAUUUGAAAUAAAUAAAUUAAUGCGCAAUAAAAAAUAAAGAGAUAGGGCAAGAGAGAGCAAACACUCAAUUUUUACGUGGUUCAGUCAACCGUGCCUACGUCCAUGCCUCCAAUCUCACCGGGCUUGAGAAUUUCACUAAGCACGCCUCCAAGGCUUCAACAACCUUACAAUUGACUUUCAAGAUGUCAAUAGACCUUUAAAAUAAGAGAAUAUCCACAAUCUCUUAACCCAAGUAUAUCCCAGCACUUACAACCUUUCAAGGAUAAAGAUUACAAAUGAAUUUUCUCUCACACAAUGUGUUUGAUUACAAAUGAAUGCUCAAUGUGUGAAUCAAAGAAAUAAAGACAAGUUUAAAGCUCAAUAAUGGUUAUAUGCUCAGUAGCAAGUUCAAUGCUAACUCUUAGAUCUAUCUUUAUUUGAAUUUAAUUAAGUUAUUUUAUAGUUGAACCUGAAAACUAGUCGUUAUUGACUUUCUGAAAGAAAUCGGAUCACCGUUAACUGCUAUCAAUUUGCCAUUUUGACUAGUCCAAAUGAUUGUUGUGCUAAGAUUUCAAAUAGUCAAUUCACCGUUUGACGUUAUCGGUAAGCCGUUUAUUUCCAAAGACCUGCAAAACAAAUUUUGGCUAUCCGUUCUUACUAAAUGGUUCACGGUUAGAAUCCAAUUCUUUUUUGGAAAUUCUCAGUUCACCGUUUUCCGUAAACGAUUCACCAUUAUUUUCCAGAAUCAUCAUUUUAACAACCCUUUGUAGAACAUGCUUUCUAGAAAUUAUUGGUUUGCCAUUUUCAACAAACGGUUAGCCGUUUGCUACAAUGAAACUAUUUUGCAAAAUUAUAGUGUCUAAAACUUUCUAUAAUUAUACUAUGACCCAAUCUUCAUAAAACUUUACAAAUAAGUUCAUUUCCAAAGUUUCAAAACUUUUUCAAUUAGACCAUGAACUUGAACAAUAACCAAUUUCAUUUAUUUAAAAAUUAUAAAUAAUUUGAGCUUUAAAUGUUUGAAAAAUAAUUUGAGCUAUUAAAAACUUAAUCAUUUUUAAUCUUAUUUGCUAUCAUCAAAAUUAUCAUUAUAAACACAUACAUAUUAACAGAUUCCCCUUUGAUAGAUUUGCUUAGUGUAAAUUCUAAAUAGUUUUCUAGAAAAAGAAAAAAAAAAUGGAGUUGGCUUCUAAAGUUUCGCGCCAUCAUUGAAUUUAUAAAUCAUUGCAAACAAUGUGUUUCCAAUCACGAGAGACGAGCACGAGCCGUGAACCCUGCACGAAAAUUUUAAAAAUAAUGAUAAUUGUAUUCAAUAAAAUACCAACAUUCAUAUAUUCUUAAAUUAAACUAAUCUUAAUAUUGGUCCAUAUUCAACAUUUGUCUUCUCUCUUUCUAAACCCUUAAACUUUAAAUUCCCAAUUCUCAUUUUUUUCACCUUUAUUCUUUGAAAAUUUUAGUUUAUUAUUUAGUUUCUUUAUUUAAUUUUCAAUUGAUAGUCUAAAUUAUUCUAAAAUGUUGGUAAUUCAUAUGAAUACUAUAUUUUUUUCUUAAUUUUUUAGUGUAGUUGAUUAGAAUCUGGCCUUUAUAAAUAAAAAUUCUCUAUCUUUAAAAAAUAAAAAUAAGUACUUUUCUUAAUUUUUUACUUGCUUUUUUAAAAUAUUUUAUUGUUCAUUAUAUUAAUAAUUACUUAUUUAAAUUAUAUUUUAUAUUAUUUUUUAACAAUAAUUUUUUGGCCCACAUAAUAAAAGUUUACUAAUUCCGCCCUUAUUUCUGAUUUUAUACAUGUAUGUCAGUAUGUGUGUGCGCAUCUAUACCAUCACACAAAAAUAAUGUGUUUAUGAUGAUUUUAUGUGUGUGGACAGUGAGGUGGCACGAGCAAAAUGUCGGACCCAAAUGGAGGACUACGCACACUGUAAAAGAAACCCGAUUANNNNNNNNNNNNNNNNNNNNNNNNNNNNNNNNNNNNNNNNNNNNNNNNNNNNNNNNNNNNNNNNNNNNNNNNNNNNNNNNNNNNNNNNNNNNNNNNNNNNNNNNNNNNNNNNNNNNNNNNNNNNNNNNNNNNNNNNNNNNNNNNNNNNNNNNNNNNNNNNNNNNNNNNNNNNNNNNNNNNNNNNNNNNNNNNNNNNNNNNNNNNNNNNNNNNNNNNNNNNNNNNNNNNNNNNNNNNNNNNNNNNNNNNNNNNNNNNNNNNNNNNNNNNNNNNNNNNNNNNNNNNNNNNNNNNNNNNNNNNNNNNNNNNNNNNNNNNNNNNNNNNNNNNNNNNNNNNNNNNNNNNNNNNNNNNNNNNNNNNNNNNNNNNNNNNNNNNNNNNNNNNNNNNNNNNNNNNNNNNNNNNNNNNNNNNNNNNNNNNNNNNNNNNNNNNNNNNNNNNNNNNNNNNNNNNNNNNNNNNNNNNNNNNNNNNNNNNNNNNNNNNNNNNNNNNNNNNNNNNNNNNNNNNNNNNNNNNNNNNNNNNNNNNNNNNNNNNNNNNNNNNNNNNNNNNNNNNNNNNNNNNNNNNNNNNNNNNNNNNNNNNNNNNNNNNNNNNNNNNNNNNNNNNNNNNNNNNNNNNNNNNNNNNNNNNNNNNNNNNNNNNNNNNNNNNNNNNNNNNNNNNNNNNNNNNNNNNNNNNNNNNNNNNNNNNNNNNNNNNNNNNNNNNNNNNNNNNNNNNNNNNNNNNNNNNNNNNNNNNNNNNNNNNNNNNNNNNNNNNNNNNNNNNNNNNNNNNNNNNNNNNNNNNNNNNNNNNNNNNNNNNNNNNNNNNNNNNNNNNNNNNNNNNNNNNNNNNNNNNNNNNNNNNNNNNNNNNNNUCUUUCUCCUUCUCAAAUUAAUUUUGUCCUACUUUAAUUUUUAAUUUUUUCAUUAUCAAACAUAUAAUUUUUCUAAAACAUAAAAAAAAAUAAGUCUUCUAACUACAUAAAUUAGAUUAAUUUCUUAAAAACAAAACCUAAAAAACAUAAUACUUGCAUUUACCAUUGUAAUAAAGAAAGAGUUAUAUAUUACUUUUUAUAACAAGAUCUAAUCAAUUAGGGCCUACUGAAUGCGAUUAAAGAUGGUGGGAUGGGUUUACCUUGAGCUCCACAUAUCAACUUUCCAAAUUAAAUCCCACGAGCUCCACUGAGCUCUCCAUAUUAUUCCAAACUCAUAACACCUUAGUUCACCUACUUUGAAUAGCAGAAAAACACACUUAAGCCUUCAUUAGCCUAAUCUCCCCUUAAAUAUAAAUUUAUUUGUUUGAAUUGAAUUUAACUUAGAUCUGGUGAGAACAACUACUAAAUAGUUCAAAUUGGUUCCUAUUAAAACAACUUUGUUGCGUUCAUCGUUUGGCUUUGCUAAUUAAUAUCUUACGUUUACUAUGAAAACCUAAAUACUUUUCUAAAGGGAAAUUAUCAGCCAUAUACCCUUAAAUGACACCAGUAUCAAAUGUGCUACAACACUUUUCAAGUAUAUCACUCAUAUAUCUUAAGUUGACAAAACACUUCUGCCGUCCACCAAUCCAUUAAUUACUGUUUGCAAGCGCUGACAUCAUAAGGGUAAUCUUAUUUUUUUUAAAAAACGACAUGUCAUCCCAUUUACCUAGUAAAAAAUGACAUGUCAUAUGAUAUAUAUUGAUAAAAAUAACAUGUCAUCCCAUUUUUCGGAUAAUUGUUAAUAAUUGCUAUAAAAAAAGCUAUUUUACAACUGAAUCUACUCCUUCAAAACUUAACCUAAAUUUUUGAAGAUCUACUCCUCUAAUUGAAAUUUUUUAUGGUAUAAUAUGUAUAAUUGUAAAUAAUAUGUUAUUAAUAAUUUUUUUAUGGUAUAAUAUGGAUAUUUUUUAUGGAUAAUUGUUAAUAAUAUGUACCGUUAAUAAUUCAUAUUUUUUAAUAAAAAAUGUAUUGUUAAUAACAAAAUAAAAAAAAUUAUGUAUUGAAAAUUUACGUUAAUUUUUGGGGUAAAUUUAUAUUUUUACCUCAUUUUGAGUUUCAAGGGUGAAAUAGUCAAUUUACUUAUGAGAACCAUCAAGGGAAUACCAUUAAAAGUUCAAGUGAUCCUUUGCACAUUCAUGGAGGCCCAAUUACAAGAGCAAGAGCCAAAAAGAUGCAAGCUGCUUUAAAUAGAUUAAUUGAGAAAAUAUGGAUUGAAAAUGCAAUUCAAGAUGAAAGACAUCAUGAAUUGGGCUUGAAGAGAAGACAAGGCAUUGUGGGCAUUAUUCAAGUUAUUGGGCAGCCAAAUACAAAAUUUGUAUCAAAUGCAGAAAGGUCAAAUUCGGAAUAAAAACUGUAUUGAUUGAGCUAGAAGUAACGUGCAAGCUAUAUACCGUUGGAAACAUAAUUAAGUUAGCUUUCCAAUAAAUUUUACAGAGUUGGAUUUGGAGUUCUCUAGAAGGAGUUAUGACCAAUUCAUUACAGCUUGUUUAGACUUGGGAUUUUCAACGACUCCUUUGUUUUUCAACUUCAUUUGUUUGUUUUGUUUCAAGUUUGUCAAUGUGUAAGGUAAGUCUACCAUCAAUGAUGGUGGGCUAACAUUAAGUUUGUCAAUGAUAGCAUUAAUUAUAGUAGGCUAGCAUUAAGUUUGUCAAAGAUAGCAUUAAUUAUGGUGGGUUGGUGAAGACUUUUGAAACAUCUUUUGACAAACCUACUUGGAGGGUUGUUCCAAUGUUUCCAUUUGUAUUUUUAGGAUCUUGGGUUUCUUUUAGCCUAUUUAAAUUUAGCAACCUUGCUAUGUAAUGGGAUGGGAGAUUAAUGUUAUUUGAAUUUGAAAGAUUAUUCUUUCUUUGGUUCUUUUGAAAACUAGUGAACUUAUCAAGAAUUUGCAUUCUUGUGGCAUUCCAAAUUUAGACUUAUCACUCACCUUCUCAUCUAUUUCUUGAGUGUGGCAUCAAUACCAUUCUCUAUACCUUUGGUUCAUGUUUUCUUAAGCAUUGGGUCAAGGUUUUAUUUGUCUUAAAUCUGUUUAGAACUUUCUUGGGAAGUUGAAACUACAAAUUAAGUGUGGGAUUGAAAGUUUCAUUGUGGGAUUCACAUCAUUUGGUAUCAAAGCUAGUUUCUAAUCAGGUUUGAAUGUCUUAUUUAUUUUGAUUAUCAAAAAAAAAAAAGAGAAAAAAAAGAUUCAAGUAUUUCUACUUUCAUCAAAUUGAAUUUGAGUUAUUCAUUUUCCUUGACAUAGUUUACACACAUAUCAAUUGUGUUGCUUUGCUUGCUUGCUUUCCUUUCUUCAAUUUCCUUUUCAUUCUUUGUGUCCUCUUAAUUUUUUUUCUUUGUUAGUGUGCUGGAUUGUCAUAUUUGGUGUGCCACUUGGGUUUUUAUUUAUUUAUUUUGUUUGUUUAGUUCAGUAAAGAACUGAAAGAGAGAAUUAAGUGUGGUAAAAGGCAAAAGUUUGUGAGAUCAUUAGAGGGUAAAAGCCAAUUUGUGUGUUAAACACGAGAGUUAAGUGACAUCAAAUUGAGUGAAACACGUGAGGGCGUGUUGUGAGGUCUUUUUGCUAACAAUUUUUUUUCAGAUCACAAAUAUGUCAAAAGAUCAAGAAGCUAUAGACUAAUCAAUCAUGCUCAAAGCCAUGCAACAACAAUUUGAGCACAUGAAUCUAAUGUUUGGAGAGAUCUGUGACAAAUUGGAGAGGCAAGACACUGCCAUAGCCAAUCUACAAAGGGGGCAACAGCCAAUAGCUCCUAAUGUAAGAGGUAAUCAAGGGCGUGCUGUCAUGGGAGAAGAAGAUGGCGAUGACAUAGAUGAUUUUGAUGACCAGGCCACUGUUGACAUGUGUGGAAGAGAUCAUAGAAGGGCAAGACGUAUGGAUCGUGAUUUGGGGAGUAUCAAACUGAAAAUUCCUUCUUUUCAAGGUAAAAAUGAUCCGGAAGCUUAUUUGGAGUGGGAAAAAAAGGUGGAGCUAGUAUUUGAUUGCCACAACUACUCUGAGGAGAAAAAGGUAAAACUAGCUGCUGUUGAAUUUACUGAUUAUGCUAUUAUUUGGUGGGAUCAACUUGUUUUGAGUAGGAGACGAAAUCGUGAAAGGCCUAUAAACACUUGGGAGGAGAUGAAGGCCAUCAUGAGGAGGAGAUUUGUUUCUAGUCAUUAUUAUAGGGAGCUGCACCAAAGGCUUCAAAGUCUUACACAAGGUUCUAGAAGUGUGGAAGAUUACCACAAGGAGAUGGAAAUAAUCAUGAUUCGAGCCAAUAUUGAAGAAGAACGAGAGGCCACUAUGGCAAGAUUUUUACAUGGUUUAAAUCAAGAUAUUGCUAAUGUGGUUGACUUGCAGCACUAUGUUGAGUUGGAAGACAUGGUUCACAUGGCCAUGAAAGUGGAACGACAACUAAAAAAGAAAGGUUCCACUAGAACCAAUUUGGGUUCAUCUUCCUCAUGGAAGUCAAAAUGGAGCAAAGAUGAAAAGGUUGUUUCAAAGCCUAAGAUUGAGACAAUCAAGGAUCAUAAAGAGGGAGGCAACCAAAGCAAAGGUAAAUCUAAUUCCCAACACUCUAGAAAUAGAGAUAUUAAGUGUUUUAAAUGUUUGGGGACAGGUCAUAUUGCAUCUCAAUGCCCAAAUAAGAGAGUAAUGAUCUUGAGGGAUGAUGGUGAUGUUGAAACCGAGAGUGAAUCAGAUGAUGAUCCUAUGCCACCUUUGGAGGAUACUAAUGAUGGUGUAGAAUAUCCUGUUGACGGUAAAUUGAUGGUUGUUAGGCGUGCUGUCAACAUGCAAGUAAAAGAGGAUACAGAGAUACAACGUGAUAACAUCUUUCAUACUAGAUGCCACAUCAAAGAUAAGGUAUGUAGUAUGAUAAUUGAUGGUGGAAGUUGUACUAAUGUAGCUAACACUAGUUUAGUUGAAAAAUUAAAUUUGAAAACUUUGAAACAUCCAAGGCCAUAUAAGCUACAAUGGCUGAAUGAUUGUGGGGAAGUUAAAGUAAAUAAACAAGUGCUAGUUUCAUUCUCUAUUGGGAGAUACAAGGAUGAGGUUCUAUGUGAUGUAGUACCCAUGCAUGCUGGACACAUUCUUUUGGGUCAACCUUGGCAAUAUGAUAGGCGUGUGAUACAUGAUGGUUACUUAAAUAGAUAUUCUUUUGUAAUGAAUAAAAGGCAAAUCACUCUUGUACCAUUAACACCUAGGCAAGUGUAUGAGGAUCAAAUGUCAAUACAAAAAGAGAGUGAUACAAAAAAAGAAAAUGAGAGUACAAAAGAAAGAGAGAUUGAGAGAAAAGCAAGUGAAAAGAUAGAAAAAAAAUAUUGUUGAGAGAAAAGAGAGGCAACAAGUGAACUUGUUUGCAAAAGAGAGCAAGGUUAAGAGGGCUUUCUUUUCAAAACAGCCUAUCAUUGUAGUUUUGUGCAAAGAGGCUUGUUUACACACUAAUGAGCUUAAAUUUUCUUUGCCUAGUGCUAUUGUGACUCUUUUGCACGACUUUGAUGAUGUGUUUCCAAAUGAAGUCCCUAAUGGUUUGCCACCUAUUAGGGGAAUUGAGCAUCAAAUAGACUUCGUCCCUGGAGCUACCAUUCCUAAUAGACCUGCAUAUAGAAGUAACCCCGAGGAGACAAAGGAGCUUCAAAGGCAAGUUAAAGAACUCUUGGCAAAAGGAUAUGUGAGGGAGAGCACGAGUCCAUGUGCGGUACCAGUUUUACUAGUGCCCAAAAAGGAUGGAACAUGGAGGAUGUGCGUUGACUGUCGUGCAAUUAAUAAAAUCACUGUAAAGUAUCGACAUCCUAUUCCUAGACUUGAUGACAUGCUUGAUGAAUUGCAUGGUUCUUGUGUGUUUAGUAAAAUUGAUCUUAAAAGUGGAUAUCAUCAAAUUAGGAUUAGAGAGGGAGAUGAGUGGAACACUACCUUUAAAACAAAAUAUGGUUUAUAUGAGUGGUUAGUGAUGCCAUUUGGGUUAUCUAAUGCACCUAGCACUUUUAUGAGGUUAAUGAAGCAUGUUUUGCGUGCUUUUAUUGGUAAAUUCAUAGUUGUCUAUUUUGAUGAUAUUUUUAUCUAUAGCAAAGGCUUAGAUGAACACAUUGAACAUUUGCAAAGUGUAUUGACUGUUUUAAGGAAGGAAAAGUUGUAUGCUAAUUUGAAGAAGUGUUCCUUUUGUACAAAUCAGAUUGUUUUUCUUGGUUAUGUUGUAAGUGCUAAAGGAAUUGAGGUUGAUGAAGAGAAGGUAAAGGCUAUUAAAGAGUGGCCUACACCUAAAAGUGUAAGUGACGUAAGAAGUUUUCAUGGUUUGGCUAGUUUUUAUAGAAGAUUUGUGAAAGAUUUUAGCACAUUUGCUGCACUAUUGACUAAAAUUGUGAAUAAACAUGUGGGAUUUAAAUGGGGUAGUGAACAAGAAAGGGCAUUUAGUCUAAUUAAGGAGAAAUUGGUUUUUGCACCAUUACUUGCUUUACCUGAUUUUACUAAAACUUUUGAAAUUGACUGUGAUGCUUCAGGUAUAGGUAUUGGAGCUGUUUUGAUGCAAAAGGGGCGUCCAAUUGCUUAUUUUAGUGAGAAAUUAAGUGGAGCAGCCCUAAACUAUCCUACUUAUGACAAGGAGAUGUAUGCAUUGGUGAGAGCAUUGGAAACUUGGCAACAUUAUCUUCUACCUAAAGAGUUUGUUAUACACAUUGAUCAUGAAUCCUUGAAGCAUUUGAAAGGGCAAGGUAAGUUACAUAAGAGACAUGCCAAAUGGGUUGAAUUUAUUGAGCCAUUUCCUUAUGUGAUCAAAUAUAAAUAAGGUAAGGAGAAUGUGGUGGCUGAUGCAUUAUCUAGAAGGUAUGCACUUAUCUCUACAUUAAAUGCAAAGUUGUUAGGAUUUGAGUACAUUAAAGAAUUAUAUGUUAACGAUCCUAAUUUUGCUAAUGUGUUUAAUGCUUGUGAGAAAGUUGCAUUUGGUAAGUUCUAUAGGCAUGAUGGGCUUUUAUUUAGAGAAAAUAAAUUAUGUGCACCUCAUAGUUCUUUGCGUGAAUUGCUUGUGUGUGAAGCUCAUGGGGGUGGUUUAAUGGGACAUUUUGGCAUUGCAAAGACUUUAGAUGUUUUAAA